rnacentral:lncRNA from 1 species
UUGUGGCUCUGUUUCCGAUAUUUAUCCAGGUAGAUUAGGUUUGAUAUUAGACGAACUACUUGGGUUUAAUCGGAGGCUAGAAAAGACUUUCAGUAAUUUCGAUGCCUUCCUUCAAAUGGUUCUUGAUGAGCAUAUUGAUCAUACUGGAACAAGUGACCAUGAAAAAGAUAUGGUUGAUGCAUGCAGAUCUCAGUUGACUACAAACGAGAUGAAAGCCCUUUUGAUGGUAAAAACUUUUACUUUCCAUAUUUAGAGUUAUAUACUGUUUUUGGGUUUCAUGCAUUAAUUAAUAUUGUUUCUUAAAAAAGCAUAUAAAUGUAAGCUAACUCUUAUGAUCUUAAACUUAUAAUCAGAAUGUGCUAAAUGGAGCAAUUGAUACAACCACUACGACAAUGGUGUGGACAAUGUCUGAGAUUAUUAAAAAUCCUAGAGUUAUGAAAAAGCUACAGGAAGAAAUUCGAAGAUGCGUUGGAAGAAAAUCAAGCGUUGAGGAAGCGGAUGUCGCAAAUAUGCCAUACUUAAAGUUGGUUGUGAAGGAGGCGUUAAGAUUGCAUUCGACUGUUCCAUUCUUGCUUACAAGAGAAUGCGUAAAGCAUUGUCAGAUUGGUGGGUACGACAUCUUCCCAGGGACAAGAGUGUUGAUAAAUGCAUGGGGGAUAGGAAGGGAUCCAAAAGUCUGGACAGAGAGUGCAUCCAUCUUCAAUCCUGAGCGCUUAGAAAACCUUGAGUUGGAUCGUAGUGAGAUGAUUCCAUUUGGAGGGGGCAGAAGAGCUUGUCCAGCGGCAAGCGUUGCUACUCAGAUUGUGGAAUAUACGAUUGCAAACCUUUUUUACUCUUUUGAUUGGCAACUUCCAAGUGGAAUGAAGAACGAGGAACUUGACAUGGAAGAGGUUGGCUCCCUGAUCGUUGUUAGGAAAACGCCUCUUACCCUUGUGCCCGUGAAGUACGAUUGGCAAGACUAGUAAUCGUCGGUUUUCAAUGUUAAGAAGAUUUUGAAACUAAAAAAAAGAAGAUUUUGAAAGUAAUAUGCAUGUAAUAAUUUUAUUUGGAUAUACCUCAAUAAGUUCAUUGAAUAUGGGGUUGUGGAUUAGCUGCUAGAGGCAGGUGGAUCGAGUGUGGUGGGUUACUGUAUUUCCUUUUUAUAUUCUGUUUUUAUUACUUUACGAUAAAUUGCAUUGAUAAACUAAUUUGAAAUCAUUAGAACCUUGGUAUUAUUUAUUAAUGUUUUUGAGUUUGAAAUUUUUUUUAUAUUUAUAUGGUUGUAAUUUAUAUAUCAAUUAUUUAUUUAUUCAAAUGUUAUUGUAUUUUAAUUAUUAAAUAUUAUAACACAAAUAAUAUUAUUAAAUAAACAUUAUGAUUAUAUAAACAAUGAUCUAGAAAUGAAUAAAGUCAAAGUUAAAGCAUCAAUCUGUACCACUGAAACUUAAUAUAUCUAUUGUUAAUGAAUAGUAAAAAAAAUCAUAUUUAUUGAUAUACUAUUUAUCAACACUUUAGUGUGAUGUCGAAGCAAUUUAGUAGUGUAACUAUAUAUGUUUUUUUUUUCAUUCUUUUNAAAGUUAAAACAUCAAUUUGUACCACUGAAGCUUAAAAUAUUUAUUGUUAAUGAAUAGUAAAAAAAUCAUAUUUAUUGAUAUACUAUUUAUCAACACUUUAGUGUGAUGUCGAAGCAAUUUAGUAGUGUAACUAUAUAUGUUUUUUUUUUCAUUCUUUUCUCAAUGGCUCAUUCAAUUUUGAUUUUUUUAAAUCCAUUUAUCACCCUAUAAAUAUCAAACCAACCUAACUUAAUUUUUACACAUUUUUCUACAUAUUCUCUUAAUAAAACAAAAAAACCAAAAUGUCAUCUUCGUCCUCCGAUUCGACGGCUCAAGAAGAUGCAUUAUUUGUCGGUUCCAUCAUGACAAAAACUGUGGUGUAUUUCCAAAACCGUCAAGGUCAAAGUUCAUGUUCAUCACCUAAAACAAGAAAGCCACAGUUGUGGACAAAUCUUGAAGACAUUUACAAUAGUCUUAUAGAAGACUAUUUUGCAGAUGACGUUGUGUAUGCUGAAAAGUUUCGACGACAAUUACGGAUGAGGAAGGAGUUAUUUUUACGUAUUGUUGGCGAUUUGUAAGGCCGUUUUCCAUAUUUCCAAUGGAAUCGAGGUGCGAGACACAUAAAAGGUUUCUCUUUAAUUCAAAAAUGCACAACUACAAUUCGUUAGUUAGCAUACGACAAUGGCGUUGACAAAUGAGACGAGUAUUUGAGGAUGUAUGAGCGUACCAAACAGGAAAGUAUGUAAAAUUUCGCGAAAGCUAUUACUUUGGUUUAUGAACGGCGAUAUUUGUGCAAACCCACCAUCUACAAUGUCUACCAAUUGUACACGGUGCAUGAAAGUAAUUAUGGGUUCCCAAGAAUGGUAGGUAGUAUUGAUUGCAUGCAUUGGGAUUGGGCAUUGUGCCCCAACGCAUGGCAUGGUUAGUACAUGACAGGCGACCAUAGAGAACCAACGAUUGUUCUAGAAGCAAUCGGAUCACAUGAUCUUUGGAUAUGGCAUGCAUUCUUUCGUCUAGCCGGUGCAAAAAACGACAUCAAUAUUCUAAACUAGUUGUCAUUAUUCAACGACAUCUACCUUGGAAGGUCGCACGAUGUACCUUUUAAAGCAAAUGGGGUAGCAUAUAAGCGCGAGUACUAUCUUACUAACGAGAUAUAUCCUAUCUUAUCCGUUUUUAUGAAACUGUUCACAUGUCCGAACGAAGAAAAAAGAAAAAAGUUUAAACAUGCACAAGAGUCAGCUAGGAAGGAUAUGGAGCGAACAUUUGGUGUACUCAAGAGGCGUUGUCAAGUACUAACAGUCGGGGCAUGGUCAUAUGAAGUGAUAAGCUUGCAACACAUAAUGUAUGUGUGCAUUAGAUUAAAUAAUAUGAUUCUUGAAGAUAAAGGAAGAGUAAUAUGGCGAUACAACGAAAACAAAGUUUUGGCAAAUAUUGAAGGUGUAGCCGUUGGUACGCAAAAGUAUAGGACAAACAGAAGAGAAGUACAUGAUCACGACAUUUAUCACGCCAUUCGUCACUACUAGAAAAACAACCUUUUACGACGUGCAAUGCGUGUCGUAAAACGAUCAGACGACGCUCAAAUGCGUGUCAAGGAAGGCCCUAUCAUAACGAGAGACGACACGCGCGUCGUCCAUUUACAACACGCAAUUACGAAACACAUUUUCGACGCACGUUCACGAUACACAAUGCGUGUCAAGGAAGGCCCCGUCAUAAAGGAAGAUGACACACAUUUGUGUGUCGUAACCUUACGACGCGCGUUUAGGACACGCAUUGCGUAUCAUUAAAGCCCCUAUCAUAAAGAAACACGACACACGUUUUUAUGUGUCAUAAAGUUAAAUGUUUUAAAGUUAUAUAUUUUAACAGAUUUAGUAAUUUUCAAAUUAAAUAACACAUUAAAAAUCUCAUAAUACAAAAUAAAAUACCAUAAGUAACAAAGAUAAUUCAUUUCACUAAUAUGUCAAAUACAAAUAAUUAUUCCAAUAGUGAGUAAAUGUAAUAAAAAAAUGAACUCAAGAGAAGCGAAAUUUAUAUACAGUUGCAUUAUCUAGCUUAUUAUGUGCCAACAACUCUGUGUGUGUUUGCUUUUGCUUGAGUCUCCUUUCCUCCAUAGCUUCUAGCCAUGCCAAAGUAUGAUAUCUUAAGGUUCAUGUCCAAAUCAAGUAAAACAUUGCUAGCUUAAAUUCAUCAAGUCCUUGGCGUGAAGUCUUAGAUAGACGCUUAACUGCAAUCUCCAAUCCUUCUAGCAGACCCUAGAGAUCAUUAUUGGCCAUGUAGCAGGAUCAACCUCAGACAUAGAUAGUGUUUUGUUCACCGUUGUCUAAGGAAUUACCUCAGUUCCUGAAAUAAUAAUCUGGACAAUUUGAUCAAAUAAGCUUGUUUUUUCUUUUUCAAAAUAUUUCCAAUGGAGAAGGCAUUUGUAUAGGGUAAAUAGUGAAACAGGUUUGCCUUAACCUGCUAUUUAUACCAGCAUCUAGAUGACUCCACUGUCAAAAAACCAAUCUGCCCUUUACAGAUUUAGUGACUUUUUACUAAACAAAAUACUACAGAUCAACAAAGUAAAUAGAAAUUUAAAAAAAAUGGUAUUUGAGAUGCUAUUUGGAGUUCAAACAACCAUAAAGAUUACCUAUUAAGGAGUAACCAAAGGGGAAGCAAUAUAAAUCUUCAAAAUUGUUUGGCUUUACAACCUUCAUAAAGAACAUGGACAACAAAAAGUUAGAUACUAGAUACUAUUUGGAAUUGAAAUAUAAAUAUUUAUACAAAUGAUUACGAGGGGUAAACAUGUAAAAAUACCUCUCUCUCUAACUCAGAGAGUUAUUUCUUUAGCUUUUUAAGAGUGUCAGCACGAAUAUAUGAUUUCAAAUAAAUAUAAAAAACUGGCCAUUUUAAGUUUAUGUGGUUUUGGUUUAUUGACAAUUAAGAAAAUAUAAAAAGAGAGGGGCAUUAUAGUAAACUUACCUAUGGAAUUGAUAAGUGAGGAUACGAUGACCACUACACAUGCUUUACACAGUUACCAAUAGAAAGUGUAACCAGAGGUACCCUUUGCAGUAUCAUGUAAACAACCUGGGUAAAAAAAUUUAUCAAAUCAAAUUCACAAAAUUGGAUGAAAACAUUAAAGAAUGAAAGGGGAAUCCACCAAAGACGGUUAGUACUUUAUAAGUUAGGGAUUUGAAGGAUUUGAACUUUUUGAUAGUGGAGAGAUUCCAUGGAUCCACGUUUCUCAUCCAAUUUUGUGAACUUCCUGGAAAUAAACCAAUUGCCAACAUAGAAAGAAAUAAAUACAAUUUCCUAGAAAAUAAGAAAAGUACACAUAUAUUUUGUUCAUUCAAAGAAUCAAAUAGCUUUUUUAAAUUUAAAAAUAAAAUUAAAACAUUGUGAAGCAAUUCAAGAAAUGCACUUCUAGGGCCCGUUUUAUAUGGGACAAAAGAGUCCAAUUUUUAUUAUCACACUGCCAUUCAUUAGUCCAAGUCCAGAAUCCUACUCCAGUGUAUGUCAGGCACAGUACAAGGACGUGUAAACUGUAAUGUCAAAUUAAACAAACAGUUAGGGGCAAAGAUUGAGCUUCCAACUUCAGUAGUCAGAUUUGAGUGUAGCUGAAUAAUAUGAGUCAACCUUUUGUUCUCUAUUAGCUCAACUUGAUCCAUUUCAUCACUCUACUUAUAGCAUUCAUCAUGACAAAGACCGACUUUCCGUUUCUUAAAAACAACAACUAGAACUUGAAUGGACCCUGAAAACUGGCUCUUACCAACUUCAACUUUCAAAUAAAGAGGCUAUUACCAACUUCAACUUUCAAAUGGACCCUAAAAACAACUAGCAUACUUUUCUUAGUUUCUUUACCAUAGGCAUAACAUCCUACUUUAUUUUCUUCCUAUUAAGACAUUAUUAUACAUUCCAAAUGUAAACUUCUUUGAUUUUGGUUACCAAUUAUAGCACUAUACUUUCGGUUUUGUUCUUAUUAAGGCAUUGUACUUGGUAGUAGAGCACUGUUCUUUGUAUUAAGACAUUGUACUUUGACAGUCUAACAUAUUAAAACCUCGUACUAUGAUAUACAUUUCUUGUACUAUAUAUACAUGGAAGAUACCAUUUUAAACAAUUCAAAUAACACACAGAUAUCAACAGACUAGCAACAAAAAUCAUUGUUUUGCUCCAUAAAACGAUUAAAGAGCUACAAAAGAGUACACCAGGGGAUAACUUGCACAAAAAGAACUUUCAGAUCUGUUAUUCAUAACUUUGGCCAUCAGUUUGGGUGUCCAUCCACAAAACUCCAAAACAAGUAAAGCCUUGUAUGUUGACUUGAGAAAAGUUGUUAGGUCCUCUGUGGUUGAUAAAGACUUGAGGGGGAUUUACUUAGGAAAAAGUGACAUAAAAUGAAGCAAACAGGGGGUGAUUGAUCAAAUUUUUAUCAAAAAAACAUCUUAAGAAUAAAGAACAUAGGAAAAAAAUAGUAGGGGUAUUUUCGUCCUACAAUAGUGUAAAAAUCUACUUAGAAAACACAAAAUGAAGCAAACAUGGGUUGAUUGAUCAAUCAUAACUGACCUUAUCAUUGAUGGUGUGCAGCUGAAGUUUUUUAUCCCAUUUGGAAUUAUCUUCACUUUCCUUACGAUCCCAUAUACAAGACCAAAAUGAAAACAAAAAUUCCUAGCCUGUUGAUAGGCAUAACUCAAAGGUACUCGUCACCCUAAUACAAUAAAUUAUCUUCCAAGUUUUCAUGACUUUAGGAAUUUUAUGAGAUCGAAUGUAAAAGUUCUUGAGCACUUGUGGUGGAAAUAAAUAAGAAAAAUUCAUAUUAAUUCAUAUAAAAAUGAUGAAAGCUGAAAAAUGAUGAGUUCAUAAACCUGAAUAAAAAUGAUUGACGACGUAUGGUAUUUUCAGGGCCCCACCCACCCAUUCAUCCUCUCUGAAUAAGGGCUGAACCUGAAAUCCACUUUCACUCAACCCGAAAUCGGCUCCUUUAAAGGCACCGGUGGGAGGUACAUGUUAUCCCUAGAUCCUGAACUCCCACCGGAUUUCUUCCCGGAAUUCUUGCUCUUUCGUUCGCUGAUUUUCUUCCCUGUGCCACUCCGAUAAUGCAGACAUACCUGUGAGAGUCAGUCCUCGAAAAUUUUAGUCUCGGGUGAUUCGGAGGUGAGACCACCGGUAUAGGAAGAAUCAUCGAGCGUUGCUUUCGUUUUAAAGGAGAAGGUUGGGGGCAGCAGUGCGUGGGUCUGAGUGGGGACAGAGGGAGUGGUGAUGAGAACAGAGGGUUGGAGGACACCAUUGCUGAUAGAAGUAGAGCCUCUCCUUUAGUACUUGCACCGAUCGAAUAAUCCUAAGCAUAUGUCAUUUUCAUUUUGUGAGGGUUAGCGAGUCAGUUUCCUUGAGGCUGGGGUGAGAGAACUGCAAAUGGUGAUGGUGGAUGAAGUGUUGGUCGAUAAGUUCGGUACAUCGUCGUCGUGCAGGCCUGAAGAGUCGGUGUGGGUUGGAGGUAGGGGAGGUGGGUGAGGGGUGGAGACGAAGGAGAGGAGAUAUUAGAGAACAGAUCGUAACGAAUGUAGAAGAAGAAAGCAGGGUUUAAAUUUUUUGGGGAUUUCAUUUUCCCUCUAAGAGGAGAGACGUGUGUUUCUUAAAAAAUUAUAAAAUGACAUUCAUAGAUGACACACAUUUUAGAUAAAGUGCCCUCUGUAUUUUUAAUUUUUUUUUACAUGAGACACUAAUUUAAGGGCACACAAUAAUGUAUGACCUAAAUCCUUAAAUUUUUUUGAAGAAAUGACACCUUUUUAAUGUCACUCUCUUUUGCGUCACAUAAAUCAAUGAGUGUCGUGGUUUGCACGUAGUAAAAAGGUCUUUUUCAUGUAGUGCGUGCGGAUUUGGUGGAGCACGUUUUUAGGGCUCACAUACAGCCCCAUACAGAAUAUUAACACGAUGAUUUGUUUAACGAAUCGGAUGAAGAUUCAGAUAUGUUUGUCGAGGACUCGAACGAGAAUUCAGAUGACAAUGACGAGGAUCACGAUACGGGGAUCACGAUGAGGAGGGCGACAAUUCCAAGUGACGUAUUUUAUUUAUUUAUUUAUUUAUUAAAUCUUCACUGUUUUUUAUUUAUCCUUUUUCAAGUAAUGAAAUAUUUUAAUUUUAAUUAAUUUUUGUGUUUAUUAAUAUUUUUAAGAAAUUAUAUUUAUUUUUUGAUUUAUAAAUCUUAAUAAUCAAUUAGGUUUAUUUAAAAAAAUUAAAAGUAAAAGAUAGUGAAAUGUGAAAAUUUCAUACCUUUCGGCGAGUGAAAAAGAAGGAUAGAAAAACUGACCUCACAUUCACAAAGUAAAAUGAAAGAUGGUAUAUCCUCUAAUGUAAUGCUUAUAUUUUUUGCAGUGUAAAAAUAAGAUAGAUAAAGACAUGCACGCACAUACACACACUACAAGAAAACAGGCAAUUAGCGGCGACAAAAGUCGCCGGUAGAGGGUCCAAAUGUCAGCGGUAAUGGUAAUAGCGACGAAGACGUGUCGCUGGUAAUAAGUCGUUGUCACACCCCAAAACCAGGAAUGGCGGAAACGUUCCGGGGUGGAGGACAUCAUGUGAAGUAUCAUAACAGUGUAAAGUAUUAAACAAGCAACAACAUCAUCCAUUGCAUUAAAAGUAAAGUUCUAAUACAUGUGUGUUCCUUCAUGAUGUACAACAAUAAAAUGAAUAAUCGAAAUAAGAUGAGUCUUGUAUGUGCUCCGUCUUCUCAAAACCUGACCAUCGUACCUGUCUAACUGAUGACCUGAGAAUACAAGUUAUUUUGAAAGCGAGUAUCAGCCUAAAGCUGGUGAAUUCAUAAGUAUUUAAGUGUUAUUGUCUGGUUUUGGAAUGCUGUUAUGAAUGUCAUGUAAAUCUUUAAAUGGAACAGUUGAUAUAAGUAUGAAAUGUAGUCUUCUACCAAGACUCGAAUGUUUUUGUAAGUAAAAUGAUAGUUUUUCCUUCUUUUUGACUAUUACAAACAGUAAUUAGUCUAACUCAUCGUUUAUGUGAAUGUAUCACAAAAUCAAGUAAAAUAGGAAAAAGAUAUGAUAGUCUUCUACCAAGACCUGAAUGUUUUGCUAUGAAAAUGAUGGUUUUUCCUUCUUUUUGACUAUUAAAACAGUACUUAGUCUAACUCAUCGUUUAUGUGAAUGUAUCACAAAAUAAAGUAAAAUAGGAAAAAGAUAUGAUAGUCUUCUACCAAGACUUGAAUGUUCUGUUAUAAAAGUGAUAGUUUUUCCUUCUUCUUGACUAUCAUAAACAGUAAUUAGUCUAACUCAUCGUUUAUGUGAAUGUAUCACAAAAUAAAGUAAAUAAGAAAAAGUACUAAUGUAAGUGUUAUCCCGAGGUACUAGGGCUAACACGCCAUCGCGUAAGCGAAAUGUAUAACCUAUCACAAAAUGAAGUAAAUAGGAAAAAGUACUAAUGUAAGUGUUAUCCCGAGGUACUAGGGCUAACACGCCAUCGCGUAAGCGAAAUGUAUAACCUAUCACAAAAUGAAGUAAAUAGGAAAAAGUACUAAUGUAAGUGUUAUCCCGAGGUACUAGGGCUAACACGACAUAUGUAAAUGUUAUCCCGAGGUACUAGGGCUAACAUGACAUAUAUACCCUAAUGAACAUCCGAAGAUUGUCCAAUUGUCCUCUAUAGCAGCAGCAGGGUGGAGGAAGGGUUAGUCCCGUAACUGACUCCUAAUAUAAGUAAUAACCUUAGGCAUCCGUAAAUGUUCACGACCACUGGUGCUAAUCAGCUGGGAUUCGGAAUGGUUAGUCCCGUCUAGAUAUCCCAAGGGACUAGGGAUGGGCAGGACAAUUUAUACAGAAGGUACUAAUAUAUCAUCCUCGCAAAUCGAGAUACAAGUAUUCAUGUAAGUAUACACAGGAAAAAUGUAUCUACGUAAAGGUACUCAUGUAAUGUAUUCAUGUAUCAUGUAAGCAUAUGUAAACGUACUCAUGUAUCAUGUAAGCAUAUGUAAAUGUACUCAUGUAUCAGGUAAUGUACUGGUAUAGACUCAUGAAUGAACUGACUCUUGUGUGAUUCCUUGUAAUAGGAAUAAUGUUUUGUUUCUUCUAACUAUCCCUAUAAUAAUUAACUGGAAAGUAAUUGGUUGUUCAAGUAGAUUUAUGCACCCUCGUUACACCAGGGUGUGGGAAACUGAACGAAGGAUGAAAACUAUAACAUCAAUACAUAUAUAAGAACAUAUGCGUAUAAGUGUAGUUUUGCUCAAGAAGGUAAAAAUAAUGGUUUUGCAAGAUAUCUAAGAGUUUUGAACAAUAAUUAAGAGUGACUUGAUGUCAUUUUAAUAAACAUUUCAAAACUAAUACUUUUGUUAUCAAGGUAUUUUAAGAUAGAAAACCAUUUCAUGUAUCACAUUUUGAAGUAUGUGAAAUCUACUGGAUGAAAACACAGUUAUAAAAUACAUAAGAGUGAUUUAAUAACAUACUGUUUUCUACUUGUAUUCCCCCCAUUAAAGCAUUUAAAAUCAUUUAAAACAUUGAUUAAGGGGUAUGAACUCACCUGUUGUGAGUGGUUCUAGCGGGUACGUGUGUAGGGAUGAGAAGUUCCACGAAUGAAGUCCCGAGACACAAUAAGUCCUAAAUGACAUAUAAGGACACAUAUUGACAUGAAUAUAGUGUUUAUAACAUCUAUAUGAAAGGAAACACCUUCCGGGACUAGGUAACACCUUGACCAAGUGUUGGAAUCACAUGUGAUUCAACAUAAGAAGGUAUAAAGGCACUCACAUGAGUUUACUACCAUGAGUUCAUGGCCCAAGGGAGUUUACGGCCGUAAACUCAUGGUUACUCAUGUGGGAAUGCAAGUUUGAAGGCUAGGGAAUGAUUUAGGGACAUUAGCUCUAACCUAGGAUGAAGAAAACCCACUUUCUUUGAAGUUCUAAGGAGUUCACGGCCCAAUUGAGUUUACUACCAUAAACUCAUGGUCAUUUAUGUUUAUGAGGGUCCUAAAGGUCAUAAGGAAGCAUUCUAAUUUCAAGCCUAAGCCUUUGGAAGUGUUUGUGGCAUCAAAACAUCCCUAACUUGAGUUUACGGCCCAUGGACCAUUUGGUCAUGUGUUUGCGGCUGUAAACACUCAUGGGUGUUGAUAUUUUCAUUGUUUUGGGUCCUAGACACAUCAAGGUAAAGUGUUAUGUUUGUCUCUUGGCUUAAUGAAGGUAUUUAGGGCACUUUGGCACCCUAAUAUGGAGUUCACGGCCCAAGAACUUCCUUGGGCGUGAACACCAUUUCCUUGGUGUUUUGAGGUUGCUUUCUAUCCCUAAACUCAUUAGUGUACAAGUCCAAACUAGUGUCAUAGCUUAAGGAAGGACUAGGCAGCAUUUGGCCCUUAAAAAGGAGUUUACUCCCCAAGGUGUUCUUGGGCGGUAAACUCUCAAAUCUUGUUGUUUUGUUAUGAUUUUGUGGUCUAAACAUGUAAUGGUAGCUUCUAAGUCCAUUUCCAAGGCUAUGAGGGACAUUGGGCAAACUUUGGCCCUUAUAAAGGAGUUUACUCUCCAAGUGUUCUUGGGCGGUAAACUCCCAAAUCUUGGGAUUUUGAUCCGAUUUUGAUGUUAUAAGCACAAUCUAAGCUAUAUAAAACAACUAGAGAGGGGUACUCACGAUUUGGGAUAAAAACCCGAAGAUCCGUGAGAGAGAGAAAAUGGCUUUUCUCUAGUUGGAAAUGUAACUAAUGAAUGAAUAUGGCUCAGAUUUCUAUAUAUAGUCCUGAUAUUUUUGGCAGAAAAUAUUUUAUUCCCGGAAUGAACUCUAAUAUCAUAGAGUAUUGGAAUAACAGUGUUGCACAAAACCCUAGUGCAUCCACUCUCCUGAUAUCUCCUUAAGUGUUAAACCUGAAAUACUCAAACUUAUACCCAAAGUCUGGAAUUUCUCUGUAACUGUUCUAACUUCUAUUGGCUUGAUAUGGUUUGUUCAGAAUGGAAAUUUCGGGUUGUCAUAGUCGUCACUACUGCUUUGUCGUUAUUGAUCAGAUUGUCGCCAUUAAAGAGAAAUGUCGCAGCUAAUGCUCCUGUCGCCGGUAAUACUUCGUGUCGCCGCCAAUGCUCUGCUGCCGAUAAUAACAUUUUCCAUUUUUUAAUUUUUUUUAAUCAACAAUUUUGGGUAUAAAAAACCAAUACAUAACAACGUUAAAAAAAAGAAAAAUUACAUAACAACAUCCGAUUAAAUCUUGGUUUUGCCGGAGGGGGCUGCUUGUGAAUCGACGAAGAAGAUGAAAGAAAAAAUGUAGCUGCAGCGAGAUGGAAGCGAACAAAAGAGAAAAGGAAAAUGGUGUCGAUGUUUUUUGGUUAACUACAUCAAACUUUAGCGGCGACAGCUUUACCGGCAACAACUUUAGUUUUAGCCGCGACUUCUAUCAAUAGCGGCGACACUAACGAGGGUAUUAUUGUCGCGUCAUUUAUUCGAGAAUUAACGGUGACUCAGUUAGGUCUUUAGCGGCGACUUUUGUCGCCGAUAUUUCUUUUGUGCGUUCCGCGUGUACCCUAGCCGUUGGAUAAACAUGAUCGAACAGUCUUAAUUUACCAGAACGUAAAAAUACGGAUCCAUGUCGUGGGCCAUUAGCGGCGACACAAAUAGUGACGACGUCCACAUUUAGCGACGACAAUUUGAUAUGUUGCCAUUAAAUGUAGGUGUCGCCGCUAAUGAUUGUAUUUCUUGUAGUAAAAAAAAUAAAAACAUUGCUCACCAAAAAAUGUUCACUAGAUAUGCAUAAGCGAAUUGUUUAAAAUCGGAAAAAAAAUCCUAACAUAUUUGAGCUUUUACUAUCGUUAAGCUACAUAAUUUUAUUCGUGCUACUUAUUAACGCAUUUUAAUUUCAUCAUUUUCAAGAUUGGUACCUACAAUUUAUCCAACAAACAAUUGAGUUUGUGGUGCCAAGCAAUUACUAUAAAUUUGUAACCAUUGGAAAAUUAAAUAAAUCAUCAACUAUGUGGUACGAACAGGGGCGGCUUAAUCAAUUUAGGGGCCCUAAGCGAACGAAAAUUUUGGGACCCUUUUUACUCACAUUUUACUGCAUUAAAAGUUAUCCUAGUUGUAACUUUGUAACCUCAUUGACUUCUCAACGAGGACCUAAACACAAUCAAUAUAUUUAGUGUAGAGAUUAUUAAGCUUAAACUAAAAUUUAGCAUCUUCCAAUUUAUAACACCAGAUUAAAUAAUUAUGUACAUUAACUUAUGUUCAUUUUUUAGAAUACGUAAUUCAAGUUAGUUAAAUUUUAAUUAGAAUAUUGGAUACAACUAAUGUGCCUAGGUAAUAACAGAUGUAAUCUUUGUUCUCAAGAAUGUUUUCAAAUUCACUUCAUUACAUGUCAACUGAAACAUAAUAUUUCACAAAUUUAAAAUGCAUUAUGUUUUCACAAAAGAAUGAUGUUUGUGAUUCAAUUACCAUACCCUUAACUUAACUGGACAUGUUGGUGUUGUGAGCUCCAACCAAAAUGAAACCUGAGAUAUAAAAUUGAAUGUUGAGUGAGGUUAAAAGAAACUUUAUGUAUAGUCUCUAUGGAACUCAUUACAUUCUAUUCUAAAACACCUCUCCUAAAGCAUAAUCGACAUGUAAGUCCUUCACAAAUCCACAUGAGAAUGUCAGUCCCAAAGUUUGCAUCAAUAAUAUGAGAUAAGGCUUUUAACACAUCAGUUUACAGCUUCUAUUGUCAAUAAUGAUGAAGCAUAAGCUACAAACAACACAGUAAGAUAUGCAUAUUAGAAUCUGAUCGUAAGCUAUAUAGUUGUCAAUAAUCAAAUCUCUACUAUUUACUGAAAAAUCAAAGGUUUGAUGCUGAACUUGAAACUUAUUAGUGCCAUUUAGUGGUUUGGCUAACACAACACGUAGUAAGUAAUGAAUAAGCCUUUAACCCGAACCUUAUUUGAACAAAUUUAACUCUUAAUUUAACUUUUAAUAAAAGGAAAAGCUAGUUUAACCCUCUGAAAUCACUUUGUUUCAACAUUUAUCCACUUGAUUACCUUAAAGGAAAGUUAAAUUAAUUUUCACAAGCAAAUUCCAAGCACAAAAAUGAGUAAAAAUCGCACUCACCUUCAAGAUGUCACAUUGUUGUACAAUUCCUCAGGAGCGAAGAGACUCAUUAAUGGCAAUUGGCAGAUUGCAGAAUACGUCUCUCUAUAAAAUUUCCACAUAAAAUUAGAGUUUCUCCACUUCAAAUAUCCAACAUAAGCUUAAUAGACUAAUCGUGAAAGAAGAAUAAAAAUGGAGAAUAAGAGAAAGAAGAACAUACCGUUUUAGACUUUCAGUUCUUGUCUUCUUCACAGCUGAGAGUUUUCAGUUUUUACUUUUAAUUUUUGAACAAUCAACAAUGGAGAAUCGGGGGAAGAAGAAUAGAAUUGAGAAUCAAAUAAUCAAGACUCGAUCAAUAUUCAAUCGAUUGCUGAGAAUCAAUAAUCAAAGAAUCGAAGGAAGAUGAACAAUCGCUCACUUGUUGAUGAUUUUGUGGCGUGUGCGAAUUGAGAAGGAAGACUAAUCGAGAUUUGCUUAGGGUUAAAUGGGGCCCUUUAGAACUCAGGGCCCUAAGCAAGGGCUUAGUUAACAUAAAGGUAAGGCCGGCCCUGGGUACGAAGCAAUAUAAUUUAUAUUAAUUUACAAAUUCAUAGUAAAUAUAUUCACAUAUUCAACAUUGUAAGGGAAGGAGAUGGCGGCUGGCACGUCAUAAACAUUUUUUUAUUUUAAAAUGAGCUGAUGGAUUGUCAUCUUAGGCUCCAUUAUAAAUGAAGGUGCAUGGAUUCCAUUAACUUCCAAACAAACACAACAAAGAGAAAAACCCAUUGAUAUGGAUAUUUUCGCUUUCUUCCCUUCAUCCCUUUAUUCAUCAAUAUCAAUUCUCUUAUUUUCUUCGAUCUUCAUAUAUGCCCUGCGAUGGAUGAAAACAUCCAAGGCUGCCCCUAACCUUCCCCCUAGCCCUCCUAAGCUUCCGAUAAUAGGAAACUUGCAUCAAGUGAUAGGUAAAAACUUCCAUCAGAUCCUAUGGAAAGUCUCCCGAAAAUACGGCCCAAUUAUGACUGUCCAUUUAGGUGCCACACCAUACGUCAUCAUCUCCUCAAGUGAAUUUGCAAACCAGGCCUUAAAAACUCACGAUCAAAUACUUUGUAACCGUCCACGUUCCAAGGGUUUCAAACGUCUAACUUUCGACUACAUGGACGUCGCUUUCUCCCCUCAUGCUGAUCAAUGGAAGGAGAUGCGAAAGGUUUUGGUAACCGAGUUCUUAGGUUCUAAGAGGAGUAGAUUGUUCAAAAAAGUGGUAGACACUGAGGUCAAGGGCAUGCUUGAUUCUUUCUCAUCACUAAAUACUACCAUUGACCUAGACGAGAGGCUCUUUCAUCUUGUAACCGACAUUGUUAGCAAGGUUGCAGUGGGUAAGAGCUACAGAGAAGAGACGUUUAGAGGUAAAAAAUUAAAAGAGAUGCUUGAUGAUCUGGUCAUCUCUCUUUGUGGCUCUGUUUCCGAUAUUUAUCCAGGUAGAUUAGGUUUGAUAUUAGACGAACUACUUGGGUUUAAUCGGAGGCUAGAAAAGACUUUCAGUAAUUUCGAUGCCUUCCUUCAAAUGGUUCUUGAUGAGCAUAUUGAUCAUACUGGAACAAGUGACCAUGAAAAAGAUAUGGUUGAUGCAUGCAGAUCUCAGUUGACUACAAACGAGAUGAAAGCCCUUUUGAUGGUAAAAACUUUUACUUUCCAUAUUUAGAGUUAUAUACUGUUUUUGGGUUUCAUGCAUUAAUUAAUAUUGUUUCUUAAAAAAGCAUAUAAAUGUAAGCUAACUCUUAUGAUCUUAAACUUAUAAUCAGAAUGUGCUAAAUGGAGCAAUUGAUACAACCACUACGACAAUGGUGUGGACAAUGUCUGAGAUUAUUAAAAAUCCUAGAGUUAUGAAAAAGCUACAGGAAGAAAUUCGAAGAUGCGUUGGAAGAAAAUCAAGCGUUGAGGAAGCGGAUGUCGCAAAUAUGCCAUACUUAAAGUUGGUUGUGAAGGAGGCGUUAAGAUUGCAUUCGACUGUUCCAUUCUUGCUUACAAGAGAAUGCGUAAAGCAUUGUCAGAUUGGUGGGUACGACAUCUUCCCAGGGACAAGAGUGUUGAUAAAUGCAUGGGGGAUAGGAAGGGAUCCAAAAGUCUGGACAGAGAGUGCAUCCAUCUUCAAUCCUGAGCGCUUAGAAAACCUUGAGUUGGAUCGUAGUGAGAUGAUUCCAUUUGGAGGGGGCAGAAGAGCUUGUCCAGCGGCAAGCGUUGCUACUCAGAUUGUGGAAUAUACGAUUGCAAACCUUUUUUACUCUUUUGAUUGGCAACUUCCAAGUGGAAUGAAGAACGAGGAACUUGACAUGGAAGAGGUUGGCUCCCUGAUCGUUGUUAGGAAAACGCCUCUUACCCUUGUGCCCGUGAAGUACGAUUGGCAAGACUAGUAAUCGUCGGUUUUCAAUGUUAAGAAGAUUUUGAAACUAAAAAAAAGAAGAUUUUGAAAGUAAUAUGCAUGUAAUAAUUUUAUUUGGAUAUACCUCAAUAAGUUCAUUGAAUAUGGGGUUGUGGAUUAGCUGCUAGAGGCAGGUGGAUCGAGUGUGGUGGGUUACUGUAUUUCCUUUUUAUAUUCUGUUUUUAUUACUUUACGAUAAAUUGCAUUGAUAAACUAAUUUGAAAUCAUUAGAACCUUGGUAUUAUUUAUUAAUGUUUUUGAGUUUGAAAUUUUUUUUAUAUUUAUAUGGUUGUAAUUUAUAUAUCAAUUAUUUAUUUAUUCAAAUGUUAUUGUAUUUUAAUUAUUAAAUAUUAUAACACAAAUAAUAUUAUUAAAUAAACAUUAUGAUUAUAUAAACAAUGAUCUAGAAAUGAAUAAAGUCAAAGUUAAAGCAUCAAUCUGUACCACUGAAACUUAAUAUAUCUAUUGUUAAUGAAUAGUAAAAAAAAUCAUAUUUAUUGAUAUACUAUUUAUCAACACUUUAGUGUGAUGUCGAAGCAAUUUAGUAGUGUAACUAUAUAUGUUUUUUUUUUCAUUCUUUUCUCAAUGGCUCAUUCAAUUUUGAUUUUUUUAAAUCCAUUUAUCACCCUAUAAAUAUCAAACCAACCUAACUUAAUUUUUACACAUUUUUCUACAUAUUCUCUUAAUAAAACAAAAAAACCAAAAUGUCAUCUUCGUCCUCCGAUUCGACGGCUCAAGAAGAUGCAUUAUUUGUCGGUUCCAUCAUGACAAAAACUGUGGUGUAUUUCCAAAACCGUCAAGGUCAAAGUUCAUGUUCAUCACCUAAAACAAGAAAGCCACAGUUGUGGACAAAUCUUGAAGACAUUUACAAUAGUCUUAUAGAAGACUAUUUUGCAGAUGACGUUGUGUAUGCUGAAAAGUUUCGACGACAAUUACGGAUGAGGAAGGAGUUAUUUUUACGUAUUGUUGGCGAUUUGUAAGGCCGUUUUCCAUAUUUCCAAUGGAAUCGAGGUGCGAGACACAUAAAAGGUUUCUCUUUAAUUCAAAAAUGCACAACUACAAUUCGUUAGUUAGCAUACGACAAUGGCGUUGACAAAUGAGACGAGUAUUUGAGGAUGUAUGAGCGUANCAUACUAUGUAAUUUUGUAUCAUAUUUGCAUUGUAAUCACCCAAAGUGCUUAAAAUCAACCUCAUAACUUGAUUGCUUCCAAAAUCUUUGGAUUUUCAUCAUUAUCUUCCUUCAAAUGACGUCUUUCUAUCGGAGACCCCCUGGUGGGCUUCAUAUACUAUCGUUACAAAUCAAAUGGUGUAGGAAGAAUAUAACGGUGAAUAUCUAAAAAUCUUGGAAGUAAAUCAAGUUAAGGAUUGAAGUUUAAGAACCUUAGACGAUUGCAAGGGAAAUAUAAUGCAAAACAAUGUAGUAUGAUGUGGUUAGGUACCUAAGCUUAUGUAAGGUUGUUAGGUAUAUUCACUUUACNAGUAAGCCAAUUGUUUAUCUUUUGAGCUAAUUUGAGUUUGAAUCAACUUUAUGUCCUAAAAAUCACUUAGGUAAUAAUAUAGAUAUAUAUAUAUAUAUAUAUAUAUAUAUAUAUAUAUAUAUAUAUAUAUAUAUAUAUACAUACACACACCAAAAUUAAGAAGAAAAUUCCAUAACUCACGCAUUGAUCUUUAUGAGCCAUUAAAUAUCAUCAAGUUCUUGGUUUUUUCUUUCUCAUUUUCCAAAUAAUUUGUGGCCUUCACUUGCUUUUGUUUUCAUCAUACCAAUGCACCUUCAAAUCACUAUUAAAUUUUUUUUUUUUAAACAGCAGAAUUUUAUUAAAAGAAAAACUAGCAAGAAGCUAGAAAAUUACAUCAAAGAAGUAGCAAGAGAGGGGUUAUGAAGCCACUCAGUCCAACGUAAGGUAACCCUACUACAUCUAUUAGAAAUCCAAAAAAAGGAUUUCUCAACCACAUCGUCAAAAAGAACCGACUUUUUGGGAAGAACUGUUCCAAAAAUAGACAUAUUACGAAAAUUCCAUAAGCACCAGACGGCGGUAAUAAUAACCGCAUCAAAAGCCUUUCUUUGACCUGUACCCAAAGCUAUCCUAUCCGACCAAUUGAUUAAGGACUGCACCGAGAUCUGUGAUGGGAGAGCUAAACCCCACCAUAUAGCAAUCCUACCCCAAAUAUCGCGUAAGUCACGGCAACCAGCAAAAAUAUGGUCAAUAGUCUCAACUGUAACCAUGCAUAUUGGGCACAUGAUAGAAGGGACUGUAACCCCUCUAAUCGAAAGUCUCUCCCUCGUAGGAAUACCAGAUAGGUGAAUCCUCCAUACUAGAAUAUUGAGCUUAAUAAGAACCCAGUUAUUCCAUCUAGUACUCCUACCCUCCAAAGGAACCAGGUCACUAUCCAACGCAAACCUAACAGACGAAACAGAAAAAGAAUCAGAACUAUCAAGAGUCCACCCCAAUCUAUCCGGGACCUGUUGAAGCUGGAAACCCUCCACCACAUCCAAAAAAGAAAGCCAUUGAGAUUCUUCAAUUCCACCUCUAGGAAUACGUCUAAGGACAUCAGUGUUCCACCCAAUCAAAAAACAAUCCCUAACAUUAGUUGACCGAUUCAUAUCCAAGGCGAAGACACGAUGGAAAGAAAUCGAAAAAGGAGUAUUGCCAACCCAUUUAUCAUGCCAAAAGGAAGUAUACGCCCCAUCACCAAUUCUUAUAGGAGCUAGGUUAUGAAAAUCAAACCCUCUAUCUUUGAGAUUAUUAACAAUCCUUGUAAUACCAUUCCAUGGACCCAUCAACUGUCUCCUAUACAUCAAAGAAGUUUUAGUAUCCCCCAAACCAUAAAUACUUUUGACCACCCUCACCCACAAUAAAUUUGGAUUGUGAAAAAACCUCCACUUCCACCGUAAUAGUAAAGCCCUGAUAAAGGCAAAAAGACUACCAAUCCCCAAACCUCCAACUUCUUUAGGGGCCAAAAGUUUAUCCCACCUAACCCAAUGCAUAUGGCGAUCAUCCAAAUCAGCACCCCAAAAAAACACUGAUCUUAAUCUCUCCAAAUCCUUUAUCACAGUAAUAGGCACCGGAUAAAUGGACAUUAAGUAGUUGGAAACUGAACCCAACACUUCUUUAACUAAGGUCAUCCAGCCCCCAAAUGAAAGACACUUGGCUUUCCAAGUCGCAAAUUUUUUCCGGAAAGCUUCAACCACAGGACCCCAGGAAUCGAUUCUAGCCAUAUUCUGGCCAACAGGAACCCCCAAGUGAGAAAAAGUAAGCAGCCUGUAGAACACCCCAUACAAUUAGCCAUAGAAGACACUUGGUUAUUCGUGACUCCCACUCCAUACAGCUUGCUUUUAAGGAUAUUGAUUUUCAGACCCGAGGCUAGAAAGAAACAUCUAAGAAUACGAACAAUAUGAAGAGCAUUUUGAUGAUCCCAAUCGGUCAAGAGGACCACAUCGUCAGCAUAUAAAAGGUGGGAAAUAUUAAUGCCACCAAUAUUGAUUCCCCGAUAAGCAUUAACUAACUUGGCCCUAGUAAGCGCCACAUGUAAACCUCCAUUACCAACACGAAAAGAAAAGGAGAAAGAGGAUCCCCUUGUCUCAGGCCUCUGAACAUAUGAAAUUCCCGGGAUGGGGAACCAUUCACCAGGACCGAGACCAUAGCAGAAGACAGCAUCUCCAAAAUCCAGUUACACCAUAUAGUACUAAAGCCCAUAAUUUGCAUGAUUUCGAGCAAAUAGUCCCAUGAAACCAAAUCAUAAGCCUUUUGAAAAUCCACUUUGAAAAUCAAAAGAGGAUUCUUAGAAGCUUUACUCCAAGCUACAAUUUCGUUGAGAAUAAACGGACCAUCCAAAAUCUGUCUGCCUUUUAUGAAAGCUGAUUGCUCCACACUCACCAGACUACCAAUAACCUCGGCUAGUCUAUUAGCAAGAAGUUUACCAAUAAUCUUGUAUUGGCAACCAAUCAAACUAAUAGGUCUAUAGUCCUUCACAACCUUUGGGUCUUUAAUUUUUGGGAUCAUAGUGAAAAAUGAAGCAUUACAUCCUUUUGGAAUGGACAAAUGUGUAUGAAAAUGAGAUACCAUGUCAAAAAUGUCAUCCUGAAAAAUAUCCCAAUACCGCUUUAGAAAACCAAAUGUGAACCCAUCAGGACCUGGAGCUUUUGAAGAACCGGAGUCCCACACUGCCUUUUUUAUUUCCUCUCGAGAAAACGGAGCAUGAAGAAAUUGACUUUGAUCAAACGAAAGAUGAGAAAAAUGGGAAUCCUGAGUUCUUGGACGAGUACCCACCUGCUUAGAAAAAAGAGUUUGAAAAUGACCACGAAAUUCCUCCUUAACUGUAUUUGGAUCAUCAAUCCAACACCCGUCCUUCAAAACACCUUUAAUAGCUCUUUGUCUUCUCUUAUUAUUUAUGACUCCAUGAAAAUAACCCGAGUUUUCAUCACCUUCAAUACCCCAUUUGAUUUUUGCCUUUUGGGCUAACUCCAAAUUUGUAAUUUGGUCUAGCUCCGUGAUCUUCCUUAGAGUAUUGACUCGAUGCUCCCGUAUAGAAGCAUUCCCCCCGUCAGCCAUAAGGGUAGAAUCAAUAGAUUCUAACAUUGUUUGGAGCUGCAUAGGAUUAGAGGCCAUUUUGACUCUUGUAGUUGAGUUCCAAAUACGAAUAUUUGCUUUAAGUAAUUGAAGCUUCUUCUUAAAUUUAACCCAAGGAUGUGAAACCCUGGUUAAAUUCUGAUCUUGGGACCACGAAUUUUUGACAACAUCAUCAAACCCUUCCAAGUUGAACCAAGAAUGGAAGAUACGGAAGGGAGUAGGCCCAUAAUCAACUUUAUGUUCCAAAAGCAAAAUAGGCCUAUGAUCCGGAGUAUACUUCUCCAAAACCAUACUUGUCAAAUGGGGGGAAGCAUCCAAAAUACCAUUAGAAGUUAAAAAUCUAUCCAACUUACUAAAUUUUGAACCCCACUUGUCACUCUGCGUAAACCGAGGACCACCCAGAGAAACAUCAAAUAAACCCGCCUGCUCAAUAAAAUUGUUGAAUCUCUUGGCUGUAUUAGAGUUAAACAUUAUACCAAAUCUUUCUGAUGCAUCCCGAACCUCAUUAAAAUCCCCCAUCAAAACACAUUCACCUUGGAAAGAAUUAAUAAGCUGGAGCAAGGAAUCCCAAAGAAUUCUCUUGGAAUCAGCCCCUUGUGGAGCAUAAACCACAAUAAACAUAACCGGUAGACCCGAAGAAGACCAUAACGCCUCUAUAGCUGUAAAAUAAUCUGUGACAUGAGAGGAUUUGAAAGAGACAAAAUUCAAAUCCCAAAUAAGAAGAAUACCACCCGAAGCUCCACGAGAAGGAGAAAAAAUGUAAGAAAAAGAAUUAUUCCCCCAAAAAGACCGAGCCAUACAAACAUCGAUAACUUCCAUCUUCGUUUCUUGAAUAGCCAACAAAUUAACCUUAUGUUUACAACACAACUUCCGAACCCAAGACCGUUUAUUUUUACAACCCGCUCCUUGAAUAUUAAUGGAGAGACAAUUCAUCUCAACACCAUUUUAUCUCCGGUCCCUUCUACAAUUUCUUUUACACGGUCAUAACAUCCUUCCAAGUCAUAUCCCAUUGCCUUUCCCAUCUCUAUUGUUUUUUGUAUCUCACUUAAGAAAGAUCCUUUAUUAUACGAAUUAUCCAAGCCACCAGCAAAACUAUUACAUUUUGAAAAACCUGGGGGGUGAGUUAAAUUGUCUUCUGAGUCAACAAUACCCGAAAGCCUUCCAAAUGCACCCGAAAAUCCAAUUGGAGCAUCAUUACAUUUAGCAUUACAUUCUUGAUUAGAAUCAUUGAACCGUGAGUCCAUAACCGAGGCCAAAGAAGGAGCUGGUGCUGCUGUCGGUUGACAAUCUUCAUCCAAACCGGCAGCUGGAACUGUAAUAGUGGCCUCCCGGCUCUGUUUUGCAUCAUGAGCAUCCCUCAAAUUCUGAAAUCGAGCAUUACCGUUUUUGUUUUCAACGUUUUGGUGCUGAUCAAUAAAUCUGCCAUUAGAAAAAAAAAAUUUUGAUCCCCUGUUUUUUCUUGAGAAUUCCGAAACUGCCCCUCAUCAGAAUUGGGAAUUUUGCUGCUUUCAUUAGCCUAUAACACUUGACAGUUAACAUUGGACUUGACUUCCUUUUCGAUAUUCCCAUCCUCCCUCAUUUUUUCAAGUGUCUCAUAAAUUCCAAAAGGAUCAAAUGACCCUUCUUCUCUUUCACUUUGUGAAUUAUCAUCCUGUUCUUCCAAUCCAUUACCAUGCUUGCUUUCACUGUCACUAGUAAUUUUAUUAAUAUCCCAUACAAAAGAUGGGGUCCAUCCAGGUGCCUCCUUUAUUCUAACCAAAAAAUGUUGGCCAUCAAUACUAACUGUCAUAGCCUCUGAGAUAAUCUCUUGGAAAGAGGAUAGAAUACAAAUUCGUUUUUUAUAUACAUCCUCUCCCAAAUCAUCAUCAAGAUGUAUAAUAGUUCCCCACUUAGACAUAAUACUUUUAAAUGCUUGUUUACUCCUGGCUCGUAGAGGUAAGCCUUCCACAUCAACCCAAAUCAAACGAUCUAAAGGCACAAAGUUUCUAUCCCAUGAUCGUUUCUCAACUAUCCAAUGAUCCAUAGCCCCGCUUUCAAGGAAAUUUUUACAUGCAUCCUUAUGUUUAAAUUCUAGCAUCACCCAUAAACCCCCAACAUAACGAAUCUCAAAAUCCUCAAAUCCUUCAUCAUAGCAUAGCAUACGAAGAUUGGUUAACGUAGGAAAAUCCCUACCCUUGGCAAGGCAUGCCUGAUCUCCUUUUUCCACAAUAUAAUCUCCAGCAGAAACUUGAACAACAUCCUCCUUAUUCUUUGAUAAAGAUUUAACCCCAACUCCUUUAACUACACUUGCAUAAGUAGAUGAAUGAGAAGUAGUCUUGUCAUUAAUUCUAACGUUUGCUUCUACUGCAUGAGAUGCAUGAGACUUGGCCUUUUUUGAAAAUCGUGGUACAGAAGCAAAAAGUUUGUGAUACCCAAACCAAAUGUCACAUACUUCUCUUAUCAUACGAUCAGAAUUAGCAACAUCUACGAACCGUAUGAAACCAAAACGUUUCCCCAAUCGAGACUUCCUAUUGGAAAUAAAGACAUCUACCACUUUUCCAAUUCGAUUACACAUUCUCCAUAAAUCACUAUUUAAUACGUAAUCUGGGAAAUUCGUGACAUAGAAAGAAGAAAUAUUCUUAUUUGCUUCAUAACUCCCAUUCCUGUUAGAUUGUUGCAUUCCCAUUUUUUUUAUUCCUGAUUCAUUAGGUCGCCAGCGAUUUGUAAAGGAUGGUCCUAUGGUAGACGUAAACGACUAAUUCAGAAGUAUAUACUAGACGUAACCCAGUGCUUCAGAAGUAUUGAAUCUCCCGCCGAUCACCUUACCGACGUUUGAGGAAAUCACUAUUAAAAUUAAAAAAUUAAAGAUUUAUGACACUAACUUGAUCAUAAUCACAUUAGCAUUAUAUUAUAAUUCCAUUUAUUAUAUUUAUAAUUCCAUUUAUUAUAUUUAUAAUUCCAUUUAUUAUAUUUUAACAUUAUAAUUCCAUUUAUUAUAUUUUAAUUUUUUAAUUUUUCAAAUCACUAUUAAAAUUAAAAAAUUAAAGAUUUAUGACACUAACUUGAUCAUAAUCACAUUAACAUUAUAUUAUAAUUCCAUUUAUUAUAUUUUAAUUACAAAAUUUGAGUUAUUUGAAUUUAAAAAUUUAUUUAGAUUUAUUUAUUUUAUAUCAUCAAUUAUUUUAGUGAGAGUUCAUAUUGACAUAUAUGAAUCCGCUGGAUUUGAAUCUAUUUCUUUUGUUAUGAGUAAUUUCACAUCUAUUUAUAUAAAUGUUACCAUUACCCCAAAUUAAAGAGUUGUUGCUAUAUCCUUGUGCCUCCCACAUACUUUAAGUUUAUUUUAAAUCAAAGACAUUAAAAGAAAUAUCUAAAAAGUUGAAAUUAAAUAGUUACAAAAAAUGAUAAAAUGAAAGAUAAAUAUGAUUUGAAAUUACCAUUUAGUGCACAUAGAAAUUAUAAAAAGGUGUAAGUCAGUAAAAUACAUAGCAUAGAUAAUGACUAAUGAGCCACGAGCUAUAUCCAUAAUUUUAACUAAACCCCUUCAAGUUUCUCAUAUUGUUAUUAAGAGCUAAAAUUUGAUACUUGGUAGGAUAGGAUAAAAAUCAUAGUUUGUUAUACUAGAAACCUUGGAUGUAUAUAAAUAAACGAGUACGACUUUUUUUCAAUAAAUAAUGUUAAAUAUUAAAAACAUAGUAAAAAGAUGUUUUAUUUAUUUCUAAAAAUAAAGCUGGUAUAUUUAAAAAAAAAUAGUUAUAUAAAAAAAAAAAAAACAAAGAUAGUAACAAGAUGUUUAAUUUUCUAUCAAAUUCAAAAGCUCCCUUCUAGAGGAAGAUAAAUAGGAUUAAAUUUAAAAGAGUUCUUUGAGACGUUUCAUUCCAUAAAAUAUAUGAUUGCUUUAGGAGAGUGUGUCAUUACAAUAUUUUAAAAUUAUACAAAGGCAUCAUCCGACUCGUCAGGGGUUUGGGUUUGUGACAUGAGAUAGGGAUGGGUUUUAAAAAAGCCAUGAAUUUUUUGAACGUGUGCGACAUAAUGUUUGACAUAGACAUCAGAUAGUAUUGUUGAACUCUUUUCUAUUGAAAUUGGAGGGAAGAUUAAAUACGAGCCUCUAAUUAGGGAUAAUAAGGUUAUAUUAACCGAUCGAAAUGAAAAUUUAUCUAUGUAACUGAUGAGUUUUGAGCAUUCUAACACUCCUACGGUGUACAUGCAACCCUAAAUGCUUUGGAUCUAUGUUUUCUCUAAUAUACAUGCAACCUUUCAAAGUUUCAAAAGCAUCAUCCUAACUUGCAUACUAUGGAGUAUCUAUACUAUAAAUAUCUACUUAGAUGACAUACCUUUUUGUGUAGUUGAAACCUUGAAGCUUUAAGAGCCUAUCACCAAUAAUGUGAAUUCCUCAAAUGGAACCACAAAUCACCACCAACAAUUGGAAGAACUAGAGAGAGGUUACUUGCACUCAAAAUUCGGCUAGCACUCUUGUGUGUAUUCUUAGUCGCCGAUUUUGCUAGCUAGAGGGGUCCUUAUAUAGUGUGGCUUGAUUAGGGUUACACCAUGCAAACCCUAAUGUGCAUGACUUUCCACAUUCUUCAUGCUCCAUGGGUUUUAGCCUCCAUGGAGUAUCCAUGGGUCACCACAUGGGUUUUGCCCAACAUAAGGAAUCAGGGAUCAUUAUCCUACUUUAUAAGAAUGAAUGAUUUACACAAUCAAUCCCCAUAUAUUUAAUUAGUCUCUUUUGAUCACAAAAUUAAUUCCAAAUUAAUUCUUGAUCAAUACUAAUUCAAUAAUAUGAUUUCAUAUUAAUAUAUUAGAACUUAUAAAAUAUUAAUAAAUCAUAAAUAACCUCUUCUCAAAAGUCCAUCCUUAAAUUUUUCCGAUGAAGUGCUACCCAAAUGGACCAUGCUACUCUCGGAUCAAGUACAUACCAAAUAUAGUUAUGGACCUAGACACCUUAUCCAACAGUCUCCCACUUGGAUAAGUCUAUUAACUAUAGUUGUAAGUAUUACUUCAGGAUCCGACUAGCAAUCAUGGCUCGUAAAUGCCUUUGUCAAACUUAGAUGCACCAUUUUAGAUAAGUGAUCAUAGAAUCCUCUGUUCUUAAGAUAUCAGCCAGACAAACAUAUGGAACAUAGUCAAUCUUAUUGUCCAACAGUUUGUUUCCCGAUUUUCUAUUCGUUUGACAUAAAACUUAAUCGAACACAUCAAUUGAGUUCUGACCGGGCCCAACACAUAAGUCAAAACAAAAUCAUCGAGGGGCCCAAGAUAUUGCUUUUAAUCCUCUAAGAACUAAAAGGAACAUAUAAAUUUCGACAUUAUAUGCUUGUACUAACUAUUGAUUAAACCAUACACAAUAACACGUUUUAUAACAUCAAGUUACCGAUGCAUUUUCGUAAUAUCAAUGUACGACUAACUCAUAGUCAACAACUCAUCUAUCUAGGUUUGAAGAUUAUAUGAUAUUAUCGUCUCACGAUCACUCGGGAUAAAUUCCAUGAAGUGAUACAAGUGAGCAUGGGUUAAAUCCAAUACUCAGACCUUAUGAGAACUCAUGAAUGGCAUAGCAAUGUCUAACCAUUUCUGACAAUCUACUAGCUAAAUUCAUGACAGUCUAAAUUCAAUACCUACUUCCAAAUUAUGAUCGACUGUGGGUGGUUUGAAUAAUCCAAUUAUUCUAGAAGUCGAAACAUGCAAAAUGAAACAAUAGUAAACAAUUGACAUGAGACAGUACCAUACUAGUAAAUAAAAAGCACCUUUUAUUAAAGCAUCAAAUGUCGAUUACAAUCUAUCUAUUACAAGUUCGGAAAUAGCUACCUUAUUAUUAAAACUAAUAUCAUCCCUCAGCCCAAUGCGCCUCGCAUGCUGUAAAUGCUUAACCCUACUCAGUCUCUUCGUGAGGGGAUCUAUCGGGUUCUCAUCUAAUGAUACCCUCUUUUCCACAAGGAGUCCUUAUUCUAUCUUGUGUCUUAUGAAGUGAUAUUUCCUCUCGAUGUGUCUGGACCUGCCAUGAUCCCUUGGUUCCUUGGCUAAGGCAACUGCACUAUCGAUGUCACAUAAAAUCUCCGCACACUCAUUUAUAGCUGGUACAACUCCAAGGUCUCCGAUGAAGUUCUUCAGCCUUAUCGCCUCCUUCGUCGUUUCGCUUGCUGCUAUGUACUGUGAUUCGCAUGUUGAAUCAGCUACAGUCUCCUGCUUGGAAUUUUUCCAAGUAAUUGCUCCUCCAUUCAGGGUAAACACCCAGCCCGACUAAGAGCUAAAAUUAUCUUUAUCGGUUUGAAAGUUGGCGUCACUAUACCCCACCCCUCUCAAGUCAUCACUCCCACCAAGGGUAAGGACCCAAUACUUAGUCCUUCAUAGGUAAUUGAGAAUGUUUUUCACCGCAGUCCAAUGAGCCUUGCCAGGAUUCCAUUGAUAUCUGCUGACCAUGCUCAAAGCAAAGACCACAUUAAGGUGAGUACAAGUCAUAGCAUACAUGAUCGAGCCAAAAUUGGAAGCAUAUGGUAAUUGACUCAUCUCAUGUAUUCCAGCCUCUAUACUCGGACUCUAAGUUUUACUCAGUUUGGCAUUGCACUGGAUCUAUAAGUCACCUUUCUUGGAAGUAUGCAUUUUGAUCUUCUUCAACACUUUGUCCAAGUAGGUACUUUGACUAAGUCCAAUUAGUCUCUUACUCCUGUCUCUCAAUAUCCUUAUCCCAAAGAAUAUAGGCAGCUUCUCCAAGGUCCUUCAUAGUGAAACACUUCCCGAGCCAGGACUUAACCUCCUGCAAGGUUGGGAUGUCAUUUCCUAUGAGUAGUAUGUCAUCCACAUACAACACCAAAAAGCUAACUAUACUCCCACUAACUUUGACAUAUAUACAUGAAUCAUCCUCGCUUAUCGAAAAGCCAAAUUCUUUGACUUUCUCAUCGAAACAAAGAUUCCACCUGCGAGAUGUUUUUUUCAAUCCAUAAAUGGAUUUCUCAAGCUUACACAAUCAAUUAGGAUACUUAGCAUCGACAAGACUCUUUGGCUGACUCAUGUAAACAUCCUCAGUCAACUUCCCAUUAAGGAAUGUGGUUUUGACAUGCAUUUUCCAUAUUUCAUAGUUAUGAAAUGCAGUAAUGGCCAACAUAACCCUAAUAGACUUGAUCUUUGCUACUGGUGAGAAGGUCUCAUCAUAGUCUACUCGCGGAGUUUGAGUAAAGCCCUUCGCAACCAACCGCGCUUUAUAUGUAUGUACUUUCCCAUCCAUGUCAGUCUUCUUCAUGAAGAUCCAUUUGCACCCAAUUGUCUUACGACCCGGUACAUUUUCAACCAAGUUCCAAACUUGAUUGUCAUACAUGGACUGAAUCUCGUUGUCCAUAGCCUCUUUCCAUUUAGCGGACUCGGGGCCUACCAUGGAUUCCUUGUAGUUGUUAGGUUCAUCAAAAUUUACCAGUGUGCUAUCACUGAUAAAUCUAUCACCUUCUGCAGUAAUAUGGAAACCAUAAAACUUAGGUGGAACUUUAACUCUACCGGAACACCUCAGAGGUACAGACUUGUCAAUCGGCUCAACAGGAGUUUCCUCCUCAUGUUGAUCUCUAGUGUUUGUGGUUCCUUCACCACUUGACUCUUGAAAUUCUUCAAGGUCAAUUUGCCUCCCACUGUCCCCUUGGAAUGUUAGCUCUCUCUCACAAAAAACUGCUCUCCUCGCAACGAAGACAACAUUGUCACUCGGUCUGUAGAAGAGAUAACCAAAAGACUUUUGUGGGUAGCCGAAGAAAAUAUACCGCUCACUUUGAGUUUCGAGCUUGUAGUGAGUCUCGUGUCUCAUGAAAGCCUCGCAACCCCAAACUUUGAUGUGUGCUAACGAGGUAGCCUUCCAUGUCCACAUCUCAUGAGGUUUUUUGGCAACCUUUUUUGUUGGGACUCGAUUAAGGAUAUGGGUGGCAGUCUCUAAGGCAUACCGCUAGAAUGAGAUUGGUAACAAAGCUCGACUCAUCAUGGAAUGAACCAUGUCCAACAAGGUUCGCUUGCGCCUCUCAACCACACCAGUAAGCUGUGGUGUCCGAGGCGUCGUCAACUGUGAAACAAUUCCACACUCCUUAAGAUAGUCUAAGAACUCGAAACUAUGAUACUCACCAAUCGGAUCGAAACAUCUUUAUCUUCAUGCCCAGCUGAUUCUCCACUUCUUAUUUAAACUCUUUGAAUAUCUCAAUGGCUUAUGACUUAUGCUUGAUUAAGUAUACAUAGCCAUACCUACUGUAAUCAUCAGUAAAAUUCACAUAGAAGUGGUUAGCAUCCCUUGUGGCGGUUCUGAAGGGCCCACACACAUCGGUGUGCAUGAGAUCCAACAAACCCUCACCCCUCUCACAAGUACCAGUGAAGGAUGAUUAGUCAUCUUUCCAAGAAAACAAGAUUCGUAAGUGUCAUCCGACCUUAAGUCGAAUGACUUCAAAACUCCAACCUUCUGGAGUUGGCCUAUGCGCUUCUUGUUGACAUAUCCAAGACGACAAUGCCACAGAGAUGCCUUAUCCAAAUCAUUAGAAGAAUAGAUAUGCAACACAUUAUUUCCAAGUUUUCUACAACCAUCACAGUUUCAUAUACACCAAUGUAAUGUUCUAAAAUAAAAAACACCAUUAUAAUAAGCAUUUAUUGCACCAAUUUCAUUAUUAAACGAAAAUACGAAACCUUGUUUGUACAAACCAUGAAAGGAAAUAAUAUUUCUCGCCAUAUCAGACGAGUAGCAACAAUUAUUCAAAUCUAUUUCUAACCCACUACUGAGCAAUAAAGAGUAAACUCCAAUCUUAAUGAUAGGUGAAACCUUCCUAUUCCCCAUGAUCAAGUUUAUCUUCCCGUGCUCCACAUCCUUACUUCUUUUUAGGCCCUGCACAUCAGAACAAAUGUGAAAUUCACAACCUGUUUCAAGCACCCAAGAGUUAGUAUGUGAUGACUUUUUAGAUAGAAUAGUAUAAAUACCUGCAUGGGUGGGUUUAACCUUCCCAUCCUUAACAUCCUGCAAGUACUUGGGGCAACUUCGCUUCCAGUGCCAUUUUUAAUGGCAAUAGAAACACUCUGCUUCUUUUGGGAUGGUCGAGGGAGCGAUAUAACCUCCUUUGGUUCCACUUGAAGAGGAUCCAUCAAUAGACUUUCCCUUACGGCUCUUGGAAGGAGCCUUCCUCUUCUUCCCCUUACCUUGCCCAAUUGCAAGAACAGGGGCAUUAGCAGUAGGAGUGGUUACAACAGAUUUAACUUUGAGACCACUUUCAGGGGUCCUCAGAAGGCCCUGAAGCUUGCUUAAAGUGACUUCCUCCUUGUUCAUAUGAUAAGUCAUGCGGAGCUGAUCAUAACAUGGAGGUAAGGAGUGUAGAAUAAUAUCUAUAGCCAACUCCUCAUAAGAUUUCACAUUCAAUUUGAGCAGACGGUCCACAAACCUUUUCAUUUUCUGCAAGUGGCCCGUGAUGGGUUCACCAUCCUUCAUUUUUCUUGUAAUCAUGGAGCUGAUGAUUUCAUACCGCUCUUGACGAGCACUCUGAUGGUAUCUUUCCAUCAGGUCCAGGUGCAUCUCAAAAGGGUAGAAGUCCUCAUAGGACUUUUGGAGUUCAAGAGACAUGGUGAUAAGCAAAAUACAAGCUACCUUGGUGGCAUCUUUCUCAUGUGCCCUGAAAUCAACAAUUUUCUGAGGAGUAGCAACAGAGAAGAUGACUCUCCCACAAAGGUUCAUGACAGAGAAGGAGCCUGUAGGGUUUAAGCCAGAAGUAGUGUUGGAAGACAUCUAAAAAGAAAGAAAGACGAAGUUUAGAUUAGAUAAAGGGUCCUUAAUAUAACACCCAAAAUGAAAUAUUAAGGCUAGGACCCAACACAAUAUUUUACAAUUUGGAAGAAGGAUGUCGUAAUCCAGCUUGCAAAAUAUUUAAAGGUAGUUAAAUGACGAUUUACCAAUUUCCACCAUGAAAAACGAAAUUAUUUAAUUAAGUUUUAAUUGGAUUUGAAACUCCUAGAUCCUUUGAUAUUCAUUGAGCAAUUAUUCCCUUCAGGUUUGUGACUGGGAUACCAAGGAUCACAAAUAAGGUGUGAAUAACCAUGCAAAUCUACUUGGUACUCUCAAUGUUAAUUAUCACCUUAAUCAAUGUGUCGGUACACCACACACGCUCCAUUGACCUUAUGAUAAACAUUAAGCUACCAUUUUCCACCCUUACUAGUCCAAGUUAAUGUGUCGGUUAACCACACACGCUCCAUCCACGACUUGGUAAGGUGCAAAGUGUAAUUUUAUGGAUUAGCAUCAAUUUCAUAUUUUCCUAAAGCAACUAAGAUUGGGAAUUUAUAAAAGGUUUAGUUACUUUAUAAUUAUAAUUAUACUUUUAAUGAGAACUAUAGUCUUUGUCCUACCCGUUUGGCUAACGACCCUCCACCAGUCAAGUAAGCGGUGGGUGAGAGUGGACACCCAUUAAACCACUAUUUAUAGGCAGUAACGUUAUACCCCCUUAUAGACCAGCAUCGUGAAUGAGUCCUACUAAUGGUACACCGACUUGUCUUAUAAAUAUAUAUAAAUAUUAAACUUAUAAUAUUAUAAUAGUAAAAGGGUUGAAUUUUAAUUCUUUAAAAUUAUAAGGUUUGCAAUUAAAGUUUCAUUAAGUGAGACUUUACAAAUUCCAAAACUUGAGGGCAAGUUUUGAAACUUGUCAGAACUCUUCAAGUUUAUAACAUAUGAGUUUAACGACAUCUUUUAUUAGAAAAACUUUUCAUUUCCAUAACAUCCAUAAAUUGAGGACAAGUUAUCGAGUCCAUUAAAAUCAUUUAAAAACAUUAUUUAACUAACACAAUAAUCAAAUAAUUCAUAAAAGAUUCAAUCAAACUCAUAUGAGCAAGACAAUUCAAAUCAAAACAAAUUUCAUGUAAUUAGCCUAACCACAUAAACUAAUACAAAACACGAAACUUUUGACAAUUAUCUUUUAAAUUGGAUUAACAUGAUCAUUACCACAUCAAAAAUAGGUUAAUAAGUUCAAAAAUAGUUUAGGGUAAUGAUCUUAGUCCAAUUCCAACCUUAAAACUCGAAAAUUUGCACUCUGGAGCACCAACUCAUCGAGUACAUGAACUGAAUCGGCGAGUUGGUCAGAAUUAUGAAGGGACUCAACGAGUUCCCCAGUGGACUCGGCGAUUCCACUGUCCAGACAGCUGAAAUUCGAUUUUUAAAGCAUUUCUAAGCAAGUAGCAUCAAGUAUGUUGGAAAACAAUCCUAGUCUCUGAUACCACUGAUGGGUUUUAAGCAUUCUAACACUCCUAUAGUGUACAUGCAACCCUAAAUGCAUUGGAUCUAUGUUUUCUCUCAUAUACAUGCAAACUUUCAAAGUUUCCAAAGCAUCAUCCUAACUAGCAUACUAUGAAGUAUCUAUACUACAAAAAUCUAGUUACAUGACAUACCUUUCGCUGUAGUUGAAACCUUGAAGCUUUAAGAGCCUAGCACUAAUAAUGUGAAUGCCUCAAAUGAAACCAAAAAUCACCACCAACAAUUGGAAGAACUAGAUAGAGGUUACUUGCACUCAUAAUUCGGCUAGUACUCUUGUGUGUAUUCUUAGCCGCCGGUUUUGCUAGCUAAAGAGGUCCUUAUAUAGUGUGGCUUGAUUAGAGUUACACCAUGCAAACCCUAAUGUGCAUGACUUUCCACAUUCCUCAUGCUCCAUGGGUUUUAACCUCCAUGGAGUAUCCAUGGGUCACCACACGCGUUUAGCCCAAUAUAAGGAAUCAUGAUUCAUUAGUCCACGUUAUAAGAAUGAAUGAUUUUUAAAGCAUAAAUAUUAAUAAAUCAUAAAUAACCUCUUCUCAAAAGUUUAUCCUUAAAUUAUUCCGAUGAAGUGCAACCCAAAUGGAAAAUGCUACUCUCGGGAUAAGUACAUAUCAAAUAUAGUUAUGGACUUAGACACCUUAUCCAACAGUAACAUCCCAAAUAUUUUGGAAACAUGCAUUACAUUCUAACUAUUAUCCUUCAAACUAGUAGCACCAUAUUUUCUUCGAGCGAAUUUUAGGAUAGAAUUGUUGGAAUCUAUUUUGUUGUAAAAAUAAAUGAAUGUGAGAAAACAUAAAAUAUGAUGUGAGAUUAAAUAAUUGGUAUAUAUAUNNNNNNNNNNNNNNNNNNNNNNNNNNNNNNNNNNNNNNNNNNNNNNNNNNNNNNNNNNNNNNNNNNNNNNNNNNNNNNNNNNNNNNNNNNNNNNNNNNNNNNNNNNNNNNNNNNNNNNNNNNNNNNNNNNNNNNNNNNNNNNNNNNNNNNNNNNNNNNNNNNNNNNNNNNNNNNNNNNNNNNNNNNNNNNNNNNNNNNNNNNNNNNNNNNNNNNNNNNNNNNNNNNNNNNNNNNNNNNNNNNNNNNNNNNNNNNNNNNNNNNNNNNNNNNNNNNNNNNNNNNNNNNNNNNNNNNNNNNNNNNNNNNUUCCUAAAAAAUCAUUUUAAAAAGUGAAAAAUAUAAGUUAUUAGGAGUAAUUUGUUAUUUUAAAUUAUGGGAUUGAUAACAAAAAGUUAACCACCCUAUCGGCACUCUCAAAAUAUUAAUAAAUAAACAAGUCGCUCUAAUAAAAAGAAGUCUACAUGUCAAAGACUCUCAAUCUUUUUUUACCGUUUUAUCAAUAGAUUAAUAAUUAACUAGUUUUUCGUUAAACCAUACUGGUUUUUCAUUUAUAUUUUAAUAGAUUGUUAAAAUUUUUAAUCAGUGAUGCUUGAUUGUUUUUAACCGAUUGAACUGGUUCGGUUCUUUUAAGAUACACGACCCGUCCCGACCCAACCCCCAAAAGUGUUAUUGAUUUUUUAUUGUCUUCACUUGAUUUAAAAACCAUAUGAUUUUUUGUUCUAGAUUCGUCACUGCACACACAUGCUACANGGCUGCAAAUAGUUUUUCAGAAAUUAGUUUCUAAAGACGAUUAAUUUUUUUGUGCAAAUAGUUUAAAAAAGAAAAUGUUGUUGUGGAUUAUAAUUAAACGUGCUUUGUCGUUAGUUAUAUAAAAGUACACUAUUGAUUACAAACCUGAUUAAUUCUUUGGUUUUAUAGUAUAAUUAUGAUAUAUGGUUUUUUUUUUUCAAAACAGAUGGGUAACGGAUAAAUCGAUUCGUAGGUGGAGACCCUUAAUUGAUCUAGGCAGUUGACUGAUAUCAAUUGAAUAAUUGAUGCGUAUAUGGAGAUGCUUGGUUUCGACAAUUAGUUUUUUUUUUUGGAAAGAAAACUAUACGGACCGUAUGUGUAGUGAAAAAAAAAAUUGCAACGAAAACCAAGAAUUUUGGAAACCACAUGGACCAUUUAUAUGAUUAUAUCUAAACUUUAUUAUGAAUUUCAGUAAGAACUUUAUGAACCUUGAAUCAUCAUAUUAGAAUAACUAAAAUAACAAAUUCAAAACAAAAUACGUGUAGUUACAAUGGUUGACCAUACAGUAUUAAUCAUGCAAUAUUUUUUAUACACCAAAUUUGAUAUACAUACAUUAUAGUGAGAUAUACACUUUUGUUGUUCAAGAAUGCGAAAUUAAUUCAAACAUCUAGCUAUUAACAAAAUAAAAGAAGUGAAUGGCGUUAUACUCUUUUAUAUAUUUAAAACAAUGUGUCAAAUCAAUCGACCUAUACCCAAAAACCAAUAAUAAAAUAUUUCGAGCUAUAGUUUUUGCCAAAUUUUGGUCACCUUAAAAAUAAAAUAUGCAUAAAUACUUCCUUUACUUUGACAUAAGAGUUGUAUUUUUAUCAACUAUUUACAUACAAAACUUCGAGGUUAAGUGUUUUGAUUUUAAGAUAUACAUACUUCUCCUAUUAACACCCGCUUCCACAAUUUAUUUUAAAAAAUUAGCAAAUAUAAAGACCUGACAUCCUUCUUUUGUUUUCGUUUUCUAAAUGUUAAAAUAUUAAACCUUAUUUAAUAUUUUGUUUUCAAUCCAAUACAUUUUUUUAUUUUACCGUUUUUAUUAUAAAAAAAAAGAACACUAAAAUUCUAAAAAUGAGUUAGACAACGUAAAGAUUUUAAAAUUCUAUUCUACAAAUUACAUGAAAAGCAUUAAAAUCAUGGAAAAAAUUGAAAACUUUGAACACCAAACAUGAUGUGAAUGAAGGUUUAGCUAUUCAAAAUUCAUUAAUAUGUACUUGGGUUGGGUAGGUUUGAUGCCCCCUUUGGAAAAGUUUAGUGUACAUAACAUUAAAAUAAAUUAUUUUGAUUCUCUGUUGAUCUCAUAGCCCUCCAAUUACAGAGUAGCUAACAUUUCAAGACUCAUGAAGCAUGUUAUAAAAAACUGGAUUGAUCUAAAACAAUUGUUGGGAAUACAUUUGUCAAAACCUAUGAACAAAGGUUAUUUACUGGUCAAAAAAGUAUCUAACUUGAAGGGGGGGUACUUGUCUGAAAAGUAUCUAACUUGAAGGGGGGGUACUUGUCUGAUAGUGAGAGUUGUCAUGUCUAGAACCAAGACUAAUGAUAUCAAAAAUGUUAAGUAAAAAAAACAUAAGAUACAUUAAUGUUUUACAUAAAUUUAACUAACUACCGGAUAAAGUGGAUUCUUAUUGUGUACCUCUGUCACCAUAUCAUGGAAAUGAAUAACAUCACUAACAGCAUAACACGUUAACAUCAGCCACAACCCUAAAACAAAAAAAAUAUAUCAAUAUUUGUGGAAAGUUCUUCAUGGAUAAAUCAAGAAAACUAUUAAAUAAAUAAAUAAAGUAAACCCCUCUAUUGAUGUAUACUUGAAAGAAUUUAGAAUAGUUUAAUGUUAUUUUCAGGAUAGCCCCAGAAGUAUAUUACCUUCAUGCAUGGGACGAGGAUAAUCAUCUUUGUAGGGUCAACACACUUCAUGGUCUGAUGUAUGCUUUAGGACUUUGGAAUAUUCUUAUGUUAUUUCUAGUAUAACCCCACAAGUACAUUGCCUUUAUGUAAGGGGUUGCUUGAAAUUUUUGGAAUCAUCCUCAUAAGUACAUUGCCUAAAAUAAAUGCAUCAAUAUUAGUAAGGAAGAAAAAUGAAGUGCAAUGUAUUGAUAAUUAGUUUUCUCAAAGUACAAUGCCUUUUAUAAGGAAAAAAAUAUAUAUUAAGUAUAUUAUGUUGUAAAAUAAUUCCAAUAUUUCACUUGCUAUCAGCUUAGAAAAGAUUAAUAAAAAAGCAAAACAUUCCAAACAAUAACAUCAUAGAAUCUAUCAUUAGCUCUUGUAUAACAUGAUAUAGAAAAUUAUUUGGCUAAUCAUGAUUUCUAUGGCAAAAACUCGUUAAUAACUCAAUAAACCAAACAAAUAGACACACGUAGAGAGAGUAACAUGGACAUUUUACCUCUUUGAGUCAAGAAAGAGAAAGAGAUUAGUCAUAAGUAAUAGCAACUUACUUCCCUACCUCUGAUUGAAAAAAAACAUCUGAAUUAUACACAGUUAGAUAUCUCAUAGUUUGUUACAAGUUAGAUAUUGCACAAAAUGUCAAAUAUACCUGUCAUGUUAUUUCAUCGUUGUUCUUCCUAAAACCCUACCAUUUUGAUUUCUACAGAACCAAAAUGAAUACUUCUUGAUGGUAAUAGAAAUGGUUAUGUGAUAAUUUCAUGACAUAAGGUAAAUAAAACCUUGAGAUUCCCAUUAAGGUUUCCUCUCAAAAUAACGUCUGAUUAAAAACUUGCCUUCUGAUUAUCUACAUAUCACUUGUGAAGAAAAGCAAAAAAAAAAAAAAAAAAAAAAAAAAAAAAAAAAAAAAAAAAAAAAAAAAAAAAACAAUAGAAACACACAGGAAGUAAGGGAAUAACCACACACCAUGCCAAGAAAAAAAACUCACCAACAGCUAUAGGAAAGCAAGAGCCAACGAACAAAUGCAUCCCAUGAACAUAAGGUAGCAACAAUGAAGAUUAACCAUAAUUACCCUCAACAUAAGCAUGUAAGACACACAGGAAAACUAUCUAACAUGAAAAAAAAGAUCACCAAAUUAGUAAAAGAGAAACAACCAAAGCCACUACAAGAUGCAUGAAACCAAACAAAUAAAAAUCUACCCAAUCAUAGCAAGAACAAAAUUUUCAUUUUCUUGAUGACCAGUCAAAAUCUGCAAGGUGAAGGGUAUAAAAGUAUUAUUUUUACAUAUAAUGAUAUAGACCCAUAUGAAAAACAACACCCAUAAUUUCAUAUUGCAAUAAAGAAAGAUUAUAACAUAAAGGAAAGAUAAAAGAUGGAAGUGAUGAUUUAAUAAUUGUGUUGUGAUUGUGUACACUGAUUCCCACCAGAUCAAGACAGAACUCAGUGGAACCCAUGAAAACAUGUACAUUGGGCUGAGCUUCGACAUCCCAAAUUAGAACCUUGUUUAAUAUAUUGAUUAAUUAAAAAAUACAUCAAAAAAUGAUAAAAUUGGGAAAUAAAGAAAUUGAUAAAAUUAUGACCUUUGUGCAUUGUGUGCCCUUUUAGCUAUUGCAAGAUCAGGUAAUCUAGGAACGUAAUCUAGGAACAUAUGCCACCUAUCAUCUAUAGAGUCUUCAUGUAUAACCAUAAAACAACAAAAUUAUAUAAAGUUCAUUAACAAUAUUAAAUAAAACACUUAAUAUGAAGCACCAGAAACCGAAAUGAGCCACUUAAUAUAUAGAUGGUACUUGAAAUACAAACAAACAUCAGAACCUGAAAUGGAGAUGUUAAAAAAGACUUGAUCCAAGAAUUAUUUAUUCCAAGCAAAAUCUAUGCCAAGAAUUACAUAAUAUCCUAGGAAUUCGAAGCUUAAAAUCAUAUGAAAAAAAAAAACUUGAUCCAAACAUAAUCUAUUCCAAGAAUUACAUAAUUUACAAGCAAAUCCAAGCAUAAAGUAAAACAUAAAAUUUUCAGAAUAAAACAUUUGAGAAAUUAAAAGAUUCCUGCCACUAAGAAAUUAUGGGACGACUUUAGUCUGCACCUUCAAGUGGGAAAUCGAUUUAACUGCCAAGUAUGUAAUGUUUGGAACAGAAAUCGAACUCAACCUCAUACUAAGUUUUGGAACAACGUAGGAUUCUUGAAGAUGAAGAUGUGAGACUUCAUAUGUAACGCCCGUAGAUCCGGGCUAGUCAAAUUAGAGGCAAUAAGGGUCAAAAAUGACUUUUCGACAAAAGAUUAUUUAGAAUAAAUAAUCUUAACCAAGUUGUAGAGUAUGUCACAAGGUUUCCGUACAUAUAAAGAAUGCCGAAAUCUGAGUUAUAACGAAGAAGUUAUGACCCGUCGAAGUUUCGCGACAGAACCGACACGACACCGGGAAGCAUAAAUAGUGAAUUUACGAUAGAGCGAGAUUUAGCCUUAGCGAUCUAAAGGAAAGUCGUAGAAUAUGUUAAACUAAGAACAUUGAUAAAAAGAACGCCCAAAUCUGACUUCGUAUGAAGAAGUUAUGAUUUUUCGAAGUUUCGGAAUAGCAUUAUACAGCCCGAAAUUCGAAUAUUAGAUCGAGCGGUUUUUAGCCGACACAACCUAAACGAGAAUCGAAGAUCUCGUUGAGAGUAGCGUAACGAGAAAAAGAUGGGCGAAAACGGAUGUCGGAUGAAGAAGUUAUGAGGAUUUAACGGACCAAUCGUGUCCCGGCCCGUUAAUAAUAUAAAAUUUAAAAUCGAGCCAAAAUUAGCCGACGAAGUCUAAACGAAAGUUGUAGAGUACGUUCCCACCUUCGCGUGGAUAUAAAGAACGUCGAAAACGGAGGUCGUACGCGAAAGUUACGAAUUUUUAAAGUUGAAAUAUAAGAAUGCGAAGUCUGUUGCGAGGAUGAUGACGUGGCUGCAUCUGGGCCGUCCAUCGCUGAUGAAGGAACGCGCUUCGGAUCUUGACACGUCGCCCUUCACAUACGCCCCGCGUCCAAAGUCUGUACGCCCCGCGUACCCUCGCCCUGAUCUACUCCGAGUGAUAGACAGCUGGAACCUCGCUGGAGCUCUUAUCCGAUGGCUACGCCCCGCGUAGGUCCGAGGUACGCCCAGCGUACCGAGGCCUCGCAGGGCUAUAAAAGGGGGCCGAUUUUCCUUCAUUUUUCACACCUUUCUUCACUCUCUCUCUAACUUCUUUCUCUCUCUAAGUGUUCUAAACAUCCCCAAACCCUAGGGAACCUCCCUAGCACCCUAGGGAAGCCCCGAGGCUCCCGGAGUCCCGAGAAAAAGGAGUUUUUCGGUUUCGAAACGCUGCUCCAAUUAAGUUCCGGUUUUCGAUAAAAUUCGCUGUAAGUGUGCUACGCUUACGCAAUUUUUUAUAUAGCUUUCAAAUAAUUAUAGGAAUGUUAUUAGGUCCUUAAAAUAAUUAUUUGGGCUAUUAUUAUGAGUUAUAUUGAGUGUUAUUAACGCUUAAUAAUACUCGGACUAAUUAAUUUGUCGCGGUUAUCGUUAAACUAAACCCUAGUGGUAUCGAUACUAGGUUUUAUCGAAGGAAUAUCGUUUUGAGAGUAUCGAAGCGCUGUCCGAGUGCUGAGUCACCACCUACUCAGGUGAGUGCAUAGUCCCUUUCAUCUUACACAUAGAUAUGAAGUAUUUUAUAUAAACUACGUGCUAUGUGUGCAUAUUAUCUGAAUACUUGCUGUCUAUGUUGGAUGAACGUUUUAUACAUGUUUUAAAGGAUUUAAACUGUAUACGUAUUUUAUAUAUACGAAUAUGUUGGGUAUGAGAUGGGUAGAUGAAUGAUGAGAGAUAGAAGAUGACGUGAGUAUAUAUUGGCAGCUAUAGACUUAGUGCCUAUGGGACAAACACCGGUAGCUAUGGACUUAGUACCUUUUAGACGUUGGUAGCUAUGGAUUUAGUACCUGUUGGGAAUUGGUAGCUAUGGACUUAGUACCUAUUAGUUAGACGCUGGUAGCUAAGGAUUUAGUACCUGUAGGAAUUGGUAGCUAUGGACUUAGUACCUGUUGAACAUUGGUAGCUAUGGACUUAGUACCUAUUAGAUAAAGACUGGUAGCUAUGGAUUUAGUACCCGAUGAAUAGACUAUAGCAGCUAUGGAAUUAGUGCUUUAUGAACGAACAUUGGCAGCUAUGGAUUUAGUGCCAGUCCUAUAACCCUGGAAGUAAGGGACUUCGGAAUAAACGAAUGCAGGAUAGAUGACUCUUAGGUUAAAUCCUUAAGAGUAAAGAAGAUAACGGGGAUGGGUAAUGGGGUUAAUUGUUUGAUGAUUAAACAUAACAAUUAUAUUAUUGUGGGUUGAAAACCCUAUGUACUCACCAGGUUUCCCAACCUGACCCACUCAGUUUAUGUAUAUCACAGGUGACGAAGUGAAGUGACAUUACACUGAGAGAUUUAAAAGAGAUGUAGAUCACUAGUGUAAAUCAUUGUAAGUUCUGUUUAUGCUUAUGUUUCGGUAUUAACGAUGACAUCCCAAACAUUUUAAAAUGAAAUAAAUACGUUUCUUCGAAAAUGUUUUAAUAACGUAUUUACCAUGUUUUUCUGGGAACAAAUUCCGCAACCUUUUUAUAAAAUGAAGUACUCUGAUUUUUAUAAAGCAUAAACAAAAUCGGUCUUUUCUGGCCGUGAUUUUGGGGAUGUCACAGUUGGUAUCAGAGCAUUAGUUUAAGCGAACUAGGAAUAUGGAUUUAUUUCUAGACUUAAACUUAGAAUGCUAAGCGAUGAUUGUGAGGUGUGAGCACUAGCUUAUUUUAGGAAUUAUGCCUAAAAUGCUUUUAUGUGCUAAAUGCUUUGUGCAUGAUAUGUUGUUAAUUGUUCGGAUCUAUGGUCUGUUGCCGACCGGAUCUGGAAACCUUAUGUGUUUAGGAUUCUAAACGUACGACUACGGUAUUAGAACUAGCAUGUAAACGUUUCGGAGUGAUAAGGAUGAUUUAAACGUCAAGUAAAGGUCUAAAUUCACCUUAUUCGGUGUAUAGAUCGAGAUGGUAAGGACCCGUAGCGGAAACGUAAACGCAAAUGGGAACAGGAACCAACCCCCAGUGGUUCAGCAAAUACCUGUUGUAGAAGAAGUUGCGCCUGAGCCAGUCACCAUGGCUGGAGUUCAAGCCAUGAUUCGGGCUAUGUUGGCUGAACAAAGGGAAGAAAUGAGACGGAUGUUGAAUAGGGACGAACCUACUAUGCCCAUUGAGCAACCCGAACUGAUUCCCGAGCAAUCUGAGGAAGGGAACUACAGCCGCCAAGUGAGUCAAGUUGGGACUCAAGGUGAGCAAAGGGAUGGCCCAGAAGGGAGAAACAACAAGGAUGGGCGGAUGUACAAGAAUUUCUUGGGUGCGAAACCCCCAAGUCUCUCAGGAAGCCCGAAGCCGGUUGAGAUUAUGGAUUGGAUCUCUGAGAUGGAGAUGGUGUUUGAGAGCUGCAGCUGUAACGAGAAACAGAAGACUGUCUUCGCUGUAAGACAACUGAAAACUGGAGUCUUGAGCUGGUGGAAGCUAUUGGCAGAUACGAUGCCACGAGGAGAAGCCUUAAGGAUGUCGUGGGAAGAGUUUUUGGAACAGUUGAAAAUGCAGUACUGCUCGGAGGUAGAUCUGAUAGACCUAAACAACGAGUUUCAGAACCUGAAGAAAGGGAAGAUGAGUGUUGAUGAGUAUGCCACCGCAUUUACCGAGAGGAUGAAGCUAUUUCCCUACUUGGUGCCUACUGAACUCUCCAAGAUUGAUAGGUUUGCUAACGGACUGCCCACUGACUUUGGCCCAAUGGUCAAAAUGGCAACUACCUUGAAAGCAGCUGUUAGGGCAGCUAAGAACGUAGAGGCCCAGAUAAGAGAAAAGGGUCUAGAAAAAGAUAAGGCAGGAGAGAAGCGAAAGUUUGAGGGAUCUUCGAGGUCGAACAAGGAAAGAAAAUUCUCAAAACUUGGAGGAGCAGAUGGAGGUGAAGCAAGAUGGUGUGAUAGAUGCAAGAAGAAGCAUGGUGGGAAGUGCAAUGAAGAAGUGACUUGUUACAAGUGUGGGAGGACUGGUCACUAUUCCAAAGACUGCACACAUGAUGAUAAAGUAUGCUACGGAUGUGGAGGCAAGGGGCAUAUGUCCAGAGACUGCCCAAAGAAAAAUAAAGCAGUAAGACCAGAAACGCCACCAAGGCCAAGGGCAUUUCACAUGAUCCUCGACGAAGCAGAAAACCGUGCGAGGAAUCAAGGAUGAGGACUUCAUAUCAGAAGAUCAAGUUAUGUAGUAGCCAUAGUAUUUUAUGAUGUAGCCUAGUAGAGGCAUAGUCUAGGGUGAACUUGAACACCUAUGUAAUCGUUUCAAGAAUUAAUAUAAAACCUUCGUUUUGUUAUCUGAUGUGUCGAAUGAUUGUGUGAUUUGCUGCAUGGUGACUUGGGAAACUGCGAGACAAUACUUGGGACGAGUAUGAGUAGGUGUGAAUGGUAGUAGAGGCCUAUACUACCGGAAGCACAGGACUCACACUUGGAUCAGGGAAAGUCACAAGGUUACCAAGAAGCUAGUAAUUGAUUUCGUUUUAUUCAAGUGUGUUGUUACCAUCGUUUCGGUAAUGACUAAGAAGAUUGUUGAUAUUCCGACCCUAGUGGUCAUAUCGAAUCGAGUCCGACUACGAUGAGUAUGUUGUGUGGUUCAGAGAACCAAGUUUGAUGUAGCGUCCGACUUAAACCAAACGGUUGAAAUCAAAGCGAUCAAUAGAAGUAUCGCACUCGUUGUUAAAGAAGUUGGUGGCUAGAAAUGCCUAAUGUUAAAGUGUGAUUAUAUCACAUUAGAACAUGAAGGAAGGCAUAGUCUGUUUUAGAAUUUAACUCUAAGAGACCUAAGUCUAAGUGUUGCAACAUACGAUGAUAGGUCAUUAGAAUAUGACACAUCGAUCUAUAGUAGUAAUAAAAGAACUUAUCUCAAGUCCGUAUCCAGCAAGGAUCGAGAUUGUGACUUGAAGGUCAUAAUUUGGAGUCUAACCUGAGGUAGAGAGCAGGUGCACGAUCGAGUACUCUUACAGUCAAUGAGUUUAAGAGAUAGAAUUGAAGGAAUGUAGAAGUUAUAAUUAUUACCUAGGAUGAAGAGAUGACGUAUGGAGUCAUUAUACGACCCUGUUUCGUUGAUGAUUCCGGGACGUAAUCAUCCUAAGGGGGAGAUAAUUGUAACGCCCGCAAAUCUGGGCUAGUCAAAUUAGAGGCAAUAGGGGUCGAAAACGACUUUUCGACAAAAGAUUAUUUAGAAUAAAUAAUCUUAAUCAAGUUGUAGAGUAUGUUACAAGGUUUUCGUACAUAUAAAGAACGCCGAAAACCGAGUUAUAACGAAGAAGUUAUGACCCGUUGAAGUUUCGCGACGGAACCGGCACGAUACCGGGAAGCGUAAAUAGUGAAUUUACGAUAGAGCGAGAUUUAGCCUUAGCGAUCUAAACGGAAGUCGUAGAAUAUGUUAAACUAAGAACAUCGAUAAAAAGAACGCCCAAAUCUGACUUCGUAUGAAGAAGUUAUGAUUUUUCGAAGUUUCGGAAUAGCGGUGUACAGCCCGAAAUUCAUAUAUUAGAUCGAGCGGUUUUUAGCCAACACGACCUAUAUUAGAAUCGAAGAUCUCGUUGAGAGUAGCAUAAGGAGAAAAAGAUGGGCGAAAACGGAUAUCGGAUGAAGAAGUUAUGAGAAUUUAACGGACCAAUCGUGUCCCGGCCCGUUAAUAAUAUAAAAUUUAAAAUCGAGCCAAAAUUAGCCGACGAAGUCUAAACGAAAGUUGUAGAGUACGUUCCCACCUUCGCGUGGAUAUAAAGAACGUCGAAAACGGAGCUCGUACGCGAAAGUUACGAAUUUUUAAAGUUUAUAAUCGAAUUUGCGAAGGCUGAUGAGGAUUGAUGACGUGGCACGUUGUGGGCCGUCGGAUGAUGAUUCAGAUCUCGCUUCGGAUCAUGCCACGAAGCCUCGCCUUACGCCCCGCGUCCGAGUUCGGUACGCCCAGCGUACCCUUCGGUCUUAUCCCUUCCGAGUGCGAGACAGCUAGAUUCGAUGUGGCAGCCCCAUCCGAAGUUACGCCCCGCGUAGCCAAGGAUUACGCCCAGCGUAGUCCGAGGCCUCGCAGGGUAUAAAAAGGGGCGAGGGCCUUCACAUUUUUCACACAAUUUCCACUUCUCUCUCUAGUUUCUUUCUCUCUCUAGAGUUCCAAACCUCCCCUAAGCCCUAGUAAAACCCCUAGCACCCUAGGGAAGCCCCGAGGCUCCCGGAGUCCCGAGAAAAAGGAGUUUUUCGGUUUCGAAACGCUGCUCCAAUUAAGUUCCGGUUUUCGAUAAAAUUCGCUGUAAGUGUGCUACGCUUACGCAAUUUUUAAUAUAGCUUUCAAAUAAUUAUAGGAAUGUUAUUAGGUCCUUAAAAUAAUUAUUUGGGCUAUUAUUAUGAGUUAUAUUGAGUGUUAUUAACGCUUAAUAAUACUCAGACUAAUUAAUUUGUCGCGGUUAUCGUUAAACUAAACCCUAGUGGUAUCGAUACUAGGUUUUAUCGAAGGAAUAUCGUUUUGAGAGUAUCGAAGCGCUGUCCGAGUGCUGAGUCACCACCUAAUCAGGUGAGUGCAUAGUUACUUUCAGCUUACACAUAGAUAUGAAGUAUUUUAUAUAAAUUACGUGUUGUGUGUGUAUAUUAUCUGUAUACUUGCUAUCUAUGCUGGAUGAACGUUUUAUACAUGUUUUCAAUGAUUUAAACUGUAUAUGUAUUUUAUAUCUACAAAAUGUGUUGGGUAAAACAUGGGUAGAUGUAAUAGUUGCUGUGUGACAAAAUAAAAUAAUGAGAGGCCUCGUUAUAGCUGUUCUUGAUGAUCUAGUCAUCUAGCGGAGUAUAGAUGACGACCACGGACUAUUCUAGACAGUCCAGUGGAACACUAGCAGACUCGCAACCUGUAGGUGUUUAUUCGAACUGUGUGUUUAUUCGAACUGUGUGCUCACCAGGUAUACUCCAUCCCAAUGAUAGUCCUUUGACUAGGUCCCUUGUGUUAGAUGUUUUAGGGACGUAAUGUGAGGAUAACGGGAAUGGGUAAUUGGGUUGAUUGUUUGAUGUUUAAAAAUAAUAAUUAUAUUAUUGUGGGUUGAAAACCCUAUGUGCUCACCAGGUUUCCCAACCUGACCCACUCAGUUUAUUUAUAUCACAGGUGUUGAUAUGAAGUGACAUUACACUGAAAGAUUUAAAGAGAUGUAGAUCACUAGUGUAAAUAAUUGUAAGUUAUGUUUAUGCUUAUGUUUCUGUAUUAACGAUGACAUCUCAAAUGUUUUAAAAUGAAAUAAAUACGUUUCCUCGAAAAUGUUUUAAUAACGUAUUUACCAUGUUUUUUUGGGAACAAAUUCCGCAACAUUUUUAUGAAAUGAAGUACUCUGAUUUUUAAACAAAGCAUAAACAAACCGGUCUUUUCUGGCCGUGAUUUUGGGGAUGUCACAUCAUAGAACAUGAAUUUGAUUCUUAUGUACCUUGAACUGAGAAAUCGAUUUUAAAUGUUUAGCCUGAUCAGACCGAGAAGCAAGAACUCGAUUAGUUUGUACAACUAAGAGAAUUCAGUAUGCAUAACAUGAUCGAACACUCUGGCAAUUUUAGAUAUGAGUAAAAUUGGCCGACCCAUUGUCUAGAUUAUGAAGUUGGUUAAAGGGGAAAUACUAGGAUUUAACAUAAAUCAAUCAGUGAUUAAAUGGGGUGGUUGCGUUUUAAAUCAGGAUUCAGCAUUCACGUUUCUGGACAUUAUUAGACAUAAACCACUGCGAAUAAAUAACGACUCGUUAAAUAUUCGGUGCUAUGACCAAUUAGCAAAGAUGGAGAAAAAUGAUGCAGGUGGUUAAUAGAAACCCUAAUACGAAAUACCUGGUAGUGCAGGGGUGCGAUGGUCGUAGCAAUGAUUUCUAGGUUAUGGUUGGCUUUCGGAGAUGUGGGAUGGGGAGGACUGUGACGUCUGCAAAUAGCAGUGUAGAGUGUGAUUUAUGGCUGGAAUGUAGUGGAUGGCUAAUGCGGAGGUUAGCGGUCGUUGCCAGAAAACUGGGGUGGGUCUCCGUUGCUGCUGAAGAAGGCUAGAACUAACACGAAGAAGGCUAUAACUACUUAGGUAAGCCAUAUAAUUUGUAUUUCUUAUUGACUAAUUCAAUUAACUAUAAAUGAGGAAUACAAUUUUACUUUGACCGAUUCAUUUGCACAUAAGUUUGACCGAUUCACAGAGGAUCGUAUGAUAUGAGACAUUUAAGGGAUAAAAAUGCAUAAAACAUUUGUAAUUCAUACUUCAUGCUUUGUACUAGUUAAAUUUAAGACUUUCUUAUCCUAAAAUACCUAAAUGCUUUUUAAGGUAUAUAUNNNNNNNNNNNNNNNNNNNNNNNNNNNNNNNNNNNNNNNNNNNNNNNNNNNNNNNNNNNNNNNNNNNNNNNNNNNNNNNNNNNNNNNNNNNNNNNNNNNNNNNNNNNNNNNNNNNNNNNNNNNNNNNNNNNNNNNNNNNNNNNNNNNNNNNNNNNNNNNNNNNNNNNNNNNNNNNNNNNNNNNNNNNNNNNNNNNNNNNNNNNNNNNNNNNNNNNNNNNNNNNNNNNNNNNNNNNNNNNNNNNNNNNNNNNNNNNNNNNNNNNNNNNNNNNNNNNNNNNNNNNNNNNNNNNNNNNNNNNNNNNNNNNNNNNNNNNNNNNNNNNNNNNNNNNNNNNNNNNNNNNNNNNNNNNNNNNNNNNNNNNNNNNNNNNNNNNNNNNNNNNNNNNNNNNNNNNNNNNNNNNNNNNNNNNNNNNNNNNNNNNNNNNNNNNNNNNNNNNNNNNNNNNNNNNNNNNNNNNNNNNNNNNNNNNNNNNNNNNNNNNNNNNNNNNNNNNNNNNNNNNNNNNNNNNNNNNNNNNNNNNNNNNNNNNNNNNNNNNNNNNNNNNNNNNNNNNNNNNNNNNNNNNNNNNNNNNNNNNNNNNNNNNNNNNNNNNNNNNNNNNNNNNNNNNNNNNNNNNNNNNNNNNNNNNNNNNNNNNNNNNNNNNNNNNNNNNNNNNNNNNNNNNNNNNNNNNNNNNNNNNNNNNNNNNUUUCCUUAAACUAUGCUAAUCAUUACCUUAAUAUAUAAAAAAACAUAGUUUUUUCAUUUUUUUUAAUUGUUAAGAAGCUAUUUUUAUCGAAAAUGAUUUUAAAUAUACCAAAAUUCAUGAUUUUUAUUCUCUACAAAUAGACAUCCAUAUUGAUAUACUUUUAAAAUAAAUAUAUAUAUUUUUUAUAUUUUCAGCAAUCGUUAUUUAUAAGUAAAUAAAAAUACAUCAUAUUUUUGCUACUGUACAUUCGUUAUUCACUUAUGAAUAAAAAUAUAUAAUUAAUUUUUUUUACAGUUUAAGUAUCAUUUAUACUACUUAUUCAUAUAUGAAUAACAAAUUAACUGUAAUAGAAAUCUGAUAAAUGUUUUAUUCAUAUAUGAAUAUAAAAUAUGACGACAACUAAUAUACGUUUCAUUCAUAUAUAAAUAUAAUAUAUGACGAAAGAUGAUGUAAAAAAUAUAUUUUAAGUAAGAAAACUUUAUUACGUGUAAUAUUUAUAUAUUAGCGAUACUUAAACUAUAAAAAAAGUUAAGCAUACGUUUUAUUCAUAAGUGAAUAACGAGAGAGCUGAAACUCUAAGAAAAAUAAUUUUUUUAUUAUCUUAAAACUAUAUCAAUAUGGAUGUCUAUUUAUAGAGAAUAAAAAAUUAUGUACUUUGACAUAUUUAAAAUAUUUUUUCGAUAAAAAUGGCUUUCUAAAAAUAAAAAUAAAAACAAAAAAUGAUAUGUCUUUUUGCGUAUAUUAAAGUAAUGAUUAUCAUAGUUUAAUGAAACAUAUUUGGUUGGAAAACACAUGUUUAUCCGUUAUUUAUUUCCGACGGUACGCCUAAGUGUUUUGCGGUAAAAUAAAUGUGUGGCUGAGAAUAAUUCCUCCAUUCUCAACUUUUUUUUUUCUCAAUUGAACCCUUCUUUGUUUAUAUAUAUAUAUAUAUAUAUAUAUAUAUAUNNNNNNNNNNNNNNNNNNNNNNNNNNNNNNNNNNNNNNNNNNNNNNNNNNNNNNNNNNNNNNNNNNNNNNNNNNNNNNNNNNNNNNNNNNNNNNNNNNNNNNNNNNNNNNNNNNNNNNNNNNNNNNNNNNNNNNNNNNNNNNNNNNNNNNNNNNNNNNNNNNNNNNNNNNNNNNNNNNNNNNNNNNNNNNNNNNNNNNNNNNNNNNNNNNNNNNNNNNNNNNNNNNNNNNNNNNNNNNNNNNNNNNNNNNNNNNNNNNNNNNNNNNNNNNNNNNNNNNNNNNNNNNNNNNNNNNNNNNNNNNNNNNNNNNNNNNNNNNNNNNNNNNNNNNNNNNNNNNNNNNNNNNNNNNNNNNNNNNNNNNNNNNNNNNNNNNNNNNNNNNNNNNNNNNNNNNNNNNNNNNNNNNNNNNNNNNNNNNNNNNNNNNNNNNNNNNNNNNNNNNNNNNNNNNNNNNNNNNNNNNNNNNNNNNNNNNNNNNNNNNNNNNNNNNNNNNNNNNNNNNNNNNNNNNNNNNNNNNNNNNNNNNNNNNNNNNNNNNNNNNNNNNNNNNNNNNNNNNNNNNNNNNNNNNNNNNNNNNNNNNNNNNNNNNNNNNNNNNNNNNNNNNNNNNNNNNNNNNNNNNNNNNNNNNNNNNNNNNNNNNNNNNNNNNNNNNNNNNNNNNNNNNNNNNNNNNNNNNNNNNNNNNNNNNNNNNNNNNNNNNNNNNNNNNNNNNNNNNNNNNNNNNNNNNNNNNNNNNNNNNNNNNNNNNNNNNNNNNNNNNNNNNNNNNNNNNNNNNNNNNNNNNNNNNNNNNNNNNNNNNNNNNNNNNNNNNNNNNNNNNNNNNNNNNNNNNNNNNNNNNNNNNNNNNNNNNNNNNNNNNNNNNNNNNNNNNNNNNNNNNNNNNNNNNNNNNNNNNNNNNNNNNNNNNNNNNNNNNNNNNNNNNNNNNNNNNNNNNNNNNNNNNNNNNNNNNNNNNNNNNNNNNNNNNNNNNNNNNNNNNNNNNNNNNNNNNNNNAAAAAAACGAUUUUUAUAAUUUUAUAAUCGAAAUAUGAGAGAAAAUACGGUGAAUAAGCCUCACAAUGCGGAGGACACCGCACAUCACAAGUGCGGAAAUAUGGUCUUCCUCCACAAUUGCUCAAGCCACGUGACUACACAUCAUAGAGUGAGAAGUGGGUAUACUCUCUGUCUAAAUGGUCCACACUUUCAUAACAAGAAGAGAUUUUAAUUUAUAAUACAUAUUGCAUAGUUGUUACGGUAUAGAUAUUAGUAUAAUUAUAUAUUAUUUAUUUAAUAAAUUAACUAUUAAUGAUGGUUAUAGUUUAUGAUUUUUGGUUUAAAUAAUAUGUGUUAAAUUAUUAGUAAACAACUUAAACAACUUAUGAGUGUUGAUUUUAUUUAUUCAUGAAAUAGUAUUUCUUAGAAAAAGAAUAUAAUAUAAAAUUUCAUGAUGAAAAUAGACAUGUCAAAUUGGAAGUGAGUGGUAACCCACUUGAUUAACAAUGUGUAUAACAAAAUAUUUGAAGAAGAGAUCUUGUCUUCCGUCUCACAUAUAUACUACGUCGUCAUUAAAAAAAAUACACAUGUUAAUUUAUUAACUGUAACAUCCAAAAAUCAUGACAAAAUUUUUAAUUUUUAAACCCAUUCUAAAAUCCAUAAAUUACAUAAAAACAUAUUUUCUCAAAACCAUAAUCAUGAAUCAGAGUAUCCAAAAAUCAUAAGUAAUACAAAAAUUCAGGAUGAUGUGCACAAUCACGCCUUAACAUUGCCCCUAUCAUCAGAUGUAUCUGAAACCAUAAAAUUAAAUCGUAAACCAGGGCUCAACGAGUUCCCCCAAAGUAACGCACACAACAAAACAUAUAUAGACAUUGCAUGAUGGGUCCACAGUCUCCCGACUAGAUUACCCCUGCCUACAGUCUCCCGAAUGGAUUGCCCCUCUGGCUCACAGUCUCCCGACUAGAUAGCCACUAGCUCACAGUCUCCUGUCUGGAUCGCGUUGGGUUUGUUGGCCUACAUCACAAAGCAAUGCCACCUCAACCCACCUAUAAUAUUUUGACAUAUGCAAUAUAUAAACAUAUAACCACCAAGUACAUGUAAUAAUACAGAUCUACUAAUCUAACAUAUAACCAGCAAAUACAAGUAAUCAUAUAAAUAUACUAGUCUAGCAUACAAUCAGCAUAACAUCAUCCUAUAUACCAGGAUACAUAACCUAGUAGGUCGGCAUAGGUACCUUCGACCCAUGAGUACAUUGAGGAAAACUCAACUCAAGGUCUGAAGGAUAGUUGAACUGAACGCUGCUCUAAAUAAUGGCUCUACAUGUCACCUAUAUAGCCAACAGGGACCAAACCUCAAUCUACAACUCAAGUUUUUCUAUUUGACCUAAAGUCAAACUUGGUCAACGGUCAAAGUCAAUGGUCAAUGGUCAAAAUCCCACCCAAAAGUCGCACAACCAUUCGUCACCUCGUGACCAUCUAAUGGUCACACCAUGGCCUAAUAAAACAAAAUAGUCGGGUUAUUCCAUUCUCGCAUCGUGAUAAGCGCUCUGAACAGCUUUAUGCAAUAAGCUCCUAAUCCUUUUAGACAAGCAACGAAAACUUCCAGAAUGUCUUAUCUACUUCAAAACAUCAUAAAGAUUGUGGCUUUUUGGACAUGCAUGUCCCAAACACAAGCUAGGACAGAAAAAGGAAGAAAUUGUAUUAGGAGCUCAAGCAAGAGUCUCAAAACCAAACCAUACUUUAGAUCCAACACUUAUAUCAUCAAAAUGGCAUUGGAGAUCCAUAAAGUUGGCAACUUUAUGGACCCCAACCACUAUAUCAAGAUAGACAUGAAAGAUAAUGCAUAGAAGUGUAGAUCUAAGCUUAUUACCUCAUAUAGUAUUGAACUUGGAAACUCACAAUGGUCCGAAAGGUGUAAAGAUGAAUGAUGGUGAGGCUUAAAUGAUGAGAUGGAGUACUAAAUGCUCUUCAUCUUCAUAUUCUUUGCUAGAAAUCACCACAAAUGAGCUCAAAUAACCUAUGGGGUGCUAGGGUUUUAAGGGGAAGUGUUAGGAGGAGAUGGAGGCUAAGGGUAGGCUAACUAUAGCCCUCACUUCCUUUAAAUAUACAAUCAAUACCCCCAAAAUUAGGUUUUGCAUCAAAGCCAUGUCUCACAUCGUGACCCAUAAGGGCUCACAUUGUGAGUCAUGAAGAUAUAUGUGCUUUUUCUAAAUGGGGUCACGUCAUGAUGAAGGGUUUUGAGCAUUCUAACACUCUUAUGGUGUACAUGCAACCCUAGAAACAUUGGAUCUAUGUUUGACUAAGAUACAUGCAAAUAAUUAUUUUUUUCCAAGGUUCUUAUCCUAACUAGCAUGGCAUGGGGUACUUGAAUCUAAUAAAGCUAGUACAAUUACUUACCUUGUAGUAGUAGUUGAUUGCUUGGAGUUUGAUAGCCUAGCACCAAUAAUGUGGAUGCCUCAAAUGGAAGUCACAAAUCACCACAAACUUGGAAACUUGAGAGAAUAGUCACUAACUUCUUCAAAUCGACCCUCUUAGUUUACACACAUCAACUAGUGCAAUUUCAAGAACCAAAGCCUCCUUUAUAUAGUGUGGUGGAUUAGGGUUACAUCCAUGUAAACCCUAAUACCCAUGUCUUUUCAUUUCCAUGAGAUCCAUGGGCUAAAGCUCCAUGGAGUAUCCAUGGACUUUCUAUGCAAGCCUAGCCCAUUCCAAAUAGGCAUUAUCCCACACCAUAUAAAUACAAAAGCCCAUAUUUAAUUAGUGAUACUUUUGAUCUCUAAAUUAAUUAUAGAUGAACACUAAUUAAAUAAUAUGAUUUUAUUUUAAUAUAUUAGAACUUAUGAUAUAUUAAUAAAUCAUAACUUAUACUAUUCUCAAAAUAUUAUCCAUAAAUUGUCCGGGUGAAGUGCAACCCAAAUGGACCAUGCCGGGUCGGGUCAAGUACAUACGGAAUAUAGUUAUGGACUUAGACACUAUAUCCAACAGUCUCCCACUUGGAUAAGUCUAAUAACUAUAGUUGCAAGUACGACUUCAGGAACCGAUCAACAAUCGUAGCUCUUAAAACUCUGUUGAGCUAUGAAGCGCCAUUUUAGAUAAGUGAUCAUAUAAUCCUCUGUUCUAGAUAUCAGUCGGACAAAUACAUGGCACAUGGUCUUCCUUAUUGUCCAACAUUUGUUUCCCGAUUUCCGAUUUGUUUGACAUAGAACUUAACUGAACACAUCAAUUUAGUUUUAACAGGGCCCGAUACAUAGGUCAAAACAAAAUCAUCGAGGGGCCUAGAUAUCGCUUCUAAUCCUAGAAGGAACAGAUAAACUUCGACUCAUAUGUUUGCUAUACUACUUGUUGAAUUACACACAAAGGCACGGUUUAUAACAUCGAGUUGCCAAUGUGUUUUUGUGCAAUCAAUGCAUAAGCAACAAAUCUUAUCUCUAGGUUUGAAGACUUAUAUGAUAUUACCGUCUCACGAUCACUCGAGAUAAAUUCCAUGAAGUGAUACCAGUGAGCGUGGGUUGAAUCCAAUACUCAGAACUUAUGAGCACUCAUGAGUGUUGUAGCCCCGCUUUGUCUAACAUCUUAGACCUCUACAAGCCAACCCAUGACAGUCUUGAUUCAUAUCAACUUCCAACAUAUGACCGACUGUGGAGAGUUUGAAUAAUAUGAUAUAUACCAUAACGUAAAUAUUCUGGAAGUGAAAACAUGCAAAAAGAAAUAAUAGUAAACGAUUGAUAAGAGAUAAUGUAACAUACACAUUUUGAAAUCGUGUUUUAUAAUGAAUAAUAUUAUGAAAUAUUAUGUGAAUUUGAAUGUUGAGUUCUAAUAGAUGGUUUUUACUAGAAAUAAAGUAAAACUAUGCUUAGAAUCAUUCAGAAAGUAUUGGAAGUCUUAUGAGAUUCCAAUCAAAUGUCUAAUGGUAAAAUUUAACGAAAAUAUAAAAUUUGGAAUAAGUAAAAUUUUAUUAUUGAAAAUUUUAGAUAAUCUUGUUAGAAACUUUUAGGCAAAAACCUCGUCAAAAUCCUAGUUAUAACGAAGAAGUUAUGACCAAUCGAAGAUCCGUGACAAAACCGGCACGGUGCCGAAUGACGUAAAAAGUAAGUUUUUGAUAAACUAGUUUUUAGCCUUAGUAAUCUAAAUGAAAUUCAUAGUAUUCGUUAAACCGAGAAGUUCGAUAAAAAGAACGCCAAAAUCUGACUUCGUAUGAGGAAGUUAUGAUUUUUCUAAGUUUCGGAAUAGCAGUAGACAACUAAAAACUCGAAUUUUAGAUUGAGUGAUUUUUAGCCGACACAACCUAAACCAGAAUUAAAGGUCUCGUUAAUAGUAGUACAACAGUAAAAAGUCUGACGAAAAAGGAUGUCGGAUGAAGAAGUUAUGAAUUUUUAACGGAUUUACCAGUCCCGGUCUGUUAAAAAUAAUAAUAUUAAAAAUAAAAUCAAAGUUAGCUGAAGAAGUCUAAACAAAAGUUAUAGAAUAUAUUCCCGCCUACGUGUGCAUAAAAAGAACGUCAAAAACGGAGCCCGUAUGCGAAAGUUAUGGAUUUUAGAAGUUUGGGCACAAAAUCCGAGGAAUUUCGCAUGCAUGGCUCGGAAUUGAUCAUGUACGAGCCUCGCAUGCAUGACGCGUGUCAGAUUGUGAUAGGACCGAAGGGAGGUCCAACCGAAGUCUUCUGAGUGUUGCAUACGUGGUGUGUCCGAAGUGAGCUAUGUCUCGCCUACGAGCUGCUGAUGCGCCUCCUAUACCUCGCCCCGUGUCACCCUUCCAAGCCUCGCACCUGGCCGCCUCACAUGUGCGACGUCUGGCCUCCGAAACUCGCUCCAGCAGCCACGUGUUCUUUUCCCUUCGGCCAAAGCUUCAGAUCUGAGCUCCUUCUCCCCUAUAAAUAGAGGGCCUGCAAGAUUGCCCGAGUAUUUUUAGGAAUUUGGCACUUUUUCACCCUAAUUUCAUAUUUUUGCUAUUUCAACUUUCCCCCGAAGCCCUGGUAUCAAUUUUAGCACCCGAAACACGUCCUGAAGUUCUUGAGAAACCUGAAAAAUUUAUCUUUUCGGUUUUGAAGCCCUACCUUUGCAGAGCCCGGUUUUCAAUUAAGCUCCCGGUUUUCAACAUAGAAAGUCAUACUUAAAGCCGAAGUGCUGCCCAAAUUUUUGACCCCCGGUUAAUUCAAGGUGAGUUCAAUAUAUAGGAACAAUUGUAUGUUAUGUGUUAUAUGUGCUAUGUGCUUUUCAGUGUUAUUAUUUCGGGUUAUUUUCCCGUGUUAUUUUCCCGUGUUAUUUUAUUCGCUAUUUUUAUAGCAGAAAUAAUACCUUUGACCAUGUGAUCAGUGAAAGGACUUAGAUUCACAUUGGUACUGGUACCCAGCCUCUGGCCAUAUAGAGCAUGUCUCCACAAGAAAAUGACUUCUAUUCUAUGGCAUUGACAAAUGGUUAGACAGGGCUAUAAGCCUGAAAUCUACCAAGAUGUUAAUCAGAAAUCUUAUGUCUUCUAUGCCAUUUGGGCCGAAGCUUUAUUGAUGUAUAUCAAGUAUGGAAAUUGUUAUGUCUCAUUGAUUGUAUAUCUUUGAAUCAAGGCAUUGAUUGAUAUGGAAAGCUUAACACAUGAUUCACAUAUGCCUUUGUUGUUCCUUGUUUCUCUUUGCUUCUGCCAUAUUGAAGUAUAUAUAUGACAUAACGUUAUAUUGUAUCUAUUAUUGAACUCACUAAGCAUCACCACUUACCCUAUCAAUGUUUAACAAUUGCAGGUGAUAAGUAACCAGUAUGAUCAUAUAUUGUUAAAAGAUUUAGAAUAGUUUGUGUUAGUACUUUUGUACUUCAGUUUAUGUUUGUAUAAAUUACAAUAUCCUUGGUAGUUAUGUAAUGUAUAACACUUUGUAAUAGUCGGUUUGUAUCUAGUAGUUUGUAAUCUCUUUAUCCAUGUAAAAUAUUGCUUUUAUAAAUAUGCAAGUAGCAUGUUUUAGAGUAAUAAUAUUGUGAAGUAUGAAAGUUUGGGUCUUUCAGAAAUACGAAAGUUGGGGUCUUUCAAUCAUGGUAUUAGAGCAGUAGUUUAAGUGAACUAAAUGACACGGAUUGGUAUUUAGACUUAAACUAUUGGAAGUUCAAUAUAUGAACUGAAUCAUUAUAAGUAUAUGGAUACAAACAAUUGGAAAGACUUAAGUGAAGUAUUAAGUUAUAAUAAAUCCUAAUAUUCUAAAAUACUAUAUUACUCCUAAAUUUCAGAACGAUGGCUGAACAAGUAAGUAGCCAUACCCUGAGGUUGGUGGAGGUCCUGAACCCGAGGAAGUGAAUACUCCAGUAUCUCCUCGUGAGGAGCGACUCUUGGGUAAACUUGAUGGUGUUAUUCGACAGACUCUUGAAGAACAUAAAAAGAAUGGUGAUAAAGGAAAAGAGAAAGCCACUGGAGAAUCUUCAAACGGAAAGGUGAAGCAUCCCUCGUUCAUAGAUUUCAAGAGUAGUGGUGCUAUAGAGUUUUCUGGUGUCCUUAAUCCCAUAGUUGUUCUAACUUGGAUUCAAAACACCGAGAAAGUAUUUUGUGUCUCUCAUGUGGAUGAUGAAAACAAGGCUAUCUAUGCUUCUGCAAUGCUCAUCGGAGAAGCCUUGGUCUGGGGGGAAGCAACAUAUGAAGCUCUUAACGGAUAUGACCAGGAAAAUUUAUCCUGGGAGUUGUUCAAAACUCGUGUUCUAGAAAAGUAUUGUCCUCUAGAUAUGAGGAGAAGAUUGGAGAAGGAAUUCCUCAAGCUUAAACAGGGAGGAAUGACUGUGAAUGAGUAUGAAAAUCAGUUCAAUCAAAAAGCAUGGUUUGCUGCAAAGUAUAUUCCAACUGAAGAUGAGAAAAUUUAGUUAUUCUUAGAGGGACUACGACAUGAAAUCCAUGAUUUUGUAGCCAAUCGAGAUGUUGUGUCAUUUGAUAAAUCUGUUGAGUAUGCUGGAAGGCGUGAGCAUGACUUAGAGAUACGUGGAGCCACUUUUACUGUUCUAAAGCAUCCACGUACUGAAAGAACUACUCCUGUUUCCACUAUCCCACCAGCUCAAUCUGUUCGAACUGAUCCUAGCAAGCAAGCAUAGUCUCAGAGUGCUUUUCGUGGCCGCGGCAGGUCACAAUCUUUUUUCAUUCAAUCGCCUUCAUGUCGCGUUUGUGGAAGGAAUCAUCCGAGUCAAUGCAAAAUAGACAAGGAAUCCAUUGUAUGUUAUGGGUGUGGAGAAACUGGUAAUAUAAAGCCAGCUUGCCCAAGGAAGGAUGUGACUUGCUAUGCAUGUGGUAUUCCUGACCACAAGAAGCGUUUCUGCCAUACUCUUACCAGCCAAAGGACGGGAAGUCAAGCUUCCGUCCAACAACAAAAGAAUACUCCAUCUAAAAAGGAGGAGGUGCCAAAAGCUAAGGGUCGUGCAUUCCAGAUUACCACAGAGGAAGCACGCCAGGACCUGAAUGUUGUGACGGGUACAUUUCUUGUAAACUCUAGACAUGCUCACAUCUUAUUUGAUUAUAGUACCUCAGAUUCUUUUGUAUCUUAUGAAUUUGUGCAUUCUUUUCAAACUACUUGCUAUGCACUCGUGCAACCAUUUUACGUAGAUACUGUGGGAAGUAUAUCAUUACUUGCGGAUAAAAUCUAUAGGGAUUGUAUCAUAGAAAUUGAAGGCUAUAAUUUUCUUGCAAACCUAAUCCCUAUCUCCUUACCCAAUUUCGAUAUUAUUCUCGGCAUGGAUUGGUUGUCAAAGAACCAUGCAGAACUCUUGUGUUAUGAAAAGAUCGUACACAUUCCUAUUGAAGGGGAAGAUCCUAUUCAUGUCUACGGUGAGCAAAGGAUCUUAAAAAUAAUCUCUUUCCUCAAAGCUCGUAAAUUUAUAUCGAAAGGUUGCCCUAUCUAUCUGGCCUAUACAGUUGACAUCUCAAGAAAGGAGAAUAAAACUGUAAAUGAUGUUCCCAUUGUUAACGUCCUGAUGUUUUCCCCGAUGAUCUACCUAGACUUCCUCCGGACAGGCAAGUAGAAUUCCGAAUUGACCUUGUGCCUGGUGCUGCUCCGAUUGCAAAGACUCCUUAUCGUCUUGCGCCAGCAGAGAUGAAAGAAAUGAUGAUCCAACUAUAGGAAUUACUUGACAAAGGCUUUAUUCGACCGAGUACCUCUCCCUGGGGUGCUCCGGUAUUGUUUGUCAAGAAGAAGGAUGGAUCAAUGCGGAUGUGCAUUGAUUAUCGUGAGCUGAAUAAGGUGACUAUCAUGAACAAGUACCCACUACCUCGCAUCGACAACUUGUUCGAUCAACUUCAGGGUGUUAGCUAUUUUUCAAAGAUUGAUUUGAGAUCUGGCUAUCAUCAGGUGAAAGUACAAGAGCAGGAUGUACCGAAGACUGCUUUCCGUACUCGUUAUGGGCAUUUCGAUUUCCUUGUUAUGCCAUUCGGUUUGACAAAUGCUCCUGCUAUAUUCAUGGAUAUGAUGAAUCGAGUAUGCCGCCUAAUGCUCGAUAAUUCUGUCAUCGUAUUCAUUGACGAUAUUCUAAUCUAUUCCAAGUCUGAGGCUGAUCAUGCCGUUCAUAUUCGUGAAAUCUUAGAACUUCUUCGAAAGGAGAAAGUUUAUGCUAAAUUCUCGAAAUGUGAAUUUUGGCUUCGCCAAGUUCAAUUUCUAGGCCAUGUUAUUUCUGGUGACGGUGUAUCCAUAGAUCCUACCAAAAUCGAAGCCAUUCAAAAUUGGGAAGUGCCCCGUAAUGCUUCCGAAAUUCAUAGUUUCAUGGGUCUUGCGGGUUAUUACCGAAGAUUCAUUAAAGACUUUUCUCGUAUAGCUGUAACUCUCACUAGUCUUACUCGAAAGGAAGCAAAGUUUGAAUGGGGCAAAGCCCAAGAAAAAGCUUUGUCAACUCUAAAAGAUCUUUUGACUCAUGCUCCGAUCUUAUCCCUCCCAGAAGGUGAUGAUGAUUUCUCCGUAUAUAGCGAUGCUUCAAGAUUGGGACUCGGUUGUGUGUUGAUGCAACGUGGUAAGGUGAUAGCCUAUGCCUCAAGACAAAUAAAAGAUUAUGAAAAUAAUUAUCCCACCCAUGAUCUCGAACUCGCUGCAGUGGUAUUUGCCCUAAAACUUUGGAGAGAUUAUCUUUUUGGUACGAAAUGCCAAUUGUUUACCGACCACAAGAGUCUCAAGUAUAUAUUCAGUCAGCAAACUAUGAAUAUGGGACAAGAACGAGCCAUGGAACUGAUAAAAGACUAUGAAUGCGAAAUCCUGUACCAUCCCGGAAAGGCUAAUGUGGUUGCAGAUGCACUUAGCAGGAAGGUUUAUCAUAAUAGUAUGUGUUAUACUAUAACUCACACUACGGUGAAGUUCACUAUUCUUGAUGAACUAGAGAAGUGGCAUGUUGAGGCCUUAAAGCCAAAAAAUGUAAAGAAGGAAGGAAUGGUACAUUAUGUUGAUGUUUUACUGGAUGAUCCACAAGGAUUAAAAGUAUUUAAGAAUCGGCUAUGGAUUCUAAAUAUUGGUGGAUUAAGGCAAAAGAUUUUAGAUGAAGCUCAUAAGUCUAAGCUGUCAAUACAUCCUGGUACAAGUAAAAUGUACUAUGAUGUAAGAGCUGAUUAUUGGUGGCCUGGAUUAAAGUGAGACAUUGGAAGAUAUGUACAAGAAUUCUUAGUAUGCUUACAAGUCAAAACAGAGCACCAAAAGCCUUACGGAACUCCAGAAAGUCUUAGUGUAUCUGUAUGGAAGUGGGAAGAGUUGUCCAUGCAUUCUAUUACCAAAUUGCCAAAGAUUGCUAAACAACAUGAUAUCAUUUGGGUAAUCAUUGACGGCCUGACUAAGAGUGCACAUUUUCUUGCUAUGCGUGAAACGGAUCCAAUGGAGAAAUACGCACAAGUAUACCUGGAUGAAAUUGUCGCAGGACAUGGUGUGCCGCUAAAGAUUAUUUCAGAUCGUGAUACUCGCUUCAUUUCUCAUUUUUGGGCGAGUAUGCAACGUGAAUUGGGAUCUCGAGUUGCCCUCAGCACAGCUUCUCAUCCCAGACAGACGGUCAGACGGAAAGAGCAAUCCAAAUAGUAGAAGAUAUGCUUCGUGCAUGUAUUUUGGAUUUCGGUGGUAACUGGGAUAAAUACUAACCUCUUGUCGAAUUUUUGUAUAAUAACAGUUACCACACUUCAAUCAAAAUGCCACCAUAUGAGGCAUUAUAUGGUCGCGAAUUCCGUACACCAUUAUGUUGGCGUGAUGUAGGACAAAAGAUCCUUGGAGGCCCUGAAAUGAUUCAAGACACAACCGACAAGAUUCAAAUCGUACGAGAAAGAAUGAAAGCGGCCUAGGAUCGACAGAAGUCCUAUAUAGAAAAGAGAAGACGACCCAUAGAAUUCCAAGUGGGUGAUUUCGUGAUGCUGAAGGUAUCCCCAUGGAAAGGCCUUAUGCGAUUUGGGAAGAAAGGAAAGUUGAGUCCUAGAUUUGUUGGUCCUUUCAAAAUCAUCUAGAGAAUUGGAAAGCAAGCAUACUGCUUGGAAUUUCCUGAAGAUUUGGUAGGUAUUCAUGAUGUGUUUCAUGUGAGUUAUCUGUGCAAAUGCUUGAGUAUCUAUGAUGAAACGGUUCCGUUAUCUGAGGUGAAAUUGGAUAAUAAGUUAAGAUAUGUCGAAGAGCCUGAAGAGAUCGUGAAUGAAUGAAAAACUAAGCUAUGUAAUAAAGAAGUAGAAUUGGUUCUUGUCAAGUGGAAACACCAUCGAGGCCCAAACUAUACUUCGGAGAAUGAGAAUGAGACAAGAGCGAAAUAUCCCCAUUUAUUUUAAUCGAUGUGAUUUCAGGGACGAAAUCCUCAAAAGGAGGAGGUAUUUGUAACAUACAUGUUUUGAAAUCUUGUUUUAUAAUGAAUAAUAUUGUGAAAUAUUAUGUGAAUUUGAAUGCUGAGUUCUAACAGAUGGUUUUUACUAGAAAUGAAGUAAAACUAUGCUUAGAAUCAUUCAGAAAGUAUUGGAAGUCAUAUGAGAUUCCAAUCAAAUGUCUCAUGGUAAAAUUUAAUGAAAAUAUAAAAUUUGGAAUAGGUAAAAUUUUAUUAUUGAAAAUUUUAGAUAAUCUCGCUAGAAACUUGUAGGCGAAAACCUCGUCAAAAUCCGAGUUAUAACGAAGAAGUUAUGACCAAUCGAAGAUCCGCGACAAAACUGGAACGACACCGAAUAACGUAAAAAGUACGUUUUUGAUAAACUAGUUUUUAGCCUUAGUAAUCUAAAUGAAAUUCAUAGUAUUCGUUAAACCGAGAAAUUCGAUAAAAAGAAGGCCAAAAUCUGACUUCGUAUGAGGAAGUUAUGAUUUUUCUAAGUUUCGGAAUAGCAGUUGACAGCUAAAAACUCGAAUUUUAGAUCGAGUGAUUUUUAGCUGUGACAAACUAAACAAGAAUUGAAGGUCACGUCAAUAGUAUUACAACGGUAAAAAGUCUGACGAAAACGGAUGUCAGAUGAAGAAGUUAUGAAUUUUUAACGGAUUUACAAGUACCGGUCUGUUAAAAAUAAUAAUAUUAAAAAUAAAUUCAAACUUAGCCGAAGAAGUCUAAACAACAGUUGUAGAAUAUAUUCCCAACUACGUGUGCAUAUAAAGAACGUCAAAAACGGAACCCGUAUGCGAAAGUUAUGGAUUUUAGAAGUUUGAGCACAAAAUCCGAGGAAUUUCGCAUGCAUGGCUCGGAAUUGACCACGUACGAGCCUCGCAUGCAUGACACAUGUCGGAUUAUGAUAGGACCGAAGGGAGGUCCAACCGAAGUCUUCUGAGUGUCGCAUACGUGGCGUGUCGAAGUGAGCCACGUCUCACCUACGAGCUGCUGGCGUGCUUGCUACACCUCGCCCCAUGUCACCCUUCCAAGCCUCGCACCUGGCCGCCUCACAUGUGCGACGUAUGGCCUCCGAAACUCGCUCCAGCAGCCACGUGUUCUUUUCCCUUCGGCCGAAGCUUCAGAUCUGAGCUCCUUCUCCCCUAUAAAUAGAGGGCCUGCAAGAUUGCCCGAGUAUUUUUAGGAAUUUGGCACUUUUUCACCCUAAUUUCAUAUUUUUGCUAUUUCAACUUUCCCCCCGAAGCCCCAAUAUCAAUUUUAGCACCCGAAACACAUCCUGAAGUUCCAGAGAAGCCCAAAAAAUUUACCUUUUCGGUUUUGAAGCCCUACCUUCGCAGAGCCCGGUUUUCAAUUAAGCUCCCGGUUUUCAACAUAGAAAGUCAUAUUUAAAGCCGAAAUGCUACCCAAAUUACUAUUUUGACCCUCGGUUAAUUCAGCAUGAGUUCAAUAUAUAGGAAUAGUUGUACGUUAUGUGUUAUAUGUGCUAUGUGUUUUUUAGUGUUAUUAUUCCGGGUUAUUUUCCCGUGUUAUUUUAUUCGCUGUUUUUAUAGAAAGUAAUACCUUUGACCAUGUGAUCAGUGAAAGGACUUAGUGUAACUCCCAGUUCCUGGUACAUAUUUAUUUUUGGUUAAAAGUUCUUUUUGGAAGAGCUACUAGGCGAUUUGUAGCCCUAACUCGCCGAGUAGAUGUCGAGAUGGGUGCGGGCUUUAAGUGAUCUACUCGGCGAGUCCACGCCUGGACUCGACGAGUAGGCCAAUCAGGAGGAGACCCAAAUCCUUAGGGUUUGCACCCUAUUUAAACACCCUUAUAGCCCCAUAUCAGCCUCUAUCAUCCUCAGAGCAUUCCUGAUCGAAACCCUAGCCUCCAUUGGCAAGUUUGAGUGAUUGUUGUUUUGUGAAGGGACUUUUGGGGCACUUUGGAGCAAGUGGAAGAAGAGAGAGAUUGAAGAGGUCAAGGAAGGGGACUUAGAUCCAGAGCACGUGCAUUUGUAGUCAUCCAUUCUGGUAAUAAAUUUCCCAUCUUGAUUAUUGAUUUAUUAGAUCUUGUUUGUCCCUAAAUUGUUGCUUUUAAGCCCUAAAACCCCAAAUCCGUGAAGAGAAACCUUAUGGUUGGGUUACACUCCAGAUCUAGACCUUAUGGACAUGUUAGAAGCAUAAAGUUGCUGUGGUUGAAGUGAUUGUGCAUGACCCCUUAAAGGACUUGGAAUUGUAUUUUUGAGCUUAUAGGGCCAUGCAUGCACGUAAAGGUUGCAACUUUAUGUGUUAAGCAUGCCCUAGGAUCAUGGAUAUGUGGUUUUGAAGCGUUGCAUGUCUCUGUUUCGGCUUAUAUGGAAAUUGGGUCAAGGGAUUCGGCGAGUCCCAAGGUGGAACUCAUCGAGUUCUAUGAAGAUGGCCUUAGACUCGGCGAGUUGGAAGAACAACUCGGCGAGUCCUAUGAAUAUUGCCUGGUACUCGACGAGUUGUUCAUACAAAUCGGCGAGUAGGAUGAAGGACUAUUGGACUUUGGUUUAGAAGGAAAACUCGUCGAGUCAACACUUAGCUCGACGAGUAGAGACGGGUUUAUGGUUGGACAAAAGGGUAGGGACUCGACGAGUUGGCAAGCCAACUCGGCGAGUCGGGUCAACUGACAGUUGACUUUGACCUUAACUCUUGGUAUGAUUAGGGGGUAAAUGGUCAUUUUACCCUAAGGUUGGUUAGUAGUAUUUGACUAAGUGUUUUGUGGGAAUUGUAGCCAGAGGAUUUCUGGGACAGCAACAUCAGAAGACAGUCAGUUCCCACGCAGACCAGUAGCUACCUUUCGAGGUGAGUUUCCUUCCAGUAGGAACGGGUCUAAGGCACUAGAGUCGGACCGUAUAAGCGAUAGGAUAGUAUUGGAGUGUGGGCAGAGCCCGUAUCUCUUAGAUGAGUUUGAUAAUGCUAUAUGCUGGCUUGGUAGAAUUGUUUAUACUCGUUGUUUGUGGGAUACUUGUAUGUUAUGGUCUAGAUAGUGGAGUGUGGGUGAGGCCCGUAUCUCCUAACUGUUAACUAUAUGGUUGUAUGGUAUGGGGUAUUAUAGGGGAACUCACUAAGCUUUGUGCUUACAGUUUUCAGUUUUGGUUUCAGGUACCUCUUCUUCGAAGGGGAAGGAGCUGGCGCGGUAGCAGCACAUCACACACAUGCCUCGUAUUCCGCACUAUGAGAUCUUCCUGGGGAUUUAUACUCUGAUAUUAUUAUUAUGUUUUAUAAAACAUUUUCCAGACAUGAGACAUCUUUUAUGAAAUGAUAUGAUCGGUGAACAUUUUAUUUCUAAUGCUUUGCUAAGUAUAUGUUUUUAAAAUGAAAAUUUUGGCCUGUAUUUUUGGACCUCAUGAACUACGUGUGCCGACCGAUGCUGGACCGAUCUGUGAUAGUUUUCAUUGAUGACAUUUUGGUUUAUUCCAAGACGCAGGAGGAGCACGAGGAGCACCUGAGGGAGGUUUCGGAGACCCUGAGGAGGGAGAGCUUGUACGCUACGUUCUCCAAGUGCGAGUUCUGGUUGCGUGAGGUGCAAUUCCUUGGGCACCUCGUCAACCAAAAUGGUAUACUGGUCAACUCGGCCAAGAUCGAGGCCAUAAUGAGAUGGGAGGUUCCGAAGUCUCCAUUCGAGAUUCGGAGUUUCCUAGGUUUAGCAGGCUACUAUCGGAGAUUCAUCCAUGAUUUCUCCAAGAUAGCCGUACCCAUGACACGGUUGACUAAGAAAGCCGUGGUCUUUCGGUGGGGGCCUGAGCAGCAGCCAGCAUUCGAGACUCUCAAACAGAGAUUGUGCGAGGCGCCAAUAUUAGCCCUACCUGAGGGCGUAGAAGAUUUUGUGGUAUACUGUGACGCGUAUAUUUCGGGGUUGGGCGCGGUACUGAUGCAGAGGGGGCAUGUCAUUGCCUAUGCUUCGAGGCAGCUGAAGCCUCACGAGGCGAACUACCCGACGCAUGAUUUGGAGCUGGGGGCGGUGGUCUUCACCCUCAAGAUUUAGCGGCAUUACCUCUACGGGGUUCGAUGUACCAUUUACACGGACCACAAGAGUUUGAGGUACCUCAUGGAUCAGCCGAAUCUGAACAUGAGGCAGCGUCGGUGGUUGGACGUGGUGAAGGAUUAUGAUUUUGAGAUCCUUUAUCACCCGGGGAAGGCCAAUGUGGUGGCCGAUGCGCUUAGCCAUAAGGCGGCAUCGAUCUGGGAUGUAUGUAUGAGAAUGACGGUAGUGACUCCACUGUUAGAGCAGAUUCGGGAAGCUCAGUAGGAGGCUAUGAAGGAGGAGCAUCGGAAAAGCAAGCGGAUAGUGGGUCAAGUCACCUCCUUCGAUUAUGAUAGCCGAGGAUUAUUGACACUACACCAUAAGGUGUGGGUGCCGUAUCACGGAGGCGUGCGCCAGAUCUUGAUGGAAGAGGCGCACAAAUACCGAUUUUCUAUCCAUCCAGGGGCAACGACGAUGUAUAGGGAUCUUCGUCUAGACUAUUGGUGGCCCUACAUGAAGUGGGAUGUGGCUUGGUACGUUGAGCGGUGCUUGACCUGCAGGAAGGUCAAGGCCGAACAUCAGAGACCGCACGACAAGAUGCAACCGUUGGACAUCCCGUUGUGGAAAUGGGAAGAUAUUACGAUGGAUUUUAUCACAAAGUUUCCAGGACCGCACGGGGAGUAGAUUCGAUUUGGGUCAUCGUGGAUCGAUUGACCAAGAGCACCCAUUUUAUUCCGAUCCAGGAAAGUAUCUCGGCCGAAAAGUUGGCCAAUAUCUAUAUCAGGGAGAUAGUGGCGCGGCACGGGGUGCCGGUGUCCGUAAUAUUAGACAGAGAUGUGUGGUUCACUUCCAGGUUUUGGAAGAAGUUUCAUGAUGAGUUGGGCACUCGUCUGCAUUUUAGCACCGCCUUUCAUCUGCAGACUGACGGUCAGAGCAAGCGCACCAUCCAGACUCUAGAGGAUAUGUUGCGAGCGUGCGUGCUAGACUUCGGUGGUAGUUGGGAUACCUAUCUUCCCUUGGCUGAGUUUUCGUAUAACAACAGCUACCAUGCGAGUAUUGACCGCUCUCCUUUCGAGAUGCUCUAUGGGAGGAAGUGCAGGACCCCGAUUUGUUGGGGCGAGGUCAGUCAGCAUGUCAUCGGGAGCACCGAAGUGGUGCUCAAGACGACAGAGUCGAUCCAGCAGGUUCGUAGCAGACUGCAGACUGCGUAGAGUCGGCAGAAGAGUUACGCCGACAGAAGACGCCCAAACUUGGAGUUUCAGGUGGGUGACAUGGUCCUCCUAUAGGUAUCACCUUGGAAGGGUGUCAUUAGGUUCCGGAAAAAGGGCAAGUUGGGCCUCAGGUUCAUUGGUCCUUUUAGGGUUUUGGCUCGGGUGGGUCGGGCCGCCUAUAGGUUGGAUCUACCAACAGAGCUUAGCCAGAUCCACAACACUUUUCAUGUCUCUCAGUUGAGAAAGUGUUUGGUGGACGAGUCGGCAGUUGUACCCUUGGAGGAUAUUCAAGUUGAUUGCAACUUGAAUUAUAUCGAGAGACUAGUUGCGAUCUUAGAUCGAAAGACGAAGACCUUGAGGAACAAGGUGGUUCAGUUGGUGAAGGUGCAGUGGCAGCACCGGAGGGGUUCAGAGAUGACAUGGGAGGAGGAGGAGGAGAUGAGGGAGCAUUACCCAGAGUUGUUUCUGGAGUCAGCAGACUUUGAGGACGAAGUCUAAGAUAAGUGGGUUAGAUUUGUAACGCCCAGUUCCUGGUACGUAUUUAUUUUUGGUUAAAAGUUCAUUUUGGAAGAGCUACUCGGCGAGUUGUAGCCCUAAAUCUCCGAGUAGAUGUCGAGAUAGGUGCGGGCUUUAAGUGAUCUACUCGGCGAGUCCACGCCUGGACUCAACGAGUAGGCCAAUCAGGAGGAGACCCAAAUCCUUAGGGUUUGCACCCUAUUUAAACGCCCUUAUAGCUCCAUAUUAGCCUCUAUCAUCCUCAGAGCACUCUUUAUCGAAACCCUAGCCUCCAUUGGCAAGUUUGAGUGAUUGUUGUUUUGUGAAGGGAUUUUUGGGGCACUUUGGAGCAAGUGGAAGAAGAGAGAGAUUGAAGAGGUCAAUGAAGGGGACUUAGAUCUAGAACACGUGCAUUUGUAGUCAUCCAUUCUGGUAAUAAAGUUCCCAUCUUGAUUAUUGAUUUAUUAGAUCUUGUUUGUCCCUAAAUUGUUGCUUUUAAGCCCUAAAACCCCAAAUCUAUGAAGAGAAACCUUAUGGUUGGGUUAUACUCCAGGUCUAGACCUUAUGGACGUGUUAGAAGCAUAAAGUUGCUGUGGUUGAAGUGAUUGUGCAUGACCCCUUAAAGGACUUGGUUCUAAGGCACUAGACCUGUAGCUACCUUUCAAGGUGAGUUUCCUUCAAGUAGGAAUGGGUCUAAGGCACUAGAGCCGGACCUAUAAGCGAUAUGAUAGUAUCAGAGUGUGGGAAGAGCCUGUAUCUCUUAGUUAAGUUUGAUAAUGCUAUAUGCUGGCUUGGUAGAAUUGUUUAUACUCGUUGUCUGUGUGAUACUUGUAUGUUAUGGUCUAGAUAGCGGAGUGUGGGCGAGGCUCGUAUCUCCUAGAUAGCGGAGUGUGGGUGAGGCCCGUAUCUCCUAGAUAGCGGAGUAUGGGCGAGGCCCGUAUCUCCUAACUGUUAACUAUAUGGUUGUAUGGUAUGGCGUAUUAUGGGGGAACUCACUAAGCUUUGUGCUUACAGUUUUCAGUUUUGGUUUCAGGUACCUCUUCUUCGAAGGGGAAGGAGGUGGCGCGGUAGCAACACAUCACACACAUGCCUCGUAUUCCGCACUAUGAGAUCUUCCUGGGGAUUUGCACUCUGAUAUUAUUAUUAUGUUUUAUAAAACAUUUUCCAGACAUGAGACAUAUUUUAUGAAAUGAUAUGAUCGGUGAACAUUUUAUUUCUAAUGCUUUGCUAAGUAUAUGUUUUUAAAAAUGAAAUUUUUGGCCCGUAUUUUUGGGAUGUUACACUUAGAUUCACAUUGGUACUGGUACGCAACCUCUGGCCAUGUAGAGCAUGUCUCCAUAAGAGAGUGACUUCUAUUCUAUGGCAUUGGAAAAUGGUUAGACAGGGCUAUAGGCCUGAAAUCUACCAAGAUGUUGAUCAGAAAUCUUAUGUAUUCUGUGCCAUUUGGGCCGAAACUUUAUUGAUGUAUAUCAAGUAUGGAAAUUGUUAUGUCUUAUUGAUUGUAUAUCUUUGAAUCAAGUCAUUGAUUGAUAUGGAAAGCUUAACACAUGAUUCACAUAUGCCUUUGUUGUUCCUUGUUUCUCUUUGCUUCUGCCAUAUUGAAGUGUAUAUAUAUAUAUAUAUGUGUGUGUGUGUGUGUGUGUGUGGCAUAACGUUAUAUUGUAUCUAUUAUUGAACUCNGGCAUAACGUUCUAUUGUAUCUAUUAUUGAACUCACUAAGCGUCACCGCUUACCGUAUCAAUGUUUAACAAUUGCAGGUGAUAAGUAACCAGUAUGAUCAGAUACUGUUGAAAGAUUUAGAAUAGUGUGUAAUAGUACUUUUGUACUUCAGUUUAUGUUUGUAUAAAUUACAAUAUCCUAGGUAGUUAUGUAAUAUAUAACACUUUGUAAUAGUCGGUUUGUAUCCAGUAGUUUGUAAUCUCUUUAUCCAUGUAAAAUAUUGCUUUUAUGAAUAUGCAAGUAGCAUGUUUUGGAGUAAUAAUAUUGUGAAGUAUGAAAGUUUGGGACUUUCAGAAAUACGAAAGUUGGGGAAUUUCAGAUAGCAACACUUUACUCAUAAAUAACAACUUUUAUUUAUCAUCAAAUGUGAAUUACACUUUACAAAUUUCAAAAUUACCUGACUUCUAAAAACUAACAUCAUCUCUUAUCCCUAUGCUCCUAGCAUGCUGAAGAUGCUUAACCCUACUCAGUCCCUUCGUGAGGGGAUCUGCUGGGUUCUCAUCCGAUGAUACCCUCUUUUCCACGAUGAUUCCUUCUUCUAUUCGAUGUGUGAUGAAGUGAUAUUUUCUGUUAAUGUGUCUGGAUCUCCCAUGAUCUCUUGGUUCCUUGGCUAAGGCAACUGCACUAUUGCUGUCAUAGAAAAUCUCCAUUGGCUCCUUUAUAGCUGGUACAACUCCAAGGUCUCCGAUGAAGUUCUUUAGCCAUAUAGCCUCCUUUGCUGCCUCGCUUGCUGCUAUAUACUCUGAUUCACAAGUGGAAUCUGCCCCUGUAUCUUGCUUGGAACUUUUCCAAGUAAUUGCCCCUCCAUUUAGGGUAAGGACCCAGCCCGACUGAGAGCGGAAAUUAUUCCUGUCAGUCUGAAAGCUAGCAUCACUAUACCUUGCGACUUUCAAGUCAUCACUCCCACCAAGGGUAAGGACCCAGUCCUUAGUCCUUUGCAGGUACUUGAGAAUAUUCUUUACCGCUAUCCAAUGAGCCUUUCCAGGAUUCCCCUGAUAUCUGUUGACCAUGCUCAAAGAAAAGGCAACAUCAGGACGAGUACAAGUCAUAGCAUACAUGAUCGAGCCUACAGCGAAAGCAUAAGGCACUCAACUCAUCUCAACUAUUUCAGCCUCUGUACUCGAGCUCUGAGUUUUACUCAUUCUAGCAUUACACUGGAUAUGUAACUCACCUUUCUUGGAAUUAUGCAUGUUGAACCUUUUCAACACUUAGUCCACAUAGGUGCUUUGACUAAGUCCAAUUAGUCUUUUAAUCCUGUUUCUCAAAAUCCUUAUCCCUAGGAUAUAAGCAGCUUCUCCAAGGUCCUUCAUAGAGAAACACUUCCCAAGCCAGGACUUGACUUCCUGCAGAGUUGGGAUGUCAUCUCCUAUGAGUAGUAUGUCAUCCACAUACAAUACCAAAAAGCUAAUUAUACUCCCACUAGCCUUGACAUAUACACAAGAUUCAUCUUCGCUCCUCGAAAAGCCAAACUCUUUGACUUUCUCAUCGAAACAAAGAUUCCAUCUGCGAGGUGCUUGUUUCAAUCCAUAGAUGGAUUUCUCAAGCUUACACACUCUAUUAGGGUACUCUGUACUGACAAAACCCUCUGGCUGAACCAUGUAAACAUCUUGAGCCAACUUUCCAUUAAGGCAAGCGGUUUUGACAUCCAUUUGCCAUAUUUCAUAGUCAUGAAAUGCAGCAAUGGCUAACAGAACCCUAAUAGACUUAAUCUUGGCCACUGGUGAAAAGGUCUCAUCAUAAUCAACUCCCAUAGUUUGAUAAUAACCCUUUGCAUCCAGUCGUGCCUUGUAAGUGUGUACAUUACCAUUCAUGUCGGUCUUUUUCUUGAAGAUACAUUUGCACCCAAUUGUCUUACAAUCAGGUACAUUGUUAACCAAGUUCCAAACUUGAUUGUCAUACAUGGAUUGUAUCUCGCUAUUCAUAGCCUCUUUCCAUUUAGCAGCCUCAGGGCCUACCAUGGCUUCCGUGUAGCUGUUAGGCUCAUCCAGAUUUACCAGUAUGUUAUCACUGAUAUGUGUAUCACCUUCUGCAGUAAUAUGGAAACCAUAAUAAUGCUCAGGUGCAUUCCUAACUCUGGUGGACUGCCUCAGAGGUACAUAUUCUUCAGUCGGCUCAAUAGGAGUUUUCUCCUCAGGUUAUGGGCUAGGGGUUUAGGUUCCUUCACCACUUGACUCUUGAAUUUCCUCAAGGUCAAUUUGCCUCCCACUGUCUCCUAGGCUUAGGAAUUCUCUCUCUCUCUCUCUCUCUCUCUCUCUCUCUCUCAGGAUUCCUCUUCUUGCUACAAAGACCACAUUAUCAUUGGGUCUAUAGCAGAUGUAACCGAAGCAUUUCUGUGGGUAGCCGAUGAAAAUACACCUCUCACUUCGAGGUUCGAGCUUAUCGUGAGUCUCGCGUCUCACGAAAGCCUCACAGCCCCAAAUCUUGAUGUGGUCUAGAUUCGAAACUUUUCCAGUCCACAUCUCGUGAGGUGUUUUAGCAACCUUCUUUGUAGGGACUAGAUUAAGGAUAUGGGCGGCAGUCUCUAAGGCAUGACCCCAAAAUGAGAUUAGUAGCAAAGCUCGACUCAUCAUGGAACGAACCAUGUCCAAUAAGGUCUUAUUGCGCCUCUCAGUUACAUCAUUCAACUGUGGUGUCCUAGGAGGUGUUAAUUGUGAGACAAUCCCACAUUCCUUAAGAUAGUCAAGGAACUCAAUACUAAGAUACUCACUAACUCGAUCGGAUCAAAGCAUCUUAAUGUUCCUGCCCAACUGAUUCUCCACUUCUUGCUUAAACUCUUUUAAUUUUUCAAAGGUUUCUGACUUAUGCUUGAUUAAGUAGACAUAUCCAUAUCUACUAAAAUCAUCAGUAAAAGUCACAUAGAAGCGAUUAGCAUCUCUUGUGGCGGUUCGGAAGGGUCCACACACAUCUGUGUGUAUGAGGUCCAACAAACCUUCACCCCUAGCACAAGUGCCAGUAAAAGGUGACUUUGUCAUUUCACCAAGCAAACAAGAUUCACAACUAUCAUCCGACCUUAGGUCAAAUGACUCCAUGACUCCAUCCUUUUGGAGUUUGCCUAUGCGUUUCUUGCUUACAUGUCCAAGACGACAAUGCCAUAAAGAUGCUUUAUCUAAGCUAGUGGAAGAGUCAAUACACAAUACGUUAUUUUCUGGGUUAUCUACAACAGAUACAGUUUCAUACACACCAUCAGAAGGUAAUGCUAUAAAAUAAAGAACAUUAUUAAAGAAAGCAUCAAUACCACCAUUAUUAUUAUCAAAAUAAAAGGUACAACCUUGUUUAUAUAAUGAAUGAAAGGAAAUAAUGUUUCUUACCAUUUCUGGCGAAUAAUAACAUUUAUUAAAAUCUAAUGCAAACCCACUAUUUAGCAAUAAGGAAUAAACUCCUAUCUUGGUGACAGGUGAAGCUUUCUUGUUCCCCAUGAUCAAGUUUAUCUUUCUCUGCUCCACAUUCUCACUUCUUCUUAGUCCCUGCAAAUCAGAACAUAUGUGAAUACCACAACCUGUAUCAGAACCCAAGACUUAGAAUGAGGUGAGUUAUUAGACAAUAUAGUGUAUAUACCUGCAUGGUUAGGUUUUACUUUCCCAUCCUUCACAUCUUGCUGUUCUUUGGGCAGUGUCGCUUCCAGUGCGACUUUUCAUGGAAAUAGAAGCAUUCAGCCUCACUAGGGUUAGCAGAAGGAGUGACAAAAACUUUCUUGGUUUUGCUUGAAGAGGAGCCUUCAAGGGUCUUUGGUACCCUUAGAAGGGUUCUUUCUCUUCUUCCCUUUGCCAUACCAGAUUGCCACGACAUUGGCCGCAGUUGGAGUAGGAGGAGUAGUAACACCCAACUUGCCUUUAAGACUACUUUCUGCAGUCUUUAAAAGCCCUUGACGUUUACUAAUUGUAACUUCUUCCUUGUUCAUGUGGUAUGUCAUUCUAAAUUGAUCAUAACAUGAAGGUAAGGAGUGCAAAAUGGUAUCUAUUUCCAUAUCCUCAAGAAAGUCAACAUUUAGUUUCUUCAAACGAUCCACAAACCUUUGCAUUUUCUGCAUGUGGGCCGUGAUGGUCUCACCAUCCUUCAUUCGGGUAGUUAUCAUGGAGGAGAUAAUUUCAUACCUUUAUUGAUGAGCACUUUGAUGGUAGCGGUCCAUCAAAUCCAUGUACAUCUCAAAAGGGUAGUGGUCCUCAUAGGACUUUUGGAGCUCAGCUGUUAUAGUGUCCAUCAUGAUGCAUGGUACCUUAGUAGCAUCCCGUUCAUGUUCCUAAAAUGCAACAAUCUCCUAUGGAGUAGCAGUUGACUAAUCAAUCUCCUUUAGCUCCUUGUCAAGGACAUAUUCUCUGUCCUCAUAAUGAGUGACCAUCCUGAUGUUUCUGAUCCAAUCCAUAAAGUUGGAUCCAUCAAAGAUGACUCUCCUACAAAGAUUCAUGAGAGAGAAGGAGCCAGUAGGGUUUGAGCCAGAAGCCUUGUUAUUGGAAGACUUCUAAAAAGAAGAAAGAAUAGAUUAGAUUAGAUAUAAAGAUAGUCCUUAAUACACCCAAAUGUAAUAUUAAGGCUAGGACCCAACACAAUAUUUUAUAACUUAGAAGAAGGAUGCCAUAAUCUAAGCUAUAAGAUAUUUGAAGGUGAGUGAAUGACGAUUCAUCAAUUUCCACAUUGAAAAACGAAACAUUUAAUUAGGUUUUAAUUAGUUUAGAAACUCGUAGAUUCUUUGAGAUUUAUUAAACUUUUCAAUGGCAUGUUUCAAUCUCGAGUGUGCCCUUCAAGUUUUGUGACUGUGAUGCUGAGGAUCACAAAACAAGGUGUGGAGUAACCAUGCAAGUUACUUGGUACCCUUAAUGUACUACCCCUCAAUCGAUGUUCUGGUUAACCACACACACUCCAUCGAUACUAUGAUAAACAUUAAGUCACCCUUUUCCUACCUUGAUAAGUGUAUGUUAGUGUGCCGGUUAACCACACACGCUCCACUAAUGACUUAAUCAAAGUGCAAAGUGUAAUUUCAAGGAUUCGAACCUUAUUCACAUUUUCCUAAAGUAACUAAGAUUGGGAAUUUAAUAAAGUUUUAGUUACUUUAGUAUAUGAAGAAAUGAGGAAAAUUCAGUAAACCUAGACUAAAGUAGUCCAAGUGUUGAAAAUACUGAAACCGAGUUUCAGAAUCGUCAAGUGGUAUUAGUGCAGAAAAUAAAGAGUUGUGAAUCAAUCAAGUUAAUAGAAAAACGUUUUUUUAAUGUUCAAUGUCAAUGAUUUUAAUGUUUCUCAUAUUCAUGAAGAUUCAAUUACAAAUGUUUGAAUGUAAAACACACUAAGACACUCAAAUCGCUCUCUGAAGACUAGUCUAGGCAGCAAUUGUGUAGAAUGAUUUGAAAUGAGCAAGAAAGAGCUAGGAAGAGCAAAUUUAUAAUGGAUCCCAAGGGGCCUAUUUAUAGGAUUUGGAAAAGCCCAUGACAUGGCUUGACCAAUCAGGUGUUGACACGUCAUCAUGACUUAGUCAUCAGUUGACACCUUUGCUCUACAUAACGGAGAAUGGAUGGAAUAUUCCAAUUCCGUUAAUAUUCUUUUAGGGUUCCAUCCAAGUUAUGAGUCUUCAUAAUUCUUGAACCUUCAUGAUCAACAAUGAAAAUGUCAUGAGCAUCAUGUUGCUCAAUUGUCUUCUUAGAUGUCAUCAACUUCUAGAAGUGUUGUUGAUGAUGUCAAGUAGUUUCUUGAAUGUUGAACUGUGUCUUGAACUUGAAGAUGUACCACCACAUGUUCAUGAUGAGUCAUGGACGAAAUUCAUGUUCCUUUGAGCAUUUGGAUGUGCCUUCAUUCUACAUGAUGAGUCAUAUGCAGACUUGUUGAGCCAUCAAUGUGAUCAUGCUGAUCAAUUGACUUGAGUUGAACCACCAAGUGUUCUUGUUGAGCCAUCAACUCUUGUUGAGUCAUAGAGUUGUGAAUGAGUCAAUGAUGUUUCUGAUAAGCCAUCAAUACUCCAAAUGAUCCAUCAGUGUCUUGAUGCUCCAUAUAUUAUCUAGAUGUGCCAUCUGAGAUCAUGAUGAUCCAACAAGCUUUCAGCAAGUGAUCCAUGUUCAACUUCAAGUGCUCCAAUAUCUGAUUCUUCAAACACUUGUUGAAUCUUCUGUAUCUUUCCAACCUAAAACAUUCUGAUAAUGUUUGUUAGAGAGAUAUAUAAAAGGACUCAACUUAUUUCAAGUGACAAUCACAUCAAAAUAUUUCCAAUAGUAUAUUCAUCAUACUUAAAUGAGAAUUAUAGUCCUUGUCUUACCUUUUCGGCUAACGACCCUCCACCGAUCAAGGAAGCGGUGGGUGAGAAUAGACACCCAUUAAGUUGCCAUUUUAUAGGCAACAACAUUACACCCCCUUAUAGACUGUGACAUCCCCAUUUUCAUGGCCAGAAAAGACCAAUUUUUUGUUUAAGCUUUAUAAAAAUCAGAGUACCUCUAUUAAUAAAAGUGUUGCGGAAUUUGUUCCCAGUAAAACAUGAUAAAUAUGUUAUCAAAGCAUUUUUGAAGAAAAGUAUUUUUAUUCAUUUUAAAACAUUUGGGAUGUUAUCGUCAAUACAGAAACAUAAGCAUAAACAGAAUUUACAUUCAUUAUUACUAGUGAUUUAUAUCUCCUUAAUCUCUCAGUGUAGUGUAACUUCAUAUCGAAACCUGUGAUAUAAAUAAAAUGAGUAGGNCAAAGCCUGUUAUAAAUAAAAUGAGUAGGUCAGGUUGGGAAACCUGGUGAGUACAUAGGGUUUUCAACCCACAAUAGAAUAAUUAUUAUGUUUGAACAUCAAACAAUCAACCCAAUUACCCAUCUCCUUUAUCUACUUUACUCUUAAGGAUCUACCCUAAGAAUCAACUAUUCCUCGUUCAUUCAUUCCUGAGGAUCAUCCUAAGGAAUCGACGCGAAGUCCAUCAUUGCCACGGUUUACACGAUGGGCACUAAGUUUUCAUAGUCACCAGGGUUUAGGCAUCAAGUCUGCAUGAUCACCAAGGUUUAGGCAUUAAGUCUGCAUGAUCGCCAAGGUUUAGGCAUCAAGUCUGCAUGAUCACCAAGGUUUGGGCAUCAGGUCUGCAUGAUCACAAAGGUUUAGAGUACACCGGGUGAACACAUCGUUCACAACACCUACAGGUUGCGAGCCUGCUAGUGUUCCACUGGACUGUUUAGAAUAGUCCGUGGUUAUUAUCCAUACUUUGCUGAAUGACGAGGCCAUCAUUUGGGAAAGGCUUCUCAAAUCGUCCACCUCUCACCCUCACCUCGUGGUCUUUAACACCUCUCAACUCAUCAUCCAACUCAUAUUCCAUCUAUUACAUCUACCCAUGUUUUACGUCAACAUUAUCGUAGAUAUAAAAUACGUAUACAGUUUAAAUCAUUUAAAACAUGUAUAAAAUCAUUCAUCCAGCAUAGACAACAAGUACUCAGAUAAUAUGCACACAGAGCACGUAAUUUAUAUAAAAUAAUUCAUAUCUAUGUGUAAGAUGAAAGUAACUAUGCACUCACUUGAUUAGGUGGUGACUUGGCAGUAGGAUAGCACUUCUUUACUCUUAAAAUAAUUUUCCUCGACAAAACCUAGUAUCAUUACCACUAGAGUUUAGUCUAACGUUAACUGUGACUAAUUAAUAGUUUAGCUAUCUUUUCUUGGCACUCCGGGAGCCUCGGGGCUUCCUUCGCAUGCUAGGUAGGUUCCCUAGGCUUUUUGGGGGGUUUCGGGGGGGGGGGGGGGAANUAAAGAGAGAGUUUAGAGAGAGAAAGUGAAGUUGGGAAGGAGUGAAGAAUGAGGGAGCCCGACACCUUUAUUUAUAGGCUAGAGAACAGAUCUACUCGUCGAGUAGGUCCUCCUACUCAUCGAGUCCAUGACAAGUGUUACCCUCUGGUGGCUUGCCUUGGGGAGAAAACCUUGGCCCUUAUUCAGCCACAUCACUCGAUUUCGCACAGCACCCUGCCGACUUCUAAACCCCGUAACAUUCGCAUACGAGCUCCGUUUUUGACAUUCUUUAUAUCCACACGUAGGUAAAAACAAGAUAUACAACUUUCAUUUUGACUCCGUCGGCUAAUUCUUGACCGAUAUUAAAUUUAAUAGUAGUAGGAAUUUAGACUGUUAAAUGACCGCGAAGAAUUCGUAAUUCCUUCAUACGGACUCCGUUUUUGUCUGUAUUUUUACAGUUGAGUUCCUAUUAAUGAGAUAUUCAACUCUCAUUUAGUUCGCGUAAGCCAAAAACUGCUCGAACUAAAAUUCGAGUUUCGGGUCAUGCACUGCUAAGCCGAAUCUUAGAAAAAUCAUAACUUCUUCAUACGAAGUCAGAUUUUGGCGUUCUUUUUAUGGAUGUUCUCGAUUUAAUGUAUGCUACAACUUUUUUUUAGAUCACUAUGGAUAAAAAGUCCUCUAUCAUAAAUUCACUAUUUACGUCUCCCGGUGCCGUGCCGGUUUUGCCGAAAAACUUCGAUGGGCCAUAACUUCUUCGUUAUAACUUGGAUUUCGGCGUUCUUUAUAUGUACAGAACCAUUGAGACAUAUUCUCAACUUGGUUAAGAUUAUUUAUUCUAAAUAAUCUUUUGUCAAAAAGUCAUUUCGACCCCUAUUAUAUCUAAAUUGACUAGCCCGGAUCUGCGGGCGUUACAAUUAUCUCCCCCUUAGGAUGAUUACGUCCCGGAAUCAUCAACGAAACAGGGCUCACAUGAUGACUCCAUACGUUAUCUCUACAUCUUAAGUAAAAACCGUAACUUCUAUGUUGCUUCGAACAAGUGUCUAACUCUUGGACUCCUUGACUGCCGGCGGUGCUUGAUCUUGCACUUGCUCCCUAUCUCACGUUAGACUCCAAAUUACGACCUUCAAGUCACGGUCUCGAUCCUUAAUGGAGACUCCAUCUUCUUCAUAAAAAACUUAAGAUAAGUAUAUUUGAUUACUACAAUAGGCCGAUGCGUCACGUUUUAAUGACCUCUCAUCGUAUGUUGCAACGCUCAUAAUCAGGCCUCUUAGAGUCAAAUUCCAGAACUGACUAUACCUUCCUUCAUGUUCUAAUGUGAUACAAUCACAUUUCAACAUGUAGCAUUUCUAGCUACCAACUUCUUUAACAAUCAUUGUGAUACUUCUACUAAUCGCCUUGGUUAGCUUUCAUUUCAAUCUUUUGGUUUAAGUCAGAUGCUACAUCGAACUUGGUUCUCUUGAACGACGUAACAUACUCAUCGUAGUCGGAAUCAAUUCGACAUGACCACUAGGGUCGGAAUAACAACAAUCUUCUUAGUCAUUACUGAAAUGAUAGUAAUGACAUAUUUGAAUAAAACGAUAUCAAUUACUAGCUUCUUGGUAACCUUGUGACUUUCCCUGAUCCAAGCGCGAGUCAUGUGCUUCCUGUAGUAUAUGCAUCUACUACCUUUCACACCUACUCAUUCUCAUCCUAAGUAUUAUCUCGCAGUUUUCCAAGUCACCAUACAAGAAAAUCACACAACAGUUUAACACAUCAGAUAACAAAACGAAGGCUUUAUUAUUUCUCGAUACUAUUACAUAGGUGUUCAAGUUCACCUUAGACUAUGCCUCUAAUAGGCUACAUCAUAUGAUUCUAUCCCCUUGGUUACUUCAUAACUUGAUCCUCGGGUAUGAAUUCCUCAUCCUUUGUUCCUCGCAUGGUUUUCUGGUUCGUCGAGGAUCAUGUGGAAUUCCCUUGGCCUUGGUGGUGUGUUUGGUCUUGUUGCCUCGUUUUUCUUUGGGCAUUCCCUAGAAAUAUGCCCUACUUUGUUACAUCCAUAGUACACCUUCUUGUUGGAUGCACACUUGCUGGCGUAAUGCCUCGUCUUUCCACAUUUGUAGCAAGUCACAUCCUCGCUACAUUUCCUAAAGUGAUUCUUUUUACACUUCUCGCAUCACUUGGCUUCACCUCCUCCUCCUUCGUCAGUCUUUGAGAAUUUCCUUUCUUUGUUGGAUUUUGAAGAUCCUUCAUGCUUCUUUUUCUCUCAAACUUCAGAUCUCUCCAGACCUCUAUCCCUAAUCUGGGUCUCAAACAUUCUUGGCUGCCCAGAUGGCGACUUUCAAAGUGGUAUUUUGCUUAACCAUUGGACCGAAGUCUGCUUGUAAUCCGAGGGCAAACUUGUUAACCUUGGAGAGUUCAGUUGGGACUGGGUAAGUAACUAGCUUCAUCUUUUCCGUAAAGCUUGCAGCGUAUUCUGUAAUGCUCAUUCUUCCCUACUUCAGAUUCUGGAACUCAUUGUUGAUUUCCAGAAGAUCUUGCUCAGAGCAGUAUUGCGUCUUUAGUUGCACCAGAAAAUCCUCCCAAGUCAUAUUACUAGCUUCUCCCUUAGGCAUUGAAUCAGCUAGUAGCUUCCACCAGCUCAGUACUCCAGAUUUCAAUAGAGGAACCGCGAGAGCGGUCUUUUGUCUGUUGCUACACUCGCAACUCUCAAGCAUUGUCUCCAUCUCGGAGAUCCAGUCCAUAACUUCCACUGGCGCCUGGCUCCAGAUAGACUCGGUGGUUUGGAUGCCAUGAAAUCCUUGUACUUGCAUCCACAUCCGUCAUUUCCUCCAUCCUGAUUGUUUUGUCUAACUAUCGGUGGGUUGGCUUGGCCACCCGUCCCACUGUAGUUUCCUCCUUCUGACUGCCCAUCAUUCAGCUCGAGAUGUUCAAUUGGUACCGUAAGUUCUUCUCAGUUCUGUUGAAGUAAAUGCCUUGUUUCCUCCAUUUGGUGAUCCAACAUCAUCUGGAUCAUCGCUUGCACUCCGACCAUCGUUAUUGGCUUAGGUGCCACUUCUUCGACAACAGGUAUUUGUUGUAUCACUGGAGGUUGAGGGGGUUGGUUCCUAUUUCCAUUUACGUUUACGUUUCCGCUACGGGUCCUUGCCAUCUUGAUCUAUACACCGAGUAAGGUGAAUCUAGAUGUUUAUUUAUGAUAGACGUUUAAAUCAUCCUUAUCACUCCGAAACGUUUACAUGCUAGUUCUAAUAUCGUAGUCGUACAUUUAGAAUCCUAAACACAUCAGGUUUCCAGAUCCGGUCGGCAACAGACCAUGGAUCCGAAUAAAUAACAGCAUAUAAGGCAUAAAACAUUUAGCACAUAAAAGCGUUUUAGGCAUAAUUCCUAAAAUAAGCUAGUGCUCAUACCUCACAAUCAUCGCUUAGCAUUCUAAGUUUAAGUCUAGAAAUUUCUUACAAAUUCCUAGUUCGCUUAAACUAAUGCUCUGAUACCAACUGUGACAUCCCCAUUUUCACGGCCAGAAAAGACCGAUUUUUUCUUUAUGCUUUAUAAAAAUCAGAGUACCUCUUUUAAUAAAAAUGUUGCGGAAUUUGUUUCCAGUAAAACAUGAUAAAUAUGUUAUGAAAGCAUUUCCGAAGAAAAGUAUUUUGAUUCAUUUUAAAACAUUUGGGAUGUCAUCGUCAAUACAGAAACAAAAGCAUAAACAAAAUUUACAUUCAUUAUUACUAGUGAUUUAUAUCUCCUUAAUCUCUCAAUGUAGUGUAACUUCAUAUCGACACCUGUGAUAUAAAUACAAUGAGUAGGUAAGGUUGGGAAACCUGGUGAGUACAUAGGGUUUUCAACCCACAAUAGUAUAAUUAUUAUGUUUGAACAUCAAACAAUCAACCCAAUUAACCAUCCCCAUUAUCUACUUUACUCUUAAGGAUCUACCGUAAGAAUCAACUAUUCCUCGUUCAUUCAUUCCUAAGGAUCACCCUAAGGAAUCGGCACGAAGUCCAUCGUUACCACGGUUUACACGACGGGCACUAAGUUUGCAUAGUCGCCAGGGUUUAGGCAUCAAGUCUGCAUGAUCACCAAGGUUUAGGCAUCAAGUCUGCAUGAUCGCCAAGGUUUAGGCAUCAAGUCUGCAUGAUCACCAAGGUUUGGGCAUCAGGUCUGCAUGAUCACAAAGGUUUAGAGUACACCGGGUGAACACAUCGUUCACAACACCUACAGGUUGCGAGCCUGCUAGUGUUCCACUAGACUGUCUAGAAUAGUCCGUGGUUAUCAUCCAUACUCUGCUGAAUGACGAGGCCAUCAUUUGGGAAAGGCUUCUCAAAUCGUCCACCUCUCACCCUCACCUCGUGGUCUUUAACACCUCUCAACUCAUCAUCCAACUCAUAUUCCAUCUAUUACAUCUACCCAUGUUUUACGUCAACAUUAUCGUAGAUAUAAAAUACGUAUACAGUUUAAAUCAUUUAAAACAUGUAUAAAAUCAUUCAUCCAGCAUAGACAACAAGUACUUACAUAAUAUGCACACAGAGCCAAAAAGCUCUUUUCUUGGGACUCCGGGAGCCUCGGGGCUUCCUUCGCGUGCUAGGGAGGUUCCNUGGGGGGGUGUGGUGGGGGGGGGGGUAGAGAGAGAAAGUGAAGUUGGGAAGGAGUGAAGAAUGAGGGAGCCUGACACCUCUUUUUAUAGGCUGAAAAAUAGCUCUACUUGUCAAUUAGGUCCUCCUUCUCAUCAAGUCCAUGCUAGGUGUCACCCUCUGGUGGCAUGCCUUGGGGAAAAAGCCUUGGCCCUUAUUCAGCCACGUCACCCGAUUUCGCACAACACCCUGCCGACUUCUAAACCCCGUAACAUUCACAUACGAGCUCCGUUUUUGACGUUCUUUAUAUCCACGCGUAGGUAAAAACAAGAUAUACAACUUUCACUUUGACUCCGUCGGCUAAUUCUUGACCGAUAUUAAAUUUAAUUGUAGUAGGAAUUUAGACUGUUAAAUGACCGCGAAGAAUUCGUAAUUCCUUCAUACGGACUCCAUUUUUGUCUGUAGUUUUACCGUUGAGUUCCUAUUAAUGAGAUAUUCAACUCUCAUUUAGUUCGCGUAAGCCAAAAACUGCUCGAACUAAAAUUCGAGUUUCGGGUCGUGCACUGCUAAGUCGAAUCUUAGAAAAAUCAUAACUUCUUCAUACGAAGUCAGAUUUUGGCGUUCUUUUUAUGGAUGUUUUCGGUUUAACGUAUACUAAAACUUUGGUGUAGAUCACUAAGGAUAAAAAUUCAUCUAUCUUAAAUUCACUAUUUACACCUCUCGGUGCCAUGCCGGUUUUGCCGAAAAACUUCGACGGGCCAUAAGUUAUUCGUUAUAACUCGGAUUUCGGCGUUCUUUAUAUGUACAGAACCCCUGAGACAUAUUCUACAACUUGGUUAAGAUUAUUUAUUCUAAAUGAUCGUUUGUCAAAAAGUCAUUUCAACCCCUAUUGUCUCUAAAUUGACUAGCCUAGAUCUACGGGCGUUACAUAGACCGGCUUCGUGAAUGAGGCCUACUAAAGGUAAGACGACUUUGUUCUUAUACACACACACACACACACAUAUAUAUAUAUAUAUAUAUAUAUAUAUAUAUANNNNNNNNNNNNNNNNNNNNNNNNNNNNNNNNNNNNNNNNNNNNNNNNNNNNNNNNNNNNNNNNNNNNNNNNNNNNNNNNNNNNNNNNNNNNNNNNNNNNNNNNNNNNUGAGUUAAUUGAGUAUUAAAAUGAAGACUCUUCAUUUUUAUAACUCAUGUGUUCUUAUAAUGGUUUUUAAUUAAAGUGUGACCUUUGGUUUCCAUUACUUGAGGACAAGUUAUGGACUCCAUUAAAACACAUAAUGAUCAAGAAGUAAACUACCAAGGAGGUUACAAAUAAUUCUUAUGAUCAUCUAAUCACAUAAGUUCAAGAACAUGAUUAUCAAUAAUUUCAAGAAUCAUAAAUAACAUAUAUAAAACUUGUUAUUUUUUGAUAAUAGCCAUUGUAAAUGGAUUAGCGUUAACGUUACACCAUCUAAAACAAGUUUUAUAACACCAAAACAUUUUAGGGUAAUGUUUCUAGUCCAUUUCCAGCAGCAAAACUUGAAAAUCUGGAAACUGCAGCCUCUACUCGUCGAGUGCAUGAACAGACUCGACGAGUAGCAUGCAUUUCUUCAUGGACUCGUUGAGUUCAUACGAGCAUUGAACAAAAAUUUCGAUUUUCAAGCUAUUUGCAUCCAGUAUCAAGUAAACAAGCCUAGGCUCUGAUACCAAUGAAGGGCUUUGAGCAUUCUAACACUCCUAUGGUGUACAUGCAACCCUAGAAACCUUGGAUCUAUGUUUGACUAAGAUACAUGCAAAUAAUUAUUUUUUUCCAAGGUUCUUAUCCUAACUAGCAUGGCAUGGGGUACUUGAAUCUAAUAAAGCUAAUAGAAUUACUUACCUUGUAGUAGUAGUUGAUUUCUUGGAGUUUGAGAGCCUAGCACCAAUAAUGUGGAUGCUUCAAAUGGAAGUCACAAAUCACCACAAACUUGGAAACUUGAGAGAAUAGUCACUAACUUCUUGAAAUCGUCCCUCUUAGUUUACACACAUCAACUAGUGCAAUUUCAAGAACCAAAGCCUCCUUUAUAUAGUGUGGUGGAUUAGGGUUACAUCCAUGUAAACCCUAAUACCCAUGUCUUUUCAUUUCCAUGAGAUCCAUGGGUUAAAGCUCCAUGGAGUAUCCAUGGACUUUCCAUGCAAGCCUAGCCCAUUCCAAAUAAGCAUUAGCCCACACUAUAUAAAUACAAGAGCCCAUAUUUAANCAUUCCAAACAAGCAUUAGCCCACACUAUAUAAAUACAAGAGCCCAUAUUUAAUUAGUCAAACUUUUGAUCUCUAAAUUAAUUCUAAAUUAAUUAUAUAUGAACACUAAUUAAAUAAUAUGAUUUUAUAUUAAUAUAUUAGAACUUAUAAUAUAUUAAUAAAUCAUAACUUAUACUAUUCUCAAAAGAUUAUCCAUAAAUUGUUCGGGAGAAGUGCAACCCAAAUGGACCAUGCCAGGUCGGGUCAAGUACAUACCAAAUAUAGUUAUGGACUUAGACACUAUAUCCAACACAUGACACCUUAGUGCUCACGUAGUGACCAAGGUGUAAACAUUAAAAUUAAUCAGAAUUUCUAAAAUCAUGCUUACCUAGAUCUGGGUGUUACAAUUCUACCUACUUAGAUCAGACUUCAUCCUCAAAGUCCAUUGUUGUUAUUAAAUAUGGGUAAUGCUCACGCAUCUCUGCCUCGGGUUCCCACGUCCACUAAGAAACCUUCCGAUGUUGCCACUGGACCUUGUCAAAAGAUACCACCUUGUUACGUAAGACCUUCAUCUUCUUAUCCAAAAUAGCCACCAUCCUCUCCAAAUAAUUCAGGCGCUCAUCGACUUGUAUAACGUCCAUUGGAACUACCACUAAAUUUUUAACCACACACUUCUAGAGCUGAGAAACAUGGAUGGUGUUGUGAAUCUGGCUAAGCUCCUCCGGAAGAUCCAAUUGGUAGGCUACAUUGCCUACCCUUGACACUACUUAGGAUGGUCCAAUAAAUCAAGGACCCAACUGUCACCUCUUCCUAAAGCAUAUAACACACUUCCAGGGUGAUACCUUCAGUAAAACCAUAUCACCGACUUGGAACUCUAACUCGCAUUGUCGUAUGUAGGCAUAACUCUUAUGCCGGAUCUGAUUCGUCUGUAAUCUCUAUCUGAUCAUCUGGAUAAGCUCUAUCGUAUGGAGAACUACCUCAGUCUUCGAUGACCCUAUGGCUGACUUUACCCCAAAAAACCGAUGUACGACACUUCCUCCUAUAAAGAAGCUCGAAAGGUGGUGCACCAAUCCUAGAAUGAUAGUUGUUAUUAUAGGAAAACUCAACUAGAGGAAGGUAGGAAUCCCAUCACCCACCAAAAUCAAUGACAUAAGCCCUCAACUUAUCCUCGAGCGUCUGAACGGUCCACUUACUCUGACCAUCAGUAUGAGGGUGAUAAGUAGCACUGAAAUGCAGUCUCGUACCUUUGUCCUCAUGAAUUUUAUGCAAAAACCAAGAAGUAAACCGCACAUUAUGAUCGAAGACGAUAGAAGUCGGCACUCCGUAACGAGUAACAACUUCGUGCACAUAUACAUCAGCCAACUUUUUGACUGAUCUAUAAGAUGUCUCAAACUCUUGUGAUUCAUGUAGAUAGUAGAUCCCAUAGAGAUAAUGUCGCCAAAUAGUUAAGGCAAACAUUACUGCCCCAACUCAAAAUCAUGUGUUAGAUACCUAGACUCAUGAGACUUCAACUGUAUCGAUGCAUAUAUAAUGACCCUACCUCUCUGCAUGAAAACCGCCCCUAAACCUAUGAUCGGCGCAUCACAAAAUACCACAAAAUUCUCAAUGGCCUCCAAUAGGGUCCAUACCCAGGCCUCACAUAACUUCCCCCUUAAAGUCUCAAAUUCAGCCUGCUACUCAGGCCCCAAAUGGAAAUCCAUGUUCUUUUUCAUUAGAUAGGUCAGAGGAAUAACAAUCUUGGAUAAAUCCUGAAUGAAUCUCUGAUAAUAACCAGCCUACCCCAGAAAACUCCUAAUCUCAUACGGGGACUUUGGAACCUCCCAUUGCAUCAAUGCUUCAAUCUUAGUCGGAUCGACCAGAAUCCCGUCCUGAUUGACGAUAUUUCCUAGAAACUAGACCUCUGGUAACCAGAACUCACACUUGGAGAACUUGGCAUGAAUCCUCUCAUGCCUUAGUACUCCAAGUAGCUCCUUGAGAUGUUCCUUAUGUUGUCCAUUGGUUUUGGAGUAGACUAGAAUAUCAUCAAUGAAGAUAAUGACCGACUGAUCGAACAUCGGUCUACAUACCCAGUUCAACAGAUCCAUGAACGAUGCAAAUGCGUUGUUGAGCCCAAACGACAUCACUACAAACUCGUAAUGACCAUAAUGAGUCUAAAAUGAUGUCUUCUCCAUGUUCUCCUCCCUAACUCUCAUCUGGUGGUAGCCCGAUCUCAUAUCAAUCUUGCAGAACUAACAUGCACCCUGCAACUGAUCAAAGAGAUCAUCAAUCCUAGGGAGUAGGUAACGAUUCUUCAUUGUAAGAUUGUUUAACUCCAAAUAAUCUAUGCAUAUAUGAUGAGACUCAUCCUUAUUCUUCACAAAUAGGAUUGGGGCUCCCUAGGAUGAAUUGCUUAGUCUGAUAAAUUGUUUUCCCAACAUAUGUUGAAGUUAAGAGGACAACUCUUGCAUCAUUGGUGGUUUGAGGCGAUACAACGCCUUAGCAAUCGGGGCCGCGGGGAUCAGAUCGAUCCUGAACUACACCUUCCUUAUGGGUGGCACACUUGGUAAAUCCUCUAUAAAUACAUCUAGAAACUCUCUGACCACUAGUACAUCUGAAACUGAAACUCUCUCCUCAUCCUGGGUGCCAACCACAUAAGUAAGGUAUCCGAACACCCAUGUUGUAGUUACUAUCGAGCCCUGGUAGCAGAACAAAGGCUGAACCAAUCCUAGUACCCUCACCAUAAAUAGUCAAUUCUCGCCCACUUAGGGUUCAAAUUAUCAGUAGUUGUGUUUCUUAAUCAAUCAUGGCGCCAAAUCUGCUCAACCAGUCCAUCCCUACAAUCAUGCACACAUCCCCCAUAAGGAUAAGAAUAAAAUCUAUCAAAUAAGACACUCCGAAUAUCUAUAAGGUAUAAUCCUGAAAAAUAAUCAAUGUAGAAACUUUGUGUUCAUUGGUGAUGGAAACUCGUAACGAACACUCCAACUCCCUAAGAUUCAUAUCAAAACCCCUAUUAAGCAACUGAGACACAAAGGACCGACUUGUACCCAAGUGAAAAAGAAAAGGAGCAGGAAAGGAAUUUACUAAGAAUGUACCUAGUAGAAAUACAAUCAUAAGAAUAUAAGAAAACACCCUAACAAAAUAAUAAAGAGAGCAUACUAGUAACGACAUCAGGUGCCGCCCUGGCCUCCUACGCUGUGAGCUGAAAAGAAUGACCCCUAGCCUCGGGGUCUCAUCCCUCCCUUGUCGCCCAUAUGUAAUCCAAAGGGUGGUCAGAGGUAGUACCUACACUGGUUUUACAGAAAGUAAUGGACAAUUGGCAUUCACAUGGCUAACUUGAUCAUAGAGGUGACAAAUCCUAGUGCUCGGUAGCAAAGCCUAUUAGCGACAGUCUCUCACAAAGUUCCCCUCCUUGCCACAAGUGCACCCCUUGACCUCUAGAAUGUGAAUCAUCAGGCUUGAAAUACUUUGCUGCUGGCUGCGAAUGAGCAGGGGUCUUCCUGCUCCCUCUUGUCUGUAUCCCAAUCUUAAUCUCUCUUUUCCGAGCGGAAGACUGCAGCUCGGAGAGAGAUCUAUAUCAUUGGGUUGAAACGAAUUUACAAAUCUCUGUAUUAACCAUGCUUAAGUAUGGGAUAUUUGGACCUUAUUUGAAGUAGCGCAUUUAGGACAGAAGAGAGCUCUCUCAAUAAACAUCUUGGUGAUCUCUGUCACCGACUUUUUCAUCUGCUUCAAAAGAUACUCCUAGGCUAACCUCUCUCUUUCCAUCAGGGGAACAUACUCAACGUGGAACAUAUAAUAAAACUGAUCCCAAGUCACUGUGGCUUUCUUCGUAGGAGAAUAAGCACUAGUCAGCAGCUUCUACCAAUCCUUCACCCCCAAAUGAAGAAGGUUCAGGGCACAACUGACCUUGUAGUCCUCCGGACACGAACAAGUGAGGAAACAGUCCUCCACAUUAGAUAACUACCUCAUAGCAAAAAUUAGGUCCUUAACCUUGUCAAACUCUAGGUGCUUCAUGUUGGUGAAGUCCCUGUACUGAAAUGACCCGCUCCCCUAGAGUCCUGCAACAACAAUAGCCGCAGUGACUAUGAAAGUAGCCUCGGUGACGACAACAUAAUGUUUGUCAAACAUCUCGAUCAUGUUGGUAUUAAUAGACCCGAAUACCUCCAAGAUCUCAUCCAAAAUAGCCAUGGUCACUUGAAUGGUGAUCAUCUCCCGGAUAUCAUCGUCAGUUAAUCUUGGCCUCACCGGGCCGCCAACACUUGAUCCUGAACCCCUAAUGACUAGCAUACUGAAAAUAAACUGGAAAAACAUUAGAAAAUAUUCAUAAACCAACUACGAUAUCAUAUUGGGAUUACUUAGCCCUCAGGCUUCUGACUUCCUUGAUAUGCAUAUGAGUCUUAUGCUUCCAGUAUUACAGGCCCAUACUACCUUCCACACCUACCCGUAUUUGUCUCAAGGGAUCGUCACAGACCAUUUACUUACUCUCUUGAGAGUGGUUGAUUAUUCCUUAUAUUGCCCCCCUAUACAUCCUACUUACUCAUGAAACUUCUACUAACCCUCUAGCCGCUCGUGCAUACUAAUCAUACAUAACACUGGAUUCUAUAUACAUUCAAAUACUUGAUUCUAACCUAGGCCCACAACCAGACAAGGAACUUGAAAUAAGGCUAAAUGAAACAUUCUCAUGCUAUAGAAUCUUAGUUAUGCACAACUAUGGUGUACACACCAAACAACCAUAGUAAUAAUGUCAGUUCCAUAUAACAACUCAAGAGACAACCCCUAGGCUAACAUACAUCAUACAUCAGGUAAUUCUAUCAUGCAAUACAUGUAGAUCCAUCGCCUAUAUACUAGCAUGCAAUUCUAUCUUAUCAUCAACACACAAAACAUAUGUAGGUAUCUUGGGGAAUCACUUUCCUUUGCUCCGGCUGAACGUACACAUCACAUCCUUUUUGUUGGUUCUUUUAGAAUUAAAUUUUGGAAAACCUUCUACAAAUACUUAGUUUGAGUCAGGAAUCACACAUAUGUUCAUCCAAUUCUCUAAAAUCAGUGCUCUGAUACCAACUUGUAACAUCCCAAAAUCAUGACAUAAUUUUUAUUUUUUAAAACCAUUCCAAAUUCCAUAAAUUACAUAAAAACAUAGUUUCUCAAAACCAAAGUCGUACAUCAGAGUAUCCCAAAAUCAUAAGUCAUAGAAAAAUCUAGGAUUAUGUGUACAAUCAUGCCUUCUCCUUCCCCUAUCCUUAGAAGUACCUGAAACCAUAAAAUCAAACGGUAAGCCAAGGCUCAUUGAGUUCCCCCAAAGUAUCCCACAUAACAAAACAUAUAUACAAAUUUCAUGUCGGGUCUAUAAUCUCCUAACUGGAUUACCGCUGUCUCCCGACUAGAUUUCCCCUCCGACCUAGAGUCUCCUGACUAGAUUUCCCCGGGUUUGUUCUCCUAUAGCACCAAGAAAUACUGCCAGAAACCACCCACACCAUGUCAAAAUGUGAAACAUAUAAACAUGUAACCAACAAGUACAUGUAAGCAUAUUGAUCUACCAAUCCAACAUAUAACCAACGAAUAUAGGUAAUCAUAUAGAUCUACCAGUCUAACAUGCAAUCAACAUAACAUCAUCCUAUAUACAAGGAUACAUAUGGCAUUCGACCCAUGAGUACAGUGAGGAAAACUCACCCCAAGGUCCAAAAGAUAGUUAAAUUGAAUAUUGUUCCAGAUAAUGGCUCUACAAGUCAUCUAUAUAGCAAACAAGGACCAAACCUCAAUCUACUACUCGAAUUAAUCUAUUUGACGUAAAGUCAAACUUGGUCAACGGUCAAAGUCAACGUCAAUGGUCAAAAUUCCACUCGAAAGUCGCACAUGUAGUCGUCACGUCGUGACCAUCUAUUCAUCAUGUUGUGACCUAAGAAGAAAAAAUAGUCGGGUUAUUCCAUUCUCACAUCGUGUGCCAUAAGUGCUUACAUUAUGAGAAGCACUCUAAACUACUUUAUGCAAUAAGCUCUUAAUCCUUUUAGACAAGCAACCAAAACUUCCAGAAUGUAUUAUCUACUUCAGAACAUCAUAAAGAUCAUGGCUUUUUGGGCAUGCAUGUCCUAAACACAAGCUAGGGAACAAAAAGGAAGAAAUGGUAUUAGAAGCUCAAGCAAGAGUCUUAGAACCAAACCAUACUUCAGAUACAACACUUAUAACAUCAAAGGGGCACUGGAGAUCCAUAAUGUUGGCAACUUUAUGGACCCCAAACACUAUAUCAACCUAGACAUGAUAUAUAAUGCAUAGAAACCUAGAUCUAAGCUUAUUAACUUAUAAAGUACUGAACUUGGAAACUCAUAAUGGCUCUGAAGGUGUAAAGAUAAAUGAUAGUGAGGCUUGAAUGAUGACAUGGAGUAUUAGAUUCUCUUCAUCUUCUUAUUCUUUGCUAUAAAUCAACACAGAUGAAUGAUAUGGUUUCAAAAGGGAAGUCUUUAGGAGGUAAUGGAGGCUAAAGGUAAGCUAACCCUAGUCCUCACUUCCUUUAAAUACAGAAUAAAUCCCUCAAAAUCAGGGUUUCCCUCGUAGCCAAGCCUCACUUUGUGACCCGUAAGGGAUCAUGUUGGGAGUCACGAAGAUAUGUGUGUUUCUUCUAACAGGGGUGACGUUGUGACACCUUAAUGUUCAUGUCAUGAACAUGGUUUAAACUUUAAAAUUAUUCAGAAUUUCUAAAAAGGUGCUUACCUGGAAAUUAGUGUUACAUUAACAAAGAAUAUGAAUGAAACACCUAGUUUUGGAUGUUUCUAUUAUCGGGAUAACAGGUCAUAAACGAAUCAAGUAAAGGUCUUGGGCUUCGAGGGAAUAGAUUUUAGACCCUAUCAGAUGUUGAUAAUGUUGGGUUAAGUAAUUAAAGCCAUCAAAUUGUUCUUUAAAGCAAGGGGUAAAUGGGAAAAGUUAUAUAUUUGGCUUCUUGCAUGGAUUAUGAUUUUAGUUUGACAUAUAUUAAGCCAAAAGUAAUUAGAUAGGGUUUGGGGCUCGUCAAUACCUUUUUAUACAUAUAAAGUCAAAAACAGAGCUGAAAUGAAGAAAUUAUGACUGUUUAGAGUUGGAGUGGAAUUUGGUGAAACUCGUUGUCACGACAUUAGAUGAAUGUUGUCACGACGUGAAUGCCGUCACGAGGUGACAAACAACUUGUCACGAGGUGGAAACUGGGCAGCCUAAGCCCAUAAAUUUUUAGGGUUUUCUAUGUAUUUAAAGAGUGGUUCUGUCUUUUUAGGGUAUUUUCCAUCCUCCAUCUUAUCUAACGCCUCUUGAGAGAAACCCUAGCCUCCCUUUUUGUUGGUGUUCGAAGGUAUUGUGAGAUGUCGAAUAUGUAAAUGUUGUCUGUAAUGUCGAAAGCUUUUUUGUAAUGUUAUUAUAAGGAUGCUUUAGUUUUGAGGAUUGUAAUGUCGAAUGUUCUUAUAUUUUUUGUGCUGUCAGUAUCCCUAUAAAUAUGGGAUGGAUACACUUAGAGGGGAGGAUCUUGGACUCUCGAUUUUACUUAUUUGUCUUUCCUCUUGUAUUCUAUGAUUAAGAAAUAUAACAAGCCAACCAGAUAUUAUUUUGAUUGUGUAUUCUAAAUAUGUUCUUACUUUGAUUUUGUUUUCUCACUUGAUUCAAUCGUCACUACAAUUGGUAUCAGAGCAGGAAUCAUACUGUUUUGAUCUAAUUUUCAUCUGUUUCAAAAGCUUUUUGAAUCUCGUUCUAGAUUUAAAAGUUUCCGCACUUUUAAUUCUGAAAAUCUAUGUAGAUCUUCGCUUUUGAUUGGAUUAUGCAUUUCGAUUGACCUAUCGAGUGUUUGUUAUUCGUAUUCUGGUUGAUUCAUCUUGUUAUUUUCAAAUUUCUCAAGUUUUUCUCUGAAUUCAUCUGUACAUCCACGGCGAAUUUCAAUAUUAAUACCAUGACUUCUUACUCUCAUCUGCUAGGAUCUUCAACUAAGAUUCCUAUGCUAAUUUCGGAGUAUUACGAUCAACGGGCGGAUCGUAUCGAGGAUUACUUGAACGGAAUUGAUGAAGAACUUUGGAAGUACGUUACUAAUGAUUUUCAUCCUCUUCCUUCUGUUCAAGGUGUAGGAACUUCUACAACAAAACCAAGUGUUACUGAACAAACUGCAAGGCUGCUGAAAAACGAGAAGAGGUUUACGAGAGAACUUCGUCGAGCUCUUCCUCCUGUUGUGUAUAAUUACAUUCUAAGUUGCAAAACUUCCAAGGAAAUAUGGAAUACUCUAAAGGAAAAGCACCAGGGAAGCGAGAAAACCAAAAUAAUUUCAGUCAAGCAAUGUAUGUUGGAGUUAAGAGAGUUCAAGCAAAAAGGAGAAUCAAUUGAAUUGUUCUAUGACCGUAUGAAUGAGCUUAUCUAUAAGUGAAAUAGGUAUGGUAUUACCAACUCGACUAUGGAGUUCAAUCUCACUUUCACUAUGGGGCUUCACAAGGAGUGGACGAACGGGAGUCUAAUGGUAAAGACACAACAAAGCUUCGAUUACUUUUCUCGAAACGAUCUUUACAAUGUACUAAAAGUCCACGAAACUGAAGUGAAUGAAAUCCUUGAAGAGUCAUGGAUCAAUCUGGGUGGUCCAUUAUCACUAGUGUCGAAGGUGUCGGGAAGAGAAGUUGAGAAAGAAGCUUUUGAGAAGGAAAGUUCCGAAGAUGAAGGUCUGUUCGUCAACUCCGAUGACGAAGCAGUAUGUUUUUAUUCAAACAAUAGAGUAAAGAAGUUUUACAAAAAGCCUUUCAAUGCGAAACUAAGAACUGGUGAAGUUAAGGGAAAUUUUUCUGGGAAAGUGAGUGCUAAAAAGAUGAUUGAGAAGAAAGAAGCGAAGGGUGAAGAGUCAAAAGCUGAGAAAAAGCUCAAAGGUGAUUCGGUUGUUGAUUGUCACUAUAGCAACGUGGCUAAUCAUAUGGCGAAUGACUGCAUGUAGCGAAAGAAAGAAGAAAAGAAGAAUAGGGUCAAGGAUGAAGCAUAUUAUUCAGAAAGAUUGGAAGAAAUGAGGGCUAAGACAAAGGGAAUGUCACUGGUUGCAAGAGGGGAAGAUGAAGAUGAGGGAAAACACCAAAUAUGGUCUCCUGGGUCGGAUGACUAAGAAAUGCGAAAUCCGACGCAUGGAGCCAUGUUCGCGAGGUAUAAGGAUGAAGCAGAAGAUAAAGUUACUGGUAGUUGUUCAUGGGUUUUAGCCAUAAAAAUAUCCUAUGUGCUCAUGCAAACCCUAAUGCUUGGAUCUAGGUUUCUCUAUUAUACAUGCAAUUCAUCCAUGACUUUAAACCCUAGAUCUAGCAUACAAUUAAUCAUAUUAACAUAAGAAUGGGGUUUAGAGAAUUACCUUUGAUUGUUAUGUAGCAAUAACAAUCUCAAGUCCUCCUUGUAAUGACUUUAGAAAGCUUAGAGUCACAAUUGUCACUCCUCUAAUGGUUCACAAACACCACGAGCAAGAGGAUGAAGAACAAGGAGAGUGGAGGCUGCCAAAAACGUCCAGAAACCCUAGUGGAACUCUUCACCACGUUUUUGGGGCUUAAGGGUGCUAUAUAUACAUGUAGGCUAUUAGGGUUUUCAACUAGGAAACCCUAAUCUGACUGCUUAAGCCCUAAGCAGCCCAUGGAUUCCUUUGGUAUAUCCCUUGGACGAUUUCUAAUGGGCUUCCCCAUAAACUUCGUCCAACCUUUAUAUUAUUAAGUAAUCCAUAGCCCAAUUGCAAUUAUCUUAUAAUUACAGUUCCAGUCCCUUAAGUUUAAUUAAUCUCUUUUAGCCACAAAACUAAUUAUCAAUUAACUCUUGACUAAUAUUAAUUAAACAAUAUGAUUUCUCCUUUAAUAUAUUAUUCUCAUAAUAUAUUAAUAAAUCAUAAUUAAUCCUUUCUCUCCAUUAUUCAUCAUAUCAAGUUGCUUUGCUGAAGGCAACCCAAAAGGACCAUGCACCAUCGGGUCAAGUACAUACCAAAAUAGUUAUGGACUUAGACACUAAUCCAACAGUCUCCCACUUGGAUAAGUCUAAUAACUAUUCUGCGUAUGACUUCAGAUCCUGAUCUGCAAUCGUAGCUUUCCAAAGCCGCUGUCAACUCUGAUCCUAUCAGAUACGCGUGUCCUUUAGAUAAGGGAUCAUAUAUUCCUCCAUUCUAGAUAUCAUAUGAGAUAUGAUUUCAAAUCAUUCUCUUUGUACUAUUUCUCGAUUUCCGAUUUAUGACGACUGACUAAUUGAACAAAUCAAAUUAGCCCUAGCCCGGCCGAGCAUUUACGUUUGUCAUCACUAAAUCAUCGAGGGGCCCAAAGAUAUCGCUUUUAUCCUACUUUGGAUAAAAGGAACGGAUAAACUUUGAUUCAAUGCUUGCUUGCACUCACUCACCGAAUCACACACAACAAUAUGUUUUAUAACACCAAGUUACUGGUGCGUUUACAUAUUAUCAAUGUGCAACCGACUUGCAAGAUACAACUCACACAUCUUAGUUUCAAGAAUAUAAGAUAUUAUCGUCUCACCAAUCACUCGUGAUAAAAUUCAUGAAGUGAUCCAAGUGAGCGUGGGUUUAAUCCAAUGCUCAAAUCAUAUUCAUAAGCACUCAUGAACGUUGCAGCAAACAUUUGCUUAUGUCUAAUACACUUUAGACAAUCCACACACCAAUUCACGACAGUCUUCAUUCAUACCUACUUCCAACAUAUGAACGACUGUGGUCCGUUCGAAUAAUUUGAUUGUUCUGAACCAAUUUAAUUAUUCAGGAAGUCAAAACAUGCAAAGUGAAACAAAAGAAUAAUACUAAUCCCAUAUGGCCCCAAACUCUGGGUAUAAAUAAAACAUUUUAUUUAAUCACCAUAUUGAUUACUCAUUAUUUGUUGUUUCGGGUAAUCAACUUCUUACUUGAAUUAUUACUACACUUGUCCGAUGCUCUUAGCAUGCACACAACUUUUACCUACGGGUCUUACUUUGUGAAAUAGAUCAAAUGAACACAUUUCCAAUCAUACUCAUUUCACAACUCCCAAUCCUUUUCACAAGUGAAAGAAUAUCAAAUUCUUGCCACUUAAAGAAUAUGCUAGAUUCUAACAUUUUAUGCAAUGAUCCUUUCGUAAUGUCAUAGCACAAAAGUCACAAUGACUAUUGCCAAUGAAAUUACAAAGUCCUCUAUUUGAGAUUGUUACAAUACAAUUCCAUAAACGUGAUGUCUCUCACUCAAAGUACAUUCCUUUGAACGUCUUUUAGCAUAAAUUUCUAAUCUAGACAUAGGCUCUCAAUAUCCAACUCCCAAUAUGGAACCAUUUCCAUAUUUGCCAUAUGACAACUCAUUCUUAAUAGAAUCUUAUCUAUUCAUAAUAAUGUUGAUAUGGUCCAUCCAAUACUAUACUUCCAACUACUCACAAGCGACUAAACCUCAGCGAGCUUUGGAUCGUCCUUUGAUAGUUGUUUAAUUAUCUUAGUCAAAACAGAUUCUUGUCCUUUUUCCCUCUUAAUGUGCUAGACAUUUGGAAAAUUUUAGAAUGGUCAAAUAUUAUAGCACUUGCAAUCGAUCCUUUACCCGAAGCGUAUGGGACACGAUGCAUAAUGUCUUACAUAAUGAUACGAUACUUUAUCAAUCUUUUGCGAUAAUAUCUCAUGUGUCACAUUCUCACAAUUGGAACUAUGAAGAGGGAUGCCAUGAUCAUAAUCGACUUUGCAAAGUAUAACUCUUGUUUUCUAUAAUUAAUAUUGCUAACUUGCAAUACUUGCCUUAAUAGUCAUACAAGCAAAACAUUUAUGCUCCCACUAUCAUGAUGAUUAUUAUCAUAUAAGCAUAACACUUAUGCUCCCACUAGCUUUGACAUGUAUUUAGAAAAUAGCUUAACUUCCAGAACAACAAUACAUAUUGAAUUUCUUAAGUUCAUAUUUAUAAUACCUAGUGCUUUGAUAAUCCUUUAUCUAAGCUUCUCAAACUUAUACACCUUUGCCUUAGAUAGCUCAUAUGUGUGUCUAAAAAAUUCAGACUAAUUGCCAAAUCUCACAAUUCGAAUCAUGGAAAGGGAUACCGUAACCAUAAUCGAAUUCGAGAAUACAAUUUCCACAAUCACUAUCUUCUUAAAAUCUCUAUUAGUGAAAACAUUUCCUCACAGUCAUUUUCAUGAAGGAGGGAAUCUUAUGAUACUUAGACUUUAAUGGUGUAUGUGUUUCUAUCCAUGUGGAUUUGUCAAAACCAAAGUUUGCGACAAUUCCAAACUAAUAUGGACCGAACUUUCUCAAUCUUGAUUUCUUGCCUUAUGGUAACACUAGUGCCCACCAUGUCUUCCAAGUAGUUAAGCAGCUCACCCUUUCCUAUCAAUGUACUUUCCAUUGAUCAAGAUGCUUGCCUUUUAUGCGUUCAAAUGAAAACUCAUAGAACUCACAUGCAUAAUUAACUCAAUUGGAACGGCAUAUAAACAAGAUAGUGUCAACACGAUAAGUCGUAAACCUCAAGUCGUGUGCUAGUGAUGAUCGAUAAGGUUUAUUUUUUUAUUUGUUCUUCAAACCUUUCAAGACCAUUAAGACUCCCACUUACUCCUUGACAUAUAAGUUUCUCUUGUUAAUAAACGUUUCUUGACAAACAAAUAUUCAAAAGUUAGUGUAGCUUUUAUCAGGACAAAACACUUCAUAAAAUUGGUCCUAGUUAGUCUUUGUCUUAUCCAAGACAUCACAACUUACCACAUUUGAUGAAUUUUAUAAACCUUCUUAAGACUUGUCACUCAAUGUCACAAUCUUAACUCUAAGACUUGUUUUGGAACGAAGUAUGCUUGACUUUUUGAUUUAACCAUUUCUUCAAUUCUUGAUUCCUCUUCUCAGACAUACAAUUGUACUAAGACUCACUUAGAGGAUCAAUUGAGAUAUGGUUCUUAAUCAUUAAUACCUAUCAUAAAACAUAAUAAAAGGUACUCUCCCUUCUUCUUAGAAUAAAGAAACUUUUAUCUUUCUGCCUACUUGAUUCUCCUUAUUCGUUAUGCUAUUGAUUUAAACUCUUUCUAUCAAUUCAGAAUUACACUUAAUCUUAUAAGUAUAAUCAUAUUUACUAAACCUUUAGUAAAUCAUGACGAAUAUCUUUGUUACUCUUGUGGUGGACUUGAUCAACACACAACUUUGUGUACUAGAUCUCUUAGUCCUUCACUUGACACUUUAUCAACGAAUUAGUCUAAUUUCCAAAUAUGAAAUUUCUCAUUCAUCGUGCAACCAAGUUGCAUGAUUCCAAGAAACUCUCCCUAUUUGGUAAACUCUCGAUAUUUCCACAAAUGAUAUAAUUAAGAAUCAAAAAACAUUAUUGCUAAUAAUAGAAACCUUCAAACAUCAAUUUUUCGUACAUGCCACUAUAAGGAUAAAUAAAUAAUAUAAAAACAAAAUUUAUUUUAUUGCAGAAAAAUUUGUCCUUACAAUGCAACUCAUCGAAAGAAUAUGUUAAUACAUAUUUCUUAGCAAUCUUUUCUAACUCUAAGUAGUAGCUCAAGAAUCCAAUCUUCAAGCAAUGCGAUCGAAAUCCAUUUCUUCACAAUUAGAUUCCGCUCACUUCUUCCCUUAAGCUUCCUCUCUUUUCUUUGAUCCUUCAAAACAUCAAUUGUAAUCUUAUCACAUCAUGUAUUAAGAAUCUAGAAUAGGAACUUAAAAAGAGUUAGUUAAUGGAUUUUACCUAAAGCAGAGCCAUACGUUUUGACUCUCCCAUCUCUUAGAUCUCUUAGGUAAAUAAGGCAUCUUCGUCUCCAAUGCCCUUUCUCUUGGCAAUAAAAGCAAAUUGACUCUUUUGGAAUGGCUCAUGGAACUACUUCAGACUUUGCCUUUCUCUUAUGAUCAAACUUUUCGAUCAUGGCACGCCUUUCGUUUCCAUUCCCUAUAUCCAUAAAAGUCUAGAAGGCAGAUUCACCAAUCAACUUUGCUUUUCUAGUGCGCCAAAUCAUUGCUGAUUCAGCAGCAAUAAGUAUGUAGGUGAGAUCUAUAAGGGUCACGUCGUGGUUCAUCGCAUAGUACUCUCUUACGAACUCACUAUAUGAGUUAGGAAGCGAUUGAAGAACCCAGUCAACAGCCAGCUCCUUACAGGCAACGAAUCCCAACAUUCUUAACCUUUCAAUGUGUGACUUCAUCUCUAGGACAUGUGCACACACCGACUUUCCUUCUUCAUGUUUACUUGCCAAAAGGGCUUGAGUGAGGUGGAGGAAGUGAAGCAUGAUCUCUUGUUCCUCGAUCGAAUCGUGGAAUAUCAUCUUCAUGUCGAAGGCUUGUUCCACGGGAUUUGGGAAUACCAUAGUUGUCAUACUUUGACAUCUACAAAAUGGGAGAAAAUAAAUUCAAGUUAGUUGAUUGAUUGAGUCCUUAAUAAAUCACCCAUUUGAGAUAUUAAGGCUAGGAUCCAACACAACACUCUACAACCUAGAAAAGGGAUGCCGUAAUCUAGUUGCAGAAUAUUUGAAGGUAGGUAAAUGACGAUUUUCCAAUUUCCACCAUGAAAAACGAAAAAGAAAUUUAUGUUUUAAAUCUAUUGAAAAUUCCUAGAUCUUUUGAGACUCAUUGAACAUUUCAAUGACAUGUUUAAAUCUCGAUAUGCCCCUCUAGUUUUUGACUGGGAUACUGAGGAUCACAAAGCGGGUGUGAAUAAUCAUGCAAACUUACAUUGUGCCCCCACAUGUUACAGUCACCUAUUUGAUGUGCCGGUUAACGACACACGCUCCACCGAGCUAUGACAAACAUUGAGUCACCCUUUGCUACCUUUGCUUAGAACCAUUUAGUGUGCCUGUUAACCACACACGCUCCACCAACGUCUUUGCAAGGGCACAAAGUGUAAUUUCAUGGAAUUGCAUCAAUUCACUUUUGCCUAAAGCAACUAAGAUUGGAAAUUUGUAAAACAUUUAAUUACUUUUGUAUUGCAUUAUACUUAUAAUGGAACGUUUCUGUCCUAUCCUACCCGUUCGGCUAACGACCCUCCACUAGUCAAGAGUGCGGUAGGUAAGAGUGGAUACCCAAUCAAUCGCCAUUUUAUAGGUAAUUUCCUUAAACACCCCGUAUAGACCAGCUGCGUGAAUGAGGCCUACUAACAGUAAGACUGACUUUUACUCAUACAUAUAUAUAAUAUUAGACUUUUAAUGUUAUAUAUUGUAUAGGGUGUAUUUUACACUUUUAAAAUAGUAGGUGGUCAAAUUUAAUAAUUAUACCUUUAAUUUAAUUAAAUUGUAAACCAAAACUUUAUAGAUUUAUUAAAUCUCUUUUAAUUAUACACUUUAAUUAAUUAAUAAAACCAUAAGGGUGUGAUUUGAACUUUUCAAAACAAUACUAGGGUUUUAGGGUUUUAGAAUUGAACAUUUCUAAAUUAACUUUUAAUCAACUUUUAAAUUCAAAAACUUGAGGGCAAGUUUUGAAACAUUUCAAAACAUUUGGGUUUCAACUAUUUAAAUUUCAAAACAAAACCUUUAAGUUCAAAUUUAAACCAUAAAACUCACAUGGGCACAAAUGAAACUUUUUCACAACACAAGGAUCAAAUAAUAAAUAAUAGAAAUUAAACAAUUAAUUUUGUCAUUAUCUAUAUUUGACCUAAUUUUGAUUUCUUGCAAGAUAAGUUACCGCAUUAAUACAAAUAAUCAAUCUUAAAUCAUAUAAGGAAGAUAUUAUCUAAUCAAUUGGUAAUUAUCAUUUGUUUUGGCAAGGAUAAUCUUUUAGAAACAUUAAAAAUCAUAUUUUAUAAGUUGAAAACGAAUAUGGUAAUUAUCCUUAAGCAAAACAACAACAAAUUCUGAAAUUCCCUAUGUCUGACGCUCCGACUCGCCGAGUCACACAUUGGAACUCGCCGAGUCAGUUCGAACAGAAGGCCAUAAUUCGAUUUUCAGUUAAUAAUUCAACAUAGCAUCACAUACAAUAGAAACCAAUCAAGUCUCUGAUACCAUUGAUGGGUUUCAGCCAUAAAGACAUCCUAUGUGCUCAUGCAAACCCUAAUGCUUGGAUCUAGGUUUCUCUAUUGUACAUGCAAUUCAUCCAUGACUUUAAACCCUAGAUCUAGCAUACAAUUAAUCAUAUUAACAUAAGAAUGGGGGUUAGAGAAUUACCUUUGAUUGUUAUGUAGCAAUAACAAUCUCAAGUCCUCUUUGUAAUGACUUUAGAAAGCUUAGAGUCACAAUUGUCACUCCUCUAAUGGUUCACAAACACCAAGAGCAAGAGGAUGAAGAACAAGGAGAGUGGAGGCUGCCGAAAACGUCCAGAAAACCUAGUGGAACUCUUCACCACGUUUUUGGGGCUUAAGGGUGCUCUAUAUAUACAUGUAGGCUAUUAGGGUUUUCAACUAGGAAACCCUAAUCUGACUGCUUAAGCCCUAAGCAGCCCAUGGAUUCCUUUGGUAUAUCCCUUGGACGAUUUCUAAUGGGCUUCCCCAUAAAAUUCGUCCAACCUUUAUAUUAUUAAGUAAUCCAUAGCCCAAUUGCAAUUAUCUUAUAAUUACAGUUCCAGUCCCUUAAGUUUAAUUAAUCUCUUUUAGCCACACAACUAAUUAUCAAUUAAUUCUUGACUAAUAUUAAUUAAACAAUAUGAUUUCUCCUUUAAUAUAUUAUUCUCAUAAUAUAUUAAUAAAUCAUAAUUAAUCCUUUCUCUCCAUAAUUCAUCCUAUCAAGUUGCUUUGGUGAUGGCAACCCAAAAGGACCAUGCACCAUCGGGUCAAGUACAUACCAAAAUAGUUAUGGACUUAGACACUAAUCCAAUAAUUGUUUUGUUUCGACAUUUUGGGACAAAGCGCCAAUGACUUCGAAGGUAUGUUCCCUACUUCAAUCCUUUAAUAUUCCUUCAUGUGCUUAUAACUUUGUGUUACUGAAUUUGAUGUUGCUAUUACUUAUGUCAAUAAUUUGGUUAUUUCUACUACAACGAUGCUAAAAGUCUAGUGCUCAAUUACUAGAAUCACAAAAGAUGUUGGAGGCGAAGAAAGUUAAGAUAGAUCAUUUAGAAUUACAAAUUACGAACAUCAUGUGUGAUGGGGAUAGUUUGAGUACCGAUAAUAAAAUUAUGUUGAAACAAAGAAACAUUUAUUGUAACUCAGCUAUAAGGUUAUAUGGUAAAUUGACUGAAUAGCAUCAUUCAUCUGACAUAAGCAAAGAACAACAUAUGAAGCUUUUACCCUUUUUAUCUUUUGAAGGAGAGAAAGUAGAUGCAAAUUCUUAUGAAUGUGAGAUGUCAAUUUCUGAGUUUGAUAAGGUUCCUGAUAAUAGAUAUCCGUAUCGAAUUGUGAAAAUUGAUGAAUAUCUUAAUGAAAAUGAUCUUUUUGAUACUGUUAAUAAGACCCAAACUAAAAAUGAACAAAUCAAGAUUUUGAAAAGUACUGAGAAUUCGACAUCUGAUUUUCAAAACAAUUUUACUCAUAUCGAAGAUGACAAUAUUAGUGAAAUUGAAAAAGAUGAAAUUGUUGACUGUUCUCAGUUAGCUGUCAUUAAUAUCAAAUCUUUAGCUAUGCGUAAACAAAUAUGUCAUGAUUCGAAUGUUAAAGUUAAGAAAGAUCAACCCUAUACUUCGAAAGUUUUUGAUCCUGACUAUGUGACUGUCGAAGAUAGUCAAACUGAUAGUGAUGAUGUUGAAGAUAUUUCAAAAUAAACUACUACUCCUUGUGUAUCGAAAGAAACAACCAUUCCUAUAAUUGUUGAAGAUCAGGUUUAUAAAGAGACAAAGAAAUUCGACAAAAUCCUAAAAGAAAAAGGUUCUCACUCUCUUGAAGAAAAUUCUAUGGUUUACCCAAACUUCAAGUGCACUGAUAAUGUCGUCUUUCCAAAUCAAGUUUUUUUUGUCACAAAGGAAAAUGGAGAAAGUGUUAAACCUAAAAUAAACAAACUUGUUGAUGAGGACAAUAAGAAAGCUUCAAAGGAAGGAUUUUUCUCAAAUCAGAGCGCGAUUGCGAACAAUCUCAACAAAAAUUUCAUUCACUUUUCAACGACAAAAGCCAAGUCAAACUUGGGUUGUUAAAACAGGAACGCCGAAAGAUGAAAAACAAACAAAUGUAAAAGUUUCUGAAAAUCCAAUUGAAAAAGUUCAAAGUAUAAAAGAAAAUGUCCAAAAGAUUUCUCAAGAAAAUGGAAUUUCGAUGAACAAAGCUCGAAAUAAGGCUUAUUGGAAAAAUUAUGUGUCUAAAAAGAAACAACAAAGUCUUUCAUCCAAAGAGGCUGAAAAGAAAAAUUCUAAAUAUGUUAAGCCAAAGAGCAUGUUUCGAAACCAAAACAAACAUCUCAUGUUAAACUUCUUAUCUUGAGAGUUAUGUGAAAAAUCAACAAACAAAGAAUUUUGUUCAGAAUUCACAAAAUCAAAGGUUUUCACAACAUAAUCUUCAAAAAUAUGGUUUUCAAUCAAAUGAUAAAAAGAGUUAUCAUCGGGUUCCACAUCAAAAUUUAUUUUCGAACUCACAAAAAGUUUUUCCAAGAAAUGAUAAUGGGUAUCAAAAUCAGUUUCAGAAUCGUUAUAAACGUCAUGUAUCAACAAGAAUGCCAACAAGAAACUAUGAAAAGUUGAAAAUCCAAGGGAGAAUAUAUGAACCUUUUAAGCCAGAUCAACCUCAUUUUCCAAACCCACCUUUGAAACAAACAGUUAUAGUUUCAUUUGUUAAGGGAAAAACGAAUGUGAAGAAUAUUAAUUUGGAAAAUUAUCUCAAGAACAGAUCAAGGAUGCAUAUGAGAAGUAUCUAAAUGAAUCAUCAAAUGGAUGUUCUUCAUCAUAAGAUUCAAAUCCUUCUGUUCAAAAAUCGAGAGCAAUUUCGAAAGAAAAAGUCAGUGAGAAUCAAACUAAGAUGAAUGAGGCGAAAUUUAAAGUUGGCUUUAAAUCUUCGAAUGAUUACAUUUUUGAUACCCUUAAAUAAUUAAGUGGACUUAAUUAAUAGUGUCAAGUCAAAAGUUCGUAAUUGGAUAAUAGGGUCUUCAUUUCAUCAAGCAUUUUGUACCAAUAACCAAGGACCCAAACAACCUUGGGGACCUAAAUUCUUUAAAUAAUUGCACGUUUUGAGUGACGAGCAAUAUGAUGAUAAAUGGUAUAUUAAUAGUGGUUGUUCUCUUCAUAUGACUGGGAAGAAGGAAAACCUAAGAUUUUUUCGAAUUCUUGAAAAUGUUAGUAAUGUGAAGUUCGGAAAUAAAAAAAUUUGUAAAGUCAAAGGCUAUGGAAAGGUGACAAAUGGCAAGUUGACCGUCAAUAGAGUAACUUAUGCUGAAAGUCUUCAACAAAAUUUGAUCAGUGUUUCGCAACUUGUUGUGGGCACUGGAAAUCAAGUUGUUUGUGAUGAUAUUGAACAAAGAAACUAAAGAAAUUCUUCUUAAAUCAAAACGAAAAGGCGAUAUGUUUACACUUGACAUCAAACCCAUCGUUGGUGUUCCUUCAAUUUGUUUACUUUAGAAAGUUUCUUCUUAUAUAAGUUGCCUAUGGCAUCGAAGACUCUCUCACUUGAAUUUGAAGAAUUUGAAUAAGUUGGUAAAAUAUCUUGUUCGAGGUUUGCUAGUUUGAAAGUUUGAUCAUGAUACUUUGUGUGCAGCUUGUGAACAAGGAAAACAACACAGACAAGGACAUCCAAUUGUUAUUGAUUCGAAGAUCAUUAAACCUUUGGAACUUCUUCAUAUUGACCUUUGUGGUCAUUCAACAGUUGAAACACUCAACAAGAAGAGGUACAUUUUUGUUAUAGUUGAUGAUUUUUCUUGGCUUACUUGGGUAUAUUUUCUAUAUUUAAAAUUAGAAACAAUUCAAGUGAUGAUCAAUUUCAUCAAACACAUCGAGUUAAGUCUAAAGAAAAAGGUUUGCAAGAUCAAGAGUGAGAACGACUCACAAUUUAAUAACACGGUUCUUUAUUCGUUUUUGUCUGAGAAAGGAAUUUCACACAAUUUCUCAUCUCCUUAUACACCUCAACAAAACGGUGUUGUCGAAAGGAGGAAUCGUUCACUUUGCAAAGCUGCAAGAACAAUGUUGACUUAUGCGAAUCUUCCACAAUAUCUCUGGGCUGAAGCUAUUUCUACUACUUGUUUCACUCAAAAUCAGUCAUUUAUUCAUAGACGAUUCAAUAUCACCCCAUAUGAAAUCAUUAACAACAGGAAACCAAAUGUUAAAUUUUUCCAUGUUUUUUGUUGCAGAUGCUUCAUUAUGAAUCUUAAGAAUAAUCUUUUGAAAUUUCAGUCCAAGGAUGGUGAAUGAAUAUUCUUAGGCUAUUCUCAUAAUUUUGUGGCAUACAGGGUGCUCAACAAGUGAGCUAGGAAAAUCGAAGAAACCUUUAAUCUCACAUUCGAUGAUCACUAUGUCAAAAGAGUCGAAAAGUGUUUUUAACAAAAACCAAUCAUUAAUGGGUCAAAUGAAAAAUCUGAAAGUAUUAAUUCAUUAGAUUUUGAUUAUGAUUUGAUUUUUGGUGUUCUAGAUGUUGUUGAUAAUCGUUUGCCUGAAGCGUCGAAACAUUCUGAUGAUUCUACUCUGACUCGGGAUAAUAAUGAUUCAUUUUCAUCAAAAAAUUCUUCCAAGAUUAACAAAAGUUUGUCAGAUGCAUCAAAUGAUCAAGUGGAGGGGGAGCACUUGAAUUCGUCUGCUCAUGUUGAGGGGGAGCAAACUUUCGAGGGGGAGAGAGAAAGAAUGAAUGUUAAUGUCGAGGGGGGGCAUCCUAAUAAUCCAAUUGUCGAGGGGGAGCAAUAUGGUGAUAAUACAAAUGUUUCGAAUGCUCAAAAUGAUGAAAUUUUUGACGUGGAUGAUAAGUUGUCAAAUGAUGGAGAAGGGUCUGAAACUAAGGAAAUGUUCGAGCAUGCACCAUUGGAUUUUGAUCCUGCAUAUCCUUUGAUGGAUAUAUGGACUCGAAGUCAUCCAAAAGAACAAAUUCUUGGUAGUCCUGAAGAUGGAGGGUUGACCAAAGCUCAAAUUCAUGCAAAGAAUGAGGUACUCAAUAAUCACCAGGAAUUUUGUAUGUUCAAUGUUUUUAUUGCAAAAAUUCAACCAAAGUCAGUAAAUAUUACUAUGGAUGAUCCUGAUUGGAUUGUUGCUAUGCAAUCUGAAUUGGCUGAGUUCGAAAGAAACAUGGUUUUGAGACUUGUUCCAAACCAACAAGAUACUUCUAUAAUUGGUCUUAAAUGGAUUUUUAAGAGUAAAACUGAUAAAGAAGGAAAUAUUCUUCGAAAUAAGGCUAGGCUAGUUGUAAAAGGAUAUUCGCAACAAAAAGGUAUAGAUUCUGAAGAAACCUUCGCCCCUGUCGCAAGACUCGAGAUUUUUCUAAUCUUUUUAGCCUAUGUAGCACAUAAAGAUUUCGACAUAUAUCAAGUUGAUGUGAAGUGUGCUUUUCUCAAUGGAGUUCUCGAAGUAACGGUUUAUAUUGAGCAACAACAAAGUUUUGUCAAUUCUCAAUACCCUGAUCAUUGUUAUAUUUUAGAUAAAGUUGUUUAUGGUCUUAAACAAGCUCCACAUGUCCAGUAUGCCACUCUUACUAAUUUCUUAAAAUCUUCGAAAUUUAAGCAAGGAUCUAUUGAUCCCACUCUCUUUCGAAUGAAAGUUAGGAUUCAUCUCAUUCUUGUUUAAAUUUAUGUUGAUGAUAUUAUUUUUGGUUCAACUGAUCCUCAAUUGUUAAUUGAAUUUGAAAAUAUGAUGAAAAGUAAAUUUGAGAUGAGCAUGAUGGGGAAGAUAAACAAUUUUUUGGGAUUAAGUAUUCGUCAAAGCAGAGAAAGAAUUUUCAUCAAACAAGAGAAGUAUACAAGAAAUCUUCUUGAGAAGUUCGGAAUGAAGAAUAACAUAAAGUUGAGAGUACUGAUGGCAGUUGGAACAAGACUAAGUCCUUCAAUUGAAAAACCAGUUGUUGAUCUCGCAUUGUAUCGAAGCAUGAUAGGUUCGUUAGUAUACCUUACGGCUAGUAGACCUGAUAUUAUGUUUUUUGUGUGCAAUUGUGCUAGGUAUCAAUUGAAUCCUAUAGAACCUCAUCUUACUGCCAUGAAAAGAUUUUUUUUCUAUCUCAAAGGAACAAUUUCGUUAAGGUUGUGGAAUCCUUUGAAAACAUGGUUUUUCAUUCAAUCAUUCUGAGAUGCUGAUCUUGGUGGGUGUCAACUUGAUCGAAAAAGAACAAGUGGUGGAUGUCAACUUUUGGAUGGGAAGCUUGUGAGUUGGCAAUUGAAGAAACAGACAUGUGUUUCAAUUUCAAAAGCAGACGCAGAAUAUGACGCUGUUGCAGCUUGUACUUCUCAAAUCAUAUGGAUUCAAAGUCAACUGCGUGAUUAUGCAACUAAUAUGAAGAAAUUUCUGUUGUAUUGUAAUUCAAAAAGUGCUAUACGCAUUUGUCACAAUCCUAUGCAACAUUCGAAAACACAACACAUUGCUCUUCGAUAUCACUUUAUUAAAUAUCAUGUAGAAGAUGGCAACAUUGAAGUUCAUUUUGUAAAGACAACUGAUCAGCUUGCAUAUAUCUUUACAAAGCCAUUAGAUGAAAAAUAUUUCGUAAGAAUCUUGACGGGAUUAAGAAUGAUCGAAGCAAAUUUAGUUACAGGACUGCUUUCAAAAGAAUAACAAACCAAAGCGGAGAACAGCUGUCGUGUCAGUGGUUACUGUUCAUAGUCAACACUUCGACAUACUUCGCUUUCGACAUCAUGCACCAUGGUUUGACAAAAUUUUCACUAUUUUGUGUCAUUGUCUUAUUUUCGCUAAUCAAGUACAUUUAUUUUAUUGUUUUCUAUUUUUUUAAAUCAAAAACAGCAAAAGGAUUUUUCAUUUUUGUUCUUUAAAAUCAAAAACAACAAAAAAUAUUUUUCAUGUUUGUUCUUUAAAAAAAAAUCUAAAUAUCAAAAAGAUUUUCUUAUUUUUGUAAUUUCUUUUUCAAAAAUCAAAAAUCCAAAAAUAUAUUUUGUUUUGUUCUUUUAAUUUUUCCUUGUGUAGCUAUUAACGAAGAUUUUUGUUGCCUAAUGCCUACUGUUACUUUAUGGGAAGGUAUAUUUUUGAAACUAUGUACUAGUUAAGAUGUCCCUAGAAGCAUGCUGCAGCAUGUCUACCCAAGCCUCGAUAACUCAAAGUGUUUCAAAGCCUUAAUGAAUUUCUCAUUACGAGGUUUCCUACCCAAUAAGGCUGUAUUCACAUUAGUUUUUGAGCUACCUUACUCUUCUCACAAAAGUUAAGAGUUUCCUGCUUGGUCCUAUCAUAACAGAGGUACUUUAGAUUCUUGAACCACACUUUUUAAUCCAAAGAUUCUUUCACAUUCACACACAAUGACAUAUGUCUAAGAGAUAUCUGAUAUAAACCAAUAAGGAUUUAAACAUAUCAAAGAUCUGUGUUUAUGAUAUGGGUUCAUGAGACGUUAAUGAAAGUGAAACCUAAUAUUUCGAACCUAAAAGGGAAUUGACGGGGAACUUUGUUCCAGAUUUUAACGAAACAUUUGUUUCAGUGCCUAUUUUUGAUACUCCAAAUCAUAUUCUUUCGUUUUGCGUGGUCUUCAUAAAAUGUUCGUAUCACACGACAUUUUUACCCAAUGAGAUACAUGAAUAAUUUUGUUUUGAGGAAUAUAUUUCAGUGUGCAGUAUCAAUCUGAAUCUUUGUUACUUGAUAAAUUUUUCAAAGCAUACUUGUCACUGACUAUACCUGUCAAACAGGUAAUUUCGAUUACAAUUUCUCACACUUAUGUUUAAUUGUGAUAUGUAAUGAAAUUUUCAACCACCCAUACAACUUAUUAAAAAAAGCCCUUCGAUACUUCUCUAUAAGUAUUUUAUUGUAAUUCAUGGGAAACCACACAAGCUGUUAGUCAUCUCUCUUGAUGAAUAACGAAGCGAUCUUUGUAUGGGAUCUUACUGCUUUUGUGUCGAUAUAUUUUUGACAUCACAGAAUCCAAAAUUUUCUUAUAUUGCUUCUUAUCUUUUUAAUUGGCACACUUUUCACUCAUGAAAUCCUUGAAGUUCUGAGUAAUACCAACUCAGACUGAUGAUUUUGAAAGUCUGGCAAAUGGCUUCGCUUUUAAACCCAAAAGUGAAAUAGCCUAACCUCCAGGCCGAAGGUUACUGAUGGUUCUAAUUCUCUUGGGGCAUGCAAAAAGUCUAUUUGAUGUGAUAUUUUAAGUUCAUGUCCAGUAUUCAAGGAAAAAGUGCACAUCACUUUUUCAGACGUGGCUAUUUCUCCGGCUAUUGGUGUGAUUUUCAAGGAGCCACAUUAAAUGCAUUUAAUGCUGGAAACCGCUUCAAAUUCAAACUCAGUUUACGUAUAAAAUGGGUUUUGUGGUUUCAUUCUAACUUUACGCUUUCAUAAUAUCCCAAAAUCAAAAAGAAUUAUCUACCAUCUUCACCAAUUUUCAAACCUUAACAAUGGCAGCACCAAAUGUUAGUGUUGAUCCAUCACAAACUACUGAAUAUAUCACAUCGCAACCGCUUAUGAAGAUACAAGGCACCAAUUUUCAAGUGAAAUUGGAUGUUUCUCUAUAUCCAAAGGGGUUGAAGAUGCGCAUUGUUUCUUUGACCAAUUUUGUUUUGUCAACUGCAAUGUCUUCUUCAUUCUCAGUACCAUUAUCUUGGUUAUCACUUGCUGGGUCUACAACGGUUCACAUCAUGGCAGUGAAGAUCAUUACUUUCCAGAUGAUGAAUGAUAAGAAGUUCAUGUUUACAAAGAAAUUAUUUGCAUAAACCUUGAAGUUACCUACAUUUUCUUCUUAUUAUUAGGUAACUAAUGAACAUGUUAUUCAUAUGUUUAAUGAGAUGGGUUAUCAGCCUAUUUUUACCAAGAUUAGUGAGUUCAAGAAGUCCAGUCUACCAUGUCUAUGGAAUUUCUUAUUUGAGAGAUAACUUCGGUGCUUGAUGGGUCGAAGUGUGGGAUUAGACAAAGCCAAGCUGGAAAUCUAUGUGUUAGUGGUAGGAAUUUUGUAUGAUAUUCUUGUUGAUUAUGCCACACAACUGUGGGAGGAGUUUGUUAAAAGCAUCAGCAACACGAAUGUUGUCACUGACAUUUUGUGUGCUUAUUACUGGAGUUUGAUUCUUCAGUAUGCAUAUAAAAAAGAAGGGAUUCCAGUUCCUGUUGAUGAACAGACAACAAAAUUUUCAAUGUGUCAGUUUCCAAAGGUCGUUGAAGAUGAUGAGGAGGUUUUCCAACUAUCGAUCGAAUUCCAGACGCAAUGCUUCACAAGGUUGAUCCAUCUCAUUAUGUAUUGGUGAGUUAUUUGACAACGAUCAAUCCUGAUAUCGUAACUAGUGUUUUGUUACCUAAAACCACUGGUCCAUCAAAGAAGAGGAAGGGGUCUAAGAAAGACACAAAGGAAAGUUCAUCAAAAACACAACCUGAGAAAGUUGAGAAGGUUGUUAAGUCUACUCCAAAUAAGGUAGUGACAACUGAGCCACCUCCGAAGGUUGUUCCUAAGCCAGUUUCGAAGCCCGUUGUUGAUUUCUCAUCUCAUCCUGAAACAGAAGUCUUACCUUCGAAAUCAGGGAUUUUGAAGAGAUUGAGGAAAAUGGUUCAUAAACUACCUCAUUCACCGGAAAGAUCAAAAAGCUUUUCACCAUCAUUUGCUAUCAAGCCUCAGGUUAUUCGAAAGGGGGUUGUCUUUUGUGAAGUUCCAGCACCUUCGUCUCCUGCAUCAAAGAAAAGGCGUGUUGAAGACAUGGCCAAAAAGAUUGUGAAGAAGUAAAAGAGAAAGAGGAAGUUAGUUAUCAGUGAAGAUUCAAAGGAUGAGGAAGUAGUUAUUGAAUCUAUAGUUGGAGAUGAUAAUAUGUAUAUUCCAUCACCAUAGAGGGAUUCUCUAAUCAAGUCGAACUUCGAGGAGAUUGGAAAUUCUGGUGGCCCUGCGAAAGCAUCUAAUGUGGACACAACCACUAAUCUUGGUGAUCCUAUGAAGGUGUCUACUCCUAAGCAGAAAACAGUCAUACCACCCGAGGUUUCGCGUACCGAGUCAUUGAAUGAGGAGGUUCGAACCUCAGACAUCUUUGUGUACAUAUCUCAUAUGGACACAAAUGUCAACAUGGGUGAAGGAUUAUCAAAUAAUGAAGCUCUUAUUAAUCAAGAUCAAGGUAAUCCUAAUCUUAUUAUUUCAUCAUCCUUCGAAACUUCUACUAUUGAUACUUCCACUUGUCUACCACCAUUUAUCUAAACUGUUUCUACUUCUACCCAUUCACCCACUUUCGGUACCAUCAUUGAUCAACCAUUACAUCUCUAUUUUCAUCUCAAUCCAUUGACCCCACCCUUGUUCAAGAAGCUGAACACAAUGAUGAUGAUGAGUUUGAUGGUACUUUUGUUGAUAUUGAGUUUGAUCCUGAAGAAGACAAUAUUUCGGAUAAUAUGUUGCUGACAAUGACACAAUUCUAAAUUCUAAAUAGAAAGCUCAAUUCAUUGUUACAACUUCAGGCUGAUGCAGAGGGAAAAUUUUUGUAUCGGGAAUCGAAGUUGAAUUGUUGCUAAAGCAUCAAGUGAAGGGUUUUGAGCACUCUAGCAGCCUUAUGGCGCACAUGCAACCCUAGAUGCUUUGGAUCUAAGUUUUCUCUAAUUAUACAUGCAAUUUGAUUUUCUAAAGCAUUCAUCCUAACUAGCAUACAAAGCAUAUGUACUUGAACAACAAAACUUGUUAGAUGACUUACCUCUUGUAGUAGCUUGUUAACUUGGACAUUUAAGAGCCUAGCACCCCAAAUGUGAUGCCUCGAAUGCUUCAUAAAACACCACCAAAAAUGGAGGACUUGAGAGAGAGUGAUUUGCACAAAAUUCGGCUCUUAUGAACUCUUAGAACACAUAGGAUGAUUUUAGAGGCUAAUGUACUCCUUUUAUAGUGUGGCAAAGACUAGGGUUACAUCCAUGCAAACCCGAAUGCACAUGACCUUUCAUAUUACUUAGGUUGUGACAACCCGAAACUUUCAUCCUAUGUAAUUGGUCCGUGUAUCGGCUUUAAAUCUUGAAUUCAUCAUCCUUUGUCAAUCUUAUGGUUCCAUAUGCGUGAUUUGGACUUAAUAUAAUCUAGAUAUGAGUCUUAGGAAGCGUUAGAGAGUAUUUUGCAUCGCGAAAUCGGACCAAACACACCAACUAAGGUGUGUGCGGCCACACUCUUGUGUGUUCGGCCACACACCCAUGUGUGCGGCCUCACUCCCAACCGCACACCCUCCCAGCCUUACACCCAAACCUAUAUAUGGAUGGAUACCCCCUUCAUUCAUUCAUUUGGAUGUUCCUUACCCUCUCUCUACUUUCUCUCUCUAAAAUCAUCAACCAAGAACACCUUGAAGGCUUCAUAUUCGUGAUCUAGUUCAUCUUCAAUCUAAUUAGUAGUAAAAACUUGAAUCCCAAUCUUAAAAACUGAUCAUGUUCAUCAUAUUCAUGGUCCCUUGAAGGUGUACGACCGCACACCUUCAUGAGGGGGUAGCACACAUUCAAAUCUCCCUAGUGUGAAGAGCAAACACUUCAUAUGGACUCACAAGAGGAGUGUACGGCCGCACACUCCUGUGUACGGCCACACACACACUCUGUACGGCCGCACACACUUGUGUGCAGCCUCACACACCCUUCUGGACGCACACCCUAGCCGCACACUCACUUCCAAAGCCAUAUACUCACUCUCAUGCCCAUAUUUGGCCCUAAACUUGCAUAGAUCAUUAACUUGGAUCAUGUGACACUUAUUCUUAGUAGUUCCAAACCCUAAGGAUGUUUUCCCCAUCAUGUUUAAUCAUGAAACACCUUAGUUCGAACUCAUUUAUGUGUCAUCACAUGAAUAAUAGGGGCCAUUGGCGUUCAGGGCAUCCGUUGACACUCGAACCCUACGUUAAACUGUGAGUUCAUACCCCUACUCCUUUUUCCGUGUUUUCAAUGAUUUCCGGGGGGGGGGGGAAUACAAGCAAGAGUACAAUGGAACAUGUACUUAAAACUUAUUAUUUCGUAUGAAAUGUUUUCAUGACAUAUAUGCUUUUAACACUGGGAAUCUUAACCGGCAACCGUUUGAACUUGCAGAACUUACUACCAUAUUAUUUGUGAAAUACCCUAUAAAAUGCUAUGUUUAUAUUUCACAAAUGGUUUUCAACAUUAUAAUAGUUAAAAGCAUUUUUUUAAAACUUAGAACUUGAAACGUGGAACUUGAACCGUCCUUGGUAACACUCCACCGAGAUACGAGAGUGAAGGACUACUUUUAAAUUCAUUAAUCUUACGAUUGGAGACACGUCCUUGGUAACACUGCCACCCGUGAUGAGAGUGUAGGACUACCCCUAUAAGCAGAAUCUCCUUGAGGGAGAACGUGACUUGAGUGUAUAGAUCUAUACGGGAUUGACUAUCCCACACCUGGCUGCUAGCUACAGCCAAACCGAAAGGUUCAAGGGUGACAAAAGUCAUAUUGUGAUACUGGCCCAGUUACGAGCCAUAUGUAGUCUUUAGUAUGGUUAUAGAACUCGCAAUCUAGAUUUAUGAAAACUUUGAUACAUAUUUAAUAGUUUUAUAUACGUGUUAAAACUAAUACAUUUUACAUGGAUAACUGUGUUUUCAGAACAUAACUUUCGUGGUAAAUAAACUUUCAGGAAAAUAAGGGUUUUUCCUAGGAUAACUGGACUUUCAUAACUACAUUUGUGUAACGAACGGAUAACUCAAACUUUUCUUAUAAGAAAAUAUGGGAUUUUUUUGGAUUCAUAACUUGUACAGAAACCAAAGGAAACUUGUUCCUUUUCAGAAAACAAAACUACUUAUGAACUCACCAGCUUUAUGCUGAUUUUCAAACUGGUUGUAUUCUCAGGUCCACAUUAGACAGGUACCCCAUGGUCUUUUGGAGAAUACGGAACACACUGAAGUCACAUCUUACUUUUGUUUAUAUAUAUACAUAUGUAUAACACUUGCAACACUUGGUUUUCAAACAAUUGUAAAUUUCAUAUGUAAUUUAAUGGUUGUUUACUUUUCUUACUAUGUACAUUGGUUAUGAUAUGCAACAUGAUGUCACAUCCGCCACAGAACGUUUUUGCCUAUGGUUUCGGGGUGUGACAGAUUGGUAUCAGAGCCCUUGUUUAUAGUCCACUAAGUAUACCAAACCUUACAUGUUAUCAAACUAUAAACACUAAAGGGGCCUAAGGGCUCUGAACUAAAAGUAUACUUUAAAAUAUAAGUAUUUUCAAAAGUAUACAAGUAUACCUAACCGCCAGAUUCCGUAACUAUGAGUAGAACAAAACAUAAGUAAAUGGAUGUUGGGCGCUGCGGUUAAACCUGGGCAGUUAUGUAGUCGUGUCUAGGGUCAAUACAGCCUGAUCAACUAUAUUCAUUCGAGACACGGCCAACAUGUGCUUAGGAGUGACUGUGGUGUUUGGCAUGCCUAAAACUUACCCAAUACCCAAACAUCGAGCCAUUGUCGUAGCGAAUCAUGAAAUACUAUGGGAGUAUUUCUCGAGCCAAUCUAUCGCAGAAAUCCUCAUUUAAGCAUUGUUCUUUGAUCAUUCUUUUGGCGAUAACUUAUCUGCUUUGAUAACUCUUUCAUGCUUUAUCGCUUAUUCAGAAUAUAUAUAUAUCUGUCGUAUCUCUUAAUUCAAUUCAGAGAACUCACCAUCCUCUCCUUCCUGAUCUUUUUAGAUCAAGAUGCCUCCAAGAAAGAGACCCAACUCAAAGAACAACAAUCCUCCGCCGCUACCUCCUCCUCAAUUUGAUCCUGUAAUGUUCCAGGCAGCUGUUACUACUGCGAUGGCAGCUGCUUUGUCUCAAAUGAACACCGGUGGCUCCGGUGGCUCAGGAGGUGGUACCCAAACCCAAAACCAAGAAGGCAGCCAGGGACGCCGAAAAGAGUGUUCCUACAAAGACUUUAUGAACGCGAAACCCACGUCUUUCGAUGGCAUUGGAGGUGUCAUUACUCUGACCCGAUGGAUCGAGAAAAUUGAAUCUAUUUUCGAGAUCUGUUCCUGUUCUGAAUCCGAUAAGGUGAAGUUCGCCGCCUGCACUUUCACCGAUAAAGCCCUGACUUGGUGGAACGGCUGAGUGAAAUCCCUAACUCUACCUGUAGCCAAUGCUAUGGGCUGGGAAGCCAUGAAAGAACUUCUUCUAGCUGAGUACUGCCCUCGGGGUGAAAUGCAAAAGUUGGAACAUGAACUCUGGAACCUAAAGAUGAAGGGUUCUGAUAUUGUCGCUUACACUUCCAGUUUCGAUGACUUGGUGCUACUCUGUCCGGGAUUGGUCACCCCGGAGAGCAAAAAGAUUGAUAGAUUUAUUUGGGGGCUGACCCAACCAACCAAAGGAAAUGUCUUGGCUGCAAAGCCAGACACCUAUGACAGCGCCAAAUGUCUAGCGCAAGCUUUGAUCAACCACAAUGAAGACCUCGAGGAAGCAACCACCACUCCUGAGUCGGCAAAAUGGAGUGGUGAGAAAAGAAAGUUUUGGAAAAAGAAGAAAAGCCAGCCUUCUCAAGAAUCCUCAAAGAAACAGAAAACUGUAGCAGUCCACGCUGCUACUAUCCCUGCUGCUGCUGCUUCUACCGUGGGAUCCACAGCUCAAACUCCUACCGGUAGAUACGCUGGCACCCUUCCCUUAUGCAACAAGUGCAACUAUCAUCACCUCACUUCCGGCCCGUGUCGGGAGGUGCAUUGCAAUAAUUGUUGCAAGAAGGGCCACCUUACUCGGAACUGCAAAUCGCCAAACCAAGCGACCAAUCAAGCCUCUGGAGCAGGAGUCGGUCAGGCCUGCUACGGUUGUGGGGAUGUUGGGCAUUUCAAGAGAAACUGCCCCAAGGUAGCAACGACUGGAAACACUGGAAGAGUCCUAGCCAUGGGACGAGAGGAGGCAGUCGCCGAUCCAACUAUUGUCUCGGGUACAUUUCUUCUCGACAACUCUUAUGCUAGUGUUCUUUUCGACUCGGGUGCCAAAAGAAGUUUUGUGAGUCAUUCAUUCAAACAUAACCUUAAACAUAAUUCCUAACCACUAACUAAAACUUUCACCGUUGAGAUGGCUAACGGUGAGAAAGAAAGUGCUAGCGAGGUGUUCAUAAAUUACACCCUUACCCUGAACGACCAUUCAUUCCCCAUCGAUCUUAUGCCAGUCUCCAUAAAGAGCUUUGAUGUCAUCAUUUUCAUGGAUUGGUUGAGUCCCAAUCAUGCUGAUAUCAUCUGUUACAAAAAAGCCAUCAGCCUCAAUCUCCCCUCUGGUCAAACCCUCAUAAUCUAUGGUGAUAAGCUCAGCUCUAAUCUUCGCAUCAUUUCCUGCAUCAAAGCUCAGAAGCUUCUGCGUAAGGAGUGCUAUGCAUUCCUAGCCCAUGUAAUCAACGAGAAGCAGGAGGUUAAAGACCUCGAGAGCAUCCACGAAGUCUGUAAUUUUCCGGAUGUCUUUCCAGAAGAGCUCCCAGGAAUCCCUCCCGAACGUCAAGUUGAAUUUCGUAUCGAUCUAGUUCCUGGAGCUACCCCCGUAGCCAAAUCUCCAUAUCGCUUAGCACCAGUAGAAAUGCAGGAGUUAUCUAGCCAGCUCAAUGAGCUGCUCAAUAAAGGUUUCAUCAGACCGAGUUCCUCACCCUGGGGAGCUCCGAUAUUGUUUGCUAAAAAGAAAGAUGGAUCCUUUCGGAUGUGUAUCGACUACCGCGAGCUGAACAAGUUGACCGUCAAAAACGAUAUCCUCUUCCGCGAAUAGAUGACCUCUUCGAUCAAAUUCAGGGAGCCAACUACUUUUCAAAGAUAGACCUUAGAUCAGGGUACCGUCAACUACGAGUUCAUGAGAAUGAUGUUUCCAAAACAGCUUUCAGGACUCAGUAUGGACACUACGAGUUCGUACGGAUGCCCUUUGGUCUAACCAACGCACCGGCAGUGUUCAUGGACCUGAUGAACCGGGUGUGUCGUCCUUUUCUGGAAAAAUUCUUCAUUGUGUUCAUUAACGAUAUACUCGCUUACUCCAGAAGCGAAGAAGAUCACAAACAACACUUGAGGUUAGUGUUGGAAACUCUCAGAUCUGAAAAGCUGUACGCGAAAUUCUCUGAGUGUGAAUUCUGGAUUCAGAAGGUAACCUUCCUUGGUCACGUGGUUAGUGAAGAAGGUAUUCACGUGGACCCUUCCAAGAUCAAAGUGAUAGAGAAUUGGUCGGCACCAAAGACACCCACAUAAAUCCGUCAAUUCUUGGGUCUCGCCGGCUAUUAUCGGAGAUUCAUCCAGAAUUUUUCCAGAACCGCCAAACCCUUAACUACUCUGACGCAGAAAGGUGUACCCUUUUGUUGGAGCGAAAAGCAAGAAACUGCGUUCCAAACAUUAAAGGAAGCCUUAUGUAGCACGCCUGUUCUGUCCCUACCCGAAGGGACGGAGGACUUCAUUGUCUAUUGUGAUGCGUCUAAUCAGGGCUUAGGCUGUGUGCUUAUUCAAAGAGGAAAAGUAAUUGCUUAUGCCUCGAGAUAGUUAGAGGCACACGAGGUCAACUAUACCACACACGACCUGGAAUUAGGAGCCGUGGUCUUUGCGCUGAAGAUUUGGAGACAUUAUCUCUAUGGAACCAAGUGUACAAUCUUCACUGACCAUAAGAGCCUGCAGCACAUCUUCGACCAGAAAGAUUUAAACAUGAGGCAGCGGCGAUGGGUAGAAUUGCUCAGUGAUUAUGAGUGAGAAAUCCGCUACCACCCCGGCAAGGCCAAUGUGGUGGCAGAUGCCCUCAGCCGAAAGGAAUGUUCGAGCCGCAAAGUGAAGACGAUGACGAUGACUAUCCACUCCUAUCUAUCUAUGCAAAUCAGAGAAGCCUAGUUGGAGGCCCUCAAACAAAAGAACGUGUCAAGCGAAUACUUGAGGGGAACGGAUAAGAAACUUGAGAUCAGAGGUGACGGAGUCUAUUGUUUCAUGGACCAAAUCUGGACCCCAAAGUUCGAGGGUUUCAGGGAGGUUGUCAUGGAGGAAGCACACAAGACCAGAUACUCUGUUCACCCGGGUUCGGAUAAGAUGUACCUAGAUCUCAAGAGACAAUACUGGUGGCCAAACAUGAAAGCCGACAUCGCUACAUUCGUGGGCAAGUGCCUGAGUUGCGCCAAAGUGAAGGUCGAAUAUCAGAAACCCUCGGGCUUGCUCCAGCAGCCCGAGAUACCUGAGUGGAAAUAGGAGAUGAUUUCUAUGGAUUUCAUUAUCAAAUUACCUAGGUGUCCGAGUGGGUACGACACCAUUUGGUUAAUUAUCGAUCGUUUGACAAAAUCCGCUCACUUCAUCUUGAUUAAAAAAACAUUCAAGAUGGAAAGACUCACGCGAAUCUACAUCCAAGAGAUAGUCCGAUUGCACGGUAUACCUACGUCCAUUAUCUCCGAUCGAGAUUGCAGGUUUACCUCCCGAUUUUGGCAAUCUCUUCAGAAGGCUCUUGGAACUAAACUAGACAUAAGCACGGCUUAUCAUCCUCAGACAGAUGGACAAAGUGAGAGAACUAUCCAAACUCUGAAGACAUGUUGAGAGCUUGUGUCAUUGAUUUCAGAAAGUCUUGGGACAUUCAUCUACCCUUGAUCGAGUUCUCGUAUAACAACAACUACCACACCAGCAUCAAGGCUGCUCCGUUCGAGGCCCUCUACGGUCACAAGUGCAGAUCCCCUCUGUGCUGGGCCGAGGUAAGGGACACGCGGCUAGCCAAGAGUCAAUUCCCCGACAGUGCUCUCACUGGUCCUGAAAUCGUCCGCGAAACCACCGAGAAAAUCAUUCAAAUCCGAGAACGACUGAAAGCUUCAUGAGAUUGAUAGAAGAGUUACGCAGACAUACGACGGAAACCUCUGGAAUUCCAUGUUGGAGAUCGUGUCUUGUUGAAGGUCUCGCCCUGGAAAGGCAUGGUACGCUUUGGAAAGCGUGGGAAACUUAAUCCGAUGUAUAUAGGACCCUUCGAGAUCCUCGCCAGGAUCGGUCUUGUAGCCUAUAAGCUCCGAUUACACCGUGAGCUUAGUAACAUCCAUCCUGUUUUCCACGUCUCUAAUCUCAAAAAGUGCUUAUCCGAUGAAACUCUUGUGAUCCCUCUUGAUGAAAUUGAGAUCAACGUGAACCUGAACUUCGUGGAGGAACCAAUCGAAAUCAUGGAUCGAGAGAUCAAACGUACAAAACAAAGUUGCAUUCCUAUAGUGAAGGUUCACUGGAACGCCAAACGGGGACCAGAAUUCACUUGGGAGCGCGAAGACUCGAUUAAACAGGAGUACCCACGUCUCUUUCCGAAUCCAUGAUUUGUAACUUAAUUCCGAAUUUCGAGACGAAAUUCCUUCUAACGGGGUGAUAAUGUGACAACCCAAAACUUUCAUCCUAUGUAAUUGGUCCGUGUAUCAGCUUUAAAUCUUGAAUUCAUCAUCCUUUGUCAAUCUUGUGGUUCCAUAUGCGUGCUUUGGACUUAAUAUAAUCUAGAUAUGAGUCUUAGGAAGCGUUAGAGAGUGUUUUGCAUCGCGAAAUCGGACCAAACACACCAAAUAAAGUGUGUGCGGCCACACUCUUGUGUAUACGGCCACACACCCAUGUGUGCGGCCGCACACCCUCCUAGCCUCACACCCAAACCUAUAUAUGGAUGGAUACCCCCUUCAUUCAUUCAUUUGGAUGUUCCUUACCCUCUCUCUACUUUCUCUCUCUAAAAUCAUCAACCAAGAACACCUUGAAGGCUUCAUAUUCGUGAUCUAGUUCAUCUUCAAGCUAAUUAGUGGUAAACAGUUGAAUCCCAAGCUUAAAAACUCAUCAUGUUCAUCAUAUUCAUGGUCCCUUGAAGGUGUACGGCCGCACACCUUCAUGAGGGGGCAGAACACAUUCAAAUCUCCCUAGUGUGAAGAGCAAACACUUCAUAUGGACUCACAAGAGGAGUGUACGGCUGCACACUCCUGUGUAUGGCCGCACACACACUCUAUACAGCCGUACACACUUGUCUGUAGCCUCACACACCCUUCUGGCCCCACACCCUAGCCGCACACUCACGUCCAAAGCCAUACACUCACUCUAAUGCCCAUAUUUCACCCUAAACUUGCAUAGAUCAUUAGCUUGGAUCAUGUGACACUUAUUCUUAGUAGUUCCCAACCCUAAGGAUGUUUUCCCCAUCAUGUUUAAGCAUGAAACACCUUAGUUCUAACUCAUUUAUGUGUCGUCACAUGAAUAAUAGGGGCCAUUGGUAUUCAGGGCAUCCGUUGACACUCGAACCCUACGUUAAACUGUGAGUUCAUACCCCUACUCCUUUUUCCAUGUUUUCAAUGAUUUCAGGGGGGGGGGGAUACAAGCAAGAGUACAAUGGAACUUGUACUUAUUACUUAUUAUUUCGUAUGAAAUGUUUUCAUGACACAUAUGCUUUAAACACUGGGAAUCUUAACCGGCAACCGUUUGAAUUUGCAGAACUUACUGCCAUAUUAUUUGUGAAAUACCCUAUAAAAUGCUAUGUUUAUAUUUCACAAAUGGUUUUCCACAUUAUAAUAGUUAAAAGCAUUUUUUUAAAACUUAGAACUUGAAAAGUGGAACUUGAACCAUCCUUGGUAACACUCCAUCGAGAUACGAGAGUGAAGGACUACUUUUAAAUUCAUUAAUCUUACGAUUGGAGACACAUCCUAGGUAACACUCCCACACGUGACGAGAGUGUAGGACUACCCCUGUAACCAGAAUCUCCUGGAGGGAGAACGUGACUUGAGUGUAUAGAUCUAUACGGGAUUGACUACCCUACACCUGGCUGCUAGCUACAGCCGAACCGAAAGGUUCAAGGGUGACAAAAGUCAUAUUGUGAUACUGGCCCAGUUACGAGCCUUAUCUAGUCUUUAGUAUGGUUAUAAAACUCGCAAUCUAGAUUUAUGAAAACUUUGAUACAUACUUAUUAGUUUUAUAUACGUGUUAAAACUAAUACAUUUUACAAGGAUAACUGUGUUUUUAGAACAUAACUUUCGUGGUAAACGAACUUUGAGGAAAAUAAGGGUUUUUCUUAGGAUAACCAAAAUUUUCAUAACUACAUUUGUGUAACAAACAGAUAACUCAAACUUUUCUUAUAAGAAAAUAUAGGAUUUUCAUGGAUUCAUAACUUGUACAGAAAUCAAAGGAAACUUUUUCGUUUUCAAAAAACAAAACUACUUAUGAACUCACCAGCUUUAUGCUGAUUUUCAAACUGCUUGUAUUCUCAGGUCCACAUUAGACAGGUACCCCAUGGUCUUUUGGAGAAGACGGAACGCGCUGAAGUCACAUCUUACUUUUGUUUAUAUAUAUACAUGUGUAUAACACUUGCAACACCUGGUUUUCAAACAAUUGUAAAUUUCAUAUGUAAUGUACUCGUUGUUUACUUUGCUUACUAUGUACAUUGGUUAUGAUAUUCAACAUGAUGUCACAUCCGCCCCGGAACGUUUUCGCCUUGGGUUUCGGGGUGUGACAUAGGCUCCAUGGGUUAAACCUCCAUGGACUAUCAUAUUGGUUUAGCCUAACCUAAAUAACCAUUGGCCCACACUUUAAGAAUCAUUGAUUUACUAAAUCAGUCCCUGUAUAUUUAACUAGUCUCUUUUAAGAAUCAUUGAUUUACUUUUAAUGAAGGGAGAAUUAUAGUCGUUGUCCUACCCGUUCGGCUAACGACCCUCCACCAGUCAAGGAAGCGGUGGGUGGGAGUGGACACCCAUUAUAUUGCAAUUUUAUAGGCAAUAACCUUAUACCCCCCUUAUAGACCGACUUCGUGAAUGAGGCCUACUAACAGUAGUCUGACUUGUUCUUAUAUAUAUCUAUAUANUUUUAUUAACUUAUAAAACUAUAAAGUAUAAGGGUUGAAUUUUAACUUUUAAAAUUCUAAGGGCUUAACUUGGAUUUAAAGUAUUCAUGAAGGAAACUUUACAAAUUCCAAAACCUGAGGGCAAGUUUUGAACUAUUCAAAAACUUUUCAAUUCCAUAACUUAUGAGUUUAAAGUAGUUUUAAUUAAAAACACUUCAAGUUACAUAAGUUGAGGACAAGUUAGGGAAGACUUUAAACUAUUAAAAGAAUGUGAAUCUUCCUUAUACAUAACUUAUGGAAAUCUUUAUGAGUUUUAUGAAUCUUAAAUGUGACUUUUCAUAUAACUUGAGGACAAGUUACAAAAACACAUUUUAUGAUCAACUCUUAGAUUAAUUUGGAUUGAAAACACAUUAUCACAUAACUUUUCUAUUAAUCUAAGCAACUUAUAAGAACAAGAUAAUUCAGAUCAAACUUUUUCAUGUAAUUAGCCUAAUCCUUAAACUAAUACAAAACAUGAAUCUAUUGAUAAUUAUCUUUAAAAUUGGAUUAGCAUGAACAUUACCACAUCAAAAACAAGUUUAUAAGUUCAGAAAUAGCUUUGGGUAAUGUUCCUAGUUCAAUUCCAGCCAAAAACCUUGAAGAUAUGCUGUCUGGGGGUCCAACUCAUCGAGUUCAUGAACCAACUCGGAAAUUUGCAUGGUUUUGUUCAUGGACUCAUCGAGUCCCUUCAUGGAAUCGGUGAGCCUGCUGUCCAGACAGCAAAAAAACAUUUAUUUUUCAACAAUUUUAGCAAGUAUAACAAGAAAAAACCAGGCUCUGAUACCACGGUUGGGUUUUCAGCAUUCUAACACUCCUAAGUGUAUAUGCAACCCUAAAUUCAUUGGAUCUAUGUUUUCUCUAUUAUACAUGCAAAUAUGAAUAUUCCAAGAUAUUAUCCUAACUAGCAUACAAAACAUUGAUUCAUAUGUAAUAAAGCAAGUUAGAACACAUACCUUUUGAUGUAACGCCUUUAUGAUCUAGUCCAAUGCCUUUAUUUCCAAAUGAGUAUGAUAUUAUCAUACAACUUGAGUCAAUUCGAUCCUCACACUACCAGUUUUGUGCGUAAAUCUCUUUCUCCGAAAUCGCCUUUCUAGCGAAGCCAUCAUUCCCGAACUCAGAGGUACUCAUGCAUAGGGUACCUUAUGUUACGUGUCCCUCCCGAAGAAACCUCAGCAAACUUCCUCGAAAUACCACUCGUACAGUACGUCAAGUUCAAUCUGAAGACUCGUACGGUCAAUCUAUCGCUGAGAAAUGUAUACGCAAGGGUGGUAUAUAAUCAAGGUUCUACAUGUUUAGAAUUGAUGAUCCCGCUUUAACUUUUUUUCCUUGUUUGGAUGUGAAUUUAAAGAAGAAUCAUUUAUUCGACUACCUUUUCAAUCUUAAUUAUAUACGACUCGUAAUCGCGGGACUGUGAUUGAUGAACCAAGUAUGAGUUUUGACAUGAACUUCAGGACGGAGACUGCUCAAGACGUGGUCAUUCUGCCAUGCGAAUGAAGUUAGAAUCCAAUCAAAUGCCUUCUCGCUGAGCGGGGACAAUAGAUACAGAUAGAACAGAAGUACCUAUCCUAUUCCCUACUUCAUGAGUAAUCGUACUUUCUUUUGGAUCUUCCCUAUAUCUUUCUAGAAGAACUCCCAGGAUUACCCCCAUAACGUCGAGGUCAACUUCGGAAAUCAAAUUAGUUGCAGGGGCUACCCCUGUAACCGAAUUUCCCUAUAGUCUAGCACCUGCAAAGAUGCAAGAACUGUCUAGUCAACUUAAUGAACUGCUUAGCAAUGGCUUUGUAAGACCGAGCUUCUCACCCUGGGGAACUCCAGUCUGGUUCAUCAAGAAGAAAGACAGAUUGUUUAGUGUGCACAUCGACUACUGAGACCUCGACAAGAUUUCCAUUAGGAAUCAUUACCCUCUGCCUCGCAUAGAUGGAUCUGAGAUCCGAGUAUCACCGGUUACGAGUGUUAGAGGAGGAUGUCCCGAUGACGGCCUUCCGAACUCGAUACGGACGCUACGAGUCCGUAGUGAUACCUCUCGGAUAAGACCAAUGUGCCCGCAGUAUUCAUAGAGUUAAUGAAUACGGUAUGCCGUCCUUACUUAGAUCAGUUCGUCAUUAUCCUUAUAAAUGACAUACGCAUCUACUCUCUUAGUAAGAAAAAGCAUGGAAAGCAUCUACGACAGACCGUGGGAACAUUACGAUCAGAGAAGCUUUACGCGAAGUUCCCUAAAUGCGAGUUUUGGAUUCGAAGAGUCGAAUACCUAAGGCACACUGUUAGUGAAGUGGGAAUUCAUGAGGACCCUUCCAAAAUCAAAACUGUUUAGAACUGGUGAGCAUCGAAGACGCCUACAGAAAUUCACAAGAGGGGACCACGUUCCUUUGAAAGUCUCACCCUGGGAGGGCUUUAUAUGCUUCGGAAAGCAUAGAAGGCUAAAUCCAAGAUAUGUGGGGCCUUUCGAGAUUCUUGCUAGAAUCGGCCCUGUAACAUACAAACUCAACCUACCCACGAACUUAACAACAUACAUUAUAUUUCCCACUCCUCGAACAUGAAAAAGUGCCUUUCCGUCAGGACUCUUGUAAUCCCACUCGACGAGAUCGAGAUCAACGAGAGCCUCACCUUCGUGGAAGAACCUUAGUGACCAUGGACCGAGAGGUCAAGCAGACGAAGCAAAGCCGCAUCCCAUUAGUGAAGGUUCACUGGAAUGCCAAGCGAGGACCUGAAAUCACUUGGGAGCGCAAGGAUCAAUCAAAACUGAAGUAUGCUCAUCCCUUUACUUGAUUAUUUGUAUCUACUUCCUUGCUUAAACUCUAAUUUCGGGACGCAAUUCCCUCUAACGGGGGGAUGAUGUGACAACCCGAAAUUUUCUAUCCUAUACAGUCAAACACUUCAUUGAAAGUCAAACUCAUUUCUGCUAACUUUUAGCAUGUUUGGUGUCCGUUUGAGCAUUCUGAGAUUUAAUACAUAAAAGGAUAAAGUAAAUGAGUAUGUGAGUUGAGUUUAUAACCUGUCAAACGAGCCAUAAACCCUCAAAAGAGGAGUUUACGGCCAACACCUUGGAGUUUACGGCCGUAAACUCAAGGUGGCCGUAAACUCCAUGCCUAUAUAUGAAAAACUUGGCCAUUUUCAUUCAUUUUUCACACUUUCCAGCCUAGAACUCGGGUUUUCUAUUAGGUAUCAUCAAGAACUUUCCUUCCAAUCUUCCAUUCAUGAAAGUAAAUCCUUUUAUCUAAGUGUUAUACCUCAGUUCUUCUUGAUUCACACAUGAUUUCAUCCAUUAAAUCACUUCUUUUGAUAGAUCUUCAAGUGUUCUUCAAAACACCAAGAACCAAGAACACAUACUAGUGUUCUUGGACCUUAAACACUCUUGCAAGCUUCCUAUAAGUAAGUACACUCCUACUAUCUAGUUAUAUCAUUAUAUUACUUGCUAAACCUUUGAAAAACUCCAAGAAUGCCCAAGAACACAUGGGUUUACAGCCAAGGCAAUCUCCUUGGGCCGUAAACACCAUUAAGUGUUGCAUAUGUGCUUCCAUUACCUCCUAAGGCUUGGAUAUUGGACUAGGACCCUUCAUACUUAAGCUAUAGGACCUUAAGCCACGUAAUGGUAGGAGUUGCCAAUGGUUUAUGACCAUAAACCCACUAGGGCCGUAAACCUUAGGCCGUAAACUCCAUGGAGUUUGGUCCUUGGGCCGUAAACACUAAAGCAAGGUCUUACAACCCUUAGAUGCAACGCUUUAGUACUUAUAGCACAUGAAUCAAAGUGUUUUCCAUGAUCUAGGGUGUUUAUACUUGUCUAAUUAGUGUUAUAGUCAUUAAUUAUAUACAUAUAUAUGUCUUUAUAUGUUAAUAGGAUCAUUGUGUGUGUUCAAGUCUUCACUUGACACCUAGCACCUUGUCCAACACUUCCAUUCAAUCCACUCACUACAGGUGAGUUCAUAUCCCUUAAUUAACCUUUUAAAUGUUUUAAAUGAUUUUAUGGGGGGGGGAUACAAGUUGAAUCAUACUAGGUAUUAUAUCAAUCACAUGUGAUUAAUAACUAGUACACAAAUGGAUUUACUACACUUUUAGCUAUUUUACCAAGCAUACUACUUCAAAAUGAUUUUCUCAAACGUUUUUACAUGUUAAACUCUCUAUGAAACUGUCUUACAUACUAUAUCUUUCCUUCAAACUCUGUUAUAACUGUGUUUCAGACAAAGGAUUUCUUAUACUCUAAAUUGUUUAUAUCAAACAAACUGCUUUUUAACUGUUUUAUAAAUUGACAUCAAGUCAUCAAUUCUUAUUAUUAAACUUUUCAAAUGUUUUACAAAACUUCUUUUAAACUUUUAUAUUGUCAAAUGCAUGCCUAUAUAUCUAUAGUUAUAUAAGUAAUGUUUAAAGGACUUAGGACUGCUAACUUGCUUUAACUCCUUUUCCGUGUUUGGAUGUGGCAUUAGGGUAUCGAUUAUUUGUCUAAAUGUCGUCUAAAUAUUAGUUAUAUAUUAUGUAUACAUAUAUAGACAUAAAAGUUCUAUCAGUAAGUUCAGUACCUUUGGGUUACAAAGACAUACUCUCAUUCAUAUACAUACAUUACUAGUAACUAUAAUAGGUAUAGUUAGGAGAUACUAUUUACUAUUCCUACUACAAGGAAUCACACUAGGAGUUAGUUCAUACUUGAGUCAAUACAUAUUGUAAACAAUACAUAAACUAUACUAAUACAUACACUACACUAAUACAUACACUACUCUAAUACAAACACUACACUUACAAUUGAACGUACUAUAUGAAGAGACACUAUUACACACUAUAUGAAGAGACAUUACUACGUACUAUAUGAAGAUACACUAUUACACACUAUAUGAGAGACACUACUACAUAUGGUAUGAAGAGAUACCACUACUCACUACGGACUGACCAUCCUACACCUGGCUGCUAGCUACAGUAGGUGUGUUCAUCUACGGAUGUUCUCGGUUGUACUUUUCGGCGAUUUACCGCGCCAUGUUUAUCCUAGACAAAUAGAUACGAUUUCAAGGAUUAUACCAUUUUCCUCACUACCUUUAUUUUGUGACACAUUCACAUAAACGAUGAGGUAGAAUAUAUUUUGAUACGAUUUCAAUGAUUAUAUAAAUUUCCUUAUUACCUUUAUUUUGUGAUACAUUCACAUAAACGAUGAGGUACACUAUAUUUUUAUAAUAAUAUUUAUACAUGGGAAAAACCAUCAUUCUUACAAAGAAGCAUACCUUCAAAACAGUCGGGUCUUGGUAGAAGACUACAUUUUCUACUAAUAGGAAAUAUAGGAUAUUCUAGGGCUUUUCAUACUUAUACAAACUUUUUCAUUGAACAUUUACAAGUCUUCACUUCAAAACUUUACAAAUCAAUGACACUAAAAUACUUAUGAAUUUACCAGCUUAAAUGCUGAUCUACUCUUUCAAAAUAACUUGUAUUCUUAGGUCACCAGUAGACAGGUACGAUGACCAGGUUUUGAGAAGACAGAACAGUCAAGACUCGUCUUUUAUUUUGAUUAUUUAUUUUGGUGUUUUAUUCUAUGAAAGAUCACACUUGUAUUAAAAUUUUACUAUUAACGCAAUGGAUGAUGUUGUUCCUUGUUUACUACUUUACACUGUUAUGAUACUUUACAUGACGCCCUCCGCCCCAGAACGUUUCCGUCGUUCUUGGUUUUGGGGUGUGACAACAUCUGAAAAAAGAAAGAAAGACAAAGUUUAGAUUAGAUAAUAUUCCUUAAUAUGACACCCAAAUGAAAUAUUAAGGCUAGGACCCAACACAAUAUUUUACAUAUUGGAAGAGGGAUGUUGUAAUCCAACUUGCAAAAUAUUUGAAGGUAGGCAAAUGACGAUUUACCAAUUUCCACCCUGAAAAACAAAAUUAAUUAUUAAGUUUUAAAUAAAUUGAAAUUCCUAGAUCAUUUUGAGAUUCAUUGAACUUUUCAAUGGCAUGUUUAAAUCUCGAUUAUGCCCAUCAAGUUUGUGAUUGGGAUACCGAGGAUCACAAACAAGGUGUGAAUAACCAUGCAAAUCUACUUGGUACACUUGAAUUCAAUUAUGACCUAAUCAAUGUGCCAGUUAACCACACAGGAUCCACUCAUCUAUGAUAAACAUUAAGCUACCCUUUGCCACCCUUACUAGUCCAAGUUAGUGUGUCGGUUAACCACACACGCUCCACUAAUGACUUGGUAAGGUGCAAAGUGCAAUUUCAUGGAUUAGCAUCAAUUUCAAAUUUUCCUAAGGUAACUAAUAUUGGGAAUUUAUAAAACAUAUAUUUACUUUAUAAUUAUCAUUAUACUUAAAUGAGAAUUAUUGUCUUAUUCUACCCGUUCGGCUAAUGACCCUCCACCAAUCAAGGAAGCGGUGGGUGAGAAUGUACACCCAUUAAACUGCAAUUUUAUAGGCAGUGCCCUUAUACCCCCCUUAUAGACCGGCUUUGUGAAUGAGGCCUACUAACGGUAAGCCUGACUUGUCUUAUACAUACAUACAUAUAUAUAUAUAUANAUAUAUAUAUAUAUAUAUAUAUAUAUAUAAUCAUUAAACUUUUAAUAUUAUAAUAGUAUAAGGGUUGAAUUUUAAACUUCUAAAUUUUUAAGGUUUGGAGUUAAAGUAUUCAUAAGUGUGACUUUACAAAUUCCAAAACUUGAGGACAAGUUUUGAAACUCUUCAAAACCUUUCAUUUCCAUAACUUAUGAGUUUAAUGACUUUUUAAGAUUGAGACUUUUCAUUUCCGAUAACUUGAGGACAAGUUAUGGAUUUCAUUCGAGGCAUUUAGAUCAUAAAUUAACUAACUCAAUUAUCAAGUAAUUUAUCUAUGAUCUAAUUAAACUCGUAAUUCAAGAUAAUUCAUAUCAACAAUUUACAAGAAACUAAUACAAUCUUGAAAAUUUUGACAAUUAUUUUUGAAUUGGAUGAGCAUGAUCACUACCAUAUCAAAAAAGAAAAAAAACAGAUUUUAUGAUUCAAAACAGUUUGUGGUAAUGAUCCUAAUGUAAAUCUAGCCAAAAAAAACUCGAAAAUCUAUUGUCUGAUCAUGCAACUUGUCGAGCCCAACUAUGGACUCGUCGAGUCCAAGGAAAAAACCAUCCUAUUCGUCGAGUCCAAGCAUGCACUCGUCGAGUAGGUGCUGCCAGAACAGAUUUUCAGCUUUGAAAAAUAAUACUUUUGCAUCAAUAUAAUAGAAAACUAUCAUAGGCUCUGAUACCACUGAAGGGUUUUGAGCACCCUAACAACCUUAUGGUGCACUUUCAACCCUAGAUGCUUUGGAUCUAUUUUUUCUUUAAUUAUACAUGCAAUUUGAUUUUUCUAAAGCAUUCAUCCUAACUAGCAUACAAAGCAUAGGUACAUGAAUAACAAAACUAGUUAGAUGACUUUCCUCUUGUAGUAGCUUGUUAAUUUGGACCUUUAAUAGCCUAGCACCCCAAAUGUGAUGCCGCAAAUGCUUCAUAAAACACCACAAACAAUGGAGGACUUGAGAGAGAGUGACUUGCACAAAAUUCAGCUCUUAUGAACUCUUAGAACACAUAGGCCGAUUUUAGAGGCUAAGGGACUUCUUUUAUAGCGUGGAAAAGACUAGGGUUACAUCCAUGAGAACCCUAAUGCACAUGACCUUUCAUAUUACUUAGGCUCCAUAGGUUAAACCUCCAUGGACUAUCGUAUUGUUUUUGCCCAACCUAAAUAACCAUUGGCCCACACUUUAAGAAUCAUUGAUUUACUAAAUUAGUCCCUAUAUAUUUAAUUAGUCUCUUUUGAUCACCAAAUUAAUUCUUUAUCAAUACUAAUUAAAUAAUAUUAUUUCAUAUUAAUAUAUUAAAACUUAUACUAUAUUAAUAAAUCAUAAAUAACCUCUUCUCAAAAGUCCAUCCUAUCAGAUUGUUCAGGUGAAAUGCAACCCAAAUGGACCAUGCUAUUCUCGAGUCAAGUACAUACCAAAUAUAGUUAUGGACUUAAACACCUUAUCCAACAUCAAGAGCAUUGAAUUUAGGAGGGAAUUGAUUUGGUUGAGCGAAACAAUGAGAAAAUAGUGGAGGCAUAGUCUGCUUCGUUUACUUAUGAAUUGAAAGCAUUAAAGGAUGUUGCAAGGGAAAGGCAUGUUAUGUUCAUUCAAGAUGUGAAGAAGAUUCACGAUGAUCUUAAUCUUAAAAUUCAAGAACUUAGAGAAUGUUGGGUUGCAGAUUCGUUUAGAAUUGCAUCAUUGGGCUCGGUUAAUAGUCCAAUUAUUUUGUACUCCGGUUUGGGCCUGUCCAACCGUGAGCCUGUUAGGUUUACUAUAUAAUAAUAUGCUUGCAUGCAAAUUAGGCUAACGAUCUAGAGUACGAUUGAUAGAAGAAGAUAGCAUUACAAAGUUCUUUCUUUAUUGUUCCUGUAAACCUUCUAACCCUCUACAGUUGAUGUUCUUUAUCGAGCUCUUCUGAGGGUUGUUUUAUAAUCAUUCGACUCGUUUGAUUCAUUCUUGAGUUGUUUACUGCUUUCGUGUUCUUGCUGUUUGUUCUUUAUAUUACCUGUUUAAGAUCUAAUCGAUCUUCAAGUUUAGUUUUAAACGUAUCAAUUGGUAUCAGAGCGGGAGGCUGUGUAAUCGAUACACUUCUUUUCUGUGAAAAAGGUUUCAAUUAGGGUUUUCCGCAAUUGUUGAUAUUUAUUGAGCCGUCAUCUCAUUAUUGACGUAUCUUGAUAUUUAUUACUUUGCCCUAAUCUGAUUUAUUACAAGUCUGAUCAUUAAACAGGUUAUUCGAUCAUUAUGGACAAGUCGCAAUCGAAUCCCAUCAAUAUCUCUAACAGCAUUGGAUCUACCACGAAGAUUCCCAUCCUGUACACCCAUGAUUAUGAAGUCCGGGCGCAUCACUUUGAAGAUUAUGUUAUAGGAUCUGAGGAUAAUGGAUACCUCAUCUAGGAAGAAAUUGUUAAUGGACCGUUUUCUCACUCUGCAACUUCAAGGAUUAUUAAAACUCAAAAGGAGUAUAAUGAUCUCCUGAAGGAUGUUAAAGAUAUUGCGCAAGAUGAAAAAGAUAAAUUUUAAUGCAAUAUCAAGGUGUUAAGAUUGAUCAGAUUCGCCCUUCAGUCCGAGACUUUUAGGCUGGUGAGUUCAUGCACGACGGAAAAAGAGAUUUGGGACAGGCUACGUGAAUUGUACUCUACAUACGAGGAUCUUGAACACUCCAUCCAAACCUUGCUCUUGUCUGAGUUUGGAGAAUUCGGGCAGGGAGCCGAAGAAACUGUGACCCAAACGUUCGACCGCUUCAAUCAUCUUCUUAGCAAGAUGAUCAAACAUGACAUUGAAAGGAAGCUUAUUGAGCAGAAGGUUACGUUCUUAAAUGGUCUCAGAUCAGAGUGGAGAGCAGUUGUGUCCACAGUAAAAGCCCACGAGCAAUUUAAAUCAUAUUCCUUGGCGAAACUGGUGGGCAUUCUCAAAUCUCAGGAGAAGAUUGUGUUGCAGGAGAAGAAUGUGGUCUCAAGCCUAGGUUCGUUGGCCCUCUUGUCAAAAAGUAAAGCUGUGAUGGAGGACGAAGACCUCAACUUGGAGGAGUAUGACCUCACGUCUGAGGAUUAUGCUAUGAUGGUGUCUAACCCCAAGAGGUUCAUCAAGAAGAGAUUCCCCAACAACAAAAACCGAAACUGGCAGGGGAGUUAUAGUUCAGAAAAGGUUAAAGAUGAACCGAAGGUUGAAGAGUCUAAGAAGGAACCGAAGGCAGAAGGUGAUUCUGGAGUAAGCUGUUACUACUGUGGAGGGAAAAAUCACUAUGCUAAGGAUUGUGUCCUCAAAAAGAUGGCUGAAAAAGAUGAGGAAAAGGAUGAGGAAGCUUUGCUACAGAAAAAGCUUGAUGAGAUGAGGAAGAAGAAAUCUACCGCUAACCCUUCCAUGAAUGCUCUUAUUGUGCAGGGUUCGGUUGCUGAUGACGAGUUCGGUGGAGUGGAAGUUUGGUCAACCGACUCUGAAGACGAUGAAGUGAGGAAGCCUUCUCAUGGAAAGGCUUGUGUGGCAAAGGAGGAGAGCAGUGGAGGAAGGUGCUUCAUGGUGUCCGAUGUAUCUCAGAUGAGGGGAUACAACACUGAUGGUGGAAGCAAUGAACCGAAGGAGCAGCAGGAUAUGUGCUUUACGGCCAAACCGCUCAGCGUGCAGUUCAACGAGCUCGAUGAACUGAUCAAGAAGGUACAAUCGGUUUUCGUUUCAUUUAAAGUACCACAAUCCUCAUAUGAGAAAGAACUAAAAAAUGUUAAUACAAGAAUUUCUCAUCUAGAUAGUAGUUUAACUCAAACUCGAGUCACCAAUUCUAACCUAACUGAUCAAUUAAGCAGGGUGUCUUCGAAGAGUGAGGAGCGGCGCAUGUGGAUCGAGUUGAAGGAGUCUGAAUUAGUUAAAAUAAAAGACGAAAACAUUUAUUUACAAAGAGACAAUUUAAAGUUGUUAAAACAGCGGAAUGUUUUUUGUUUAAUUGCAAAACGUCUUUAUUCUAAUAUUACUCAGCUUCACUUGGACUGUGAAAUAGGCCAAAAGAUCCAUCGCAUGAUUUUGCCCUUCCUUGAGUUUAAGGAGGAUGAAAUCGAUGCUGAAGCUUAUAAUUGUGAGAGUGUGAUAUCAUCUGAUGACAUUAAUCCGACCUACAUGUAUGGACUGGACAAAAUAGAAUCUUUCAUUAAAUCCAAGGACCACAAGGACAUGCUUAAAAACCUUUUGGAUGAAAAUGAUAGACUUAAACUGAGAACCGAAACCAUACAAAAAUUUGACUCUUUAAACGCCAACUUGAGCUCAGAAAACAAAAUUGAUGUUGAAAAUGCAUCUGAGCUUAAUGAGGACGACAACAUGAGUGAAAUUUCUGUAGAGGACACGGUUGACUGCUCAGAAUUUGUAAAAAACGAACCUGAAAACCACAAGAAUCUAAUUUCUGAAAAUUCAGUGGAGUUCGCUCGAUUGUCCCAACAAAAGUCCCCGAUCUUAGCAGAGAAAGCGGUUGUAUAUCAAAAGGUCAGGACCACUCCAAAUCAAGUGUACAAGGUCACUGGAGUAACCGAACAUCAGACCGCUGAACUCACAGCUAUUGUAAACGAAGACAAUGCUGAUGGCUGCGAUGAGUACUUCUGGUCAGCUCCAAUAGAUAAUGCAAACGAAACGGUAGGCUUAUCAGAAAGAACCUCAUGGAUGAGUAAAGGUAGAUACAUACCAGAACCCUUGAAUAAGCCAGAUAAUUUCGAUGAGCCAAGUACUAGUGGUACGAAAGACAUUCCUCAAGAGAAUGGAAGUUCGGCAAAAGAAGACAUUCCCUCUAGUUCCUCAGUUCAAAGUGAAACUCCUACAGUUCAAAGUGAACCAGCCAAGGAGAAACCGAAAAUGAAAGCCAAUAUUCAUCAUCAACCGAAGCAGAUGAGGAAUAAGAAACGUGAAAGGAACCAGAGAUACAGGAAGAAUCUCUCUGAAAGGAAACAAUUCUGGCAAUCCCAAAAUGCAUAUUUCUCACAUCAAGACAAGAAUCUGAAGUUUGAGAACAAUCCUGUCAAAAAGCAUGAGAGCCACAACAACCGAAAGCCAAGGUUCGGUUCAGAAGAGAAUACCAACCGAAAGCAAAGGCUCGGUUCUGAGAAUGACUCCAACCGAAAGCAUAGGUUCGGUUCAGAGAACUGCUCCAACCGAAAGCAAAGGUUCGUUUCAGAAGUCAAAAGAGAUCAAAACUCUAAGGUCAGUCCCACCAAUGAUCAAAAGCAAAAGGGUCACCUAGAGUCUCCAGCCAAGAAGUCAUCUCAAUCUAAGCCCACUCCUUCUCAUUCAUCUAAUUCUUCUAAUUCUUCCAAUUCAUCUCCAUCUUGCUCUAAAGCUCAUUCUGUUCGUUCUCAAAAAUCUCAUUCGUCAGCUGAACAAAAAGGCAAACAGAAGGUUAAUGCAUCCAAACCAGAGUCUAAACCGAACGCACCUAAUCCUAAUAAAAUCAAAGUUUUUACCAUCAAAAAGAAAGAUGAAACAACACUUAUAAAACGAACAUAUCUUGUUGACAUCUCUCUUACUAUUCCUGUUCCUAUGAAAAGCUCACGUGGACCCAAGAAACUUUGGGUUCCUAAAUCUGCUUAAUUUUUGCAGGUUAUAAGUGACGAGCAGUUCGACGAAGAAUGGUACAUAGAUAGUGACUGCUCGCGUCACAUGACAGGAAGGAAAGAAGAGCUCAGGGAAUACAGGUCUCUUUCAAAUGGUGGCAACGUCAAGUUUGGAAACAACUCUUUCGGCACCAUAAAGGGAUACGGAAUGAUAACUAAUGGUGAUUUUACUAUAAGGAAGGUGGCUUAUGUGGAAGGACUACAACACAACCUCAUCAGUGUAUCUCAGCUUGUUGGAGGUACAGGUCUCAAAGUCUCAUUCGACGAUGAAGGUUCUGAAAUUAUUGAGAAGAAGACGAAGAAAGUAAUUCUCAAAUCGGAGCGUAAGGGUGAAAUGUUUCCUCUAAACCUUAAACCCAUCAAAGGAAACCCAGCUAUAUGCUUGUUAUCAAAAGCUCAAUCUGACGAAAGCUGGUUGUGGCACCGAAGACUCUCUCAUCUCAACUUUAAAGAUAUCAACAAACUUGUCACUGGAGGUCAUGUUCGAGGCCUUCCAUUGCUCAAGUUCGACAGAGAUCAUUUGUGUGCUGCAUGCGAAAUGGGGAAGCAGAGUCGUCAAAGUCAUCCAUCUAUAAUUAACACAAAAGUUGUUGAACCACUCGAAUUACUUCAUAUUGAUUUGUGUGGUCCAUCAUCUAUCGAAAGCAUCGGUGGUAGCAAGUAUAUUCUUGUUAUUGUUGAUGACUUUUCACGAUUUACAUGGGUGUUCUUUCUAAAGCUCAAAUCUGAAGCGACUCAUAAGCUGAAAGUGUUCAUCAAGCAGAUUGAAGUACAGCUCAAGAAGGUCGUUCGCAACAUCAGAAGCGACAAUGGUCUGGAAUUCAAGAACAGGGAAUUUGAAGAAUUUCUAGCAGAAAAGGGAAUAAGUCACAACUUCUCAGCUCCCUACACACCUCAACAGAACGGAAUUGUCGAAAGACGAAACCGAUCUUUGUGUGAAGCUGCCCGAACUAUGCUAAGUUUCGCUUCCUUACCUCUUUAUUUUUGGGCUGAUGCAAUUUCUGCUGCUUGUUUUACACAGAACAGGUCUUAUCUCAACAAACGAUUCACGCUCACACCAUACGAGAUUCUCAACAACAGAAAGCCCAAUGUGAAAUUUUUCCAUGUGUUCGGCUCACGGUGUUUCAUCUUUAACUCUAAAGAACACCGCAACAAGUUCGAUGUCAAAGCCGACGAGGGAAUCUUUCUGGGUUACUCUCUCACUUCCAAAGCAUACAGAGUCCUAAACAAGCGUUCGAGAAAAAUCGAAGAGACCUAUUACGUGACUUUUGACGAUAGCUAUGUCAAAAAGCUACAGGCCAAAGAAGACACAGCUGGGGAAAUCUUUCCUCAAACUGGCCAAGUCACAGUCUCGAUCGCUAAUCUAUACGAGAAGUUUCUGGAGCUAUUUGACGAACCAGAGAAAGCUACUCUCUCAGAAGCAGGUGCAGCAGACAACAAGGUAGACCACAUGAAGCAAAUUGUCGAAGAAGCUGCCAGGAGAAUGAAUGAAGGAGGAUCGAAUUCUGAUGAACCUCCAUCCAACGAUGCUUCAGUCGAGGGGGAGCCAAGCUCACAUGUUGAGGGGGAGCCAAGCUCUACAACUGCUACCGAAAGUCCAACUGCAACCGAAAGUGCUUCUCCAACCGAAGGUGCAUCAACGCCUGAAAGUCCAGCACCACAAGAAACCUCUGAACCUCAAGUUUCUCAUAGCUCAUCAAUCGAGGGGGAGCAUGGUGAUAUGUCACUUGACUACGAAAGCCAAUCCGAGCCAGAAGAAAUGAUCAAUGCUGAACUAGACCCAACCUUUGAUCCAAACUAUCCUCCUCUUACCAAAUGGACCAGAGAUCAUCCUAUCUCUCAAGUGGUUGGUGAUGUCUCUGAAAAGGUUCUGACCCGAUCACAACUGAAGGCAAAACAGACAUCCUUAUUUUCAAAGGUUGAGUUUUGUAUGUUUAACUCAUUCGUAUCAAAAGUUGAACCGAAGACAGUUAACACUGCUCUCGAUCACUCCGAUUGGGUUCAAGCAAUGCAAGACGAACUGAACGAAUUUGAAAGGAACAAAGUCUGGCGCCUCAUUCCAACUCCUCCAGAUGCCUCGGUUGUUGGUCUCAAAUGGGUCUUUAGGAAUAAAAUGGACAAGGAAGGGAACGUUAUAAGGAACAAAGCUCGUCUGGUAGUAAAAGGAUAUUGUCAGGAGGAAGGGAUUGAUUAUGAAGAGACUUUCGCUCCUGUAGCUAGGCUGGAAUCUGUAAGAAUAUUUCUUGCUUACGCUGCCCACAAAAACUUUGAAGUUUUCCAAAUGGACGUCAAGUGUGCAUUUCUUAAUGGAGAACUCGAAGAAACCGUGUAUGUGGAGCAACCUCCUGGGUUCGUGAACGAAAAAUAUCCAAAUCAUUGCUACAUUCUGGAUAAAGCUGUGUAUGGCCUCAAACAAGCUCCGAGAGCCUGGUAUGAAACGCUAACUAAAUUCUUAAAGAUGUCUAAAUUCAAACAAGGUUCGGUUGACCCAACCUUCUUUCGCAAAAAGGAAGGUAACCACCUUAUGAUCGUUCAAAUUUAUGUCGAUGAUAUCAUCUUUGGCUCAACGAAUCCUAGCCUAACAGCUGAAUUCAGAAAGCUGAUGGAGACUAAAUUUGAAAUGAGCUCAAUGGGUCCUAUUAACUUUUUCCUUGGUUUAAAUAUUAGACAGGGACCCGAAGGCAUCUUUAUCAAUCAGGAAGCUUACACGAAGACUCUCCUAGCAAAGUUUGGUAUGAUGGGAGACUCCAAAGUCAAAGUCCCAAUGGCAUUCGGCACCAAGCUAACUCCAUCCCUAGACAAACCGGCUGUUGAUAUCACGCUCUAUCGUCAAAUGAUAGGCUCACUGAUGUAUCUUACUGCUAGCAGGCCUGACAUCAUGUUUUCUGUGUGUUACUGUGCUAGAUUUCAGGCAAACCCACGCGAACCUCACAUGCUUGCAGUGAAGAACAUUCUACGAUAUCUCAAGCGAACUGCCUCCUUAGGUCUAUGGUAUCCUUCCAACUCAGGCUUCUUCGUUCAAGCCUACUCAGAUGCAGACCUUGGAGGAUGUGGACUCGACAGAAAAAGCACCACUGGUGGCUGCCAAUUCCUUGACGGGAAGUUGGUUAGCUGGCAAUCAAAGAAACAAACGUGCGUGUCUUUGUCUACUGCCGAAGCUGAAUACAUAGCAGCUGCAUCCUGCACCUCUCAAGUGAUUUGGAUCCAGAGUCAACUUCGAGACUAUGGACUCAAUAUGAAGAAGAUCCCUCUAUAUUGUGACUCUGAAAGUGCAAUUAGGAUCUGUCAUAACCCAGUGCAACACUCCAAAACCAAACACAUAACACUGAGGUAUCACUUCAUCAAUGAUCAUGUGGAAGAUAGAAAUGUCGAAGUACACUUUGUUAGAACCACUGAUCAAUUGGCCGACGUCUUUACCAAAGCUCUUCCUGAAGCGUCAUUCAACAGAAUUUUGCAAGGGCUAGGUAUGAUGGAAUCAGAGUCAGUACCACAAACUACCUCUCAACCUCAAACGUAAGAAGCGAAAUUGACCGAACACUCAGGUUGGGUUGAAUCAUCUGACUCGCUCAUCACUUCAAAGGUAGUUUUCUUGGUUGUAAAUUUCGUGUACAAAGUUGUUUAUCUUAAUGUCAAAAGUAUUUUCUUAUUACAAGCCAAAAUUCCUGGUUUUUCAAAAUUUUCCAAAACCGAAACCAACCGAACGCUCGGGGUUCGGUUUUUCAAAAUUUUUCAAAACCGAAACCUACCGAACGCUCAGGUUCGGAUUUUCAAAAUUUUUCAAAACCGAAACCAACCGAACGCUCGGGUUUGGUUUUUCAAAAUUUUUCUCAACCGAACGUUCGGGUUCGGUUCUUCAUUUUUUUCCGAAGUUUUUUUUUAUUUUAAGUCUUAUUUUUUUUNNNNNNNNNNNNNNNNNNNNNNNNNNNNNNNNNNNNNNNNNNNNNNNNNNNNNNNNNNNNNNNNNNNNNNNNNNNNNNNNNNNNNNNNNNNNNNNNNNNNNNNNNNNNNNNNNNNNNNNNNNNNNNNNNNNNNNNNNNNNNNNNNNNNNNNNNNNNNNNNNNNNNNNNNNNNNNNNNNNNNNNNNNNNNNNNNNNNNNNNNNNNNNNNNNNNNNNNNNNNNNNNNNNNNNNNNNNNNNNNNNNNNNNNNNNNNNNNNNNNNNNNNNNNNNNNNNNNNNNNNNNNNNNNNNNNNNNNNNNNNNNNNNNNNNNNNNNNNNNNNNNNNNNNNNNNNNNNNNNNNNNNNNNNNNNNNNNNNNNNNNNNNNNNNNNNNNNNNNNNNNNNNNNNNNNNNNNNNNNNNNNNNNNNNNNNNNNNNNNNNNNNNNNNNNNNNNNNNNNNNNNNNNNNNNNNNNNNNNNNNNNNNNNNNNNNNNNNNNNNNNNNNNNNNNNNNNNNNNNNNNNNNNNNNNNNNNNNNNNNNNNNNNNNNNNNNNNNNNNNNNNNNNNNNNNNNNNNNNNNNNNNNNNNNNNNNNNNNNNNNNNNNNNNNNNNNNNNNNNNNNNNNNNNNNNNNNNNNNNNNNNNNNNNNNNNNNNNNNNNNNNNNNNNNNNNNNNNNNNNNNNNNNNNNNNNNNNNNNNNNNNNNNNNNNNNNNNNNNNNNNNNNNNNNNNNNNNNNNNNNNNNNNNNNNNNNNNNNNNNNNNNNNNNNNNNNNNNNNNNNNNNNNNNNNNNNNNNNNNNNNNNNNNNNNNNNNNNNNNNNNNNNNNNNNNNNNNNNNNNNNNNNNNNNNNNNNNNNNNNNNNNNNNNNNNNNNNNNNNNNNNNNNNNNNNNNNNNNNNNNNNNNNNNNNNNNNNNNNNNNNNNNNNNNNNNNNNNNNNNNNNNNNNNNNNNNNNNNNNNNNNNNNNNNNNNNNNNNNNNNNNNNNNNNNNNNNNNNNNNNNNNNNNNNNNNNNNNNNNNNNNNNNNNNNNNNNNNNNNNNNNNNNNNNNNNNNNNNNNNNNNNNNNNNNNNNNNNNNNNNNNNNNNNNNNNNNNNNNNNNNNNNNNNNNNNNNNNNNNNNNNNNNNNNNNNNNNNNNNNNNNNNNNNNNNNNNNNNNNNNNNNNNNNNNNNNNNNNNNNNNNNNNNNNNNNNNNNNNNNNNNNNNNNNNNNNNNNNNNNNNNNNNNNNNNNNNNNNNNNNNNNNNNNNNNNNNNNNNNNNNNNNNNNNNNNNNNNNNNNNNNNNNNNNNNNNNNNNNNNNNNNNNNNNNNNNNNNNNNNNNNNNNNNNNNNNNNNNNNNNNNNNNNNNNNNNNNNNNNNNNNNNNNNNNNNNNNNNNNNNNNNNNNNNNNNNNNNNNNNNNNNNNNNNNNNNNNNNNNNNNNNNNNNNNNNNNNNNNNNNNNNNNNNNNNNNNNNNNNNNNNNNNNNNNNNNNNNNNNNNNNNNNNNNNNNNNNNNNNNNNNNNNNNNNNNNNNNNNNNNNNNNNNNNNNNNNNNNNNNNNNNNNNNNNNNNNNNNNNNNNNNNNNNNNAUUCAACGGGAAACCACAUUAACACUUUAAGGUCUCUCUUGACUUUGAAGGAAGAGAUUCGUGCCCGGGAUCAUUUGUUUCGUGUCAUUAUUGACAUCACAUUUAUUCCUAAAAAGAGUUGCUUUAUUUCUUUUCUUUUUACACUCUUAGCACGAAAAUCUUUGAUUUUCCAAAAUUCUGGUACUAAUAAUUACAGGCUGUUUUAUUGCAUCGGUGGUUAAUUAUAAAGACGUGAUCCAAAUUCAUGCACGUGGGAGUAUCCUUCAAAAGAUGUCGUUACAGGGAUAAGAUGAAGGGUUGCUGACUCAGGCGGGAGUUUAAUUGAUUUGAUUUCAAACGGCGGUAAAAAGGGAACGCAUGCGAAUUUGAAACGUCCAAUCUCUAAAUGACGUCGCAGACGCGUGUACGAUUUGAAACGGUUCCUCUCUAAAAAGCACAGAAAAGCGCGUGUGGAUUUGAAACGAUUUAUCAGAAACGGCGCUUGAUGGGAGGCGUGUUCCAAGGAAUCUGACACUCUCUCUCAUACGUGAUCAUCGCUUACCUUAACUGUCACGCAUNUUUCGUAUUUCGAUGGAAGAUUUGAACAGAUUUUUCUCUCUCCUUACACCCACUAUAAAAGGCAGUCUCCUCUCCCAUUUACCUCUUUACCGCAUCAAAAUUCCCAAGAGAGCAAAAACUCCUUGAAAACCUAACUGUUCAUCAUCUUCUUCUCCACUUCAACAAUGGUAGAAUCAUCGUCUGUUCAUGCUACUUCCCACAUCCUUCCCAUUCACCCUCAUCAAUGUCUGGUGAUCGACUUAACUCCUCAGUCGUAUGACUCCUACAUGUUUCCGAUCAUCGAGUGCCUGAAGUACUCGCCAAUCGCUCCUGCACUUUCACGGGUAGAAACAGUACCCAUGGUGAUUUUAUCACAGAUCUAUGCGACUGCACAUUAUGAUAAAGCAGUCGAUAGAAUCUUCUUCGAGGUUGCUGAUCACAAAACCUCGAUUUCCAGGCAACGAUUUGCUUCCUUGCUAGGGUUUGCUGCUGACCCUUCUAGGGUUAAUCCGGAGACGAUUCCACUUGGGCACCUCUACAAUAUGUUUUACAAUAUGGGGUACACGGAGGCGCUCACCUCCGUCGCGAAGUUUAAAAAAAUCAUGCUUGCCGCCACAGUGGAACGGUAUGUUCACUGUCCUUUUCAAGGAUUUAUCUGAACGGAGCUCAAGAUCAGACGGCUCCAGCCGACUCUUUUUGUCGAUCAUGUACGGCGUCAACCUUGAUUAUGAGUUGGUUCUCUGGCAACAACUCAUCCAAAGCCUCUCUUCUUCUUCACGACAUUUUGAGGUGUCGUAUGCAAGGUUCUGGACCAUCGUUGCUAAAUGGGCGAUGGAUAAGCAAGAUGUCCCAACUCCUGAUGGUGCAUCGAUGUCUUCGAUUGGUACAUUCCGUACCACGAAGAUUAUCGUCUCAGAUACAUUGAAGUUCUCUUUCAUUGGCUCUAUUCCGGAGACCAUGUACGGCGAUGUUCCAUCUCACAGCAGGAUCAUCCGGACUAUUAAGGAGUUCAAGCAGUCUGGACCGAGGGAACUCACACAGGAGAUGCUCAAGUCCAUCCAUGAUGCUGAUAAGCCUGUUCAUAGAGGCAAAAAGGCAGAUAAAGGGAAGCAAGUGACCAAAGGGGCUAAAGGUCCUUCUCCCAGGAAGAGGAAACCAACCAAAGCUGCACAGUCCCCGCAGCCGAAGAGGCGAAAGACUCAACCGAAGCGAAAGCUAAUAAUCGCUUCCUCUUCGAGUGAAUCAGAAGGUGAGAGUUCGGAUUCGGACGGCUCUCAAAGAGGCGAAACCCCUCCAAGAGGCAACACCCCACCCCGAUCACCUACACCAGACAUGGAAAUCCAUAUCUCACCAAUUCCCUCUCCCACUCAAACAAUCCCUACUUCCAUUCCCACCAUAAACCCCUCUACCACCAUUCCUAAAACCUCUUUNNNNNNNNNNNNNNNNNNNNNNNNNNNNNNNNNNNNNNNNNNNNNNNNNNNNNNNNNNNNNNNNNNNNNNNNNNNNNNNNNNNNNNNNNNNNNNNNNNNNNNNNNNNNNNNNNNNNNNNNNNNNNNNNNNNNNNNNNNNNNNNNNNNNNNNNNNNNNNNNNNNNNNNNNNNNNNNNNNNNNNNNNNNNNNNNNNNNNNNNNNNNNNNNNNNNNNNNNNNNNNNNNNNNNNNNNNNNNNNNNNNNNNNNNNNNNNNNNNNNNNNNNNNNNNNNNNNNNNNNNNNNNNNNNNNNNNNNNNNNNNNNNNNNNNNNNNNNNNNNNNNNNNNNNNNNNNNNNNNNNNNNNNNNNNNNNNNNNNNNNNNNNNNNNNNNNNNNNNNNNNNNNNNNNNNNNNNNNNNNNNNNNNNNNNNNNNNNNNNNNNNNNNNNNNNNNNNNNNNNNNNNNNNNNNNNNNNNNNNNNNNNNNNNNNNNNNNNNNNNNNNNNNNNNNNNNNNNNNNNNNNNNNNNNNNNNNNNNNNNNNNNNNNNNNNNNNNNNNNNNNNNNNNNNNNNNNNNNNNNNNNNNNNNNNNNNNNNNNNNNNNNNNNNNNNNNNNNNNNNNNNNNNNNNNNNNNNNNNNNNNNNNNNNNNNNNNNNNNACAAAAGCUUGUGAGGCAGCGACCGAAAAAGUCGAUAAACUAUUUUCCGACGCCUCUUCCCUGUUAAAGUCCUUACAGGAGAGUGCCGCUGCAACCAAGACAACGCUGGAACCGAUUGUUCAACAAUUGGCCACGUUCGUCUCAACAGAGUCGAAGUCGUUCGCUACCCUUCGCCAAUCAAUCAGUGACGACAACUCUGCCCUUCGGACAUCUAUCGACGAGCGCCUCUCUAAACUCCAAGAGGAUCUUGCUUAUGAUAACUCGUUGAUGGAUGCUCUAGCAAGGAAGACCACUGCCCUCAAGGUCAAGAGUGCUCAACUUUCAAGUUCUCAACAACAACUUGAUGCUCUUCGAUCCGAAAGGGAAGUGAUAAGGACGUGUGUUUCGGAUGUACACUCCGCAAUAUCUAACAUCCUAGAAGCGCACGAUCCCAUUCUGAACCACACUGUGAGGCGAACCCUUGCAGAAAAACUCGCCCCUGCCCUGGAUCUUCUCAGCAAAAUUGAAGGGCUGCCUAGUUUCAUGUACACUCCAAAACAAGGGGGAGAAAAGGAGUUCGGAUCUCAACCACCUCCUUCCUCAAAAGCCGCUCACACAACCGAACCUCCUCUUACAGGUCAAGCUUCGGGUUCGGGUGUGAAGGAUAAAGGAAAGAAGAUAGCUGAGGAAGAAGAUGAAGAUGAUAAAGAAACCAUUGCUGACUUGCUGAAACGCAAAAAUAGUCGCAAUGUUGAUGAUGCCAACAUUCGUGUGGCGCGAGAAGCUGAAGAAGCCGAACGUAAGAAGAAAGAAGCCCACGAUCUCCUCGAGAGCAGGGAGACUCUUUUCCCUGCUUGGACUCGAGAGAGAUUGAUAAAGGAGGCUAUAGAUACUCCAAGCAUCCUAUGGCUCGAACCGGUGAUCUCCUUCGACUGCUACAAUUCUGUCGAUUCGCAGUUCGACAUGCCGUUGACUCGAAAUGCGUUUAUCUUCCACGCCUUCUCCAAUAUUUUUGAAGUCCCUCAUCCGAACCCUGAGGUUGAUAGGGAACUGAUCGAUUUCUAUCUGAAGGCGGCUCGUCCUCAGUAUCUAACAUGGAGCGCCCAGAAGAUAGUGAAUGUUCGGGUAUUGAAGCCUUAUACCGAAGGAAGAUUCAUCAAUGUUCGGUUCAAGGUGAUUCGAGGGUCUGCAAGAACUGAACAUCUAAUAUCCCUGGCAGAUCUAUCGAACCUAAAUCCUCAUGAUUGGAUCGUUUUGCAUAACAUCCUCUUGACGAAUGAAGCUGAAUAUGGUCCGAUUAUAGACCAUCUCAAGAGGAUGAUUGUCUGUUACAUCAUGGAGGUAGCCCUAAUGGAUCAGGAGGUAGCCACUGUCUUCAAGAAGAAACCGACGAUAUCUCCUGUUGGCUCAGCCAGUGAUCUGAACCAGAUGAAGAUGGGCAAGAUUGACCCGAGGCGUAAUUCGGUCAUGUUCACUAGAGCAGAAGGACAGAAAUGUCUCUUUGCCUUAGCGGAUAAACAUCUUUAUACCACUGCUUGUCUUGAGCAUGUGCUAGGGAUCAUCCAUCGGUGUAAAGAGAAUACAGCGGAUGAUAUCAAAUACUUCGACGAUAUGAUACAGUGGUACAUCCGAUUCAGACAGACGAUACUUGCCCUUAUCUCGCAUCUGUUUCAGACUGUAAAGAAGAAGGUUCCUGCUGCUGCUGGCCCAAGCAAGAAGUAAAGAUCUCGCUCCAAUUGACGCAAAGGGGGAGAUUGUUGGGUUGCAGAUUCGUUUAGAAUUGCGUCAUUGGGCUCGGUUAAUACUCCAAUUAUUUUGUACUCCGGUUUGGGCCUGUCCAACAGUGAGCCUGUUAGGUUUACUAUAUAAUAAUAUGCUUGCAUGCAAAUUAGGUUAACGAUCUAGAGUACGAUUGAUAGAAGAAGAUAGCAUUACAAAGUUCUUUCUUUAUCAUUCCUGUAAACCUUCUAACCCUCUACAGUUGAUGUUCUUUAUCGAGCUCUUCUGAGGGUUGUUUUAUAAUCAUUCGACUCGUUUGAUUCAUUCUUGAGUUGUUUACUGCUUUCGUGUUCUUGCUGUUUGUUCUUUAUAUUACCUGUUUAAGAUCUAAUCGAUCUUCAAGUUUAGUUUUAAACGUAUCAGAGAAGAUAUGGGAAAGGAAGUUGUCGCAUUAGAAAAUAGUUAUUCAUCUAUUCACAAGAAGGUUGAUAUAAUUGCUGAUGUUGUAACAAAGUUUGUUACUUUGUAUGAAGAUCUUGUUCCGAAGGUUGAUAAGAUGGGUGAUGGUGAGGUUUAGAGUUUUGCAAACAUUGAUAACUUGUUGGUUGAAUUAAAGGGCUUGGUUUUGGGGUCCAGUUUUGUUUCUUCUUCCUUGAUUACUCCAGAACUUAUUUCUGAGAAGUUUACACUAUUGGAGUCCAUAAUUCAGAAGGAGUUAGCGCCACGUGCGAAGCUAAUCAAUAUAAUGCCAACGGAUUCCCCCACCUGUUUAUACAGGGGUGCAAUGGGGAGAAAAGGGAAGUGUUGGUGUUGGAUCAAGGUUUGGUACUAGUGAAGAAAAAUGAUGAUGAUGCGAAGGCUGGUGGAAAGGUAUAUUCUACUCAACUUCCAACUUCUUUUAUCAAUGUGUCUACGAUUUCGUCUUCCACAACAACAACAACGAAGCCAAUAUCAAAAGGAGUCGUAAUUGGUUCUGCUGGUGGAGGGUCCAGUUCUUCGAAACCACCUCCUACCACUGAACAGAUGCAAAACAAAGGGAAAGGAAUUCUUCAUGACCUCGCUACAGAAGAAAAGAAAGCUUCACUCGAACAAGAAAAUUAGAAAUAGAGGGAAAUUCAAAGCAUCCUGCGAUAGAGAGAAAAUGGUCCACCAGGUCUUAACAAAUGUGAACCUUCAACAUAAUACAGUUACAAAUAUAUCAAAGCCACGGUUGUUUCUGGUGAGAUGCAUUAUUUCAGUAAGACACCCAAAAAGAGUUCCAACAUAGAAAACACUGAUUUUAAUCAGUUGGAUUUCCCGAUCAAUCAGAUGAUGUUUAUUGAUGAAAAUUUUGUGUAACACCCCGUUCCUGGCAUGCAUUUAGUUCAUUUAAAUAUUCCUUUUGUAAAAGCUACUCAACGAGUUAGAAGCCCUAACUCGUCGAGUAGAUGCCAGAUUGGACGCGAGGAUUACAUGACCUACUCGGCGAGUCGAGAGCCGGACUCGAGGAGUAGGGCCACCAGGAGGAAAGCCUAUUCUCGGGGUUUUGCACCCUAUUUAAGCCACUUAACCCCCUUUUGGGCCUCCCAUAACAGCUUCCCUGUCCUUCGGAACCCUAAUUCGCUGUGAGCUUCAUUCUUGAGAGAUUCUUGAAGUUUUGGGUGUCUUUUUGUGAUAUAAAAAGAAGUUAGAAGAGCUUGGAGCCAUCAAGCUUGCGGAGAAGAUCAAGAUCUGGGAUUUAAUCCACCUUUGGCAAACUUUUGAGGUAAAAAACUCCUAUCUUGGUAAUCCAUAACUUAGAUCUCUUUUAGUGUUGAUUUACGAGUAUUUUUGAUCCCUUGAGAAGGAUAAGUUACCUCCACAAGGGUUGUAUGCCAAGCAAUCCCUUUUUCCUGUGAUAUUUGGCCUCUAGAAUCAUAAAGUGGUAUUUAACCCAUUUUUGUCCAAGUAAUGGUCAAGUUCAUGGAAGUAGGUUGCCAUAACUUGACUUUGGGUCCAUUUGAGGUGUGUAACGCCAUCAAGUCUCCAACUUUGUAGAAAUGGACCAAGGAAACGAUUUAGAUCUGUAUUUUGGAGCCCUAGAUUUGUGAAAUCAGCUGAUUAGGUUAGAUCUACAAGGGACUCGACGAGUUCAUAUAGGAACUUGACAAGUCCGGUCAAGGAUCCCCGAUGUUGUUCAUGAAACUCAGCGAGUUGUCAAGGAACUCGAUGAGUUGGAUCAUCUUGCCCCUUUUUUGAUUAUGUUAGGACUCAUCGAGUCUGUGGGUGACUUGACGAGUUAGUUCAUCCAGUCGCAAGGAUGGGUAGCCUGGAAACUCGACGAGUCAUUAGGUGGCUCGGCGAGUUGAGUCGUGAUUUUAGGGUUUCUGAGUUGUUGAACCUGGCGAGUCGAUAUGCUAACUUGACGAGUUAGGUCAACUUAGAAGGUUGACUUUGACCAGAAUGUUGACUUUAACCAGGGGUAAAGUGGUCAUUUUACCCUAAAAAAGAUUGUUAGAUUUUGACUAAGUAUUAUUUUAUAGUGGUAGGCGAGGAGUCGUGGGAGCAGCCAGCAGAGAUUCCUGACGCAUGAGUUCAGCAUCCAGUUUGAGAGGUGAGUUUCCUUCAGUAGGAACGGGUGUAAGGCACCAAGGCCGACCCGUGUAUGUGAUAUGUUAGUAGUUGAGUAUAGGCGGGGCCCGAAUCUCACAGCAGCCGAGUGUGGGUGGGGCCCAAAUCUCGUAGUAUUAUUAAGUAUAGUUCUAUGACUUUUUGAUAGGGAUAGAUAUACUUGUUAUCUGUGUGAUACUUGUAUGCAUGUUAGACAGUAGAGUGUGGGCGGGACCCGAAUCUCCUAGACAGCAGAGUGUGGACGGGGCCUAAAUCUCCUAGACAGCGGAGUGUGGGUCGGGCCCAAAUCUCCUAGACAGUGGAGUGUGGGCGCGACCCGAAUCUCGUAGACAACAGAGUGUGGGCGGGGCUCGAAUCUCCUAGACAACAGAGUGUGGGCGGGGCCCGAAUCUCCCUGAGAGUGGGCGGGGCCUGUAUCUCCUAGUUGGAUGUUAUGUGUAUGGCAUGCGGUAGUUUGGGGCGACUCACUAAGCUUCGUGCUUACAGUUUCAGUUUUGGUUUCAGGUACUUCCACUAGCAAGGGGAAAGGCUCGGGAUGAUCCCGUGGCACACACCAUAGUUUCAGCCUGGGAUGUUUAGAAUCUAAUAUUUUUCUCAUAUGAUUUUGAUGCAGUGCAUGACAUGAUGUUUUGAGAUACAUGAUUCUUGAUUUUCUUUAUGAUUGAUGGGUAGUUAUGGUUUUAUUAAUGAUUUAAAAAUGAAAAUUUUUGGAUUGUAUUUUUGGGAUGUUUCAAGAUGGUAUUAGAGCCUUGGUUUGAGGGAUUCAGGCACACUCUCGGGUGUGUCUGGACUCAAACUAAGGAAAUGGUAUAGAAAUUUCAGAAGGGAAAUCAUUUUUGUAAAAAGAAUUUUGAGAAAAGAAAAGAGUAGAAAAAGCAAAAAGAAUUUUGGAAAAGGAGAAAAGGGUCUGGUGCAUGCAAUCAAUCGAGCUCAAGUAAGUACUCCCAAAUUACCCAUACAAAUUUUUGAUAUGAUAUGUCUAUGAGAACUGCAUGCUAGAUUAGGACUACGGAUCUAGGAAGGAUGCCUUAUCUGCCUAUUAUAUGUGUAUCAACUUUAUGAGAAAUGCAUGCCAGUACAGGUCAGUCAGUAUUAUAGCCAGAGUAGUAUAUGCUUGAUUGUGUGUACUGAAUGCCUGAAUGCUGCUUGCUUAGUGCUUUUAGGAGUUCUAGUUGUCUUUUACUAACUAAUAAAUGAAUAUGUUAAGUUAAAUAUUGCGAGGACUAAAUAAUUUUAGAAGGUUAGGUCUAGCUCUAUUUCGCAGCUCUUGUUUGAGUCCAACCGUUGUAGGGUAGGAUCUCUCAUUUGAAGAAUUAUCUAGUCUGAGUGAUAUGUAAUAGUAUUCGCGAGCUAGUUAGGGGAAGAUGGCAGGGACUUCUUAUGCAGCUGAUGGCGAAGAGUGGUUUGAUGAUUACCCUAGGGCAAGCCUAGAUGAGAUUAGCACGUGAAGCAGUAGCAGUAGAAAGGACUUGGUGAAGUUGAGGCAGUAUUAAGGAAAGUAUAGGUAGAUGUGGAAGGUAGUAUGGGCCCGUACUACUAAAAGCAUAGGAUCCAUACUCGAAUCAAGGAGGGCUGAGAUGAAUCCGGUGAACUUGUAGUGUAUGUGAUCCCUCGAGAUAUGAUGUGUAUUCUGAUGCUUAUUAUCGUAUGUUUUUCAGUAUGAUGGUUGUAUGCACUAGACCAGUCGGCAAUUUAGGUGCCGGUGAGGUAUCAGGCUCAGGCUCUGGAGCUGAGCAGCUAGAUGAGCAGACUAUGGAGUUCAUCACCUCAGAGUUCACACACAGCAUACUAGACCAGAAUCUUGUGAUCUUUGGCACGAUCAAGGAGGACAUACUUGAGCUUUUGGAUGAGAGGUUGAGUGCUUUCCGCAUUGAGGUGGCGACCAUGAUGGGGUCGCGCACACUAACUUUCAGGGAGUUCAGGGCUUGUGGAGCUCCUGACUACCAUGGGGCUCGGGACCCCAUUGCGAGUACCAGAUGGUUGGCGGAUGUCGCCAAAGCAUUCCACACCAUCAAAUGUCCCGAGGGGACAAGGUCCGACUUGCGUCCUGUCUUCUGAAGGACAUGGCACAUGAUUGGUGGGAGGAGGUUGGACGAGCCAUUGGUGAUGACACAUUGUUGGAUGCUAGGACCUGGGGUCAUUUCACGACCACGUUCAGGGCCGAGUUUGCACCUAUUAUUGAGGUGCAUUAGCUUGGUAGGGAGUUCCAGGAUCUCCAGCAGAUGAUAGAGAUAGUGGCAGAGAUUACCGCCAAGUUUAGGGAGAGGGCUCUUCUCGUUCUGCAGUAUGUGGCAGACAAGGAGAUGAAAAAGGCCAGAUACAAUGAAAUACUGAGGAGUGACAUCAGACAUUUUGUGAGCCAGUCCAUCUGCAAGACACUAGAGGAUAUGAUUGCGAGGGCUCGUGAGAGAGAGAGAGAGAGAGAGAGAGAGAUUGAUUUAGAGAUGGAGAGGCAGAGGAAGCCAAAGGCAGUGUCUGGCAUAGAAGGCUCGAGCAAGAACCCCAAGGUAGACUCCCGAGGGAAGGGCCUGCAGGGCCAAGGCUACUGUGGCAAGUGUGGCAGGGGGCAUGAGGGGUCGUGUAGGGCAGGUAGUUCGGGCUGCUUCAAGUGCGGCCGAAUUGGACAUGUUAGUUAGGAUUGUAUUGGAACUACCACUACCACUACAGCAUCUUAUCUGAUUUGCUUUCAGUGCAAUCAGAGGGGACACAAGAAGUCCUAGUGUCCGAGUCAAGCAUCAGCAGGACACGUGGUGGCACCCGCUCCUACCACUUUGAGGAUUACAGAUGGCCGUCAGGGCCGAGUGAGGCGCCAGUGGCGAAAAGCAGAGCCUUCCAGUUUACAGCAGAGGAGGCACGUGUAGCCCAUGACAUAGUGAUGGGUAUGUAUCUAUCUCUUAUCUCUAUUGAUAUUUAUUGUUAUUCAUGUUUAUAUGUUUUUGUUAUAGGAUCAUUCUUAGUGAACGUUAUAUCAGCAUUGGUACUGUUUGAUUCGGGUGUCACCCAAUCUUUUUUGUCGCUCGCGCUCAGCAAGCGAUUUAUAGGAGCUCCAGGGGAGCUGGAUUGCCCACUAGAUGUAGUGAUAGCAGAUGAAAGGACCGUCAGGGUCACAAGAGUUCACAGAGGAUGUACAGUUCAGUUAUUCUGUAACAACCCAAAAAUACAACACAAAAAUUUCCAUUCAAAUAACAUUACAUAAGCCAUGAUUGACAACCAUAACAUAAUUCUUAACGUAAAUCCGGAGUAUUAGUUCAAAACAUAUUCGUGUUAUUAGAGUAAAACAUCCCAGUCUGACUAGCUAUGGUGUGUGCACUGCAAUCUUCUCGAGCUCCUCCUUUGAAAACUGAAUACCUAAAACCAAAACUGAAAACUGUAAGCACGAAGCUUAGUGAGCUCCCCCAAUCUACCACAUACCAUACAAUAACAUAUAAAGCACAUACUGGGGCCUUGCCCCCUACAUCGGACCGACGUCCGGAAAUCCCGGACUAACUGGGGCCUUGCCCCCUGCAUCGGACCGAAGUCCGGAAACUGCAUCGGGUCGAAACCCGGACUAACUGGGACCUUGUCCCUUGCAUCGGACUGAAGUCCGGAAACUGCAUUGGGCAGAAGCCUGGACUAAUUGGGACCUUCUCCCCUGCAUCAGACCGAUGUCCAGAACUAACUGCAUUGGACCGAAGUCCGGAACUGACUGAACAUAACAUAGCAUAAACAUAUUAACUAACAUGAACACAUAUACUACAUACUGCAUCGGACCAGGGUCCGGAACUCGUAACACAAAAUAUGCUUGAAUCAAAAAGACAUCAAACAAUCUAACUACUGCAUCAGACCGUGGUCCGGAACUACUGCUAACUAAAAGGGCCGGCAUUGUGGCCGUACACCCGUUCCUACUGGAAGGAAACUCACCUGAACUGCUGAGCUUUGCUGAUAACCCUCUGGCUGCUAACCGACAACCCUCUGAGUCGCUGCUCCACUAGCUCUCCGAGCUACCUAUAUCAAUAUGAAACUUAGUCUGAUAGUCCUCCAAAAGACAACUAAGUCAACUCUGGUCAAAGUCAACCUUCCAGGUCAAACCUACUCGCCGAGUCUGCCUACCGACUCGCCGAGUUCAUAUGCUCAGGAUCCUUUUAUUCGCGACUCGACUCACUGAGUCAACUCCUGACUCGCUGAGUCUACUGAUUUCCAAGUUCUGCCCUGACCAACUCACUGAGUCCCCAAUCCACUCACUGAUCCGAGUCUUAACUCGAAGGGUUUGGGGUUUCGCGACUUGACUCACCGAGUCCAAGAACAGACUCGCCGAGUCCUAGGCAAUCUUCAACAGACUCGCCAAGUUGUUCUUCCAACUCNGCCUAUCUUCACCCACCUCGCCGAGUCUACCCAUGUGACUCGUCGAGUUACUACGUGACUCAAGCCUGAUAUCUAGCCCGACUCGCCGAGUCAUCUCCCAGACUCGCCGAGUCCAUACACGCAUUCCCAUAAUUUCAAAUCACAGAGCUUCUCCUUUGAUCCAAACAAUAGAUCUGGUUUUCUAAGACUAUCUGAACACGUAAUGUUGCUGACUUUACAUGUGUCUUUGAUGUAAUGAAGCGAAAACACUAAAACUUAACUAUUAAGGUGGCUAUUUGGCUAGAACAAGGUCAUGGCUACCAAAAGAUGUCCCUCUUGAGCUCCUGGAGCUCAAGGAUGGCUAGAUCUACAAUAUAGACCGAUACAAUUGCUUCAUCAUUACGAAUCUAUGGUUUUUGAGCUCAAAACCAUCCAUUUGGGGGAAACUAGAUCUAGAAGUACNAGUACAAUAACAAGAUGAGAGCUUUAUUACCAGAAAAUGAUGAGGUUGAGGAGCUAAUCCUGGACCAACAUGCUUCUUCUUGGACCUUCCCAACUCCUUUUCCUUCUUCUACUUCUUCAAAGCUUGCAAUUCACUCACAACUUAAGAAACUAGCUCAAGAAUGAGAUUAGGUGGCAAGGGUUUCGGGUUCUGGACUAUAGGGGCCGCAAAUGAGCCCUAAGGAAGAGAAUGAGAUGUUUAAAUAGGGUACCAAGUCCCAGAAUUAGGGUUUCCUAACCCAGAACAGACUCGCUGAGUCCACUUGCCGACUCACCGAGUCGGUCACUACUUUACUGCAGGAUCCCACUCCGACUCGCCGAGUUCCUCCCUGGUCUUGACGAGUCGACCCUCUUUAACUUAUGGUUUUUCCUUUCCUUUCUUGUCCUUUCUGAUUUCGGGUGUUACAACUCUCCCCCACUUAAACUAAACUUCGUCCUCGAAGUUCUCUAUGGUCAACUGACCUGCAAUCCGCCUCAAACACCCUUCCUGGUGACUUUAACCCUUUUGUCCAUCACUCUAGCCACUCUCAGUGCUGGUCACUACUACUGGUACAUACUGAAAGCUUCUUAAUUCCAUAACUUAGUGCUGAGCACCCAUCCCAACGAAUGGAUCAGAUAAUCCUUCGAGUGAAAGAUUAAUCCCUGUAACGGGUUAAGACCCAUACGAGCGCUGCGCAACAUGUUCAAACCCUCCCCUCUGAGAUUAUCCAACCCUGUCGUGAGAGACCCUCUGUCAACUUGUUGUCUCUUACCAUACUUCCCUUGUCAACUUGCCCCUAAUCCGCCUACUGGAUGCACUGAGACCACCCUGGUCCAACUAAUCUGCCGAUAUCUGGGUUACCGGACUCUCAUCGGUCACUACACCCCAUCGCAAUCUCCUAUUCGCUUCCAGCGACUUCUGAAGAUACUUUGACUAUCUAUAACUAUUCUAUCCACUCUGCCACUUAUAUUGAAUCAAUGCUGCUGGAACCAACCUUCUUAUCUCUCAUCUGACUACUCAACUUCCAAUAACUCGAGUCUUCCAUCCUGAAAGAAAGGCCACCUGCCUAAUUACCCUUGCAGAUUACUUAUACUUGGCAGAAGACCCAACUGAUCCUGCUGAGAGGGACUUGCCAUUCCCAAAUCAAUCAACUAUACCACCAGCACUGGCAUUCCAACACAAAUACUAAUACUGUCCAUAACUCUGAAACUAUCCAAGACACUGAACUGCCUGAAACACCGUACAUGCCUGAAACACUAAACUGCCUGAAAUGCUGAACUGACUGAAACACUGAACUAACUGAGACACUGAACUGCUAUAUUGCUACUUCCUAAAAUGUCUCAAGACCUUCCUGGUCUCCAAUCACCUGUCGUUUAUCUGCAACCCCGAGUUCCACUCAACUGUGGAGUCCAAGGACUCCUCACUCAGUCGCUCCCACGACUUCUGAACGAAAUCUUUCUCUGGAACUAGUUCCACUAGUUAUCCUAACACUCUGGCUCUAACAACCUCCCGAUCCAACCGACCGAUUCCACAUCAAAUCCUGACAUCAUCAAAUCCAUGACUAAAAUGAUGGCUCCCAGACUAAAGGUAGCCCAUAACAUACACGAACCUAAGCGGUCCACUGCUUCCCUGAUCUCAUAACUGUGGUGACGAUCCACUGACAAAUCGCUGACUUAACCAUAACUGAACCAUUUGGGUAAUCAGAAAUCCAACCUGUUGAUUCCCAUAUCCUCACUGCUGCACCCGAACUGGUUGGUACUACUACUUCCCCCGCGUCCAAACAACGCGCUCAUGCUGACUACUAACCUGACGAAUGCUCUGGCUACAUCCGCAGACUUACACUCUCUAAUACUAUCUGGUUGAUAGUGAAUGCUACGGCUACCCCUGCAGACUUACAACACUCUACUACUAUCUGACUGCUAGUGAAUGCUACGACUACCCCCGCAGACUUACAACAUUCUACUACUAUCUGACUGCUAGUGAAUGCCACGGCUACCCCCACAGACUUACAACACUACUACUACUAUCUGACUGUUACUAUUCCGAGGACAUCCUGAUCAUCCCUAGACCUGCUAGCGAUUCCUCAUCCUGAUUCUCAAAACCAACCCUUAAUCAUCGAAUAUUGCAUCAACCUCGACAUCUUAUAUCCUUGAUACACUUAGCGUUUCGUCGAGGAAUUCUUCGGCUUGGUUCCAAAACCAACCGUCUACUAAUCCGGAUACAUGAAACUAUCGUUGGGAAGUUUCCAAACUUCCAUCUCCUGAAUCCACACAACCCUGCAUGCUGUCUCUGCCGCUGACUACUAACACGGAAGCAUCUCUUGGUAAUCGUUCUCAAGAUCCUCAUUCUGACUCCCUAGAGUUCUACAGGCGGUCCUCCAAUCUUGGAUUCCCAACCAGCUACUGACCAUCUCGAUUACAUGAACUAACUAUUCGGAAGUUCCUCAAACUCCCAAUCCUGAACUCCUCAAUCCAUCAAUCGAUGUGCUGCUAUCCUUUCUUCUCAGAGGUCCUGCACUCAUUCUGGGUCUGCGUGCUCUUAUCCUUGAAUACUCGGAGGGUUCUCCCCCACUUGGUUCGGCUUACUCCUUACUACUUACUAAUCAAAAGGAUUCCCCAACCUUCCUUCCAUGAAAAGGGGCGAUCCAAUGCCCGCCUACAAUUACCUCUGUUGAUGCUUUAACUAACCCUUACCAAAUCUGAACCAUUCCUGUUAACUAACCGAGAACUCUUCAAUCCUUCACUAAAUUUUCUUUAGUGACUACAUCCCGAGGACUUGCAUUCAGGGUAAACAUCCCCAACUCACUUCCCUACUGUCCGCUGGUUUCCUCAAUAGAAGCUCUAAAUUGUCACUACUAAGAACUUAACUGAUCAAUCCCGAAUGACACCUUUCAAAAAGAGUGAGGCAUUACAACUGCUGCAUCCGAAGCCACCUGAUCUAGAGGGGACGAUCUCUAACUAUCAUUCUGACAACCAAGGUAUGCAAUUGGAAUAUAACUCAAUCACAAGCAAGUAAUAUAAUAUCCCAACACAUAUGCUCAUUAAUAUCGAUGCAGCAAAAUAACAAUAAUAUCAUGAAUAGUAAUCGACAUGAAGGUAAAAGAUACGUACCCCCAACAUCCAUCGCUGCUCGAAUCCUUGUUGAAAUCAACCAGAAUACUCUGCUCCUAGCCUUGGGCGCCGUUGCCCGACUCUGAUGUCUGCUGGUGGCUUUAGAAGUCCCAGGGACAGGAGCUGGCACCUGCCCUGCUGUAUGCAACCUCGGACAGUGGGCCUUCUUGUGGCCCCUCAGACUACAACGGAAACAUAUCGGAUCUAGCUCCUUGACGACGGUAAUAGUACAAUCUCUACUAAAGUGGCCAAUUCGGCCGCACUUGAAACAUCCAGCAUCGCCACCACUUCUACGCCCGCACGCACCCUCGUGCGUCCUACCACACUUCCCGCAUCGACUGCGGCUCUGAUAACCCCUCGAUCUCGAAUCCGACCCCUUGGGCCUCUUGCCCGAACCUGUGGCUACCCGAGUCUCAUCCUUUUUCCUCUUCCUUUCUGACUCACUACCCGUUUCUCACUCCUGCGUUACCUCGUCGACCCCAUGCAUCAUCUGAACAACCGCUGCCUGACCCUGAAGCUUCGCGGUCAACCUAUCGGUGAUCCUCAGGACCAUGUCGGGCAAUUCCUCGCGAAUGGCUCGCGAAACUUCCCUUACUAUCCAAUUAUGCAGAGGUCCCCCUGGAUACAGGGUGCCCCACUAACACCUGUUCCCCGAUGGUAAGAGCUAAAAACGGGAACUCCCUCCAUGAUGGAUCCCUGAACUCCAUAAGCAUCAGGCUCUAGCCGAUCCCCAAUCUGUCCUGAAACUGUCCCGGCCCUAAAGGCCUUAAGAUGACUGUCCAUAAGCUCCACGAUGGCCUCUCUAACCGAACCAAAAAUCACUAGAGUCUGAUCGAUGAUGUUGCACAUAAUCUCCGCGGAAAUAAAACCCCUCAUCUGAUCAUCAAGUUGCCCGGCUCUAGAACCUGAGCCGGAUCCCUCCCUGGUACCUGAACUGUUAACUAGUAUCUCGCGCAACAACACCAUACUAAAAACAUAAAACAUUACUUAUCAAAAUACCCUCCGCUGCCAAGGGAUCUCUCACAUACUCUACUAGUUCCCUGGUUUUGCCUCGGCCCCUCUUGAAUCAAGUACAAAUCCUCUGCUUUCAGUAGUAUGGGCCCAUACUACCUUCCACAUCUAUCCGUACUUUCCUCAAGAGUUACCUCAACUCCACCAAGUCACUCUCCUGAUACUGAUCUUUGCUACUACCUUCCUAGGCUUGCCCUAGGGAACCUCUGACUCCACCCAAACCAGUCCUCAGCUGCUGAAGGCCUCCUUGUAAUGACAAUUAGCCACCACCUGAAUACCAUCCAAUGCAAUGAAGCUCGGAUAAUCCUUUGAGUAAAAGACUCAUCCCUACAACGGUUAGACUCAUACGAGAGCUACGCAAUAGGGUCAAAUCCGGCACUCUGAGAUUAUUCAACCCUGACCACAUGUGAUGUGACGUAUUCACCUAAUGGCUAACUCCCAUUACUCAGAGUCCCACUAAGCACAAAGCAAGCAGCAUUCGGAUAAAGGAAACAUACUCAUGCAAAGCUAUUCUCAUAACAAGAAACUAUACUAGCAUAGAAUGCUAAGCUCAUACUAUCAAGCAUAACCUACACAGGCUAUCCUACUACUGUCUACUCAUUACUAGCAUGCAAUUCUCAUAAGGCUGAAACAUAUAAAGCAGGCACAUAAGGCAUCCUCCUAGAUCCUUAGUCCUAUACCAGCAUGUUGUUCUACUAAAACUAAAACUGAAACUGGAAUUGAAACUGAAACUGAUAAUCAUAAACUUGUAUGUGUAAUUUGGGAGUACUUACUUGAGCUCGGUUGAUUGCAUGCACCACACCCUUCUUCUCUUUUCAAAGUCCUUUUCUUUCUAAAAAAUCUUUUUGAUUUUUCUAAAACUCUUUUCCUUUUUCUCAAAACUCCCUUUUUACAAAAACUGAUUUUCCUUUUGAAAAUUUCUAUACCAAUUCCUUAGUUUGAGUUCAGACACACCCGAAAGUGUGCCCGAAUCCCUCAAACCAAGGCUCUGAUACCAACUUGUAACGACCCAAAAAUACGACACAAAAAAUUUCAUUCAAAUAACAUUACUUAAGCCAUGAUUAACAACCAUAACAUAAUUCUUAACGUAAAUCCGGAGUAUUAGUUCAAAACAUAUUUGUGUUAUCAGAGUAAAACAUCCCAGGCCGACUAGCUAUGUAUGUUAUGUGCACUGCAAUUUUCCCGAGCUCCUCCUUUGAAAACUGAAUACCUGAAACCAAAAUUGAAAACUAUAAGCACGAAGCUUAGUGAGCUCCCCCAAUCUACCACAUACCAUACAAUAACAUAUAAAUCACAUACUGGGGCCUUGCCCCCUACAUCGGACCAAAGUCCGGAAACUGUAUCGGGCCGAAGCCCAGACUAAUUGGGGCCUUGCCCCCUGCAUCGGACCGAAGUCCGGACACUGCAUCGGGCUGAAACCCAGACUAUCUGGGACCUUGUCCACUGCAUCGCACCGAAGUCCGGAAACUGCAUCGGGCCGAAGCCCGGACUAACUGGGACCUUGUCCCCUGCAUCGGACCGAAGUCCCGAACUAACUGCAUCGGACCGAAGUCUGGAACUGACUGAACAUAACAUAGCAUAAACAUAUUAACUAACAUGAACACAUAUACUACAUACUGCAUCGGACCAAGGUCCGGAACACAUAACACAAAGCUUGCAAUUCACUCACAAGGCAAGAAAAUUGCUCAAGAAUGAGAUUAGGUGGCUAGGGUUUCGGGUUCUAGACUAUAGGGGCCGCAAAUGAGCCCUAUGGAAGAUAAUGAUAUGCUUAAAUAGGGUACCAAGUCCCGGAAUUAGGGUUUCCUGACCCAGACUAGACUCGCCGAGUCCACUUGCCGACUCGCCGAUCGGUCACUUACUUUACACCCGGAUCCCGCUCCGACUCGCUGAGUUCCUCCCUGGACUCGACGAGUCGACCCUCUUUAACUUAUGGUUUUUCCUUUCCUUUCUUGACCUUUCUGAUUUCGGGUGUUACAUAUUCAAUCAGCAGUUUUCAGUGGAUUUGGUUCUUAUUCCCCUGAGUGGGAAUAAGGUUAUAGUGGGUAUGGAUUGGUUGAGCCCCAAUGGGGCAGUGAUUGACUGUGAGCAGCAGCUAGUGAGGGUUCGCACCCCUAGUGGGGGAGGGUUAGUAGUCAAGGGCGAGAGGCCACAAUGCGGAUCGGUUUUCUAUUCAGCAGCGAGGGUGAGGCGCCACCUUCAGCAGGGUUGUGCAGGAUACGUUGCAUACGUCAUGGAUACUCGGGAUAAGGGUAAGGUGAUGGUUAAUAAUGCACUGGUAAUACAAGAUUACUCUGACGUAUUUCCAGAGGAUUUACCUGGGGUACCUCCGGAGAGACAGGUUGAGUUUAGGACUGACCUAGUCCCUGGUACGGCUCCGAUAGCCAAGGCACCAUAUCGGUUGGCUCCUCCCGAGAUGCAGGAGUUAUCUACGCAGGUGCAAGUGCUGCUAGACAAGUGUUUUGUCAGGCCAAGCAGUUCACCAUGGGGAUCCCCAAUCCUAUUUGUGAAGAAGAAGGACUGGUCACAUCGCAUGUCUAUAGACUACCGGGAGUUGAACAAGGUAACGGUGAAGAACCGUUACCCACUUCUGUGGAUAGAUGAUUUGUUUGAUCAGCUUCAGGAGCAUCUUGGUUCUCCAAGAUUAAUCUACGGUUAGGGUACCACCAGAUGUGAGUCAGGGAUGAUGAUGUGCAAAAGACAUCUUUUAGGACUCGCUAUGGUCAUUAUGAGUUCGUGGUGAUGUCGUUUGGGCUCACCAAUGCUCCAGCUGUGUUCAUGGACCUUAUAAACCGAGUGUGCAUACUGAUACUGGAUCGGUCUGUAAUAGUCUUCAUUGAUAAAAUCUUGGUUUACUCCAAGAAUUAGGAGCAGCAUGAGGAGCACCUGAGGGAGGUACUGGAGAUACUGAGGAGGGAGAGACUUUUUGCAAAGUUCUCCAAGUACGAUUUCUAGGGUCUGACACACGAUUUAGAGUUGUGGGGCUAUGGUGUUCACCCCCAAGAUUUGGCGGCAUUACAUAUAUGGGGUCCGCUGUACCAUUUACAUGGAUUACAAGAGUUUGAGGUACCUCAUGGAUCAGCCGAAUCUGAACAUGAGGCAGCAUCGGUGGUUAGAUGUGGUGAAGGACUAUGAUUUUGAGAUCCUUUACCACCCAGGAAAGGCCAACGUAGUGGCCAACACCCUGAGCCGCAAGGUGGUAGCGGCCCGGAUCCGAGACAUCUAUCUGAGGAGGAACGCCGGAAGUGCAAGCGGAUUAUUUUCCAGUUGGCCUCCUUUGAUUAUGACAGCCGUGGGUUGUUGACCCGGCAUAGGAGGGUCUGGGUACUGUACUGGGGUGGAGUACAGUAGGUAUUGAUAGAUGAGGCCCACAAGUCUAGGUUCUCCAUCCAUCCUGGGGCGACGAAGAUGUACAGAGAUCUUCGGCCUGAUUACUAGUGGACCUGCAUGAAGCGAGAUGUAGCCCGGUAUGUUAAGAGAUGCCUGACCUAAAGGAAGGUCAAGGUAAAGCACUAGAGGCCUCACAACAAGAUGCAUCCGUUAGACAUCCUCGUGUGGAAGUGGGAGGACAUUACUACGAAUUUUAUCACUGAUAAGAUUAAAACUUAAUCUUGAAGAUCGAUUAGAUCUCAAACAGGUAAAAUAAAAAACAAACAGCAAGAACACGAAAACAAUAAACAACUCAAGAAUGAAUCAAACGUGUCGAAUGAUUAUAAAACAACCCUCAGAAGAGCUCGAUCAAGAACAUCAACUGUAGAGGGUUAGAAGGUUUACAGGAACGAUGAAGAAAAUUACAGCUGUCGUAAUUCUCUCUAUUGUAUUCUAGAUCGUUUUCUAAAAUCGUUAACCUAAUAUGCAUGCAAUCAUAUUCUUAUAUAGUAAACCUAACAGCUCACGGUUGGACAGGCCCAAACCAGAGUACAAAACUAUUGGACUAUCAGCCGAGCCCAAUGACGCAAUACUAAGUGAAUCUGCAACCCAACAAUCUCCCCCUUUGCGUCAAUUGGAGCGAGAUCUUCACUUCUUGCUUGGGCCAGCAGCGGCGGCAGGUACCUUCUUCUUUACAGUCUGAAACAGACGAGAGAUAAGAGCAAGUAUCGUUUGUCUGAAUCUGAUGUACCAUUGAAUCAUAUCGUUGAAGUAUUUGAUAUCAUCCGCUGCAUUCUCUUUACACCGACGGAUGAUCGACAGCACAUGCUCUAGAGAAGCAGUGGUAUAAAGAUGUUUAUCCACUAAGGCAAAGAGACAUUUCUGUCCUUCUGCUCUAGUGAACAUGACCGAAUUGCGCCUCGGGUCAAUCUUCCCCAUCUUCAUCUGAUUGAGAUCACUGGCCGAUCCAACAGGAGAUAUCUUCGGUUUCUUCUUGAAGACUGUGGCUAUCUCCUGAUCCAUCAAGGCGACCUCCAUGAUGUAACAGACUAUCAUCCUUUUGAGAUGGUCUAUAAUUGGACCAUAUUCAGCUUCAUUCGUCAAAAGGAUGUUAUGCAAAACGAUCCAAUCAUGGGGGUUGAGGUUCGGUAGAUCUGCUAAGGAUAUAAGAUGUUCGGUUCUUGCAGACCCUCUGAUCACCCUGAACCGAACGUUGAUGAAUCUCCCUUCGGUAUAUGGCUUUAAAACCCGAACAUUAACGAUCUUCUGAGCGCUCCAUGUUUGGUACUGUGGUUGAGCAGCCUUCAGAUAGAAUUCGAUUAACUCCCUAUCAACCUCAGGAUUAGGAUGAGGGACUUCAAAAAUGUUGGAGAAGGCGUGGAAGAUAAACGCCUUUCGGGUCAAGGGCAUAUCGAACUGCGAAUCGACAGAAUUGUAGCAGUCGAAGGAGAUCACCGGUUCAAGCCAUAAGAUGCUUGGAGUAUCUAUGGCCUCCUUUAUCAUCCUCUCCCGAGUCCAAGCAGGGAAAAAAGUCUUUCUGCUCUCGAGGAGAUCGUGGGCUUCUUUCUUCUUGCGUUCGGCUUCUUUAGCUUCUCGCGCCACACGAAUGUUUUCAUUUUCAACAUUGCGACUAUUUUUGCGUUUCAGCAAGUCAGCAAUGGUUUCUUUAUCAUCUUCAUCCUCUUCCUCAGCUAUUUUCUUUCCUUUAUCCUUCACACCCGAACCCGAAGUUUGACCAGUAGGAGGAGGUUCGGUUGUGUGAGCAGCUUUUGAGGAAGGAGGUGGUUUCGAUCCGGACUUCACUUCUCCCCCUUGUUUCGGAGUGGACACGAAACUAGGUAGCCCUUCAAUUUUGCUGAGAAGGUCCAGGGCAGGAGCAAGUUUUUCAGCAAGGGUUCGCCUCACCGAAUGAUUGAGAAUCGGAUCGUGUGCUUCCAGGAUGUUGGAUAGGGCAGAGUGUACAUCCGAAACACAUGUUUUGAUAACCUCCCGUUCGGAUCGAAGAGCUUCAAUCUGUUGCUGAGAGUUUGAAAGCUGAGCGCUCUUGACCUUGAGGGCGGUGGUUUUACUAGCAAGAACGUCCAUUAACGAGUUUUCGGCAGCGAGAUCCUCUUGAAGUUUAGCGAGGCGCUCGUCAAUGGAGGCACGAAGGGCCGAGUUGUCGUCGCUGAUGGAUUGGCGAAGGGUAGCGAACGACUUCAACUCCGUUGAGACGAACGUGGCCAAUUGUUGAACGAUUGGUUCCAACGUUGUCUUUGUUGCAUCNNNNNNNNNNNNNNNNNNNNNNNNNNNNNNNNNNNNNNNNNNNNNNNNNNNNNNNNNNNNNNNNNNNNNNNNNNNNNNNNNNNNNNNNNNNNNNNNNNNNNNNNNNNNNNNNNNNNNNNNNNNNNNNNNNNNNNNNNNNNNNNNNNNNNNNNNNNNNNNNNNNNNNNNNNNNNNNNNNNNNNNNNNNNNNNNNNNNNNNNNNNNNNNNNNNNNNNNNNNNNNNNNNNNNNNNNNNNNNNNNNNNNNNNNNNNNNNNNNNNNNNNNNNNNNNNNNNNNNNNNNNNNNNNNNNNNNNNNNNNNNNNNNNNNNNNNNNNNNNNNNNNNNNNNNNNNNNNNNNNNNNNNNNNNNNNNNNNNNNNNNNNNNNNNNNNNNNNNNNNNNNNNNNNNNNNAGGUCCAGGGCAGGAGCAAGUUUUUCAGCAAGGGUUCGCCUCACCGAAUGAUUGAGAAUCGGAUCGUGUGCUUCCAGGAUGUUGGAUAGGGCAGAGUGUACAUCCGAAACACAUGUUUUGAUAACCUCCCGUUUGGAUCGAAGAGCUUCAAUAUGUUGCUGAGAGUUUGAAAGUUGAGCGCUCUUGACCUUGAGGGCGAUAGUUUUGCUUGCAAGAACGUCCAUUAACGAGUUUUCGGCAACGAGAUCCUCUUGAAGUUUAGAGAGGCGCUCGUCAAUGGAGGCACGAAGGGCCGAGUUGUCGUCGCUGAUGGAUUGGCGAAGGGUAGCGAACGACUUCAACUCCGUUGAGACGAACGUGGCCAAUUGUUGAACGAUUGGUUCCAACGUUGUCUUUGUUGCAUCAGCGCUCUCCUGUAAGGACUUUAACAGGGAAGAGGCUUCAGAGAAUAGUUUAUCGACUUUUGCGGUCGCUGCCUCACAUGCUUUUGUGGAGGCGUCUAUUGCUGCAGUGGCAGAGGCGACGGAAUCAUGCUGAGCCCUGGAGAAGGCAUCAACAAUCUUCUGAAGAGCGGCUUCAGAGAGAGAGGACUGAGUGUUGGAGGAUGAAGCAAGAAGCAAGUCAACCUUCUCAUUUAGCUCCUUAAGAUGCUUCUUUGUUACUGGAGCAUCGUCCUCGUCGUCGCUUUGGACCUGAAACGGACUAAAGUAGACCGAAUCGAAGGUCAUAUUUUCCCCUCCAAGAAAAGGGUUAUCUCCAUCAGAGGCAUGAUCUGGAGAUGUUGGGGGUGGUGAAGCUGGGGGUGUGGUGGUAUGUGUAGGUUCAGGUUGAGUGUUGGUGGGGGUAGUUUCGGGUGGUGGUUGAGUGUGGAUAGGUUCGGUUGUAUGCUGGGUUUCGGUUGUAUGAGGAGGUUCGGUUACAGGUGGUGUUUCGGUUGCAUCGGUAUGAACCCCCGUAUCAGAUACGUUGGUUGUAACCUUUGCAGUUGUUGUUGUUGUAUCUGUGAAAAUGGGUGGUGGUAUAGGGAAUGAGGUUUUAGGAAUGGUGGUAGUGGGGUUUAUGGUGGGAAUGGAAGUAGGGAUUGUUUGAGUAGGAGAGGGAAUGGGUGAGACAUGAAUUUCCAUGUCUGGGGUAGGUAAUCGGGGUGGGGUGUUACCUCUUCGAGGGGUUUCGCCUCUUUGAGAGUAGUCCGACUCCGAACUCUCACAGUCUGAAUCACUCGAAGAGGAAGCGAUUACAAGCUUUCGCUUCGGUUGAGUCUUUCGCCUCUUCGGCUACGGGGACUGUGCAACUUUGGUUGGUUUCCUCUUCCUGGGAGAAGGACCUUUAGCACCUUUGGUCACUUGCUUCCCUUUCUCUGCCUUUUUGCCCCUAUUAACAGGCUUAUCAGCGUCAUGGAUGGACUUGAGCAUUUCCUGUGUGAGUUCCCUCGGUCCAGACGCCUUGAACUCCUUAAUAGUCCGGAUGAUCCUGCUGUCAGAUGGAACAUCGCCGUACAUUGUCUCCGGAAUUGAGCCAAUGAAAGAAAACUUGGAUGCAUCUGAGACGAUGAUCUUCAUGGUAUGAAAAGUACCGAUCGAAGACAUCGAUGCACCGGCAGCAGUGGGGACAUCGAACUUAUCCAUCGCCCACUUUGUGAUGAGAGUCCAGAACCGGGCAUACGACACCUCAGAAUGUCGUGAAGAAGAAGAGAGGCUCUGGAUGAGUUGUUGCCAGAGAACAAACCCAUAGUCAAGAUUGACACCGUUGUAGACGCCAUACAUAAUCGACAAGAACAGUCGACUAGAACCAUCGGAUCCUGAGCUCCGUUCAGAUAAGCCCUUGAAGAGGACUGUAAACAUGCCGUUCCACUGUGGCGGCAAGCAGGAUUUUUUAAACUUCGCGACGGAGGUGAGCGCCUCCGUGUACCCCAUAUUGUAAAACAUGUUGUAAAGAUGCCCAAUCGGAAUCGUCUCCGGAUUAAUCCUUGAAGGGUCAGCAGCAAACCCUAGCAGUGUACCAAAUCGUUGCCUUGAAAUCGAGGUCUUGUGAUCAGAAACCUCGAAGAACACCCUAUCGACUGCUUUAUCGUAAUGUGCAGUCGCAUACACCUGCGAUAGGAGCUCCAUGGGCACAGACUCAACCCUAGAAAGUGCAGGAGCAAUUUGUGAGUACUUCAGGCACUCGAUGAUCGGAGACAUAUAAGAAUCGUACGCCAGAGGGGUUAGGUCAAUCACCAAACACUGUUGAGGGCGAAUGGGAAGGAUGUGUGAGGUGGCAUGGACUGAGGAUGAUUCUGCCAUUGUUGAAGGUAGGAAGAAGAAGAUGAACAGUAAAGCUUUAGGGAAUUUUUGCUCUCUUGGAAAUUCGGAUGCAGUAAAGAGGUAAAUGGGAGUGGAGACUGCCUUUUAUAGUGGGUGUAAGGAGAGAGAAAAAUCUGUUCAAAUCUUCUAUGGAAAUACGAAAAGGUUUUCCGGAAUGACAGAUGCGUGACAGUUAAGGCAUGCGAUGAUCACGUAGGAGAGAGAGUGUCAGAUUCCUAGGAACACGCCGCCCAACAAGCGCCGUUUCAGAACAAACCGUUUCAAAUCCACACGCGCCUUUAAGUGCCAGAGAGGAACCGCUUGAAAUUCGCACACGCGUCCAUUAUGUCAGUAAAAGAAUGGGCGUUUCAAAUUCGCACGCGUCCCUUUUUAACCGCCGUUUGAAAUUUAAUCCUUUGAUCUCCCGCCUGAGUCAGCAACCCUUAAUCUUAUCUUUUAAAUGGCAUCUUUUGAAUUAAUUUCCCACGUGGAUGAUUUUUGACCAUAACUCGAUAAUUAACCACCAAAGCAAUAAUACAGCCUGUAAUUAUUAGUACCAGAAUUUUGGAAAAUCAAAGAUUUUCGUGCUAAGAGUGUAAAAAAGAAAAGAAAUAAAGCAACUCUUUUUAGGAAUAAAUGUGAUGUCAAUAAUGACACGAAACAAAUGAUCCCGGGCACGAAUCUCUUCCUUCAAGAUCAAGAGAGACCUUAAAGUGUUUAUGUGGUUUCCCGUUGAAUGACGAUCAAACACUUAUUAAUAAAUGUUGAAAGGCUUCUUUUAAUUAGGCUACGUAAGGGUGGCUUUCGCUUUGAUGCAACAAUUCUAAUCUUGAAAUAAGAAAGAAAGUGAACAAAGUACUUGUGAGACCGGUGUAGUCUGUUGAACAAGUAGGUAGGAAUUAAUUUUAAAUUGGCUUGGAAAAUAUAAAAUCUCAAAAAAAAAUAAAAACUGGAUCCCAAGGGAAGAAAUGUUAUGGUGUUUAACAAUUUCAUAGGAAUCACACAAAAUAAAAAUUUGAGAUUUCAUCAAGAUACAUCCGUCAAUUCUUUGGUGAAAACUUGAGCAAAUUUAUUGUUCACCGUCAAUUCAGAUUUGGGGUUGAAUUUUGGGUUUCACUCAGCUCGUAGUGGCACGAAACUGAGAUCAUAAACACAGUUGUUGUGUAACCAUAAACCUCAGUGGUAAUUUCUGAGAGUCUCAAGGGUUACGUUGAUGAAACGAAUGUAAUGGAGAAAUGUAAUGGAGAUGGUGUAAGAAAUUAAAGUACCUCUGCUGCGAAAAUAAGGACCAAGCAGAAAACUCUUAUCUCAUGUGAGAAGAGAGUGAGGUAGCUCACGAUUAGAAUAAAUGUGAUAGCCUAAUUGGGAAGACAAGGUUUGUUUAUACCAAGUCAUUAAGGCUAUUAUUCAGAAUCUUAUGAGGCUUGGGACACAUACAGCAGCAUGCUUCUAGGGAUACUUAAGUAAUCUAACAAUUAUAUCCCCAUAAACAAACGAACACACAAAAAAAAUAAAAGAGAAAAAUAUUUUUGGAGUUUUUGAUAUAUAUUAAAAAAGAUAAAAGAAAAAGAAAAAAAAUUAAAAAAUUAGCAAGAAAAAAAAUAAGACCUAGAAAAAGAAAAAAAAAAAACUUUGGAAAAAUUUGGUAACCGAACCCGAACGUUCGGUUGGUUUCGGUUGAGAAAAGUUUUGAAAAACUGAACUCGAGCGUUCGGUUGGUUUCGGUUUUGGAAAAUUUUGAAAAACCGAACCCGAGCGUUCGGUUGGUUUCGGUUUAAGAAAAUUUUGAGAAACCGAACCCGAACCUUCGGUAGGUUUCGGUUUUGGAAAAUUUUAAGAAACCGAACCCGAACCUUCGGUAGGUUUCGGUUUUGAAAAUUUUUAGAAAACCAAGGAAUUUAGGCUUGCAAUCAGAAAAUACUUUUGUCAAUAAGAUAAACAACUUUAUACAUGAAAUUUACAACCAAGAAAACUACCUUUGUGGUGAUGAGCGAGUCAGAGGAUUUAACCGAACCUGAACGUUCGGUCAAUUUCGCUUCUUACGUUUGAGGUUGAGAGGUAGUUUGAGGUACUGACUCUGAUUCCAUCAUACCUAGCCCUUGUAAAAUUCUGUUGAAUGAUGCUUCAGGAAGAGCUUUGGUAAAGACAUCAGCCAGUUGAUCUGUGGUUCUUACAAAGUGUACUUCAACGUUUCCAUCUUCCACUAGGGGCACAACUGCCGUGUCGUCCACUAAGCACUUCUACAACUGGGAAACAUGGAAAGUGUUGUGGAUCUUGCUGAGCUCUGCUGUAAGGGUUUGAAGUGGACAUGGGAACCCGAGGAGGAGAUGAGGGAGCACUACCCAGAGUUGUUUCCAGAUGCAGCAGACUUCGAGGAAGAAGUCUAAGACAAGUAGGGGAGAAUUGUAACACCCGUUCCUUUUACGCAUUUAGUUCAUUUAAAUAUUCAGUUUUGUAAAAGCUACUCGACGAGUUGGUAGUCGUAACUCGUCGAGUAGAUGCAAGAUUAGAUGCGGGGAUUAAAUUACAUACUCAGCGAGUCGAGAGCCAGACUCAACGAGUAGGGCCGCUAGGAGGAAACCUUAUUUUUGGGGUUUUGCACCCUAUUUAAGACACUUAACGGCCUCCCUUACCAGGCUCCUUUUCCUUCAGAAGCCUAAUUGGUUGUGAGCUUCAUUCUUUAAAGAUUCUUGAUGUUUUGGGUGUGCUUUUGUGAUAUAAAAGGGAGUUGGAAGAGCUUGGAGCCAUCAAGUUGGUGGAAAAGAUCAAGAUUCGGGAUUUCAUCCAUCUUUGGCAACCUUUUGAGGUAAAAAUCUUGUAGCUUGGUAAUCAAUAACUUAGAUCUCUUUUAGUGUUGAUUUAUGGGUCUUUUUGAUACCUUCAGAAGGAUAAGUUACCCCCAUGGAUUAUAUGCCAAGCAAUCCCUUUUUCCUAUGAUAUUUGGCCUCUAGAAUCGUAAAAGAGGUAUUGAACCUGUUUUUGUCCAAGUAAUGGUCAUGUUCAUGGAAAUAGGUUGCUAUAACUUGAGUUUGGGUCCAUUUGAGGUGUGCAAAGCCAUCAAGUCUCCAACUUUAUAGAAACGGACCAUAGAAACGAUUUGGAUCUGUAUUUUGGAGCCCUGUAUUUGUGAAAUCAGUUGAUUAGGUUAGAUAUGCAAGGGACUCGACGAGUUUAUAUAGGAACUCGACGAGUCCGAUCAAGGAUCCUCGAUGUUGUUCAUGUAACUCGGCGAGUUGUCAAGGAAUUCGAUGAGUUGGAUCAUCUUGUCCCCUUUCUAAUUAUGCUAGGACUCUUCGAGUUUGAGGAUGACUCGACAAGUUAGUUCGUCCAGUUGCAAGGAUGGGUAGCGUGGAAAAUCGACGAUUCAUUGGGUGGCUUGGCGAGUUGAGUCGCGAUUUUAGGGUUUCUGAGUUGUAGAACUCGACGAGUCGAUAUGAUGACUCGGUGAGUUAGGUCAAACUAGAAGGUUGACUUUGACCAUAAUGUUGACUUUGACUAGGGGUAAAGUGGUCAUUUUACCCGAAGCAAGAUUGUGAGAUUUUGACUAAGUAUUAUUAUAUAGUGGUAGACGAGGAGUCGUGGGAGCAGCCAGCAGAGAUUCCCCACGCAUGAGUUCAGCAUCCAGUUUGAGAGGUGAGUUUCCUUCAGUACGGCCGGGUCUAAGUCACCAAGGCUGGCCCAUGUAUGUGAUAUGUUAUUAGCUUAGUAUGUGCGGGGCACGAAUCACCUAGACAGUGGAGUGUGGGCGGGGCCUGAAUCUCCAUGAGGGUGGGCGAGGCCCGUAUCUCCUAGUUUCAUGGUAUGUGGUAGUUUGGGGAGACUCACUAAGAUUUAUGCUUACAGUUUAAUUUUUGGUUUCAGGUACUUCCACUAGCAAGGAGAAGGGCUCGGGAUGAUCGCAUGGCACACACCACAGUUUCAGCCUGGAAUGUUUAGACUUUGAUAUUUUUCUCAUAUGAUUUUGAUAAAACACAUGAUAUGAUGUUUUGAGAUACAUGAUUCUUGGUUUUCUUUAUGAUUGAUGGGUAAUUAUGGUUUCAUUAAUGAUUUAAAAAUGAAAAUUUUUGGACUGUAUUUUUGGGAUGUUUCAAUUUGAAGUCGGAAAUAAGUACAAGAAUAAACGUAAGUUCAAACACAUGAAGAGUCGUUUACAUGCAGUACCUGGAAAUAGUGAAGAGGAAAUCUGGUCGAUGGUCAAAAUAGUUCGAGUUCUCAAUGUAUCCAAAGAUGGUUUGUUCAAGGGUAUGUUGCAGAAUUAUCGAUACCAUGCAGUCCGAGCAAACAAUGUCUCCUUCGACUUCUCAGUUACUGACUUUCCUUUGAUGAACCUCUAUGAUUUGCUGGUGGUCGCGAAGAUUUUGAAUUCGGUGAACGUGUUGAAGCUGCAAGUGACAAAUAAAGAAGAUUUUAUGAUUGGGUUCGCACAUUUGAAGGUAUUUAUUGAUGGCUACUAUAGGGAUUUAGCUUUAAUUGGUAUUGAAUUAGCUACAACAUUAGGAAAACAAGUUUAUGUUCCUUAGUCAAUGUUGAAGAGUCAAGCCAGUCUGAAAGAUUAUGAAGAUGGAGAUAUUUGUUUCAAACCCCUAGGGAUUGUGUUUGUAGGUAAAAAUAAGAAGAGCAAGACUACAAAAAUUUUAUUCUAGGUGUGUGAUGUUGAAAGGUAUACUUCAUCUCACUAUACAAAUCUUUUUGUCUGGAUGAAUAGUUGUGCCAAGAAUAAUGACAAGGAAAAAACUGAAAUUUGAAAGAUUAUUAACUGGUAUGCUGAAGUUUGAAGGGUUUUGCGUCAAGCAGCUUAGAUGUUUGCAACUUAUAUUCGACAUUUCUCACAAAGGUGGAGAAUGUUAGGGUUCAAAAGUUAUUGUGAGAUGUCGAAUAUGUCUUUGUUUUCUAUAAUGUCGAAACUAUGUUUGUAAUGUUAUUAUAAGGACACUUUAGUUUUGAGGCUUGUAAUGUCGAAUGUCCUUAUAUUUUUUGUGCUGUCAGUAUCCCUAUAAAUAUGGGAUGGAUACACUUAGAGGGGAGGAACUUGGACUCUCGAUUGUACUCAUUUGUCUUUCCUCUUGUAUUCUCUGAUCAAGCGAUAUAACGAUCCAACCAGAUAUUAUUUAGAUCGUGUAUUCUAAAUAUAUUCUUACUCUGAUUUUGUUUUCUAAGUCGAUUCAAUCGUCUCUAUAAUUUUCACCACUUUGAGCCUCCCCUCUACUCUCUCAUUCAUUUUUGUAGUUCUUGGUUGAUUUUGGAAGCAUCUCUUUCAUGACAGAGUUUUGGAGCCUUGCAUAAGAUCUCAACUUCCAACUAUCUUUUGGACCUUAGGUAUGAUUCAACUUUCCGCCGUUAUGCUUAUAAGUUGAUAGAUUUAGAUUCUAAACUUGUUUUUGUCCUUUAAAUGAAGAUUUUUAUGUUGGAUGUGAUAAAUUUUACAACUUUAUCAUUCCACCUUGUCACAAGAGUAUUUUGGUCUAUGGAUCUAAUCUUUCAUGAUAUUUUGGACACCAUACUUGAAGUUUGGAUCUUAUUUUAGUCAUUUUGACCUAGCUUGUGUUUAAAACAUCCAUUGGACAUACAUGUCUUAAAAGCAAUUUUAGAUGGUGAUUUGAGAUGGGAAAAGUCUUCUAGAAAGUUUGAGUGUUUGGCCUGAAGAAUUAAGAGCUUAAGGUAUUAAGUUAUCAAAGCAUUCCUACAACAUGACAGAUUGAUUAUCACGACGUGGUGAAUGGAAACUUAGCAACAAUUUUGUCUUCACGUAGUCAAGACAUGGCCAAUGGGUGGUAAGGAUGUGACGAUUAGCUGGUGUUGAUUUUGACUGUUGACAUUGACCGUUGACUUUGUCGAUGGUGGACUUUUGGUUAAUUUAUGGGUUUUAUGGUGUAGACUAAGAGGGUACUUCCUUAUUGUUAUUAGGUGUCUCGUACCAGUCUACACUAUGUGAGAGUUGUUGUGUUUAGAUGUUAUCUACGAGGUGAGUCUUCCCACUGUACUUGACUAUGUGGUAGUAUAGGCAUGUCGAGCAAUUGGGUUUUAUUUCUUGAUUUCUAUUAUAUAAGAAAUGAGUUGCUAAUAAAUUUUGGACUGUUGUAAGUCUAUGGGAUUGUUGGAAGUGCUCAGGGUUGCUAAUAACCCAUGGGGUGUGAUGUUAAUUCAUAGGGCAUGCUAUUAGCCCAUUAGGACCGUUGAUAGUCUCCAAAGUUUGUUAAUAAUAUUUAGUUGAUUAUUAUGUUGUGUUGUAUGUGGUAUUUUAAUGAGCCCACUAAGCUUUAUGCUUACAGUUAUAGAUUAAAUAUUUUGUAGGUACUUAUCGGAUUGCAAAGGAGGGACUAUACACAUACAUCUGCAUAUUUAUGAUUUAAGAUUCCGCAUUGUCUUUCGAUUAACUCUGAUUUCUAAAUAAUGAUUUAUGAACAAAUGAGUUGCCUUGGAAGUCAUUUUCUUUAAAAAUAGAUGUUUUAUUUAUUUCAAAAAUGAAAAUUUAGCCAUGGUUUUUUGGAUCUUACAUUGAAAAUAUUUUCCGAAAGGAUUGCACAAUAUUUACGAUAUGACAUCCUCAAUUUCACGGCCAGAAAAGACCGAUUUUUUUAUGCCUUAUUUAAAAAUCAGAGUGCCUUUUUGAAGAAUAAUAAUGCAGAAAUUGUUCCCAAAAUAGGAUAAAAUUAUUAUCAAAGCAUUUCCUAAAAAAUGUAUUUAAGUUAUAUUAAAAACGUUGGGAUGUCAUCGUCAAUACAUUAUAUAAGCAUAAACAUAAAUAACAUAGGCUUACAACAUCUAUUAUUCUACUGGCCUACAACCCAUAAAUCUAUCAUUUGAUCAUUUCACCGGUGUUCCUGUGCCACUACCUAUAAUACAAGAAACUAAGUGGGUCAGGCUUGGGAGCCUGGUGAGCACAUAGGGUUUUCAACCCAUAAUAAUUAAGUUCUUUAAUUUCAUCAAAUCAAUCAACCCGAUUACCUGUUCCGUUUAUCAUCACUUUAUGUACCUAAAACAUAUAACUUAAGGGACCUAGCCUAAGGAUUAUCUUCAGGGUUGAAAAUACUGCUUAGGGGAUUCCUCAAAAAUAUAUGUCAGUAAGUCAACCAUGAGGGGGAUGGAGUACACCUGGUGAACACGUAGUUCAAAACACCUACAGGUUGUGAGCCUACUAGCGUUCCAUAGGACUGUCUAGAAUAGUCUGUGGUCGUCAUCUAUAUUAUGCUAGAUGAUUAGAUCAGCUUUAACACCAAGGACUCUCAUCAUUUAUUUCAUCUUUCAUCAUCUAUAUCAUAUACCCAUCUUUACCCAACAUAAUUAUAGGUAUAAAAUACAUAUACAAUUUAAAUUGAGUAAAACAUGUAUAAAUCAUUCAUCUACCAUAGAUAUCAGGAACACAAAUAAUAGGCACAUAUAGCACGUAAUUUAUAUUAAAUACUUCAUAUCUAUGUGCAAGAUUAAAGUAAAUAUGCACUCACUUGUUAAAGUGACAUCUCGAAAUUCAGGCAGCGCUUCGCUCCUAGCAAUUGUCUUUUCCUUUGACGUAACCUAGUAUUAUUAUUACUAAGUUUUAAUCUAAUAUUUAUUGCGACUAACUAGUAGUCUAGAUUCAUCAUUAAUUCAAGUUCUACUUCAAGAUCUAUCAAGUAAGGAACAACCAUGUAGGAUCAUAUCAGAGGUAUGGUCCGUUUCGUAUACGAAGUAUAUGGUUUGGAAAUCCCACUUUAAACACCUCACUAAGUUACUGCCUAGUCAUGAUCCCCAUAAGUAGAUCAAUUAGUAUAAUGAAUUCCAAUCACUGAUAAAUCUUGUUUAUAGGUUCAUAAUAACAAUAAUGAACAAAAAUAUAAGUUAUACUUAAAUUAUGGUAAUCAUAACUCACUUACAAGGGGGUUAAGCGAGGAACUGGGCUCUACGUGGACAGAACUUCUGAGCCGAAAGCUCUUUUUCUCGGGGCUUUCUGGCACUUUGGGCUUCGCUAUUAACACCUAAGAGAUGCUAGAUAAAAGCUUAGAGGGUUUCGGGUGUUUGGGAGAGAAAUGGGUGAAAAGGUGUGGAGAAAUGACUGAAAAACGAGCUCUAUUUAUAGGUUGCCCAGUGCCCAGUACGCUGGGCGUACUCAAUAUUACGCGGGGCAUAUUGGAUAAAACAGCAGUACGCUGGGCGUACCUAAGAGUUACGCUAGGCAUAAUUUUCUAUGUUUCGCAAUCUCGUUCCAAGCCGUGGGGAGGAAGCAGUGGCCUAGAUCCUGCCACAUGGCACUUCGAGGUUUAAUCCAAAAAUUAAUUUUCUUCUAAAAUCCAUAACUUUUGCAUACGAGGUCUAUUUUUGACGUUCUUUAUAUCAAUGCGUAGGUAGUGAUGUGAUCUACAACUUUCAUUUACAUUAUGUUGGCUAAUUUUGACUUUAUUUUUAAAGUUAUAUUUUAAUAGGCUUAGACAGUUAAAGUCCGUUAAAAAUUCAUAACUUUGUCAUCUGACGUUUGUUUUUGGUUCUCUUUAUAUCAUUGAGCUCCUAUUAACGAGAUAUUCAAUUAUUGUUUAGGUUGUGUCAGCUAAUAAUCGAUCAAUCUAAAAUUCGAUAUCCGGGUUGUGUACUGCUAUGCUAAAUCUUAGAAAAAUCAUAACUUUCUCUAACGAAGUCAUAUUUGGACUCUCCAUAUAUAUAUUCUCGUUUGAUCGUCUACUACGACUUUUGUUUAGAUUACUACGACUAAAAAUUAGUUUAUCAAAAAUUCACUUUUUAUGAUACGUGGUGUUGUGCCAGUCUAGUCGUGAAACUUUGACGUGUCAUAACUUCUUCAUUAUAAGUUGGAUUUCAGCGUUCUUUAUAUCCACGGAAUCCUUGUUACAACCACUUCAACUUUCUUCAAGGAUAUUGAGUCUAAUUUUCAUUCCAUUUUUUAUGCAUAUUUUUAUUAUUAUUUUAUUAUAUCUUUAUAAGCACGUAUAUUGCACAUAAAUCACAUAAAUAAUAAAAUACUCAAAUAAUUGUUCUUCAUUACUUCAAAAUAACUUACAAUUGUUGACCCUAACUAUUACAUUAUCAUAAUAAUGCUUAGCCAGAAACACGGGCGUUACAAUUCUCUCCCCCUUAAGAUGAUUCCGUCCCGGAAUCAUGCAUUAGCAAACAAAUGUGGAUAACGACUUAUCAUGUCACUCUCUGUCUUCCAGGUGAGUUCCGGCCAAUUCGAAUGCUUCCAUUGUAAUAACACUACUUCGACCAUCUUGUGUCGCAAAUUCUUUGUCUUAUGGUCAAUAAUUGCUUCAGUCUUUUCGGUUAACCUCUUAUCUUCAUUAAUCCUUCACUCCAAAAGUGUCAUUGUAUUGGGAACUUCUCCCGUAAACUUCCUCAAAUAAGACACACAGAAAAUGUUAUGAAUACCAUCUAGUUCUUCUUGAAAUUCCAGCUUAUAAGCUUGGCUCCCAAUCCUCUGAAGAACCUUUAAUGUCCCAAUAAAUGUUGGACUCAACUUUCCUCUCUUUCCAAAUCUUAUAAGUCGCUUCCACGAUGAGACAUUGAGAAACACUGAAUCUCCAACUUUGAGUGUCAUUGGUCGUUGCUUCUUGUCAACAUAGUUCUUUUAGAGAUUCUGUGUUGCUAACAUCCUUUCUCUAACAUGCUUGAAUGGUAACUUUUGUUGUAGGAAAACUAUACCAGGGGUAAAUUCUCAUCCCAGUUACCUUGAAAUUCUAGGGUAUAUGCUCUUAACAUAUCUUUCAGUGCUUGAAUGAUCCUUUUGCUCUGACCAUCAGUCUGCGGAUGGUAGGCUAUACUUAAAAACACAUCCGUACCUAAUUCCUCUUGUAGACUCUUCCAAAAUCUUAAUGUGAAACAACUGUCACGAUCCGAUAAAAUCAUUAAGGGAACACCGUGAUGUCUUACUAUCUCCUUCACAUAUGCAUUUGCAAGCUUAUCCAUAGAACAUAUCUCAUUAGCUGCUAUGAAGUGUGCGCUCUUUGUGAGCUGAUCCAUGACUACCCAAAUCAUGUUGUGACCGUUCUUCAUCCUAGGUUCUUUAGUCACAAAAUCCAUGAUGAUGUCUUCGCACUUACCCAUGGGUACAUGCAAAGGUUCUAAACUCCCAUAUGGUUUCUAAUGCUACACUUUAACUCUCGUACACGUUACACAUUCUGCCAUAUACUUUGCAACACCGAGCUUCAUCGUCGGCCGCCAGUAGUAAGGUUUCACAUCCCAAAACAUUGUAGUGCUAUUGGAUGAAUCGAGUAGAUGGUCUUGUGAGCUUCUUCCAUCAGAAGAUCCCUUAUUCCUCCCAUCUUUGGUACCCAAAUUCUGUUUUGAAAUACCUUCAAUCCUUGACUAUUAGUAACGAAUACCAACGUUUUGCCUAAACAUUCUUCCUUUCAGUCAUUUUCCUCUAAAUCUACUUCCUGAGCUUUCUUGAUGCUUUCCACAAUUGUUGAGACAACUUCUAUAAUUAACACUCUUGGCCUUUUCUCUCCAGGUUUACUUUGAGCAUUAGAUACGACAUUUUCUUUACCAGGGUUGUUAAGUAUAUCACAGUCAUAAUCCUUGAGCAAUUCUAGCCAGCAUUGUUGUCUCAUAUUCAAUUCCUUUUGAUCGAAUAGAUACUAGAGACUUUUAUGAUCAGUGAAGAGUUUGCACUUUGUGCCAUAAAGAUAAUGCCUCCAUAUCUUUAAUGGAAAUACUACUAAUGCCAACUCCAGAUCAUGGGUGGGGUAGUUCUUCUCGUGCUCUUUCAAUUAUUGAGAAGCAUAUGCUACCACUUUAUCUGUUUGGGUCAUAACGCAACCUAACCAAACUCUAGAUGCAUCGCUAUAGACUGCAAAGUCUUCAACUUCGUUGGGUAAACAAAGAAUUGGUGCCUACAAAACUUCUUCUUUAAUUUCUCGAAUGCUUCUUCAUGUUUCUCAUUCCAUGUAUAUGCAGCUCCCUUAUGGGUCAAAGCUGUUAAUAGCUGUUGAAGCAAAGCCAUGGAUAAACCUUCGAUAAUAUCCAGCUAAUCCCAGAAAUCUUAGAAUAUUAUUGGGACUUUUUGGUCGUUCCCAUUUCAUCACAAUUUCAAUCUUUGCUGGAUCAACCAUAUUCCUUCUUGGUAAACCACAUAACCAAAGAAUUGGACUUCUCGAAUCAAAAAAUCACAUUUGGAAAACUUUAGGUACUACUUCUCUUUCUUCAAAACUUCUAAUACUUCCCCCAGGUGUUUGCCAUGCUCCUACUGGCUCUUUGAGUAAAUUAGAAUGUCAUCUAGGAACCUUAUCACAGAUAUAUCGAGGAAUGAUUUACAAACCAUGUUCAUCAAAUCCAUAAAUGUCCCUGGAGCAUUGGUUAGUCCAAAUGCCAUAACCAAGAACUCAUAGUGUCCGUAUCUUGUUCUGAAUGCGGUCUUCUCGACAUCUUGCUCUCUCACCUUCAGCUGAUAAUAUCUUGACCUAAGAUUGAUCUUUAAGAAAUAGCUCAAACCUUGCAGUUUAUCGAGCAGGUCGUCAAUCCUUGGCAACGGAUAUUUGUUCUUUAGCGUUGCCUUGUUCAGUUCUUUAUAGUCUAUGCAUAUCCUCAUUAUCCCAUCCUUCUUCUUCAUGAAUAACACUAGAGCUCCGUAGGGUGAAGAACUAGGUAUACUGAAACCGUUGUCCAACAACUCCUGAAGUUGCAUCAUAUGCACUUUCAUCUCCGUCGGUUCUAAUCGGUAUGGUGCUUUUGCUAUUGGUGUUGAUCCUGGCAACAAGUCUAUUUGAAACUCUACUUGUCUAUCAUGGGGCAAUCCAGGAAGAUCUUUGGGAAAGACUUUCAGAUAGUCACACACCACUAGUACUCUUUGCAUUUUUUUCUUCUCCUUCAUUGCGUCAAUCACAAAUGCCAAGUAUGAUGUACAUCCUUUGGACAAACAUUUUCUAGCUUUCAUCAGGGUAAUGAUCCCAAAAUUUACACUAUGUUUGUCCUCGUACACCAUAAACGACUCUUUUCCAGGUGGGUUUACUCUUACAAUCUUCUUCCUACAUAGUAUUUUGGCAUCGUUUGCACUAAGCCAAUCCAUCCCAAGUACAAUGUCGAAAACGUUCAACUCAAUGGGAAACAACUCCUCGUAAAAUUUAUUCUCGAUCAAGUUGAUGAUGAUGUUUUUAAUGCAAUCGCUAACAGGCAUAAAUUUGCUACUGGCAACUUCUAUAACUAGAGCAUUAUGAAGUUUAUCUAUAGGCAAUGUUAGUCUUCCACAAAAUUUAUGAGAUAUAAAGGAGUAAUUUUCUCCAGAGUCAAACAAUAUAUUGGCAGACAAUCCAUUUACAAGAAAGGUACAUGAAGCGACUUCUGCUUCAUCCCUUUCUACUUCCAGGGUCAUUUCGAAUGCUAUUGCCUUUGGCCUUGGUGGAACAUUAGGCCUCGCUGCCUCUUUCUUCUUCGGGCAGUCCUUAGAAAUAUGACCUUUUUCAUUAAAUCCAUAACACGCCCCCUUGUUGGAUGUACACUCAUUGGCAUAGUGCCCAGUUUUCCCGCACUUGAAACAAGUCACCUCCUUGCUACAUUUUCCAAAGUGUUUCUUUUUGCACUUAUAACAGCAUCUUGCUUCACCUCCUCCUCCUCCAAACUUCUUAGAACUAUACUUUGAGAAUUUUCUUUUCUUGUUGGACCUUGAAGAUCCAUCAAACUUCCUUUUCUCUCUUACUUCAGCUCUUUCCUGACCCUUCUCCCUUAACUGGGUCCAAUAAUCUUAGCUACCCAGAUGGCGGCGUUCAAGGUGGUUUCUUGCUUGACCAUCGGACCAAAUUCCACUAGCAAUCCAUUAGCAAACUUGUUGACCUUGGAGAGUUCAUUCGGAACCAAAGAAGGAACAAGCUUCAUUUUCUCUGUAAAACUUGCAGCAUACUCGGUGACACUUAGCCUUCCCUUUUUUUCAGAUUUUGAAACUCAUUGUUGAUCUCCAGAAGAUCCUGCUCAGAGUAGUACUGCAUUUUCAGUUGCACCAAAAAGUCUUCCCAAUACAUCUUGCUAGCUUCUCCCUUGGGCAUGGAAUCAGCUAGUAGCUUCCACCAUCUUAAUACCCCAUUCUUCAAUAGUGUAACUGCAAGAGCGGACUUCUAUUUAUUGCUGCAGUCACAACUUUCAAACAUCAUCUCCAUCUCGGAGAUCCAAUCCAUAACUCCCACUGGUGUUGGGCUUCCAUAAAGACUUGGUGGCUUGAAUGCCAUUAUUUCCUUGUACUUGCACCCACGUCCAUCAUUUCCUCCAUUAGGUUGGUUUUUUCUAACUACUCAUGGCUCAGCUUGCCCUAAAACUUUGGAGGCAUUAUCUUUUGGCACAAAAUGCUAAUUAGUUACCGACCAGAAAAGUCUCAAGUACAUAUUCAGUCAACAAACUUUGAAUAUGAGACAACAACGAGCCAUGGAGCUGAUCAAAGAUUAUGAUUGUGAAAGCCUAUAUCAUCCUGGAAAAGCCAACGUAGUUGCCGAUACACUUAGCAGAAAGUUUUAUCGCAAUAGUAUGUGUUAUGCUAUUACUCAUACUACAGUAAAAUUCACUAUUUUAGAUGAAUUAGAGAAAUGGCAAGAAGAGGCCCUAAAGCCAGAAAAUGUGAAGAAAGAAGGGAUGAUACAUUAUAAUGAUGCUUUACUUGAUGAUCCACGAGGAUUAAAAGUAUUCAAGAAUCGGCUGUGGAUUCCAAAGAUUGGUGGAUUGAGACAGAAGAUUUUAGAUGAAGCCAAUAAAGCUAAACUGUCAAUCCAUCCUGGUACAAGUAAAAUGUACUAUGAUGUAAGAGCUGAUUAUUGGUGGCCUGGAUUAAAGAGAGACAUUGGAAGAUAUGUACAAGAAUGCUUAGUAUGCUUACAAGUCAAAGCAGAGCACUAAAAGCCAUAUGGAACCCAAAAAAGUCUUAGUGUUCCUGUAUGGAAAUGGGAAGAACUGUCCAUGCAUUUCAUUAUCAAAUUGCCAAAGACUGCUAGAAAGCAUGAUAGCAUUUGGGUAAUCGUCGACCGCCUGAAUAAAAGCGCUCAUUUUCUUGCCAUGCGUGAAACGGCUCCAAUGGAGAAAUACGCACAAGUAUACUUGGAUGAAAUUGUUGCAAGACAUGGUGUGCCACUAAAGAUCAUUUCUGAUCGUGAUACCCGCUUCACUUCUCACUUUUGGGCGAGUAUGCAACGUGAAUUAGGAUCUCGAGUUGCUCUCAUCACAACUUAUCAUCCCCAGACAGAGGGUCAGACGGAGAGAACAAUCCAAACAGUAGAAGAUAUGCUUCGUGCAUGUGUCUUGGAGUUCGGUGGUAACUGGGAUAAAUACUUACCGCUUGUCGAAUAUUCGUAUAAUAACAGUUACCACAUCUCAAUCAAAAUGUCACCAUAUAAAGCAUUAUAUGGACGCAAAUGUCGUACGCCGUUAUGUUGGCGUGAUGUAGGACAGAAGAUCCUUAGAGGCCCUAAAAUGAUUUAGGACACCACCGACAUGAUUCAAAUCGUACGAGAAAGAAUGAAAGUGGCCCAGGAUCGACAGAAGUCCUAUACAGAAAAGAGAAGACGACCCAUAGAAUUCCAUGUGGGUGAUUUCGUAAUGCCAAAGGUAUCCCCAUGGAAAGGCCUUAUGAGAUUUGGGAUGAAAGGAAAGUUGAGUCCCAGAUUUGUUGGACCUUUCAAUGUCAUCCAGAGAAUUGGAAAGCAAGCAUACCGCUUAGAAUUGCCUGAAGAUUUGGCAGGUAUUCAUGAUGUGUUUCAUGUGAGUUAUCUGCGCAAAUGCAUGAGCAUCUACGAUGAGACGGUUCCAUUAUCCGAGGUGAAAUUGGAUAAUAAGUUAGGAUAUGUAGAAGAUCCGGAAGAGAUCGUGAAUGAAAGAACAACUAAUCUACGUAAUCAAGAAGUAGAGUUGGUGCUUGUCAAGUGGAAACACCAUCAAGACCCAAAUUAUACUUGGGAGAAUAAGAAUGUGAUAAGAGCGAAAUAUCCCCAUUUAUUUUAAUCGAUGUAAUUCGGGGACGAAAUCCUCAAAAGGAUGAGGUAUUUGUAACAUACAUGUUUUUGAAAUCGUGUUUUAUAGUAAAUAAUAUUAUGAAAUAUUAUGUGAAUUUGAAUAUUGAGUUCUAACAGAUGGGUUUUACUAGAAAUGAAGUAAAACUAUGCUUAGAAUAGAAAAUAUUAGAAGUCUUAUUAGAUUCCAAUCAAAUGUCAAAUGGUAAAAUUUAGUGAAAAUAUAAAUUUUGGAAGAAGUAAAAAUUUAUUAUUUAUGAAAAUUGUAGAUAAUCUCGUUAGAAACUUGUAGGCAAAAACCUCGUCGAAAUCUGAGUUAUAACGAAUAAGUUAUGAUCAAUCGAAGAUCCGUGGCAAAUCCGGCAAUCAACUUUCAUAUAAAGAUGGUUUAAUAUGACUUCGUAUGAGGGAGUUAUGAUUUUUCUAAGUUUCGGAUUAGUAGUAGAUAGCUACAAACUCGAAUUUUAGAUCGAGUGAUUUUUAGCCGACCCAACCUAAAUGAGAAUUGAAGAUCUCGUCAAUAGUAGUACAACGGUAAAAAGUCUGACGAAAACGGACGUCAGAUGAAGAAGUUAUGAAUUUUUAACGGAUUUUCCUGUCCCGGUCUGUUAAAAAUAAUAAUAUUAAAAUUAAAGUCAAAAUUAGCCGACGAAGUCUAAACGAAAGUUAUAGAGCGUAAUUUUAGCUACACGUGCAUAUAAAGAACGUAAAAACGGAGCUCGCAUGCGAAAGUUAUGGAUUUUAGAAGUUUUUGGCACAAUUUUCGAGAAAUUUCGCAUGAGUCAUCCUUGGCCACGUCACCUCGCACGCGAAGGCGCCCCGUGUCCGAAGCUGCUUAGUCACCCGGUGACUCCUCGCCUGUCCGAAGUUGCUGCGUGGCGGAUUCUGAUUCGACCGAAGGGAGGCCCAAUCCGAAGCUCGCAGCUGGACCGAGCCUCGCAACCACCUGCCCUCUUCCCCUCGCUUUGGAUCCGAGGCUCGCACCUAUAUAAAGGGUGCGAGACCUCCCGGUUUUUGUUGGAAUUUUUGCCAUCUUUCACCCUUUUUCCAUAUUUUCUUACAUUCCGACUUCCCCCGAAGCCCCGGUACUAAUUCCAAAGCCUGGAAUACGCCACGAAGUGCCUUGAAGCCCGAAAAUUUUAUCUUUUCGGUGUUGAAGCUCUACCUUCGCAGAGCCCGGUUCUCAAGAAAACUCCCUGUUUUCAACGAAGAAAGUGAUAUUUAGAGCCGAAAUGUUGUCCAAAUUAAUAUUUUAGCCCCCGGUUAUUUCACGGUGAGUUUAAUAUAUAGGAGCAAUUAUAUGUUAUGUGUUAUAUGUGCUAUGUGCUUUUCAGUGUUAUUAUUCCGGGUCAUUUUCCCGGGUUAUUUUUAUUCGCUAUUUUUAAUAGCAAAGAAAUACCUUUGACCAUGUGAUCAGUGAAAGGACUUAGAUUCACAUUGGUACUGGUAUGUAGCCUCCGACCAUGUAGAACAUGUUUCUGUAAGAGAAUGAUUUCUAUUCUAUGGUAUUGGCAGAAGGUUAGACAGGGCUAUAAGCCUGAAAUCUACCAAAAUGUUAAUCCGAUGUUGUAUGUCUUCUGUGUCGUUUGGGCCAAAGCUUUAUUGAUGUAUAUCAAGCAUGGAAAUUGUUAUGUCUCAUUGAUGUAUAUCUUCAAUUCAAAUCAAUGAUUGAUAUGGAAUGUUUGUCACAUAAUUCACAUAUGCCCUUGUUGUUCCUUGUUCCUCUUUGCUUCUGCCUUAUUGAAGUAUAUAUAUGGCUUAACGUUAUAUUGUAUCUAUUAUUGAACUCACUAAGCGUCACCGCUUUCCCUCUCAAUGUUUAACAAAUUGCAGGAGAUAAACAUCCAGUAUAGUUAUAUACUGGUAGAAGAUUUUUGAAUAGUUUGAAACUAUUAUAUCGAUAGAAGCUUACGAAUAGUUUGAAACUAUUGUAUUUUGCACUCCCAUAUGUAUAAAACUAUAGAAUCCUGGGAAGUAAUGUAAUAUAUAACACUUUAAAAUAGUCGGUUUGUAUCCAGUAGUUUGUAACCUCUUUAUCAAUGUAAAACAUUUUUUUAUGAAUAUGCAAGUAGCAUGUUUUGGAGUAACUAUAUUGUCAUGUAUGAAAGUUUGCGUCUUUUAUAAAUACGAAUUUUAGGGUCUUUCAAUCAUGGUAUCAGAGCAGUAGUUUGAGUGAACUAAAUUCCACAGAUUGGUAUUUAGACUUAAACUAUUGGAAGUUCAAUAUAUGAACUUAAUCAUUGUAAGUAUAGGGAUAAAAACCAUAGGAAAUAUAUAUAAGUAAAAGUAUUAGGUAAUACUAAACCCUAAUAUUCUAAAAUACAAUGUUACCCCGUAUUGUAGAGCAAUGGCUGAACAGGUUAGUAGCCAUACCCCUGAGGUUGGUGGAGGUCCUCAACUCGAGGAAGUGAAUACUCCAGUAUCUCCUCGUGAGGAGCGACUCUUUGGUAAACUUACGGGUGUUAUUCGACAGACUCUCGAAGAACACAAAAAGAAUGACGAUAAGGGGAAAGAGAAAGCCACUAGAGAAUCUUCAAACGGAGAGGUGAAGCGUCCCUCGUUCAAAGAUUUCAAGAGUAGUGGUGCUAUAGAGUUUUCAAGUGUUCUCAACCCCAUUAUUGUUCUUACUUGGAUCCAAAACACAGAGAAAGUGUUUUGUAUUUCUUAUGUGGAUAAUGAAGAUAAGGCUAAUUAUGCUUCCGCAAUGCUCAUUGGAGAAGCCUUGGUCUGGUGGGAAGCAACUUAUGAAGCUCUCAACGAGUUUAACCAGGAGAAUUUAGCCUAGGAAAUGUUUAAAACUCGUUUGCUAGAGAAGUAUUGUCCUCUAGACAUGAGGAGGAGAUUGGAGAAGGAAUUCCUCGAGCUUAAACAAGGAGGAAUGACUGUGAAUGAGUAUGAAACUCAGUUUAAUCAAAGAGCAAGGUUUGCUACAAAGUAUAUUCCAACUGAAGAUGAGAAAAUUCAGUUAUUCAUGGAGGGACUACGACACGAAAUCCACGAUUUCGUUGCCAAUCGAGAAGUUCUGUCAUUCGAUAAAGCCGUUGAAUAUGCUCGAAGACGUGAGCAUGAAUUAGAAAUACGUUGUGCCACUGUUACUGCUCCGAAGCAUCCACGUACUGAAAGAACUGUUCCUGUUCCUUCUUUUCUACCAGCUCAAUCCGUUCGGACUGAACCUGGUAAUCAAGUUCAAACUCAAAAUGUCUCUCAUGGACGCGGUAGAUCACAAUCUUUUUCUAUGCAAUCGCCUUCAUGUCAUAUUUGUGGAAGGAAUCAUCUGGGCCAAUGUGAAAUAGACUAGGAAUCCAUUGUCUCUUAUGGAUGUGGAGAAAAGGGUUAUAUAAAGCCAACUUGCCCAAGAAAGGAUGUUACUUGCUAUGCAUGUGGAAUUACUGGACACAAGAAGCGUUUUUGCCCUACUCUUACUGAUCAGAUGACGGGAAGUCAAGCUUCUGUUCAACAACCGGCGAGAAGUCAAGUCCAUGUUCAACAAUCAAAGGGCACUCCAACUAAAAAGGAGGAGGUGCCAAAAGCUAAGGGUCGUGCAUUCCAGAUUACCUCAGAGGAAGCACGCGAGGACCCGAAUGUUGUGACGGGUACCUUUCUUGUCAACUCUAGACCUGCUCACAUCUUAUUUGAUUCUGGUGCCUCAGAUUCUUUUGUUUCUUAUGAGUUUGUGCAUUCCUUUCAAAUUGCUUGCUUUGUACUCGCGCAACCAUUUCACGUAGAUACUGCGGGAAGUAUAUCAUUACUUGCUGAUAAAGUCUAUAGGGAUUGUGUUAUAGAAAUUGAAGGCUAUACUUUUCUUGCUAACCUAAUCCCUAUCUCCUUGCCCAACUUUGAUAUUAUUCUCGGCAUGGAUUGGUUAUCAAAGAACCAUGUAGAACUCUUGUGCUAUGAAAAGAUAGUGCGCAUUCCUAUUGAAGGGGAGAAUCCUAUCUAUGUCUAUGGUGAACAAAGACUCUUAAAAAUAAUCUCUUUCCUUAAUGCUCAUAAAUUCAUAUCGAAAGGGUGUUCUAUCUAUCUGGCCUACACAAUUGAUGUCUCAAAAGAGGAAAAGAAAAUUGUUAAUGAUGUUCCCAUUGUUAACGAAUAUCCUGAUGUUUUUCCUGAUGACUUGCCUGGCCUUCCUCCGGAUAGGCAAGUAGAAUUUCAAAUUGACCUUGUGCCUGGUUAUGCUCCGAUUGUAAAGACUCCUUAUCGUCUUGCGCCAGCUGAGAUGAAAGAAAUGAUGAUCCAACUGCAGGAAUUACUUGAAAAGGGUUUCAUUCGACCGAGUACCUCUCCCUGGGGUGCUCCGAUAUUGUUUGUCAAGAAGAAAGAUGGAUCGAUGCGAAUGUUCAUUGAUUAUCGAGAGCUGAAUAAGGUGACUAUCAAGAACAAGUACCCACUACCUCGUAUCGACGAUUUAUUCGAUCAACUUCAAGGUGUUAGAUAUUUCUCAAAGAUUGAUCUAAGAUCUGGCUAUCAUUAGUUGAAAGUUCACGAGCAGGAUGUACCGAAGACUGCUUUCGUACUCGAUAUGGGCAUUAUGAAUUCCUUGUUAUGCCGUUUGGUCUAACAAAUGCUCCUGCUAUAUUCAUGGAUAUGAUGAAUCGGGUAUGUCGCCCAAUGCUCGAUAAAUCAAUCAUCAUAUUCAUUAACGAUAUUCUAAUCUAUUCCAAGUCUGAAGCUGAUCAUGCCAUUCAUCUUCGUGCGGUACUCGAACUUCUUCGAAAGGAAAAACUAUAUGCUAAAUUCUCGAAAUGUGAAUUUUGGCUUCGACAAGUUCAAUUUCUCGUCCAUGUUAUUUCUAGUGAUGGUGUAACCUUAGAUCCUUUCAAAAUCGAAGCCAUUCAAAAUUGGGAAGUGCCCCGUAAUGCUUCCGAAAUUCGUAGUUUCUUGGGUCUCGCGAGAUAUUACCGGAGAUUCAUUAAAGACUUUUCUUGUAUAGCCAUACCUCUCACGAGUCUUACACGGAAGGAAGUGAAGUUCGAAUGGGGUGAAGCCCAAGAAAAAGCUUUCUCAACUCUAAAAGAUCUUUUGACUCAUGUUAUGAUCUUAUCCCUCCCAGAAGGUGAUGAUGAUUUCUCCGUAUAUAGCGAUGCUUCAAGAUUGGGAAUCGGUUGUGUGUUGAUGCAACGUGGCAAAGUGAUAGCCUAUGCCUCAAGACAACUGAAAGAUUAUGAAAAGAAUUAUCCCACUCAUGAUCUCGAACUCGCUGUAGUGGUAUUUGCCCUAAAACUUUGGAGGCAUUAUCUUUUGGCACAAAAUGCUAAUUAGUUACCGACCAGAAAAGUCUCAAGUACAUAUUCAGUCAACAAACUUUGAAUAUGAGACAACAACGAGCCAUGGAGCUGAUCAAAGAUUAUGAUUGUGAAAGCCUAUAUCAUCCUGGAAAAGCCAACGUAGUUGCCGAUACACUUAGCAGAAAGUUUUAUCGCAAUAGUAUGUGUUAUGCUAUUACUCAUACUACAGUAAAAUUCACUAUUUUAGAUGAAUUAGAGAAAUGGCAAGAAGAGGCCCUAAAGCCAGAAAAUGUGAAGAAAGAAGGGAUGAUACAUUAUAAUGAUGCUUUACUUGAUGAUCCACGAGGAUUAAAAGUAUUCAAGAAUCGGCUGUGGAUUCCAAAGAUUGGUGGAUUGAGACAGAAGAUUUUAGAUGAAGCCCAUAAAUCUAAACUGUCAAUCCAUCCUGGUACAAGUAAAAUGUACUAUGAUGUAAGAGCUGAUUAUUGGUGGUCUGGAUUAAAGAGAGACAUUGGAAGAUAUGUACAAGAAUGCUUAGUAUGCUUACAAGUCAAAGCAGAGCACUAAAAGCCAUAUGGAACCCAAAAAAGUCUUAGUGUUCCUGUAUGGAAAUGGGAAGAACUGUCCAUGCAUUUCAUUAUCAAAUUGCCAAAGACUGCUAGAAAGCAUGAUAGCAUUUGGGUAAUCGUCGACCGCCUGAAUAAAAGCGCUCAUUUUCUUGCCAUGCGUGAAACGGCUCCAAUGGAGAAAUACGCACAAGUAUACUUGGAUGAAAUUGUUGCAAGACAUGGUGUGCCACUAAAGAUCAUUUCUGAUCGUGAUACCCGCUUCACUUCUCACUUUUGGGCGAGUAUGCAACGUGAAUUAGGAUCUCGAGUUGCUCUCAGCACAACUUAUCAUCCCCAGACAGAGGGUCAGACGGAGAGAACAAUCCAAACAGUAGAAGAUAUGCUUCGUGCAUGUGUCUUGGAGUUCGGUGGUAACCGGGAUAAAUACUUACCGCUUGUCGAAUAUUCGUAUAAUAACAGUUACCACACCUCAAUCAAAAUGCCACCAUAUAAAGCAUUAUAUGGACGCAAAUGUCGUACGUCGUUAUGUUGGCGUGAUGUAGGACAUAAGAUCCUUAGAGGCCCUAAAAUGAUUCAGGACACCACCGACAUGAUUCAAAUCGUACGAGAAAGAAUGAAAGCGGCCCAGGAUCGACAGAAGUCCAAUACAGAAAAGAGAAGACGACCCAUAGAAUUCCAUGUGGGUGAUUUCGUAAUGCUAAAGGUAUUCCCAUGGAAAGGCCUUAUGAGAUUUGGGAAGAAAGGAAAGUUGAGUCCCAGAUUUGUUGGACCUUUCAAUGUCAUCCAGAGAAUUGGAAAGCAAGCAUACCGCUUAGAAUUGUCUGAAGAUUUGGCAGGUAUUCAUGAUGUGUUUCAUGUGAGUUAUCUGCGCAAAUGCUUGAGCAUCUACGAUGAGACGGUUCCAUUAUACGAGGUGAAAUUGGAUAAUAAGUUAGGAUAUGUAGAAGAUCCGGAAGAGAUCGUGAAUGAAAGAACAACUAAUCUACGUAAUAAAGAAGUAGAGUUGGUGCUUGUCAAGUGGAAACACCAUCAAGACCCAAAUUAUACUUGGGAGAAUAAGAAUGUGAUAAGAGCGAAAUAUCCCCAUUUAUUUUAAUCGAUGUGAUUCGGGGACGAAAUCCUCAAAAGGAUGAGGUAUUUGUAACAUACAUGUUGUUGAAAUCGUGUUUUAUAGUAAAUAAUAUUAUGAAAUAUUAUGUGAAUUUGAGUAUUGAGUUCUAACAGAUGGUUUUUACUAGAAAUGAAGUAAAACUAUGCUUAGAAUCAUUCAGAAAAUAUUAGAAGUCUUAUGAGAUUUCAAUCAAAUGUCAAAUGGUAAAAUUUAGUGAAAAUAUAAAUUUUGGAAUAAGUAAAAAUUUAUUGUUGAAAAUUGUAGAUAAUCUCGUUAGAAACUUCUAGGCGAAAACCUCAUCGAAAUCUGAGUUAUAACGAAUAAGUUAUGACCAAUCGAAGAUCCGUGGCAACUCCGGCAAUCAACUUUCAUUAAAGACCGUUUGAAUCUGACUUCGUAUGAGGGAGUUAUGAUUUUUCUAAGUUUCAGAUUAGUAGUAGAUAGCUAAAAACUCGAAUUUUAGAUCGAGUGAUUUUUAGCCGACCCAACCUAAACCAGAAUUGAAGAUCUCGUCAAUAGUAGUACAACGGUAAAAAGUUUGACGAAAACGGACGUCAGAUGAAGAAGUUAUGAAUUUUUAACGGAUUUUCCUGUCCCGGUCUGUUAAAAAUAAUAAUAUUAAAAUUAAAGUCAAAAUUAGCCGACGAAGUCUAAACGAAAGUUAUAAAGCGUAAUUUUAGCUACGCGUGCAUAUAAAGAACGUAAAAAACGGAGCUCGCAUGCGAAAGUUAUGGAUUUUAGAAGUUUUUGGCACAAUUUUUGAGAAAUUUCGCAUGAGUCAUCCUUGGCCACGUCACCUCGCACGCGAAGGCGCCCCGUGUCCAAAGCUGCUUAGUCACCCGGUGACUCCUCGCCUGUCCGAAGUUGCUGCGUGGCGGAUUCUGAUUCUACCGAAGGGAGGCCCAAUCCGAAGCUCGCAGCUGGACCGAGCCUCGCAGCCACCUGCCCUCUUCCCCUCGCUUUGGAUUCAAGGGUCGCACCUAUAUAAAGGGUGCGAGACCUCCCGGUUUUUGUUGGAAUUUUUGCCAUCUUUCACCCUUUUUCCAUAAUUUCUUACAUUCCGACUUCCCCCGAAGCCCCGGUACUAAUUCCAAAGCCCGGAAUACACCACGAAGUGCCCCUGAAGCCCGAAAAUUUUAUCUUUUUGGUUUUGAAGCUCUACCUUCGCAGAGCCCGGUUCUCAAGAAAACUCUCGGUUUUCAACAAAGAAAGUGAUAUUUAGAGCCGAAGUGUUGUCCAAAUUAAUAUUUUAGCCCCCAGUUAUUUCACGGUGAGUUUAAUAUAUAGGAGCAAUUGUAUGUUAUGUGUUAUAUGUGCUAUGUGCUUUUCAGUGUUAUUAUUCCGGGUCAUUUUCCCGGGUUAUUUUUAUUCGCUAUUUUUAAUAGCAAAGAAAUACCUUUGACCAUGUGAUCAGUGAAAGGACUUAGAUUCACAUUGGUACUGGUAUGUAGGCUCUAGCCAUGUAGAACAUGUCUCCGUAAGAGAAUGAUUUCUAUUCUAUGGUAUUGGCAGAAGGUUAGACAGGGCUAUAAGCCUGAAAUCUACCAAAAUGUUAAUCCGAUGUUGUAUGUCUUCUGUGCCAUUUGGGCCAAAGCUUUAUUGAUGUAUAUCAAGCAUGGAAAUUGUUAUGUCUCAUUGAUUGUAUAUCUUCAAUUCAAAUCAAUGAUUGAUAUGGAAUAUUUGUCACAUGAUUCACAUAUGCCCUUGUUGUUCCUUGUUCCUCUUUGCUUCUGCCAUAUUAAAGUAUAUAUAUGGCAUAACGUUAUAUUGUAUCUAUUAUUGAACUCACUAAGCGUCACCGCUUACCCUCUCGAUGUUUAACAAAUUGCAGGAGAUAAACAUCCAGUAUAGUUAUAUACUGGUAGAAGAUUUUUGAAUAGUUUGAAACUAUUGUAUCGAUAGAAGCUUAUGAAUAGUUUGAAACUAUUGUAUUUUGCACUCCCAUAUGUAUAAAACUAUAGAAUCCUGGGAAGUAAUGUAAUAUAUAACACUUUAAAAUAGUCGGUUCGUAUCCAGUAGUUUGUAACCUCUUUAUCAAUGUAAAUUUUUUUUUUAUGAAUAUGCAAGUAGCAUGUUUUGGAGUAACUAUAUUAUCAUGUAUGAAAGUUUGGGUCUUUCAGUUCUAAUACCGUAAUUAAACGUUUAAAAAUAUGAACACAUAAAGUUUCCAGAUCUGGUCGGCAAUACACCAUAGAUAUAAGCAAAUAAUAUCAUCAUAAGGCAUAUAAGGCAUUUUAUAUAAAUCAUUUAGCACAUAAAAGCAAUUUAGGCAUCUUUCCUAAAAUAAGCUAGUGCUCGUGUCUAUAUGUUUCCUAAAUAUAACAGACACUCAUCUCACAAUCAUCGCUUAGCAUUCUAAGUUUAAGUCUAUAAAUCCUAUAAAUUCCUAGUUCACUUAAACUAAUGCUCUGAUACCAACUGUGACAUCCCCAAUUUCACGGCCAAAAAGACCGAUUCGUUUAUGCCUUAUUUUAAAAUCGGAGUAUCUUUUUGAAGAAUAAUAUUGCAGAAUUUAUUCCCAAAAUAUGAUAAAAAUAUCAUCAAAGCAUUUCCAAAGAAAUGUUUUUUAAUUAUAUUAAAAACGUUAGCAUGUCAUCAUCAAUACAGUACAUAAGCAUAAACCGAAAUAACAUAGGCUUACAACAUUUAUUAUUCUACUACUGGCCUACAACCCGUAAAUCUCUCAUUUGAUCAUUUAACCGGUUUUCAUGUGGCACUGCCUGUAAUACAAGAAACUGAGUGGUUCAGGCGUGUGAUCCUGGUGAGCACAUAGGGUUUUCAACUCACAAUAAUUAGGUUCUUUAAUUUCAUCAAAUUAAUCAACCCGAUUACCCAUUCCCGUUAUCAUCAUUUUCUAUCCCUAAAGCAUCUAAUUUAAGGGACCUAGCCUAAGGAUUAUUUUCGGGGUUGAGAAUAAUGCUUAGGGAAUUCCUCAACAAUAUAUGUCAGUAAGGAAACCAUGAGGGGGAUGGAGUACACAUGGUGAACAUGCAGUUCAAAACACCUACAGGUUGUGAGCCUGUUAGCGUUCCAUAGGUUUGUCUAGAAUAGUCUGUGGUCAUCAUCAAUACUAUGCUAGAUGAUUAAAUCAGCUUUACCACCAAGGCCUCUCAUUAUUUUUUUUUUCAUCUUUCAUCAUUUAUAUCAUCUACCCAUCUUUACCCAACAUAAUUAUAGGUAUAAAAUACAUAUACAGUUUAAAUCGAGUAAAACAUGUAUAAAUCAUUCAUCUAGCAUAGAUAUCAGGAACACAGAUAAUAAACACAUAUAGCAUGUAAUUUAUAUUAAAUACUUCAUAUGUAUGUGUAAGAUGAAAGUAACUAUGCACUCACUUGUUAAAGUGACAACUAGAAAUUCGGGCAGCACUUCGCUCCUAGCAACUGUCUUUUCCUUUGACGUAGCCUAGUAUUAUUAUUAUUAAGUUUUAGUCUGAUAUUUAUUGUGACUAAUUAUUGUCUAGAUUCAUCAUUAAUUCAAAGUCUACUUCAAGAUAUAUCAAGUAAGGAACAACUAGGUAGGAUCAUAUCGGAGGUAGGGUCCGUUUGGUAUACAAACUAUACUGUUUGGAAAUCCCAUUUUAAAACACCUAGACAUCAUCCCCGUAAGUAGAUCAAUCUGUAUAACGACUUGGAAUCACUGAUAAAUCUUUUUUAUAGGUUCAUAAUAAUGAUAAUGAACUUAAACAUAAGUUAUACUUAAAGUAUGGUAAGCAUAAUUCACUUACAAGGGGGUUUAGCGAGGAAUCGGGUUCUAUGCAGGCAGAACUUCUGAGCCGAAAGCUCUUCUUCUCGAGGCCUUUUGUUGCUCCAGGCUUCGCUACUAUCUCCUAAGAAGUGCUAGAUAAAAUCUUAGAGGGUUUGGGGGUGUUUGGGAGAAAAAUGGGUGAAGAGGUAUGGAGAAAUAAGUGAAAAGCGAGCUUUAUUUAUAGGCUGCCCAAUGCCCAGUACACUGGGCGUACUCAACAUUACGUGUGGCGUAAUGGGUAAAAAGCAGUACGCUGGCCGUACCUAAGAGUUACGUUGGGUGUAAUUUUCCAUGUAUCGCAAUCUCGUUCGAAGCCUUGGGGAGGAAGUAGUGGCCUAAAUCCUGCCACGUGGCACUUCGAGGUUUAAUCCAAAAAUUAAUUAUAUUCUAAAUCUGUAACUCUCGGAUACGAGCUUCGUUUUUUACGUUCUUUUAUAUCCACACGUAGGUAGCGACGUGAUCUACAACUUUCAUUUAGACUUUGUCGGUUAAUUUUGACUUUUUAUUUUUUGUUGAAGUUAUAUUUUAACAUGCUUAGAUAGUUAAAGUCUGUUAAAAAUUCAUAAAUUUAUCAUGUGAUGUCCGUUUUUGACUGUUUUUAUAUCGUUGAACUCCUAUUACGAGAUAUUCAAUUCUCACUUAAGUUGUAUCGGCUAAUAAAUCACAUAAAUCACAUAAUACUCAAAUAAUUCUUCUUCAUUACCUCAAAAUAGGUUAUAAUUGUUGACCCUAACUAUUAUAUUAUCAAAUAAUGCUUAGCCAGAAACGCGGGCGUUAUAUAUUACGUAACUAGAAUUUUGAUAAUGAUUGUAGUAAUGUACGAUAAUUACAUGGGUUUCUAACUCCACGUCACUUAUUCAUUAAAACCAUUUUGUAAGUCGUUAUUGGGGGUGCAAAUAAGUCGUGCCGAACCCGAGUCUAGUCAAGUUUUGUUCGUGAUCAUUUAAGUUAUACGAGGCUUGAAUUCGAGCUUGGCUCAAUUCGAGUUUUUUAUACCGAGUUCGGCUCGAGCUCGUAAAUAAUUAUAUAAGCUCUGCUCGGGCUCGAGCUCGACCCAUUUUUUUUUUCUAAUGUGCCUAAAUAAGCUUAAGUUCAGCUUGGGUUAGCCUAAAAAGCUCGUUUACUAAUACCUUAAAUCCCUAAUUCUCCAAAUAUGUUUUUAUUUUAAUAUAUAAAAAAAUAAUAAAUUAUAUUAUAUAUAAACUCGAUUUGGAUCGCGGACCUAAUGGAGCUUAGUAACAUAGGCUCGAGCUCAACCUCAUAUAAUAAACGAGCUUAAUAUUAAAGCUCGAGCUUGGCUCGGGCUCAUUUAAAAUUGGUUUCGAGUUGAGCUUUAAAUGAACUCAUCCCGAAUGGCUUACGAAUAGCUUGACUCGUUUGCAUUCAUGCUCGUUAUCUCAUCUUUUUCAACAAAAUACAAAAAUAAAAUUACAUUUGAUAUAAAUAUCUUCAUUAUUUUCGUAAACAUUUAUAGAUUUUCAAAAACCUUCUUUAUAUUUAUUAGGUUUAACAAUAUAAUAUUAAUAUUGAUAGUAUCAAAUAUUUAUUAAAAAGUGUUAUAUUUUUAGAUAAGCUUGAAACAUAAAAAGUAUAUUAAUACGAGGAAUAAACUAGUUUCAGUUUAAAUUAUAAUAUAAAAUCACAAGUAACAAACAACAUAAACCUAAAAUUAAGGAGUUUUGUACCGAUAAAAUGUUAACAAUAAAUUUGAUAUUUAGAAUUACACCAUGUAUAAUAUAAUUGUUUGUUCUUAUUCAUCAAUAUCAUUUCUGAAUAGCAAAUGGUGUUUGUUUCGAAUAGUUUAAAUCUAAUUGAUAGAAUAAAGCAGAUUUAAUAUUAUUUACAAUUUAUACGCCUUUUAUAAGCCAUUUACAUUUUUCAAUCCUCGAAGUUUGAAAAAACACUCCCCUUGAGCUAAAUUUUUUAAUUAUUAUUAUAUUAAUAGAAUAAAAGUUUGCUUUAAUUUAAGUGACAUUGAAUGUUUGUUAUUACCUUACACUUUAAUAUUCGGUAAUCUUUAAUACGACAAAAAGGUGUCGAGGAUACCAUUUAAAUUUUUCGGUGUACUGAAAAAAUUGUGAUUUUUUUUUUUUAUUUUUUUUUUAGUGCAAUUUUUUCGGUGUGUAUCCAACUAUCCAUGACAUUUUGCUCUUGCUGAAUGAGACAUUUGCUGGACACUCUGACGUCCCAGUUCAUAGUCAAUACUGGCUGUUUGUUUAGUAGACAAAGUCAAACUCAAAGUAUCAAAAGUCUACUUUAUAAAAACAAAAAAUUAAAAUUUUAUACCUAUCGUGAAAGUUCUAGGACGCUACUCCAAUUUAUUUAUUUGUUUCAAUUUAUAUGAAUUUCUUUUUGUUGUUUUUGUACUAUUUCUGUAUCAGUAAAUUAUUUUGUAUUGCUAUCAUAAAAUUUAUUGGAAUUUUGAAAACCAAUAGUAGAAAUGAUUGUCAUUAAUUUAUCUUUUUCUUUAUGAUUUGUAGUUUUAUUAGAUUUCUUUUUCCAAUUUUUUUAAGGUGUUCUUAUCAUUUCUUAUUUUAAAAAUAGUCGUCAUCGUAAACGUGUGUNNNNNNNNNNNNNNNNNNNNNNNNNNNNNNNNNNNNNNNNNNNNNNNNNNNNNNNNNNNNNNNNNNNNNNNNNNNNNNNNNNNNNNNNNNNNNNNNNNNNNNNNNNNNNNNNNNNNNNNNNNNNNNNNNNNNNNNNNNNNNNNNNNNNNNNNNNNNNNNNNNNNNNNNNNNNNNNNNNNNNNNNNNNNNNNNNNNNNNNNNNNNNNNNNNNNNNNNNNNNNNNNNNNNNNNNNNNNNNNNNNNNNNNNNNNNNNNNNNNNNNNNNNNNNNNNNNNNNNNNNNNNNNNNNNNNNNNNNNNNNNNNNNNNNNNNNNNNNNNNNNNNNNNNNNNNNNNNNNNNNNNNNNNNNNNNNNNNNNNNNNNNNNNNNNNNNNNNNNNNNNNNNNNNNNAUGUAGACAUAUAAAUUAAAAGUAUUAUAUAAAUAAGAUCGUUGUUGGCACGUUAUAAAUUAUUCAAUUGUGGAGGGCGCAAUAUAUUCCGUACACUGGUCAUGACGUGCGCAAUAUAAUUGAUUAAAUUUAUGGCAUAAGUGUCGCUAGUUAAAGAAAUAAGACAUUUUUUAAUAUUUGUCUUUGGAUAAAUUAGAUUAUAACUUAUUAGCUUACAACAAGUAAAUGAGAGAUGCUUAUUAAAUUCAUUUUAUUUAAUUUAUCUCUACCACAAUAAGCUGAUUUUUAAAAUUCAUUUCCAAACACUUAAACUUAACUUAUUAUGGUGGAAAAAAUUAAUAAACAAUAAGGGUCCUUUUUUUUUCUAUCCAAACACCCUUUUGUUUAUAUAGAAAAAUAAGCAUCAAUUUCAGAAUUGGUAUUUAUCUAUAUUGGCCUAGUAUCCGUAAAAUGGUGAUAUUAUUGCUAAAACUACUUCGUUUAAAAUAGCUAAUUUACUAUAAUUUUAAGAGCUUAAAAACUAAUUUACUAUAUAAAUAAAUAAAUAAAUAUCUUAUAACUCGAUAUAAUUUAUAAGAUGUUUAUUUAUUUAUUUUUAACCAUUUAAGAUUUUAAAAACCUAAUUUACUAUAAAUUAUAUCGAGUUAUAAGAUGUUUAUUUAUUUAUUUUUAACAUUUUAAGAGUUGUAGACUAUCAAAAUGAUGUAAUAUUAGCAUUUUUUUUUAAAUAUUUUAAGAGUUGUAGACUAUCUUAAUAAUGUUGAUAAUUUGUAUAGUAGAAUAGUACAGAUUACUCCAGAUUAGUAUUGCCUAUUUGAGAUGGAUGUGAGGUCGCACUUUUAGGAGAUAAUAUGGCUAAGCUCUCUAAAAGUCUCAUAAAGAAAGGAUUAUUCAUGACCAAAAUGCACACAACGGUAAGAAUCAAUCAAUGUUUAGAUAUGAUAUGUGUGAUAUCUCUUUUUUCUAUUCUAGUAUAAAAAGUGAUUAAUAUAAGACUCUAGUUUACUACUCAUGAAGUAGAUCCAAAUAGAUUCAAUAUGACAUGUUCAAGUUUUCUAAAUACUUUUUCAGAUGUAUGUCAUCUCUUAUCUUCUUAAUUUGAAUAUCAAAGUUGUUUUAUUUUCUAUUCACAUGUAGGGUAUUUUUGGAAAUUUAAAUAGAAAAUAUAGGGUAUUUUUGAAACUUUGUUUAUUAGAAUAACCUUAUGGGACUUGUCCCACAUACCAAGGGGAACAAAAAUUGUGACACCUUUUACACACUUUAUCCACUUUAACUAAAAAAUGGAUUCAAAUAUUGGAUAAAGCUUCAUGGGUCAAUUGUGUGGUGUUGGGUUCGUAAAUAGAGCAUUUAUAUAAUUUCGAAAUUUUUUUAUAUUUUAUUCUAAUUUUUAAGAUUACCUAUCUUUUAACAUGUUUGUAAUUAUUCUCUAUGGCAGUUUUUGGAAGUUAUAAUUGGUUAGCAGUUAAUAACUGUCAAAUUCCAAGCCUAUAAAUAACAAAAAUGCUUCAGGUUUUCGGGUUGAUUGUUUCAGACAAAUUUUGAAACAUUCAUCCUUGUUUUUCUCAUCUAUGUUUAAGGAGACAUUCUACAAAUUCGAUAGAUUUAGGAUUAUAUCUUAAAUAGAUUGUUGUAUCCUCAAGACAAAUCAAUACCCUGAAAACUUUAGGUCACUACUUGCAGGCCUCAAUCUUCUAUAAGUUUGUGGUUGUAAUCUUUGUGUAAAACACUGUCAAGUAUGUUUUCUGUAUUGUGAAUCUUGUAUAUAAAUUUGAUUUAUUCUCAUAUAAUUCAAUUUCGUUUGUACUUUUUAUGUUGUUUUAAUUGAUUUUGUACUUCUGUCAGAACAAUGAUGAGGCUCUGAUGAGUGUUUUUUUACCUUCGUCUUGUAACACUCAUAAAAUUCAUGAAAAAUUUUAAACUUUUAAAACAUCCAAAAUCAACAUUGUUUACAAAUUGUUUUCAAAAUAAGUUUCACAUCAAAGAUAUACCAAAAUCGUGAAAAAAAAGAGGAGGUUGAUAGAAUGAAAAUCAUUAAUGAUCGAUAAGAUUCAAACAGGUAAAUAAUGAAAACAAAGAUAAUCAAACAAAUGCUGAAUGAUUAAAAGUCACGUCUCAGAUGAACUCGAUGAAGAAUUUCAACUAUAGAGGUGUGUUAGGGUUACAAGAUCAAAUAAAACAGUUAACUAAAAUAAGAUGCAUGUAUGCACCAUAUAUACUCUAACCCUAGAAUUAAAUACAGGAGGACAAGCCCAACCCGUUUGCAAAAAGGACUAAUAACAAAUCCCAAUGACACAACAAUUAAAUAUUCAACAAUCUCACCCUUUGCGUCAAUUGAGUCUGUAGUCCUUCAUCCAGUGAUUCUCUUCUGCACUUUGUAGAUUUUUGGAAUAAAGCUCAAUAGCAUCUUGCGAACUUGGAUAUACCAAAGUAUCAUAUCAGAAAAGCACUUGACGUCGUCCUUGUGGUUGCCCUUGAAUUUAGUGAUCAGGUCCAAUAUAAAUUCCAGACAGGCAGUAUUUUAUAGAUGUUUGUCUUCGAGAUAGAAGUAAGACUUGCGAAAGUUAGCUCCCAUUCGUUCUCUUGACUGAUACAUUACGAACCAUCCUUCCUUGUAUAUCUUCCCUAAAUUUAAUUUCUCGAUGUCUUUCGGAGCUUCCUUAGGAACGACAAUCGACUUCUUCUUCAAAACAGUGGCAAUAUCUACAUCCACCAAUCCAACCUCUUGAAUAUAAGACUUGAUCAUAAUUUGGAGAUGGGACAUAACAGCCUCGUACUUCUCUUUCUCUCUCAGCAACAUGUUGUAAAGUACGAUCCAGUCAUUGGGAUUCAAACAAGGCAAAUCUGUGAGGGUGAAUUCGUAGGCGUGACAAGUUGAUCCGCUCGCAACUUUAAACUUCGCAUCGGGAAGCUUUCAGUCUCAAUUGGCCUAGUGACCUUCACAACAACUAUCUUGUGCGCACUCCAAGUUUUGUACUGGGGCUUCAUGUGCUUUAAGUACAAGGAGAACAACAGUUGAUCAGCACCAUUGUCUGUGAAAGGAGCAUUCGCAACCUUCACAAAAGCAUGAAACCUGAAUGCUUUUGGAGUAAUUGGAAGAUCAAGUUGCAAAUCUUGAGAAUUUUGACGAUCAAAGGACGCAAUAUGGUCCAACCAAUAUUGACUAGGCAGCUCCACAACAUCAUGUUGGAUUCGCUUCAGGGUCCACUUAGGAAAGAAUAACAUUUUGCUCUUGAGAGAGGCCUGGGCUUCCUUUUCUUCCCUUUCCUUCUCUUCAGCCUCCUUGACGAUUCGUUAAGUUUCAUUCAACUCAGCAUCAUGAGCCUUCCGCCUUUUAAGUUCAGCUUCAUCAGACUCAUCGUCUUCAUCAUCAUCAAUUAUAGGCUCGUCUUCGAUCAACUUUUCCUUGCCCUUAGGUUCUUUCUUGAUAAUCAGCUUGGCAAUGACUUUGGGAGGUUUAACAUUGGAUCCACCUUCUCCCCCUUGUUUCUGAUCAGACGAUUGAGGAGAAACACCCUACAAACGGUGUAACGUUGCAAAGAUAGGGCUCAACUUUUCAGCCAGGUGUUUGCGAACAGUAAUAGAAUUCAUUGAGUCCCUAGUCUUAAUGAUAUGUUAGAGAAAACCAGUGACAUCCGUAAUGUAGGUUCGCACAACUGCCCUCUCAUAUAGCAAAUCCUUGACCGUUUUCUCAGACUGUUGAAGCUUGAUAUCUAACACCUUAACCUUCUUUGUCUUUCUGGCAAGAGCAUCCAUAAUUUUAUUUUCCAUCGCCAAAUCAUCUUGAAGCUUUGUAAUUUACGAAGUAAGGGAUGUUUGAAACAAUACAUGAUCUUUCUGCAAUCCUGUGCAAAUCUUCUCCAAGUUGAUUCUCUCAGUUUUGAACAUUGCUCCCCAGUUCUAAAGAGCUUCAUUCGCAAAUGUUGUGUUAUUGUUGUAGAUGGUUCUGUAAUUCUCCACGAAGGUGGUUGUUUCAGAGAUUAGUUUAUCGACUUUUUCAGUUGUUGAUUUGCAGACAUUGGCAGAUUCUGAUACUGCCACAUUCAUCUUUGCAGCAUUCUCUGCAUGUUCUUUCGUUAUGCGCUCAAAAAAGGACUCAACAGUUGCUUUUCAAUAGGCGUCAGAGGAGGAAGCCUUGGAGGCCAGCAACAGUUGGUCAAGUUUCUCGUGAAUCGCUUUAAGUUUCUCUUUCAUGACUAUGGCUUCAUCUUCACUUUCAGUCCUUAUCUGAAAUGGACUAUAAGUGAAUCCGCCAAGAUCAUCAUCAUCGCCAUCAUCUCCAAAGAUCAUUUCUGGAUCAUCAGUGCGAAUAGGGGAGAUGGGUGGAGAAACAUGGGUAGUGAAGACUGAAGUGUUAGCCUCCAUAUCAGAUAUGUUGACCGUAACUUCAAGGUUCAUUGAAGUGAUGGGUGUUGUGGAGGAAUCAGUUAAGAUUGGUGCACCAGAUGGACCUUCUUCGACAGCAGUCUUCUUUGCACCAUUCUUAGACCCCUUACCUCCUUUCUUUGGUUUAUCGGCAGCAUUAAGGGUUGCUUGCAUUUCUAGAGUUGGUGGAAGAAACCCCGAAGGUGUAAGAUUGCGAAAGCCUUCUAAGAUUUUGCUUGAUGCAUGAACAUCCUGAAACAUGACCUUUGGUAUAGAUCUAAUGAAUGAGAACUUUGAGGCAUCGACAAAGAUUAUCCCAGUUGUAUGAAAGGUGGAAACCGUGAAAGCAAGAGCAUCCUGCAUCAUUGGGAUAUUGUUGAUGUGCACAAAAGUACCCACUAAUUUUAAUAUUUAUAACCUAACUAACUUAACUAACUAAAAUGCACCUAGGCAGUGUACCUAGUCGAAUUAUAGAAUAGUUGGGUAAGUCGGGUGUCGAUCAUAGGGAACGAUGUUACCAAUUAAUCUAUUUACUACUAAAUUAACCUAAAUAUUAACAAGCUUAAAAGGGUUUUAUCUGAUUUUACAAGAUUAGAUGAACUUUACUCAAAUUCAAUCAAUUACUAAAAACACUCUCGUUUAGUUCGAAUCCACUUCUUCUUUAUGGUUAGCUAUCAAUUAUGGAAUAUCAAAGUUGGUUAUCUAAUUGAUAUUGUAUUAAUAAUUUAGGUCUAAAAUUACCAAUAAUUAACUUCUUCAUGUAAAACUAUGCAUGGUCACACAAUUAAACACAAAAUUAGUUAUGAUUAUGAAUUUGCUAUGAAAGAUUAUGCAAACACAAUUAUAGUCAUUAAUUAUGUUCUCUAGCACAACUAAACUUAUUUACUUCAAUUACUAUCUGGGAUUUUGGUCGAUCCUAGCUCUAGCAAUUCAAUGUUCACUAAAUCACUAGGUAAACAAGUUCAUGUAGUUUAAUGAUCACUAAGCUACAUAGAACAUGAAUUCAAGUAACUAAAGAAACAAAUAUUAACAUGCUAGGUGGUAACAAAUCAAACACAAUCAAUUUACCAACUAAGAAAAUCCAUUAUCAAUAAGCUAAUCCAUAAGUCAGAAGCUUCAUCUAGCUAAAUAAGAGUAGCUAGAUUCAGCUGCUCAUAGCAACAUAAAAACAAACACAAAUCAUAGUCAAAGUCAUAAACAUGUUUAAAGUACCAAACAAUCGAAUGAAUUAUGAACUCUUUCUCUCCUUAGGUGAUAAAAGCCUCUUCCAGAACUUCUUUUCCUUCCAAAAUCGUCUCUAGGUCUGCCUUCUAUCAGCCAAAAAGUCCUCCAAGUUGUCAUGAACAAGGAUAUAUAUACUCUAUGAAUUUUCCUGAUUCACGUCGUGAGCUGAUAGGUCUCACGUCGUGAAUACGAGAUAAUCGUGUUCGACAAGGAUUCUUUCACCCGGAUGCAUAUCUUCUGGAAUACUCUACUCACAAUCUUCAACUUCCCACGUUGUGAAUAUCACAACUUCAUGGGUUUCUUGUCUUUUAAGCCCUCAAGUCUCCAAAGUUCCAAGUGUUGUCAAUUUUGGUCCCUUUCUUCGAAAAUGGUUCUACUUUAGCUGCAAAUAACAAUUUAUCCUUCUAAGUACCAUAAUUCUAUGCAAAUAACCAAAAUAUUAAUAAAAAUGUAAAUAAAUAUUGCCUAAAAAUAUGUAUAAAUAUGGCAAUAUCAAAAUACCACACACUUGUGAUGUGCUUGCCCUCAAGAAAAUCUACUUAAUCUAAACUUAAACCUUCAUCACUAACAUCAUAUAGAACAAUCGAACUCUAGCUCAGCCAUUAUGCCAAGACCUCAACGUGUGCAUUUGUGUCUAGAAUGCUUCCUAAAGGACCCCCAUAGUCUAAAUACUCACAAUCUUCAUAAAUGCUUGCCCACUUCUUUUGAACAAUGCUCAUUUUAUGCAACCCUCUGAAUCCAUCCUCAAAAAUCUUACCUAGCCUCAAAGUAUAAACUAGAUAAUUACAACUUUAAGAUACCAUUACUUGGAGCUCUUGAAUUCUUCACUUUCCUUGAUAUUUGAUCUUUAACUUCCUUGAAUUCACCUCUUUCAUGAUUUUUGGCAUCUUUAACUUUUGAUUUUUUAGAAUUUUGAUCUUUUAAUCUUCAAACUUGAUAGCUCCAAAAUUCUUCAAUUUUUACCUUUCGGUAACUUCUCUCUCUCUUUUUUUAUGUAUAAAUCACUUUUUUCUCUGAAAACCCUUCAUGCUUAAGCAGGGGCGAUUAACUUCAACCUUUAUUGGUUAAGACAUAGCUUUCCUGGAUAGAUUUCUGGUACAGGCUGCUAAACAUAUCGCAUUCCUCAAACUAGCGAGAUUGUGUUUUUGCUCCAUGAUUUCACUAAAAUAAGGGAGGCCACAAAUUCACUAUAACGUACAUCGGCUCAACUAAACAUUUGAGCUCUUAUCAGAUUACCCCAUGCAACACUAGCAACUAUAGUUCAAAUUUUUAUUACUAAAAAAUAAUUUAAAUUUUAAAAUUUUCCAAAUUUUCUAGUAAUUUUACUUUUUUUUACCCCUACCCCAGACUUAUUACAUACAAUGCCCUCAUUGUAUGCAUAUACUAAAUAAAAGCAAUAAAAGGGAGAAAAGGAACAGACUCCCCUAGGAUAGUGGCGUGAUCGAACUCCAUAAGUGUGGAUAAAAUGUGCAUCUCGAAUGUGAACCUCUUCUAUAUAGGAACUUGGAUCUUGGACUUAAUAUAAAUCACCACAAAAUACGGGAUCGGAACUUAAACCUUUAAUAAGAAUGGUGCCAGACUCCAAAGUGUAAAGAAUAAUGUGGGAAAACAUACACCACAUUAUAUGAUGGAGAAAAACGAGCUCAAACUAGUCUUCAUAAAACUCCAAAUAAAAUGGUGAAGAAUAUGGACUCCAAAGUGAUCCAUGAAGUGAAUGGAAAUGAAAAGCCUUCAAUAAUAUGUAAAUAUAUAACUCACAAAGUGAGUAAGAAAAAUCAUGUCAUGAAGACGUAUUAGCACAAUUUCUGAACCCUCUUCCGUCGGGCUCACAUCGUGAAAAUAAAAGUCUCACGUUGUGACAAUUGGGCGAACAAAAUCUGAAAUAGUCCAACUUCACUUCUAAAAUCAUGCACUCCAACCAUUAUCUUAAUGAAUUAAGACUCUCCUAAAUGCAGUAUUUGAGGACUCUCUAACUGUAUCUACUCUCUCGACUCACCCCACACUUAUUUCCAGUUGUAGGUAUCGACUUCAGAUGCUAAACUUUAGACUCUAAGCGACCCUUGGCUAAACGUAUACGCUAUCGACUUGACCUUCUUUUCCUAGACUCCGUAGCAAAUCUGAAAUAUAGCAACCAAAGGAAAGACAGCAGUAACAUAAUAAUUUACCAAGUCUUACAAACCAUAACAAGUUUAACAAAUUCAAACAAAACUAAAAUACAAAUAAAAACUAAAAAGGUAAGCAAUCAAUCAUCAUCCUCUUCAUCCCUUGCACCACUUGUACCGACUCCAUCUCCCCCUUGAUCUCUAUACUCAGUCCACCUCGGGAAAAUUGGGUAAUGAUACCUAAGGUGAGGAGGUUUCUCCACAUGCAAAUGUUGUACCAAGUUUUCCACAGUCCCUCCAAUCCAAUUGACACUAAGUGAAAACUGAUCAAAAUAUAUGACCAUAUCACCGCUAAAAUGUGGUCCUCCCAUGGGUGCAGAUCGAUGCAUAGACUGUCCUCUCUCUCCUCAUCCGCGCACAUUCCUCCUUCGAGGCCUCGGUUGUGGUUGCUGCUCAUUCUGUCCACUACGGUGCUCACCACCAUCACCUUCCUCAUCAGUAUGCAUAAUUCCCCAAUGAAAUCCAAAAUUCUAAACAACCCGCAUUGUCUACAAGUAUCCCAUGGUAAAAUCGCUCUCCGCCUUGCAAGUCGAAGAGCGGGUAAGGUCGGGAACAAUUAAACCAUAAGAACGGGACAAGUGAGUGAUGAAAUGGCCCCCACAGAUAGGGCUUCCGGGACGAGGACUUGCAGCCGAAUCCACUAAAUAGCGGGCCAGAAAAUAAGGAAUGUUACAGCACACUCCCGACUGCAAAAUACACCAUAAAAAGAAUAAAUUUUGCUUCGUGACCUUAUCCCCAUGGUGUUUAUGGUUGAUGGAGAAAGUGAUGAAUCGGUGUAUCAAGCGGUGAAUGCGUGAUCGUAUGCUGCUCUCGGGUGACAGUCCGAAAUUAAAUAUUCCGGAUGCAAUGUUGUUCCACAAAGCGAUCCUCGAGGCCCGAUUUUCAUAGUCUCGAGCCGCCUCCCUAAAAAACAUAGCAAAUUCCGGAGUCAUAGCUUCCUGGGCCAUGUAUAACCCCGUACUCUAGGAAAAUUCAAUCAGACUGCACUCUCGAUAUUCACCCCCGAGUCUAAAAACUAAGGCUUGUGGAAAAGUAGGGUCUUGGACAUUCUCAUGGAAUGCCACGGUUGCAAAGAAUUCCUCACACAAUUCCUUAUACACCCUCUCUUGAAUACCGAAUAGAUUAAGCCAGCCCUUGCAAGUGAACGAAAACCCAUUUCCCAAAAAUAUUUUUGUGAGAAAUGGAGACAGCCUAUCAAAGAUUCUGACCUCCCUUAGCCUUGCCCAAUUAUUUGUAGGGGCAACAUCGAAUUCCCUGUUGUAUAGCCACCCCAACCUGUUUUUACGACGUGUUAAAACAUCUUGUGGCAUGGUAGUUGGGAAAGCAUAGAAUGGGUGCAAAUGCGACACCCAUGUCGGAAUUUCUCUCCUGGGAGCCGUUGCUGCAAAAAUAAACAGAAAACAAGACCAACAAAACAUCCCAAAAUAUUAACAUUAAAUAGGAAAUGAAACUGUAAUUGGACAGGAUUCACGUCGUGAAUUCCUAAGAAUUCAUGUCGUGAGUUCGUAUGUAGAAACUAGAAUCGGUCAAGGUAAAAACCAAAUUGGGUCAACAAUGUCAACGGGGUUUACUCCUAGGGCGAUUUCAAACUCAUUACAAACACAUGCAUCAAGAAAUUCACAGAUUUAGGGUAUCGAUUUUUAUAUUCAAGUGAAAUGCAAACUUUAACCCCUAAAUCUAGUAAAUAAGUUAGCAAUAAACAAUGUAAAGAUGAUUAAAUUAUCUAGAAUGGUGAAUCACGUAAGCACAAGAAGAAAAUGGGAGGAAUGCCGGCCGCAAUUGCGAAGAUGGCGACCAGGGGAACAUGUUCACUUCGUGGGAUAUAAAGAAAAGAACUAGGUCAAAUGGAUUCUGUCUUUAACCUGUGGUCCCGUGGUAUUCAAAAUUCAAGCCGUGAAUUCUAAGAAUUCACAUCGUGAGUCCAGUUUGGGCCAUACAGAUGGGUCAUUCAAAUUAAAGGUUAAGCGGGCUGGACUACUAUCAGGCUAACGAAUUGGGUAAUAUAUUGGCCUAAAAAGGAAUCCUUAAGUCAUACUAGACUCAUGUCGUGAACCAUAAUAAUUCACGUCGUGAGUUCGUCUGGAUACUAAAACUUAAAAUUUUAAUUAAUUAAACCUCCUAAUUUAUUACCACUUAAGUAACCUGACCGUACACUUAAAUGUUUCAUUAUGCACAAAGUGAAUUAAAUGAUACAAUUUAUUACUCAAAAACUAAAAAAAAAACUAAAAAUAAAAGAAAGAAAAUACAAACCAAGCUUGGCUUGCCUCUCGAGAAGAACUUCUUUUUGAUGGAGUCGUGAGCCGGACUCCAUGGUUCAUAUGUUGAAUCUUCAGAUGAGUCCAUCACCACCUGGGUUUUCUGCUCCUUCCAUCGCCACUUGUAUGCUUGGACUCUUCGAUUGUACGCCUUUUUUGAAUUUUCCUUUUUAGCCUUUGUCUCAUCUAUAUUAAGCUUCCUUUUGGUCCCUUUUGUUCCCAAUUUUUCUUCAUUCUUCUUUAGCUUAAUAAGGACCUUCUCUUCUUUUACCAUUGGAACCGUCUCCUUGGAAGUAGCCUCGUCCUCAUCACUUAACACAUCUUCACUUUCCUCACUUAUCAAAGAUGUUGGUUUUGUGUAGGUAAUGACUUCAACGAAAAACAGAACGGAUGCUCUUGGUUUAGUGCGUUUGACUUGAUUAGUUGUCUUGAUUUCUUCCUCCAUGAGUCUUUCUAAUUCUUCAAGUUCAUUAUCUUCAUCAAUAUUGAACACUUCACCUUUAACAUCAUAUCGUUGAAAUCCAUCUUGUAUUCCAAAAUCUUCUUUAUCAUCACCAACCCUUAAUGUAAGCUUGGAUUCACGAACAUCAACUAAAGCGCCAACAACAUUUAGCAAGGGGCGACCAAGAAUGAUUGGAACAUUUACAUCCUCCUUCAUAUCCAUGAUCACAAAGUCAACAGGGAAAACAAACUUCCCAAUUUUAACAAGGAUGUCUUCUACAAUUCCUCUUGGGUGCAUCACCGAAUGAUUAGCCAUGUGGAUGGUCAUCUUUGUAGCCUUCAUUUUCUGAACAUUCAGCUUUUGAUCGAAUGAGCCAUUAAAUUUAUGCUGGCCCCAUAAUCGGCUAGAGCAUUAGUCUUCAACUUGUUACCAAACUUACAUGGAAGAGUGAGGCGUCCAGGAUCUCCCCUAUUCUUAGGCAACUCUCCUAAUACAACUUUUGAGAUUUGUUCACUAAGAAUGACCUUAGAGUUCUUCUUCAACUGCAGACGGGUGUCUACAAGAUCUUGUAGGAACUUUGCGUACUCUGGAAUUUUUGAAAGCGAAUCGAUAAAAGGGGUAUUAAUAAGAAUACCCUUUAUUUGCUGAAUAAACUCAAGAUGUUCCCUUUCUAGUGGACUAAGAUUAGCUCGAGACGGGAAUGGUAAAGGCGGUCGAAAAGCAGGAACGGAUUCUGACUUUUUCUGUUCAGACCGGGCUCACGACGUGGGUCUGGUGUUUCAACAAUGUUUUCAUUUUCGAGCUUUGGCUUCUUUGGCUUUGGAUCGGGUUGCUUUGGUUCCACUUCUAGUGCCUCUGAAAACUCAGAGAUUUCCUUUUCUUCAGUAUCAAUAGCCAUAACAUGAGUUUGAGCUUUCUUUUUGGGAAGUUGUGAAGAUAAUUUGUUAUUCACCAAAGUAGUGAGUUGACCAAAUUGGACUUCUAAAAUAUGAAUCGAUGCUUGAUGAUUUCUUAAUGAAGCUUGCUGGUCAAUCAUCAUUUUGUGCUGUUCUUUCGUCAUAUUCAUGUGUUCCUUUAGCACUGCAUCGGUAUCAUCAUGUCUUCUUUCGAAUGCUUCCAUAAAUUGGGUCAACAUGUUUUCCAAGUCUACUUUCUUCUCGGCUGGUGGUUGCUCUUUUUGAUAGAAGCCUCGGCCUCUCUGCUUAUAUUUCUCUUCCUUUUUCUUCUUAUAUUCAUCAUAUGAUAGCCACUCUUUCUUUGGUUUUCUCCAGUCUUCAUCAUACUGAUCCCCACUCGAGUAGCAAACUUGAGCACUUUUGUUCCCAUACUCAUCCAAGUUGCAAUAUUUAGUCAAGUGUGGACCAUUACAUCGUUCACACCCAACUUUGAUUACAUAAAUUGAUUGGUCCAUUUGUGUCAACCUUCGAUCUAUAUUAUUCAGAAUUGCCAUCAUAGAAGCUAUUUCUUCAGACUGCGUGCCUCCACUUCCUUUUGUGCCUUCUUGUCUUGGGUUGUGGGACUCACGAGAGUGUUUUGCGAAUUCUUCAACUAACUCCUUGACCUCCCUUUGAUUUUUGUUUGUCAAUGGUCCUUGAGAAUCAAGGAGUUGCCUUGUCAUAACAUUCACCCCAUCAUAGAAAAUAGACAUCCAUUGUUGAACAUUAAGAUCACGUUGAGGACAAUUUCUUAUCAACCCUUUGUAACACUCCCAUGCCUCGUAUAAUGACUCCCCCGGUUGUUGCUCAAAGUUGGAAAUUGCCUUCUUGAGUUUAGCUAUCUUGGAUGGUGGGCAAAAUUGAUCUAAAAACUGCUCAUGCAUUUGAGCCCAUGUAGUGAUUAUACCCAGUGGUAGUGCUUUUAACCAGUCUUUUGCAGUUCCCUUAAAAGUAACGGGAAGCAUCCUUAGUAAGACGGUAUUUCUGUUCACAUUUGGGACAUUGAAAUAAUCUGCAAUGUCAUUAACUUCAUCGAGAUGCUUAAAGGCAUCCUCGUGAUCUUUUCCAUAAAAUGGAAUAUCCUUUAGUGUAGUGAGGAUAUUUCCUUUCAACUCGAAUGUGGCAGUGGUAGGAAUGGCUGAUUGUACUAAACCCGCACCAACAUCGUCUCUAAUUCGCUUCUUGUAAGCUCCCAUUGACAUUUCUUCAAUGUUUGCCAUCUCGUUUCUUGGCUCGUCUUUGGGUUCACUUCUAUAAGGAACAAAAUCGGCUUCGAAUUCGUAUUCGGCUUCGUUUGGGAUAGGUAUUUGAUCUAAGUUUUCAACGUUGUUUUUGUUCUUUGAAGAUGAACUCGACUCUUCCAUUUUCUUCCCCGACUUCUUUGAGAAUACUGACUUAAGUUCUUGUAAGGGUGUCUUCUUUGGUGUUUGAUCUUCUUUCAUGUUCUUAUCUUUCUUUUUAUGAAGGGCAGACUCUGGAUCCUCAAGUGGUGGCACCAAAGGUGUGUUGGAACCUCUGGUCAUGAACUCCUAUAAAAUAAACAAAAUAAAAACAAAAAACUGAACUAAAAUAAACUAAAAAUAAAAGAAAACUAGAAUUCACGGUAUUCACAUCGUGAGACUAUAGGCUCACGUCGUGAGUUCUAUAACUGAAAAAAAUUAAACUAUGCUUGGUAAAAUAACUUUUUGCAGGUUUUACCCCACAAAAAGGAUCUAUUAAUCAAAAGCAAAUAAAUAAACAAUAACUAUGCCGCUCCCCGACAAUGACGCCAAAAACUUGAUGUGCACAAAAGUACCCACUAAUUUUAAUAUUUAUAACCUAACUAACUUACCUACCUAAAAUGCACCUAGGCAGUGUACCUAGUCGAAUUAUAGAAUAGUUGGGUAAGUCGGGUGUCGAUCACAGGGAACGAUGUUACCAAUUAAUCUAUUUACUACUAAAUUAACCUAAUUAUUAACAAGCUUAAAAGGGUUUUAUCUGAUUUUACAAGAUCAGGCGAACUUUACUCAAAUUCAAUCAAUUACUAAAAACACUCUCGUUUAGUUCGAAUCCACUUCUUCUUUAUGGUUAGCUAUCCAUUAUGGAUUAUCAAAGUUGGUUAUCUAAUUUAUAUUGUAUUAAUAAUUUAGGUCUAAAAUUACCAAUAAUUAACUUCUUCAUGUAAAACUAUGCAUGGUCACACAAUUAAACACAAAAUUAGUUAUGAUUAUGAAUUUGCUAUGUAAGAUUAUGCAAACACAAUUAUAGUCAUAAUUUAUGUUCUCUAGCACAGCUAAACUUAUUUACUUCAAUUACCAUCUAGGAUUUUGGUCGAUCCUAGCUCUAGCAAUUCAAUGUUCACUAAAUCACUAGGUAAACAAGUUCAUGCAGUUUAGUGAUCACUAAGCUACACAAAACCUGGAUUCAAGUAACUAAAGAAACAAAUAUUAACAUGCUAGGUAGUAACAAAUCAAACACAAGCAAUUUACCAUCUAAGAAAAUCCAUUAUCAAUAAGCUAAUCCAUAAGUCAGAAGCUUCAUCUAGCUAAACAAGAGUAGCUAGAUUCAGCUACUCAUAGCAACAUAAAAACAAACACAAAUCAUAGUCAAAGUCAUAAACAUGUUUAACGUACCAAACAAUCGAAUGAAUUAUGAACUCUUUCUCUCCUUAGGUGAUAAAAGCCUCUUCUAGAACUUCUUUUCCUUCCAAAAUCAUCUCUAGGUCUGCCUUCUAUUAGGCAAAAAGUCCUCCAAGUUGUAAUGGACAAGGAUAUAUAUACUCUCUGAAUUUGCCUGAUUCACGUCGUGAGCUGAUAGGUCUCACGUCGUGAAUACGAGAUAAUUAUGUUCGACAAGGAUUGUUUCACCCGGAUGCAUAUCUUCCGGAAUACUCUACUCACGUCGUGAAUCUUCAACUUCCCACGUCGUGAAUAUGCCAAUUUCGUGGGUUUCUUGUCUUUUAAGCCCUCAAGUCUCCAAAGUUCCAAGUGUUGUCAAUUUUGGUCCAUUUCUUCGAAAAUGCUCCCACUUUGGCUGCAAAUAACAAUUUAUCCUUCGGAGUACCAUAAUUCUAUGCAAAUAAUCAAAAUAUUAAUAAAAAUGUAAAUAAAUAUUUUGUCAAUUUCCCUGCGAACAAUCAGGGACCAGAAUCUUGCACAAGAAAUCUCGGUGUGACGAGAUGUUGAGAUAGUGCUUUGAAUCACCUGAGCCCAAAGAACUGCUCUAAAGUAUAUAUUCAUCCCGGUAUAGAGGCCAUAAAGGAGGGUAAUGAACAACUUACUUGCACAGUAUGACCCUGUAAUUCUUUAAGAAAAGCCUUUAAACAGAAUAGUGAAUAAAGCAUUCCAUUGUGGAGGAAGAUUGGACUUGCAAACUUUCGAGACCGUAGAAAGAGUCUCCUUGUAUCCCAUCUGAUAAAACAUAUCCAGGAGAGCAAAAUUGGAGAUCAUUUCAUGGUUGAUCAUGUCUUCUGAUUGUGGAAUCCCUAAAAGUGAAAUAAAUCUGGUUUUGAUGAUAAAAGUUUUUUGAUCGUGGAUAUGAAGAUAAUCUUGUUCUUCUCCUUGAUAUAACUUGUAGAAGAAUAUGCCUUGGAUAGAUGAGACAUCGGUACACCCUCCAUUUUUGUUUGAGCAUGAACCAGUGGCGAAUAUUUAAGAUCGAUCAUUGAUAGAAGAUAUGGCUCAUAUUUUCAAGGAUCCAGAUUGAUAAGAAGAUUCUGAUUCAGUUUGACAGCCAGAAGAGAAGAUUUGACAGUUUGAUUGUGAACUGAUGAUGAAGUAGCCAUUGUUGAAGGUUUGAAGAAGACGAUGAACAGUAGAGAGCGUUUUAUUUGCUGGAUAUCUUUAGAGAAGAUUUUGAAAGUGAUAAUGAGAGAGGAACUGUCAAAACCUUUAUAUAGUAUUCGAUUUAUGAGGGAAAUCUAGAGAGAGAAUGCAUCAGGUACUAAAACGUCGCCUGAAAAAGCGUGACUUGUCAACUGUAGAUGUCAGACCCGUACGUCAUACGACAGAAAAACAAUUGUCCGUUCAAAUUCUACACGCGCCUUUUUGAACUCUUAUCAUCAUAACUUUCCUCGUCAUCAUCCGUCUUUCGCAGUUAAAUAUUGUAACAACCCGAAACUUUGCUUCCUCGCCGUAACCGUUCCGUCAAAACUCGUCUUAAGCGAAUUGUUCCGAUUUCGUCCUGAACUAGGUCAAUUAAGUCAAAACCUUUAUUUUGACUUGGUAAGUAUCCAAACAUGUCGGAAACAUGCGAAAACGUUCCGAACUAGUAAUUUGAAAAAUUAUAGUUUCGACCAUAUCGGGUAACGACAACUUAAUCGGGUGCGACCCAAAGCAUCGGUUAACGUCGGUAUCGGGUAAAAUUCCAUCGUGUAUCCAAGUCAAACCAUAUUUAAAGUGGAUUAAGCCUCAUUUGAAGCUUUUUCACUCUCUUUCUAACCUUUCUCCUUAAAUCCAUCUUGUUAAGCCAAAAUCAACCAUUUCAAGCCUUAAAACACCAAGGUAAGCAUCCUAGCUCCUAGUAUAACAUCCUUAGCUUUCAAUUUCGUGUUUAAAUCAUGUGUUAGGACCAUAAACAUGUGUUUACGGCCCUGGAACAGCCUUAGGCCGUGAACACAUGUAAUUGGAGGUUUUUGAGCCUUAAAACCUUUCCAAAUCACCAUAGGAGCUUAGAUAUGACUAAAGGAAUUAUUGGAAUGGACUUAAAACACCUUGAAUGUCAAUUUUAAGGAGUAAACAUGAGUUUACUGCCCAAGAACAUGCUUGGGCCGUAAACUCAUAUAAAUGGGUGGUAAACUCCUCUUUUGGGUGUUAAAAUGCAACUUACACACCCCUUAGGCUUUGGAAUAAAUUAUGGAACCAACCAAAAAUCAUUUAGGGGCCUUAAACUCAUCAUAAACACUCUAAUUGAGAGUUUACGGCCAGAGCAUAUGCUCCAAGGCCGUAAACUCCUAGAUGGAUGCCAUUUGAAGCCUUAAACUCACCCAAAGCCUUGUAAAAAUUAGUUGAAUCACUUGUGGUUAAUCCUUGGCCUUCAAAGUAAUUAAGUUGGAUAUGGGUGAGAGUUUACGGCCGUAAACACUUAUUUUACUGCCCUAAACUCUUCUAUUAAUUCAUAUAAUGAUUUAAUCCCUUUCAAAUGUCCAAAAGCCAAACCUAGCAACACCCAUUAUUUCAUUUAAGGCCAUUUAGCUCAUAAAAACACCCACCAUGAGUUUACGGCUGUAAACUCAUGGGGAUGUGGUGUUUAGUCCGUAAACACUCCCUAAGAGUUUACCCUUGGAGAGUAAACUCUAAAUCCUAGUCAUUCAUGUCCUGAAACGCCACCCGGGUCACUUCAAAUGCUCAUUUGGAGUGUUUUCGCGUCUUAGAAUGUUCAAGUGUAUCUAACUAGUUAUUUAAAUCUAAUUAGAUAUAUAUUGUGUAUUAUUUAAUAUUACAUAGGAACAUCGCUCGUAUUCAAGCCUCGGUUCGACGUUUAGCAUCCCAUUCGACACAUUUCCGCGUCCGGUGAGUUCAUACCCCUACCCUUUUUCAAUGGUUUUUCAAUGUUUUCAGGGGGGGAAUANGGAAUACAAGAAGAGUACAAGAAUAUCUUGUAUUUAAACUUAUCAUUUUAGUUAGAUGGUUUCAUACUUGUACAUUUUUAAGGAUUGAAAACCCUUUUAACAAACUGUUUUAACUUGCAGAGUUAUUUGUUUAAAAAUCGAUUUUCAAUUCUUAUUAUAUGCUAUCAUAUUGUAUACUUCAAAUUUAAUUGUUCAUACUUAUUUUGAUAGAAAACAUAAAACAUUGUAAAGUCUGUAAUAAAAUACCAUAGGCACGAGUAUAAAAGUCAGACACCAUAAAACAUUGUAAUUCUUAUUAUAUGCUAUCAUAUUGUAUACUUCACAUUUAAUUGUUCAUACUUAUUUUGAUAGAAAACAUAAAACAUUGUAAAGUCUGUAAUAAAAUACCAUAGGCACGAGUAUAAAAGUCAGACACCAUAAAGAAAACAUAAAACUUCGAUAUGUCAUUAAUAAUACACCUAGGCUCGAGUGUAAAGGACAACAACCAUUUGAUAAUAUAGAACAUUGUAAUGUCUUUAAUAAUGCACGUCGGCUCGAGUGUAAAUGGAUAGUCGUCAUUAGAAAACGUAGAACAUUUGUAAUGUCCUUUAUAAUAACACCUAGGCCCGAGUGUAAAGGACAGGUAUGUUAGAACUUAGUUAGUCUUAGAUACUACUUCUCCUAGGCGAGAAGUAAAGAGUGAUCUUAAAGAUUGGAGACACGUCCUCUGUAACACGUCCCGUGGCACGAGAGUGGAGGACUACCCCUGUAACCAGAAUCUCUGAACAUAGGAGAGUGUGACUUGAGUGUAUAGAUCUAUACGGGACUGACAAUCCCGCACCUGGCUGCUAGCUACAGCCGAACCGAAAGGUUCAAGGGUGACGAAAGUCACAAAAAGGAUACUGGCCACGACUCGAGUCAUAUCUAGUAUGAGUAUGGUUAAGGACUCGCAAUCUAGAUUAUUAACGCUUUAGACUCAUUUACUAGCUUUAUGUACGUAGUAAAGCUAAUGCACAUUUAGUGAUAAUCAGAGUUGGUAAUGGUACACACACAUAUUCAGGAAAACAUGGGGUUUUCCUAUGGAUAACAAUGAACAUAAUCAGAACUGGUAACAGUUAGCACACUCAAAAUUGGUAAUAGCACACACACACAUUCAGGAAAACAUGGGGUUUUCCUAUGGAAAAUAAUGAACAUAAUCGGAAUCAGUAACAGUUAGCUCACACAGAAUCAGUAAUAGUUCACACUUUCAUACAUAGGAAAAUAUAGGAUUUUCCUGAGUAACAGUAGUUUGUAACCAGAAAAGUGUAAUAAGUUAAAUAACUAUACUUUACUAAAUCAUUUGAACAAUCAUGUUUUUAUUGUACAUCUUUUACAUUACAAUUUGGAUUUGGUAUCUAACUCUUAAGAAAAUAUGGGAUUUUCUUGGUUAACCACUUUUUCAGGAAACUAAAGGAACCCAUUCUUUUCAUAAAACAAACCGCUUAUGAACUCACCAGCUUUAUGCUGAUUUUCAAACCGCUUGUAUUCUCAGGUCCGCUAUAGACAGGUACCCGACGAUCUUUUUUGGUGAAGACGGAAUGCGUAGAAGAUUCGUAUUUCUUUUGUUUAAACUAUGUAUCUAUGAAACUUGUACUACUUUACUUUUCAACUAAUGUAAUGAAAUCUAUGUAAUGUAAUGUUUUGUGUUUACUUUGCUUACUAUGUACAUUGGUUAUGAUAUUCCCAUGAAGUCACCUCCACCCCGAGAUGUUUCCGCCUUCGGUUUCGGGGUGUGACAAAUAUUAUUUGUCCAACUAUUAUGAACCUUAGUUUUUAGAAAACUUAGGUUAAAAUGCGAACCUGAAAGAAGUUAUAAAGAACCACAAAUAAGACUUUUGGAAGAUCACUAGAAUCUUCUUGCAAUAGUGUCAAAGAUAAAGAAAUAAAUCAACUAUAUCUGGGAAAUUAUGUGAUGUCUCUACGAAGACAUAAAUCAGUUAAUCCCGGGCAAAGAUUUCUUUCUUCGAAGUCAAGAGACACUAAGAAGUGUCUGUGUGAUUUCCCGUUGAAAUACGAUCAGAUGUCUUAUACGAAAGAAUGAAAGGCUUCUUUUAUUUCGUCUCAUUAGGUGGCUAAAUCUCCAUUCGAACAACGAACUUCAUAUAAGAACGAAAGUCGAAUGAAGUACUCGUGUGACCAGUUUAGUCACAUGAACGAGUAGGUUCGUGAUUAUAUUGGUGACAAGAUAAAACUUUUGAAAUCUCAGACAAAAAUAAAACUUGAUCCUUUGGGAAGAAGUGACUUGGUAAUAGAACACUUCAUAAAGAUCACGCAAAACAAAUGAGAUUUCUUGGUACAAGCUACAAAAGUGGCUAUCACUAAUUCCAUGGUGAAAAUAUAGAACUUGUAAUUGUUCACUGUCAAUUCAUGUAAGUGUGUUGGAUUGUGGGUUUCACUUAGUUCGUGGUGUACGAAGCUAAGAUCAUGAACAUAGAUGUUUCGUAACCAUAAACCUCAGUGGUAUAGCUGAGAGUUUCAAGGGUUACAUUUAUGAGUGUGAAGAUAUAUGGAGAAGAGUGAAGGUGGUUAAAGAACUGAAAGUACCUCUGCUAAACAAAUGUGACCAAGCAGAUAACUCUUAACUCAAUAUGAGAAGAGUAAGGUUGCUCAUGUUGGAUUAAUGUCUAAGUCCAUAACUAUAAUUGGUAAGACUUGACCUGAUCCGGCAUGGUCCAUUUGGGUUGCAUGACAUCGGGACAAUUGGUUAGACAAGAUGAGGAAAAAGGAUACUAAUGAUUUAUAUUAAUAUAUUAUAAUUUCUAAUAUAUUAAUAUAUAAUCAUACUAUUUAAUUAGUAUUGAUCUAGAUUUAAUUUAUAAUUAAUUAAGUGAUCAAAAGGAACUAAUUAAAUAUGGACUCUUAGAUAUAUAUGUGUGGUGGGCCAAGUUCAUUUACGUUGGGCUAAGCUUUCAUGGAUGGUCCAUGGAGUGUUUAACCCAUGGAUCAUAUGAAAUGAAAGGUCAUGGGUUAAACCCUAGUCUCCACACUAUAUAAAGAUGUCCUUGGUUGGUGAAAUUGGCACAAGUGUGGGUACACUAAGAGGGCUAGCCGAUUUCACUAGAGAGAACCAAGUAUCCUUAUUCUCAAGGUUAUUCCAAGUGUUCAUGGUGUUGUGUGAACCAUUUGAGGUGUCACACUUAGGGCACUAGGCACUCAAGCUUCAUGAAGACAAGUUACAACAACAAGGUAUGUAUUCUAUCUAUUUUAUUACCUUAGUAUCAACGUUUUGGUAUGCUAGUUAGGAUAAUACCUUGGAUAUUCAUAUUUGUAUGUAUAAUAGAGAAUACAUAGAUCCAAGGUAUUUAGGGUUGCAUGUACACUUAGGAGUGUUAGAAUGCUCAAAACCCAACAGUGGUAUCAGAGCCUAGGCUUGUUUUCUUAUUAUACUUGCAAAUUUAGCUAAAAAAUCAAAUUUUGUUGCUGUCUGCACACUAGAAUCGCCAAGUCCAUGAAGGGAAUCGACAAGUCCAAGGAAAAAAUCAUCCAACUCACCGAGUUGGUUCAUGCACUCGACGAGUUGGACCCCCUGAUAGCAUAUAUUUGACUGUUUUGGCUGAAAUUUGACUAGGAACAUUACCCUAAGCUGUUUUUGACCUUAUAAACUUGUUUUUAAUGUGGUAAUGUUCAUGCUAAUCCAAUUUCAAAGAUAAUUGUCAAUAGAUUCAUGUUUUGUAUUAGUUUAAAAGUUAUGCUAAUUACAUGAAAAAGUUUGAUGUGAAUUAUCUUUUUUCAUAUGAGUUGCUUAGAUUAAUAGAAAAUUUAAUUGAUUAUGUGUCUUUAAUCCAUUUUAAUCUAAGAGUUGAUCCUAGAAUAUGUUUAUGUAACUUGUCCUCAAGUUACAUGAAAGGUCACAUUUAAGUUUCUUAAAACUCAUAAAAGUUGGCAAAGGUUACAAAAUGAAGAGUCUUGUCCUCAUUAAAUGAUUUUAUGACUCCAUAACUUGUCCUCAAGUUAUGGAGGUUCAAGAGUCUUUUCAUUAAAUAAUAAGAAUGUGUAGCCUUAAAUAGUUCCAUAAGUUACAAAAGAAGAAGAGUUACAUUCUUUAAUAGUUUAAAGUCUUCCAUAACUUGUCCUCAAGUUAUGGAACUUGAAGAGUUUUAAAUUAAAACUACUUUGAACUCAUAAGUUAUGGAUAACUACUAGAAAACAGGCCUUUAAUGACGCGCAAACAAUGACACUCGCUGAUAGAAGACGCACAUUUGUACGCGCCCUAAAAAAUAAUGUCAGUUUUGCAAAAUUUGAAGGAUAGAGGACACGUAUUUGUGCGUGCCUAAAAUUAGUGUCAGAAAACAAAAAAAAAGGUAAUGCGGAGGGCGCCUUUCAUAAAAUGUGCGUCGUCUAAAUGUGUUGCUUUAUAACAUUUUAAUGAAACACGCCUUUUUAAUGGGGAUUUCACCCGCCUAUCGAAUCCCAAAAAUUAAACCCCCUGCCUCUUCCAAUUAGCAAGAAAAAGCCCUAGGAUUUGGUCUUCAUCAUCAUCUUCUUCUUCUUUAUAGUUAUCAGUCAAAAAUUAAGCAACAUUCUUGAUUUAGAUCGAUAGUUCACUACAGUUCACUAAGACAAAUUGUGAGCGAACCUAGGGUUCUUGUUUAACAUUCUCUUCUUCUUCUUCUUCUUCUUCUUAUUCUUCUUCUUCUUCUUCCCCGAUAUCUUAAUUUUUCGUGUAACACCUACAAUUUCUUUACUUUUCCAUUAUUUCUUAUAACAACAUUGAUUAGUUUCUCUAAAUUGAAUACAAAUUUUUGUUUUGUGAAGAAUUAUAUCGACUCAAUCAAUGCGUACGGUCCCAUCUGGUAAAUGUCUAAACUACCCCUUCACCCUUGUUACAUGUUUAUCUCUCUCUCUCUCUCUGUAUAUAUCUUUCUUGUUUUGAUGUUUGUGUAAUGAUUUUUCAGGAUUCUAGUAAAUUCUAAGCCAUGAAAAUUAAGUUAACAAAUACUUGUUUAGGUGAAUGCUCUGUUAUCUUCUUUAGAGAUCGAUAAUCAUGGGGGGUUGGUUAGGGAGCACAUGCCUGGUAGAUACGCAAAACUGGAUCAGUAUUGGGGGGAGUCGCAAGUCAUGGGGCCCCUUGCAGAUGGAUGGGCUGAUGAAUUUUCCCAACGACUGGGCAGAUGAAUUUGGUCGCCAGGUUGGUGAAGCGAUUCUGGAAGAUGAUUCUGCUGAUAAUUGGGUAUCUACAUAUGACGAGAAACUUCUAUCCUCUUUUCUCCACAUAAAACAAUCUGCUGUUUUAAUAAUCAUUUCAACAAAACCUGCUUCCCUUGUAUAUAAGUAACCUUAUAAUUCCUCCUCAUAUCCAGAACCCUUAAUAUUCACCCCAAGGCAUAUUUUUUAUUUUGCAAUAAGCACUAAAUAGAUGUCUAAAGUCUGAUUGUGCCAGACAUUGGAUAGAUUAACGUGUUAGUUACUGCUACACAUCCAAUUAUAGAAAAGGGUAAUAUGAGAAAAUAAAUAACAUCUUAUUAGUGGAGGGGCAUUUUAGGUAUUUUCUUUAGAAUGCUUAUAAAGGAGUAGUAGAUGGAAGGAGUGUUAUCUUUUGUCAAGUUCUAGUUCUGGUCUUGGAACCUUUGGGAGAAUCUCUAGCAAAUCAUUAGGGGUUUAGUUUUGCUGAUUUGAGUGUUUAAUCAAUUCUUCGAGUAAGUUUUGUUAUUUGUUCCUUCCUGAGUAUUGAUUUCAUCUUCUAAGUUGUAAGUGAGUUGGUAGCAGUUAGCUUUCUUGUUCAUUAAGUUGUCAUUUUUACUGAAAAACAUCUUAAUCACCUAGACAGACUAUAAUAAAGUCUGAUUGCCUCUCUCUUAACUUAUUGGAAAAAAGAUAAUCGGAGGAGAUGAAAAAAGAAGAAGAAGGACAAGACAACGUAAUCACUUUAAGUUUUCCAAAUUCAUUAAUGCUUGCUGAUUUUGACUUUUGAGUUAAGUUGUAAACAUUCUAACUCAUACAACAUACCUGGACUAACAUGACCUACCGCCUUGCAUUUAUGGCCGCCUCAACACCCCCUUUCCUUGAGUUGAGAAACACUCAUUUCCUUUCGGUGUAGAAGUAAAACUAACUUGUAUUCCUUCCCCAACCUGUUACUGACCUCAUAUUCCUUCUUAAGCUAUUAGUUUCCUAUUAAUUCCUAGCCACGUAGCCUGAAAGAAGUGGGAUGUUUUAGUUGCUACAUAAAAAUAAGAUACAAAUUCAAGGAGAAGAGGUCUAGAAAAAGUACAAGAUAAUUCCUACUAUAAUAAUAUAAACAACACGAUGAUACGAGUAAAAGUGAAUAAGAAAAUAAAAUUCGUCAUCUGGUGGUUGACGUUGAAUAAUUUAUGUUUCCAAAAUGUAUUUGAAGUCCUUGAGAGUUGAGUGAGUUGGAGCAUAGAAGCAUUGGAAGAAUAAUUAUAUUUAUUAUUGGAGAAUGGAUUGGGUAAAUUGGUAUUGUUUUUGUAGGUACUUAAACGAACAAGCUGUUAUGAAGCAGAAAUCUGAGAGUUCAAGGGGGCUGUAUGUAUUUUCUGAUUUAAAUCCUUAUGUUGGGCAUCCUGAUCCAUUGUGGGAAGGCCAGGAGCUGUUCCGUAAAGGUUUGUUAAGUGAAUUUUCACACCAACAUGAUGGGGACCCGAAUGCUUGGGCUUUAUCCUUUGAAUGACAAAAUGUUGCUGGGGGUUGGGCUUCUGAAUUCCAACAUGUUAUUGAGCUCUUUUACUUCAAUUAUUAAAAUAAUAGUCGAAUGUUGACUUACUAUUAAUUAUUAUGUUAUUGAGCAUAACCAAGUCAGGGUUAUAAAAGGUAUUUCACAUAAGAGAUCAGAUUAUUAUAGUAAUUUGAUGAGAGGACUGUGUGGUUGGCAAUGCCUUAAUGGAUGGAUGAAUUAGUUGCAUCACAUGUUCCCUGUUUAUAUCUGUAAUAAUAUUUAGUAGAUUAAUGGAUUUGGGUUUCAGUAACUAGAAUUUUCUUUUCUGUUUGCAGUUGAAGAGUUGUUAAUGAAAUUUGAAGCUGAACCUAAAGAAAGGGCAUAUAAGAAGUAAAUGGAAUGGAAGCCCAUUAAAAUCAGAAUAUAAGAAUAGUGUAAGUAAUACAUACCUGUACGUAUUCUGAUAUCAAUAUUCCUUGGACGUAAAGCAGAACCAAAACUACUAGUGCCAGAGGCUGACCUUGUCACAACUACAUUUGGAGGUGGAGGUGGAUGUGUGGUUGUUCCAAAACUCGUGCUAGGUUGAAAAGGUAGAGGUUGCACCAUGAUUGGAUUUGGUCUGGAUGUUGAUAUGAAAACAGCAGGUCCAUCAUUCACCACUGCAUCACUCUACAACAACAAGGUAAUAUAUAUAUAUACAUAUAUAUAUAUAUAUAUAUAUAUAUAUAUAUAUUGGUUUUUGUUUUUAGUUAAUUAAUAUAAGAAACUUGGAAACAUAGUUAAAAGUUAUGAAAACCCAUGGGUGACUGUCCCAAUCGUAGUGUCAUGGUCGUUCGUCCAAGCUCCAACAGAAAAGCACCCAAAUUCUGCAACAAAGCACCUGACCUCAAAGUAUUUGACUGCAUCCUUAACCAUGUCACAGGAUCACUUACAUUGUUCUGAUCCCCUAAUUGUCAUGUCAAUUGCCGCAACCACAAAUCAUCAACAUAACCUUGAUAGUUAAAUUUAGGAAGUUUAGUUUAGUAGAUAAGAAUAAGAUGCUAUCAAGCAUUCUCCAACUUCUUCAAUCAGCAAUUGUCUUGUAGACUGUGUCACUUCUCCCAGGGCUGCUGGUGUUCGUAACCCUCCCUGACCAACACCAAAUUCAGAAUCAAAUCAAUUGCCUCUUACAUAUUCACUUCAUCACAAAAUACACCCACCGCUAUUAUUCUUUUUGCUACUCUUUUUAUGUAUAAUCUUAGUAUGUUUUGUUCUCAUAUUGUUGCUAUUUCACAGAUGACGAAGAUAAUCGUACAUCUGUAGAUUUAGCUGCCCCUUAUUGGGUUAAGCCAAAAAACCUAAGUUAAUGUAAUCAAGACAUUGAUAUAUGAAGAAGCGUUGUAGUGGCAUUCUUUCUUGAACUCGAAUAUGCUACAAGAGCUUGUAUGUAAUUUGAAUAAUUUCUCCUUUCUGCUUAGGUUAAGUGCAUGAAAUAACAACAUAUUUUCAUGGAUUUUUUGUUUACAUUGGUAUCCCUCUUCAGUUUUUUCUUAUUAUGGGGGUUGGAGUUGGAGCUUGAGCUUGUCAAUGUCACAGGGGCUGCAAAGCCUACUCGGAAAAUAAGGUUUGUGACUUGUUUCUUAAGUUGCCUACAUAAAUUUGUUGUGUUAUGUAGUAAUAAAUAUAUUUUUUAUAAUGACAAUAAUAACUAUGAAUAUAUUUUAUACUUGUUGCCAGAUCUGAGCAAGACAAGGAAUUAGAAUAGGAAGUUAUGGGCUCUGGCCUAGCUGGUGAAUAAUCUGCAGCCGAGAGUAUCCAAGUCUAGGUAAUUAGUAGAUUGGACAUUUAUGCUGCUAUGUUUUCCUUAUAAGUUAGUGGCAUCAGUUAGUGGUCUAUGAUGUAUGCUAAUAUAUUGGUUUUAAUGUAGCAACAUGAGAUUUAAUAGAUAGUAGUUGGAGUUUUGAUGCAUACAUAGAAUUAGACAAGAGAAGAGUGGGUCUUUUAAUCUGUUUUACUACUCCUGUUAUAUAUCCGUAGUGUGAUGUUUUUUUUGUUCUGCAAUGCGUUACAUGGCAUGGCAUUUUAAUCUGUUUUACUACUCCUGUUAUAUUUUUUUGACGUUCAGAUUUCAUGUUCAUGUAGCAGGUGUUUGAUUUCGGUGCAUCACUCUCUUGGCCUGGACAAAAGAAAUCUUGACAGGUGACUACUUUUUAACUUUUCUCUUUUCCUGAUAUAUUAUAUCUUUUUCUGUUGAAAUGAUCAAGUAAACCUAUCGCAAGGCAAAACAAAUACUAAAAGGUGGGUUGCUAUUGAUGAUUUCUAGUUCUGUUAUCUUAACUUAUAUACUUACAUAUAACUACAAACUAUACCCAUAAUUCAUAAAUCUCUUCACAAAUUACAAUUAUUUUUCUAUUUUUUAUAUAAUAGACAUGCAUCCGUUUUGGAGAAUACUUGCAGAAAAAACAUGUCAUUUUAUAAGUUACAUAAAUAAAAAUGGUUAUGUUAGUAUGUUACAAAAUUCCAUUCCAUGUGCAUGAUGGAAUGAAAAAAAACUAACGUGAUGUGUUAUUUUUGACUAUUUGAUUUGAAAUUCAUAUUUUAUAUUUUCCAAAGAAGUUAAAUAUGUUUAUUUAGAGAUAUAUCUUUAUUUCAUAAAAAUACAUUUUGUUCAAUAGAGAAUCUAUGGAGAGGAUGGUGGAAGCUUCUGCUUAGGAAGCCAAGGAUGUGAAUCAUGUUUGGUAAGCUGCACAGGUACACACCCAAUCACAAGCUCCAAAUUCAGACAACAACUUAUCCCUUUCAGACGACUCACAUGCUCCAGAGCAUGUUGAUACAGAGGGAGACGUUAGGCUUCACCCUAGAGUUGUAUGUAUUUUUUAUUUUUUAUUUUUAAAUACAUGGGUGUUAUUUUUUAUGACAAAGAAGUGUUAUUUUUUAUUAAUAUGAUAGGAUGCAGGUUGUAGUUGCUAAAGAGACUAUAGGAAACCUUGGUGGAUUGGUAAGACACUUAUUCUUGGAUUAAUUUGAAAACGAGAGUAGACGAAUGAUUCCUACCCAAAAUGAACUUUCCUAUCCAACCAAAAAUUUCACUAGGCAAAAGUCACCUCAAGGCCUGCACAAAAAAGUAAGUUUACAACUACUUUUCAUAAAAAAGUGUAACCGCUAGUUGCUAGUAUGUAUGUUUGGGAAAACUUAUGAUAUGAUGUAUUUGCAUUGCAAGUUAUAUCUAAUUUGAUUAGGUCUCGAAGAUGGAAACCUCCAGUUAACAGGAGGUUUUUCCUUGAUUCAUAUGAAGUAGAAGAGCUGAAUAAAGUUGAAAUAAAGUAAAAAUAAGAAAAAAAUGAAGUGGAUAAUCUAAUCCAUUGAAUACUUGACUGUGGAUUUAUUUACCAAAUGCUUAAAAUAACAAUGAAUAAUAUAUGAGUGAUUUUAUGAUAUGUUUGUUAUGCAGGAGAAAACUUGGAAAAAUGACCCUAGAUAACUGAAUUAACGAAUCAGGUGUGUUUUUUAGAGUACUUAAAACUCAUAUGACUGGAAUUCCAUAUUCCAUUCCAUCAUGGCAUGUUUGUUUGCUAAAUCAAUGGAAAUCAGUUCCAUUCUUUCUUUUUUUACUAAAAGACCAAAAUAUCCUCAUUAUAUGUAUUGAAAUAAUAAAUAUAGAAAAAAUAAAACUUACAAAUCAUUCAAUUUUAUUAUUGAAUUUCAUUCCAUCCGUCCAACCAACCAAACACAUUUCUUUUUGAUCCUGAUUCCCUCAAAUUUCAAUUCCUCUGACAGAUUCCAAUCCAAUUCCAAUUCCUUUUUAUUAACACAUGUGGUGUAUUGAAUUUCACUAUGCUCCAGGUUUUCUAUUUCUCUUUUUUCUAAUGAUCAAGAGUGAGUCCUUGUCCCGCCUUAGAUUGGCAGCAGUAAUCCGGCUUUAUGGUAUCAACUACUCUUACUUUUCAUUCACUUUGAUGAUUUUUAUAGGCUUUCAUUUGUUUAUAAAAACAUAUGUUUAUGUUUUACUUAUUAAUGCAGUUUGCUUCCGGUGAAAUUUCAUUAACCAUGGUUUGGGACCCGGAUAAAGAGCAACUUGUGAGCUCUAUUCCCCCAACAUUAGAUUGCAGGUUUUCAGCUUUCGUAGAUUCACUUUGACCUUAACCCCCAUUGUUUUAUAUUAUUUGAUAUUGAUUCUAAUAUAUAUUUUUUGUGUGAAUAUGAAUGUAUUGGCUCUUUUAGGCUGCUUCUCAAGUUCAUGGAGGUCAAUACAUACAAAACUCUUAUUGGUAGAUCAUUUUGAUUCCACUCUCAUACAUACAUACCAUGUGUAUUAUUAAUUAGUUGAUAUUGAUAUUGUACAACUGACAUGAUUAUUGUGUAGGAUUUCCGUGUUGUUCUUCAUUAAGAGUUGGGAUUCAUAUUUAAGCUAAUAGACAUGAUCAUUGGUUGGAUACAUGAAGGGUUUCAGAGCUUCUUAUGACAGCUUAAUGAUGAGUUACUUAAAAAAGAAGGUGCCCUUUAUAGUAAUGUAGUAUUAGGUUAUAUAGUUAGGGAAAACCUCUUAAUAACAAUGUACAAUCAGAUCCCUUUAAUAUCAAUGUAUUACAAUGUAUUAUAUUUUUUGUAUAUGGUAUUUUAUUUUUUGUAUAUGGUAUUUUAUUUUCUAUUAUGAGACAUGAAAUGCAAAUUUAAUUUGAAAAUCAGUAAAUCUAUAAAUAAUUUUUUUUAAAAAAAAUUAAAAUUACUAUACGCAAAAAUGUGUGCCGUCUUCAUUUAUGACAUGGCCUUUCUUGACAUGGGCUUCCUUGAUACGCAUUGCGUGUCAUAAACACGCGUGUCGUAAGGUUAUGACACACAAAUGCGUGUUGUCUUCCUUUAUGACAGGGCCUUCCUUGAUACGCAUUGCGUGUCAUAACCGCGCGUCGUAAAUACGUGUCAUAAAUGCGCGUCGUAAAUGCGCGUCGUCUCUCUUUAUGACAGGGCCUUCCUUGACACGCAUUUGCGCGUCGUCUGAGCGUUUUACGACGCGCAAUGAGCGUCGUAAAAGNNNNNNNNNNNNNNNNNNNNNNNNNNNNNNNNNUUAGUAGGCCUCAUUCACGAAGCCGGUCUAUAAGGGGGGUAUAAGGUUACUGCCUAUAAAAUGGCAGUUUAAUGGGUGUCCACUCUCACCCACCGCUUCCUUGACCGGUGGAGGGUCGUUAGCCGAACGGGUAGGACAAGGACUAUAAUUCUCCCUUCAUUAAAAGUAUUAAUGAUAAAUACUAAGUAACUAAACUCUUAAUAAUACCCAAUCUUAGUUACUUAGGAAAAUGUGAAUGUGGUGCUAAUCCAUGAAAUUACACUUUGCACUUUGUUUAAGUCGGUUAGUGGAGCGUGUGUGGUUAACCGACACACUAGCUUGAUUUAACAAGGUAGGCAAAGGGUAACUUAAUGUUUAUCAUAGUAUCGAUGGAGCGUGUGUGGUUAACCGGCACAUCGAUUGAGGGGUAAAUAUUAAGGGUACCAAGUAUAUUUGCAUGGUUAUUCACACCUUGUUUUGUGAUCCUCGGCAUCCCAGUCACAAAACCUGAAGGGCACACUCGAGAUUGAAACAUGCCAUUGAAGAGUUCAAUUAAUCUCAAAAGAAUCUAGGAGUUUCAAAACCAAUUAAAACCUAAUAAUACAUUUUGUUUAUCUUGGUGGAAAUUGGUGAAUCGUCAUUCACUUACCUUCAAAUAUUUUAUAGCUUGGAUUAUGAUAUCCCUCUUCCAAGGUAUAAAAUAGUUUGUUGGGUCCUAGCCUUAAUACUUCUUAUUGGGUGUUAUAUUAAGGACUUUAAAUAAACUAUCUUGAAUAUCUCCCAAAAGAUGUCUAGUUCAGACAUCUAUGAUCCUCCCAAAUCUCUUGGAACUUCACUUCCUCCACCUCCUCCAAUUAUUCUCCCUAACCCACAAGUUCAAGGUCACUCAAGCCCUAUUGGCAAGCAAGGUCUAUAUAUGAUCGCAUCUUGGAGAUAAAGUCACAUAUUGACAAGCCGGGAAAGUUAGGUUUCAAAUUCUUGAGAAAGUUGGAUUUCCAAUCACUCUCUAUGUCACAUAGUGAAUUCCUUUGGGACUACUAUGGAAAAGACUAUGACAUGACCCUUAAUGAUAUUAUCUAUUUGCUUGGUGCUUCUAAAUCAGUAAUGAUUAGGAGGACUAGUAAAGCAAAUUUGAUUAGAAGACCAACUUCCCAAACUUCCAUGGACAUUGAAAAUGGUACAUGGUAAGAUGCAUUGGUUACGAAGCUGCCAAAUUUAACUGAAAGAUCUUCAGGUAAAGUCCACUAUCAAACUCUAUUAAGUUUCUAUUCUGAUAUUCUUGAGACAUGAUGUAAUUGGGUCACAUGUUGUUGUUUUAAGAAUCAAAGAAAAGUGAAGAAACUUAAAGAAAGGAUAUGUUGAAUCUAAUUGCAAAGAUGGAUUUCUAUCGCUUGGUUGAAGAUUGGAUUCUUGAGCUAUUUCCUAGGAGUUAUGAUAGAUUGCUAGGAAACAUGUAAUAGCAUAGUUUUCAUUCUAUGUUGCAUUGUAAGGAAAAGUUUUUCCACAUUUUAAAAUAAAUAAAAGUUUGUUUGACUUUAUUUUUAUCUCCUUACAAUGGCAUUCAUGAAAACUUGAUGUUUGUAUGUUUCUAGCAAUAUAGGAAAUAUGGAUUUGAUUCUUUCAUUUGUGGUAGUGUCUAAAUUUAGCAAAUAAGGAAAGAUUAUCAUCACCAAGUUUCAAUUGGACCGAAACUUUGGAAUCGUGCAAGUUGUAUAGUAUGAUGAAUGAGAACUUUCAAGCAUUAGAAAAUUAAGACUAACUACUUGUUCACAUGGAUGUGUGAGUCAAGUAAAGGACUAAGGGAUCGAGUACAUAUUCGUGUGCACUGGUCAGGACCCCCACAGAAGAUUGACAAGACUAUUCGUCAUGAUUUACUAAAGCUUAGUAAAUAUGGUUAUACUUACAAGUUUAAGUAUAAUUCUGAAGCAUUGGAAAAGAUUCAAUGUAUGGCAGAACGAAUAAGAAGAAUCAAAUUAGGCAGAAGGAUCAAAGUUUCUCAAAUCUGAAAAGAUGUGAGAGUACUUUAGUAUCAUGUUUGUGAUCAUCUUAAUGAUUUAGAAUCAUAUCACAAUUAGUCCUAUAAGGUCAUCUUAGUACAUUCUUAUGACUAAGAAGAGGAGUAAUGAAUUGUUGAAAUUGUUAAAUCAAUAAAAUGAGUCAUACUUUGAUCCAAAAACAAUUCUUAGAGUCAUACUCCAAGAUUGUAAUUUGAGUGAUACAUCUUAAAGAAGGUUUAUUAGCAUUAGUUAAAUGUAAGCGUAAAAGGUUUUCUACUCUUGUACAUUUGAAAUUGGUAAGUUGUGAUGUUUUGGAUAAAACAAAGACAAAUUAAGACCAAUUGUGUGAAGUUUUUGUCUUGAUAAAGAAUCCAAACUAUCUCUUGAAUAUUUGGCAAGUGAGUCUUAUGUGUCAAGAGGAUAGUGGGAGUCUUAAAGAUCCUGGAAGAAUUUCAAGAUCUAAUCAAGAAUAAAAACCUGUAGUUUAACACUAGCACACGACAUGAGGUUUAUAACCUAUCGUGUUGACAUAUUUCUAUUUCUGUGCCCAUUCCAUUUAAAGUUGGCUUUGCAUAUGAGUUCUUAGAGUUCUCAAUUGGUUGCAUAACAACUUGGAAGCAAUGGCAGGCCCUUGAGUUGCCAGGUGACAAGAAAAUAAGAUUGAGUUUAGUCCAUAUGAGUUUCGAUUUGUCAUUAUCCUUGUCUUGUGACUAUGAUUUUGACAAUUCACAUGGAUAAGAAAACAUACACCAUAAAAUCUAAGGGUCUUAAGGUUUCUCUCCGAUUCAUGAAAAUGAUGGUGAGGAAACACUCCACCAAGUAGAUUUGAAGCAGAUAGCAAAGAUCUAAAUAACUGAGACUAUGAUUACGACAUCGCUUUUCAUAGUUCAAAAAUUGUUUAGACACACCUCUGAGCUAUCUAAGAUAACGUGUAUGAUUUUGAUAAAGUCUUAUCAAGGCAAUCUUGUCUCAACAAUCUGAACUUUGGUAAGAAAGUCAGUAAAGUAUUGUCUUCUAGAAGUCCAGCUGAUUUUUUAGUACGUGUCAAAGUUAGUGGGAGCAUACGUGUUAUGCUAAUAAUCAUCAUGUCAGUGGGAGCAUGAUUAUCAUGAUAAGUAUUGCAAGUUAGCAAUGUUAAAUAUAGAAAACAAAAGGUUUCAAUUUGUUGAAAAAGUUGUUUUGCUAUAAUUAAGGGAGAGGAAAUUAUACUUCAUUUCAAUUCUAAAAGGAUUAGAUUGAGAUUUUAAUCAUCUUUAGUCAAGAAUGUAUAUGAAUUUUAUGUUGGUUUGUUUCAACUUAAGAAAAUUCGUAUAUAUUGCAUUCUCAAAAUUCGAUUAAUAUUACGACAUCCCUUUUCAUAGCAAAAUUUGAGAAUAUGGCAAACAAAAAUUAUUAUGGCAAAAGACUCGUCUAUAACCAUGUCUUUAUGUGAAACAUCAUGAAUCGUGUCCCAUUUACUUUGGGUACAAGAUCGAUUACAUGUGCUAUAAUAUUUAUCCUUUCUGAAUUUUUCCGAAUGCCUUGGGGAAUUAAGGGGAAAAUGUAUAGAAUUGGAUAUGACUAAAGUGACUAAGCAAUUGUCGAGGACAAUCUAAGGUUUACCAAAGAUUGGUUGCUCAAGGACAGUUGGAAGUAUACUGUUAAUAUUGGAAGGACCAUAUUGACAUAGUCUGAAAAAAGGCAACUCUUGUUCAGUAGCGGUAGUUAAAAUGGGAAUAUAGAGUUGUCUUAAUAGGUGGAAGCAAUCUGUGUAAGGUUAAACAAAAUUAAUGCAAGAAGCAUGUUCAAAGCAAUGCGCUUUGAAUUUGAGACUUUGUUACCAUGGAAUGAUAUCCAUUGGAAUACUCUGUAAUGUUUUUUGACAAGUCUUUGUGACUUUGUGGAUAAUCGUUACAAGAGAACCAAUGCAUAUAAGUUUAGAAUCGAACAAAUUUCGGUAAAAGGCAUGAAUUUGGAAUUCUUGCAUUGUCGUAAGGACUUGGGACUGUGAAAUGAGAAUCAUUGGAGUUAUGUUCAAUCGAUUUAUUUCACAAUGUAAAGAUCAUAGACAAACUUGGUAUGCAUACUUGGAGUAUGGCAUAACUAAUGUUUAGACAAACAUAGUGUGCAUACUUGGUGUAUGGCAUGACUAGUCUUUAGAAAACAUAGUGUACAUGCUUGGAGCAUGGGACAACUAUUGUUUUAAUUCAAGAAUAAAGUUGAUAGCUGAAACAGUACGCAAUAAAUAAUGUGUAAUCAUAUGUUGAUAAAUAAAAGGUGUUUUGUUUAUAUUCAUAAGUUCUGAGACCAUAUUGGAUCCAAUUAUUCUUGUGUUUCAUUUUUCAUGUUUUGACUUCCAAAAUAACUAGGUCGCUCUUCGUGAAUGACUAAGUUAUUCAAACCAUCCACAGUCGGUCAUAUGUUGGAAGUAGAUGUGAAUCAAGACUGUCAUGGGUUGGGCUUGUAGACGUCUAAGAUGUUGGACAAGGUGGUGCUACAACACUCAUGAGUGCUCAUAAGUUCUGAGUAUUGGAUUUAACCUACGCUCAUUUGACUCACUUAAUGGAUUUUAUCACGUGUGAUCGUGAGACGAUAAUAUCUUAUACUCUUCAAACCUAGAGAUAUGAGUUGUUACUAUGAGUUGGUUGUACAUUGAUUGUAUGAAAACGCAUUGGUAACUCCAUGUUAUAAAACUUGCCUUUGUGUAAGAUUUAACAAGUAGUAGAACAAGCCAUAUGUAUCGAAGUUUAUCCAUUCCUUUUGCCUUCGGGAUAAAAGCGAUAUAUGUGGGCCCCUCGAUGAUUUAAUGAUGAUACAUGUGAGUGCUUGGCCAUGCCAGGACGGAUUUGAUUUGUUCAAUCAGUCAGUCAUCAUGAAUCGAAAAUUGGGAAACAACAAAUGGACAUAGAGAAUGAUUAUAAUCCAUGUCUCAGUCCAUAUGAUAUCUAGAAUGGAGGAAUUUAUGAUCCCUUAUCUAAUGGACAAGUCGUUGACAAAGGUCGGAGAUCAUCGGCAAGGUUAGAGUUCGACGAAAGCUUUUGAGAGUUACGAUUGCUAGUCGGGUUAUGAAGUCAUACUUGUAAUAAUAGUUUUAGACUUAUCCAAGUGGGAGACUUUUGGAUUAAUUUCUAAGUCCAUAACUAUAAUUGGUAAGACUUGACCCGACCCAACAUGGUCCAUUUGGGUUGCAUGGCAUCGAGACAAUUGCAUAGACAAGAUGGGGAAAAAGAUACUAAUGAUUUAUAUUAAUAUAUUAUAAGUUCUAAUAUAUUAAUAUAUAAUCAUACUACUUAAUUAGUAUUGAUCAAGAAUUAAUUUAUAAUUAAUUAAGUUAUCAAAAGGAACUAAUUAAAUAUGGACUCUUAGGUAUAUAUGUGUGGUGGGCCAAAUUCAUUUACGUUAGGCUAAGCUAUCAUGGAUAGUCUGUGGAGUGUUUAACCCAUGGAUCAUAUGAAAUGAAAAGUCAUGGGUUUAACCCUAGUCUCCACACUAUAAAAGAUGUCCUUGGUUGGUGAAAUUGGCACUAGUGUGGGUACACUAAGAGGGCUAGCCAAUUUCACUAGAGAGAACCAAGCAUCCUUAUUCCAAAGGUUAUUCCAAGUGUUCAUGGUGUUGUGUGAACCAUUUGAGGUGUCACACUUGGGUCACUAGGCACUCAAGCUUCAUGAAGAGAAGUUACAACAACAAGGUAUGUAUUCUAUCUAUUUUAUUACCCUAGUAUCAAUGUUUUGGUAUGCUAGUUAGGAUAAUACCUUGGAUAUUCAUAUUUGUAUGUAUAAUAGAGAAAACAUAGAUCCAAGGUAUUUAUGGUUGCAUGUACACUUAGGAGUGUUAGAAUGCUCAAAACCCAACAGCUAAUGACUAAUGUGAAUUUUGCAGCCUAAUUGGGAAGAAAUGAAUGGUAGAUUCGAUUCAUUAAGGGUUCACAUAGAGUCGAUUGAGGCUUUGGACAACAUGAAACAACAUGAUUCUAGGGACACUUAACUAAUACAAAGAUAAACAAUUUUAUACCCGCCCCAUUACUCGAAUUGAUAGAAAUCACGAACAUACUCCAUGGGUUUUAAGUGUCUAACAUUUUUGGUAUUUUAUGAUAUGUGAAAAAUAAAAGAAACAAGAAAUAAGACUCAAAGAACCUUAUUUUUGUAUUUUUGUUUUUUUGAAAUGAAAUAAAACAGAAACAAAUUGUUUUUUUUUUUUUGGAUUUUGUGUUUUUCUGAAAAAGAUAUAAAAACAGAAAAGAUAUAAAAUUAAGAUAAGCUAAAGUAUUGAUAUGUGUAUUUUUAUAUAUAUUUUUAUGCACUUUAUCUUAAUAUUUUGGCCUUAUUUAUUCUAUUUUAGAACUAAAAAGUACUCCUAAUGCUUUGAAUUAUGUUUUGCAGCUAUUCGUUGUCAAUAAAGCACAAAAGAAAAGACUGAAGCGGAAACCGGACUUAGAAGCUAAAAGAAAUCAAAAAUAAUGAAGAAGUGGAUUUACGCCCCGCGUCCAGAGUAAUUACACCCCGUGUAAUGACCAAAGCGACUUACGCCCCGUGUACCUUAAGGUUACGCCCCGCGUACACCUUUGCAUCGGAUAUACUUGAUCGCGUGAUUAUCUUGAGUACGCGCUGCGUAAUCCUAAGUACGCCCAGCGUACUUAGGUCGGCCACAAAGAUUAUAAAUAUCGAUUUUUAGCUAACCAGGAAGGAGAUUCGACUUCUAACCUAAUUUAGUCGACAAUUAACUUCUGUUAAGCCGUUUUGAGGGUCUAGAAGGCGGCCGGAAGGCCGUUAAGCUAACGGGAGCAGAGAUCGGAAGGAUUGGAGAGCGGAUACAUGUCGAUUAUCAUAUGGAUUGCUGACGUGACCAUGUUUAGCAUUCCAUUGUGGUACUUUUCUGUAUUUAGUUUCUGAUUUGGGUGUAAAAACCUUUUACUUUGUGUUUAUGAUUGAAUGAAGCUUUGAUUAUUAGACUAAUUGCUAUAUUAAAUAGUUUAUUUGUGUUUAAUUUAUCUUGCCAAGCUUGUUUAAAGAUCCUCAUGUGUUAAUGAUGAUUAUUUUCUGUUAAUUGUUAAGUGAAUUGAGUUGCUUGAACAUCUGCUUGAUUGCUUGUCUCUUAUGAUUUUUGAUGACCAUCGAGAUUAUAAGCCUAGAAAUAACGAAUGUGAAACUAGGAUUAACUUGAGAAUAGGUAAGUUAAUGUGUGAGCCUUGUUUGAUGACCAUCAACAAGAGGUUAAUUAAAUGUUUAAAUUGAUUAACUAUAUUUACAAGUCUUGCUUGAUACGAACUGAAUACUAGGAAGCAUGUUAGUUUAAUCAACUGAUCACUGUUUGAAUUGACUUGUUUGCUAAAGGAUUAGUUAUAGUGAACAUGAAUCUAAUCAUUUUAGGAAUCGGUGAACAUGAAUAAAUGAAUUUGUGUAUGCAAUUGUCUAUGUUUUUAAAGUGUAAUUUGUUUAAACCAAAGUACCUGAAGAGAUUUGCUUUCCUGUUAGUUUAUCGAGGGUUGUUAAUUAAUUGUUAGUUUGAGAUUUAUUAAAUUAUUUCUUAAUUCUUUUCGUGUGACCUGUAACCUAUAAUCAAAUAUAUUAAAUUAAUCCACCGUUCCCUGUGAUCAACACCCGACUUACCUAAGCUAUACUGUAAUCUGACUAGGUACAUUGCCUAUAAGUGCAUAGAUAGUCUAAGUUUGUUAGGUUAUAAAUAUUAAAAUUAGUGGGUACUUUUGUGCACAUCAAGUAUACAUAAAGUACAAAAGGGUAUAAGAAACCAAACCACGAAUGAACAGUGAAAUGCGAACUACUACGAACAUUCGCACCAAUUCGAAUCAACAAAGAUAAUUACGAAUGAAUAGUUGUCUGCGAAAUACUACAAGCGUUUGCACCAAUUCACAGUUACUUCUUUAUUAGUGCAAAAGUGGUUUUGGUACUGAUUCAGCUUCCAUCAUUCUUAUCCCUUGAAGAAUUUUAUUAAAGGUUGUCUCAGGAAGGGCCUUUGUGAAUAUGUCAGCUAACUGAUCAGCGGAUCUUACGAAAUGUAUCUCGACGUUGCCAUCUUCCACGUGAUCCUUGAUAAAGUGAUACCUCAGUGCUAUAUGUUUCAUCUUGGAGUGUUGCACUGGGUUGUCACAAAUGCGAAUUGCACUUUCAUAUUCACGGUAAAGAGGGAUUCGUUUCAUACUCAAGCCAUAAUCACGAAGCUGGCUUUGAAUCCGAAUAACCUGAGAUGUGCAUGAAGCUGCAGCUAUGUGUUCUGCCUCAGCUAUUGAUAAUGAUACGCAUGUUUGUUUCUUGGAUUGCCAACUUACUAAUUUUCCAUCAAGAAAAUGGCAUCCACCAGUUGUGCUUUUUCUAUCUAAGCCACAUCCACCAAGCUCAGCAUCUGAAAAAUCUUGAACGAAGAAGACCGAGUUCGCAGGAUAUCAUAUGCCUAAAGAUGAAGUUCGUUUUAGAUAUCUGAAAAUAUUCUUCACUGCCACCAUAUGAGGUUCGCGAGGGUUUUCUUGGAACCUUGCACAAUAAAAAAUGGAAAACAUAAUGUCUGGUCUACUAGCUGUUAGAUACAUCAAGGAACGAAUCAUCUAACGAUAAAGGGUCAUAUCCGCAGCUGGUUUAUCCAGAGAUGGUGUGAGUUUCGUUCUGAAUGCCACUGGAACCUUCACUUUAGAGUCUCCUACCAUGCCAAACUUAGAGAGAAAAGUUUUCGUAUAUGCUUCCUGAUUAAUGAAAAUACCAUCUGGUCCCUGUCUUAUAUUCAAUCCAAGGAAAAAGUUAAUAGGACCCAUUGAGCUCAUCUCAAACUUAGUUUCCAUCAACUUUUAGAAUUCAAAUGUGAGGCUGGGAUUAGUAGAUCCGAAGAUGAUGUCAUCAACAUAAAUUUGGACAAUAAUCAAGUGGUCUCCCUCUUUCUUACGAAAGAAGGUUAGGUCAACUGAACCUUAUUUAAACUUAGACAUUUUAAUGAAAUGAGUAAGAGUUUCAUACCAGGCUCUUGGAGCUUGCUUCAGACCAUAGAUUGCCUUGUCCAAAAUGUAGCAGUGAUCAUGAAACUUUUCAUUCAUGAACCCUGGUGGUUUCUCCACGUAUACAGUCUCUUCUAAUUCUCCAUUUAAGAAAGCACAUUUAACGUCCAUCUGAAACACCUAGAAAUUCUUAUGUGCUGCAUAUGCCAGGAAUAUAUGAACUGAUUCCAACCUUCCAAUAGGUGCGAAGGUUUCUUCGUAGUCAUAACUCUCUUCUUGGCAAUAUCCCUUAACCACGAGUCUUGCCUUGUUUCAUAUAAAAUUGCCUACUUUGUUCAAUUUAUUACGAAACACCCAUUCCUAACCAACAACUGAUGCUUCAGGUGGAGUUGGAAUUAGCAUCCAAAAUUUGUUUCGUUCGAACUCAUUAAGUUUGUCUUGCAUUGCUUGCACCUAAUCAGAUUGAUCAAGAGCAGUGUUGAUGGUUUUAGGUUCUACCUUGGACACGAACCAAUUAAACAUACAGAAUUCCGGUUUGGAGAAUAAAGUAGUUCGUUUCACUUUUAUUUGAGACCUCGUAAGAACACCUGCAGAAGAUUCACCAAUAACUUGGGUUUUGGGGUGAUCUUUGGUUUAUUUGAUGAGUGGAGGAUAAUUUGGAUCAUAAGAGGGGUCUAAUUUGGCGUUUACAUCUUCGAACUCUGAUUGAACUUCUAAAUCAUCAUUCUCAUCCUUGUUCUCCCCAUUGAAUGACGAAUGAUCUUCUUCAUUAGGAAUUAAGGUGUCCCCUUCAUCCUACGAUGGAAUGUUUGUUUCUUUUGGAGUUCGUUGCUCCCCCUAAGGAGGUGCAUUCGAGUCCGAAUACUACCUCUGGAUUGGAGUGCUCGUGUCUUAAGGUACAUUCGUAGUUGGUGGCUGAUUAUCCAUGUGUUCUAUGGCUUCAUCAAUUAUCUUCUUCAAUUCAUCGACUUUGUUGUUAGCAUCUUUCGUUUCAGAAGAGAUAGCCUUUUCAGGUUCACCAAAUAGAAGCAUGAAUUCUUCAUAAAGAUUAGCCAAUGGAAUAGACAAUGGUUCGUUGGAGGAAAGAUCUCUUUUGCUUGACAAUCAUUCGCUUGAAUCUUCUUUAAGUAAUUAUCAUCAAAUGUGACAUAAUAGGUUUCUUCAAUCCUUUUGGAUCUUUUGUUGAGAACCCUAUAUGCUUUCGAUGUUAGCGAAUAUCCUAGAAAAAUGCCUUCGUCAGCCUUCUCAUCAAAGUUGUUUCGUUGUUCCUUGGAAUUGAAAAAAAAACACCUGGAACCGAAAACAUGAAAGAAUUUGAUGUUAGGUUUUCGUUUAUUGUUGAUUUCAUAGGGAGUAACGAAGAAUCUUUUAUUAAGGAGAGAUCUGCUUUGAGUAAAACUAGAAGUGGCAACAGCAUUAACCCAGAAGUAAAGAGGCAGGUUUGCGAACGAAAGCAUGGUCCUAGCAACAUCACAUAGUGAAUGGUUUCGUCUUUCAAUGACCCCAUUUUACUGUGGAGUAUAGGGGGCAGUAAAACUAUGGGAGACUCCCUUAUCCGCAAGAAAUUUAUCAAAUGCUUGAUUCUUGAACUCCAGAACAUUGUCACUUUGAACAUUGCGAACUACCUUUCGUAGUUGUAACUCUAUGUGCUUCUUAAAAUCUUUGAUCUUAGGAGUUAAUUCACACUUCUAUUUAAGAAAAAACACUCAAGUGAAAUGAGAAAAAUGAUCUACAAUUACGAGAAUAUACUUAUUACCACCAAUACUUUCAAUUACAGAUGGGCCACAUAGAUCGAUGUGAAGAAGUUUGAGUGGCUUAAUAACCUUUGUAUUCACUAUUGCUGGAUGAAUUUUCCUGCUUUUCUUUCCUAAUUCGCAGGCAGCACAUAGAUGAUCCUUGUCAUAUUUCAAGAGGGGAAGACCUCGUACAUGAUCACUAAGAACCAACUUGUUGAUAUCUUUGAAAUUUAGGUGCGAAAGUCUCCUGUGCCAUAAACAACUAUCGUCUACAGCAGCCUUAGCAAGUAAACAUAUAGAAGGCUUCCCUCAUAUAUGAUUGAUGUUUAAUGGAUACAUAUCGCCUUUGCAUUUUGACUUAAGCAGAACAGUUUUUGUCUUCUUUUCGAUAAUUUGUUAUCCUUCAUCAUCAAACGAGACCUUUAAUCCUGUACCAACAACAAACUGUGAAACACUUAUCAAGUUGCGUUGUACCCACACUUGUCAUGCCAUAACCUUUUAUUUCUCCAAGUGCAUUAUUACCAAACUUCACAAGACCACCAUUCUUCAGAUCCCUGUAUUCUAUCAGCUCCUCCUUGCUUCCUGUCAUGUGUCGCGAACAACCACUAUCGAUAUACCAUUCCGUAUCAAACUGUUCGUCACAUAUAACUUAUAAGAAUUAAGCAAGUUUAGGAACCCAAAGUUGUUUGGAUCCACGUGAGCUUUUUGCAGAAAGAGGAAAUGAAACAACAAGAUCGACCAUAUAUGUUCGCUUAAUUAAUGUAUUUUCGUAUUUUCUUUUUACGGUGAAAAAUUUUAUCUUGUUGUUUUGUAUUUUCUUUUCUUCAGAAUCAGAUUGAUUUUGUUUAUCUUUAGUUUGAUUCUUGAUGAAUUCUCUCUUAACUUUUUGAGGGUUAGUAGUCGAUUUCUUAGUUUGAACUUCCAAAUUCGAGACUAUCUUUCCCUUUCCCUUGACAUCUUUGGGUGAUGCAUUUGUGGGAUGAGAUUUUGGUUUAUCAUUGUAUUUCUUAGGAAGAGCGGAUUUAUGAAAAAAGUUCGCCUUUGAUUUGCAGAAGUGGCAAUGUGAACACUGAAUAGGAUUUGCAUGCGAACGAGCUUUCGUACUCUGAUUUGGAGAUUUUUCUCUUCGAACAUAGUUGGAAUUUUGGGAUUGCCAAAAUUUAUUCCCUUCAGCAAGUUGUUCAGCAGACUUGUGAAUAUUCACUUGAGGUUUCGCUUUUCUCACAUGAGUUUUGUCCUUUGCUGACCGAGGUUUGGUUUCGCUUUAAACUUCCUUGGUACCAUUUGGGCUACCCUUUUCGAAUGACGAAAAGUUGUUCAGUGGUUCUGAUACAUAUCUACCUUUAACUUUCCAGCAGAUUCUUUCAGAUAAACCCUUUGUUUCAUCUGCAUUGUCUAUUGGUGCAGACCAAAAGAAUUCAUCACAACCAUCUUUGUUGUCUUCAUUAACGAGGGACGUAAGUUCGACAGUUUGAGUUUUGUCUAGUUCUUCAGUGGAAAACACUUGAUUGGGAACAGUUUGGAUCUUAGGGAAAACAGUUGCUUUUGCUUUUAAUGUUAUUGGUUUAUUUUGAGAAAUACGAUCGAAUUCAGCUGAAUUUUAUGAAAUGAGAGCUUUCACCUUUUCAUGUUCGUUUUUAAGGAAUUGCGAACAGUCAACCUCAUCUUCUUCAGAUAUUUCACUCAUUUCACUGUCCUCAUCGAAUUCAGAAGUAUUUUCAACAUUUAAUUUAUUGUUUGAACUCAAUUUCAAACUCAAUGAAUCAAAUUUUUUUACAUUCUUCGUUUUGAUUUUCAAUCUGUCAUUUUCAUCGAUUAAUUGUAUCAACAUGUCCUUGUGAUAUUUGGACUGAAUGUAUGAUUCAAUUUUGCCAAGUCUAAUUUUAUACGUCUAUGAGGUUUCAUCUGAUGAAACGAUAUAUUCACAUUGAAAACAAUCAACAUCAACUUCAUCUUCGUUUAAUUCCAAAAAUGGCAAGAUCAUCUUAUGAAUUUUCUUACCAAUUUCACAAUCUAAAUGUAAUUGAGUGAUAUUAAAAUAAAGCCUCUUAGCAAUUAAACAGAAAAUGUUUCUUUGCUUUAAAAGCUUCAAAUUGUCUCAUUGUAAAUAAAUAGACUCAUCCUUAGACCUAGAAAGCUCAGACUCAAUCUUGCCAAUCCACAUUAUCCGGUCCUCACUUUUUGAUGACGCACUGCUCAUUUGAUCGGUCAUGUUAGCAUUUGAUAGGCGAUUUUGUUUCAAAAUUUCACUUAUACUUGAAAAGGUGAAUUUUAAAUCGUUUAAUUUAGUUUGAUAAUUAGAUGCUGGAAUAUUAAGAGAUUCAAGCAUGGAAUGUACCUUAUUGAUCAGCUGAUCACAUUCGUUGAUUUGUGUAAGAACUGCCUUCACAGUGAAGCAGUUGUCAUCCCUUCUUUCACUCGCAUCUCUUUGUCCAUCAUCGAUUGUGUACCCUUGCAUUUAUUACAUGCCAUUUGUCACCAUAAAGCAUCUUCCACUUACAUGUGAAUCUCCUUCUUUUGCCACCAAGCUCUUUCCAUGAGUGGAUUUUCUAACUUCUUCAUCUUCUGAAUUAGUGGACCAUAUUUCCACUCCACCAAACUCGUUUUCAUCAUUAUUUCCCUACAAAACCAAAACAGGCAUAACAUUAUCAACUUUCUGUUUUUGCUUGAUUUCCUCAAGCUUGCGAAGAUGGUACGCCUCAUCAUCCUCUCCCUCUUUCUUCUCGUUCAUUCUCCUUAGCAUGCAUUCCUUUGAUAGAUGAUUCUUACCAUGACAAUAGUUGCAAUUAUAGCCAGAAUCACCUGCCACCUUUUUCUCUUUCUUAUCUUCUUCCUUCUGGAAGCUAUCCACUUUAUCCUAUUCGCCUUUCUGAACUGUAGCUUCCCUGCCAAUUUCAAUUUUUGGAUGAAAAGUUUUUCUUUGCGAAUCUCCUAGGAUUUGACACCAUUAGAGCGAACUUUUCAUUUGUGAGUUCACAGUAAAAAAGGUUAGACUUCGCAUCAUCCUCAUCAACUUGCUUUCCCUUUGCAACUAGAGCCAACGUACCCAUGCUUGACACAACUUUCAUUUCUUUAGUAACUUCACUUUCGUGUGACGUCAAGAUCCCUACCAGCUUUGCUAAGGUAUAAUUUCUGAAUUGCUCAUGAGCUUUCAUAUUUGAUACCACUGCCAUCCACUAUGACCUUAAUCCAUUCAUGAAAGUUACCUUUUACUCGAUGAUUUCUCGUCCAAUCCCAUGCUUCAUCAUUCUGCUCAAAAGAUGAUUGAAGCGAUUGAACGUUUGACUCAGAUUUUCAUCAGCCUUUUGUACAAAAGCACCGAAUUUAGACAACAAGAGUGUUUGAGUAGAAUGCUCCAGAUCUACGUCUGUUGAAUAAUACUCGUUAAACCUGUCCCAUAUGGCUUUGGCAGUAUCACAAGUACUAACAAGAUGAAACGUAUUAGCAUGCAAUGCGAAUAUAAUGAUUCUCAUUGCUUCGAUGUUGCUCUGAAAUUUGUCUCUGAUCUUGAGGAACUUCUUUGACAUCAAGAAGAACUCGAUUGAGGUCGGUCUGAGUCUUAAUCUCCCUUCUUGUUCCAGAGGGAACAAAAUUUCCAAUAGUAAUAGCUUGCCAGAUCAAGUAACCAUUGUCUUCUAAACCUAGAACAUAAUCUUCAAAGUGAAGUGCCAGACGUCAUAGUCGCUGGGAAAAAGAAUGGUAAUCCUAGUUGUAGACCCAAUGCUGCUAAUGGAAUUGAUUUGAGAAUCUUCAUGCUACAUUUUAACAAGAUCUUUAAAACUUGUUUAUGAAUCAAACAUGUAAAAAAUUCGGGUAAUAAUGAAAUCACAAUGACAACGUCUAGAACACAGAGAUGAUGAAUUAAAAGGAUCUAAUAUUAUUGGAAACCAUAAUAGCUUCUUUUAACAAAAGUGUUGCGUAUAGAUUACACUCUCUCCUGCUCUAAUAUCAAUUGAUAGGAUGAAAAUCCUUAAAGAUCGAUAAGUUUUAAACAGGUAAAUAAUGAACAUAAAGAUAAUCAAACAAAGGCUGAAUGAUUGAAAGUCACGCCUCACAUGAAAUCGAUGAAGAAUUUCAACUGUAGAGGCGUGAUAGGGUUACAAGAUCAAAUAAAACAGUUAACAUAAAAUAAGAUGCAUGCACCAUAUAUACUCUAACCCUAGAAUUAAAUACGGGAGGACAAGCCCAACCCGUUUACAAAAAGGACUAAUAACAAAGCCCAAUGAUGCAACAAUUAAAUAUUCAACAGGGGUGCAUGAUCACGCCUUCACCUUCCCGCAAUCCUCUGAAGUACCUGAAAGAUAACCCAAAACUGUAAGCCCAAAGCUUAGUGAGUUCUCACAAAAUGCCAAUACUUAACGAAUAGCACAAAUAUAAUAACAACAUGCAAUGGGUCCACAACUUUACAGACUGGAUUACCCCUGAGCCCACAACAUAAGUGUGGCUUGCCCCAAGGGCCCACAACAUAUGUCUGGCUUUCUCCCCGGCCUGAUCAGUCAACAGACUGAAUACCGAUAGCCCUCAGUAUGAGUCUGGCAUGCCCUGCCCGACCCUCAGCUCAUAUCUGGAAUGCUCAUGGGUCCUCAAUAUGAGUCUUCCAUUCCCUCCUUGGCCCUUAGCUCAUAUUCGGCGUAAUCCAGGGUUUGUUGGCUAUAGUACGAAGUAGUACUACCUCAACCUAUCCACACAAUAUGUCGACAUAUAAAAGAUAAUAUCAUAAACAUAUAAACAGGAAAUUCACAGGUAAUCCCACAGAUCUACCAGACUAGCAUAUCAAGACUAGCAUGCAUAACUAUAUCAUACUCAUCAUGUCAGCAAUACCAUGUUAUGAAACCAAUGGGCCGGCCUUGGUGCCUUCGACCCGAAAGUACAAUGAGAAUAACUCACCUCACAAAUGUCAAGCUACACAGAAAUCCAUGACUGCAGACUCACAAUAAAUCCCAAACUAUCACAAUAACAAGCACCCAAUCAAUAAUUGUAAUACCAUUCUUGGCUAAGGGUCCAAACAUGGGGUAAUUGUCCAUUUUACCCUUUCCCUAAUUGGGCCAAGUCCCAAGUCCAAAUCUUUUGAUCCGAAAGGUCCAAAUACACAAGGCCCACAAUUUGCCCAAUUUUUCCAAAUUGGGCCCAACUCCUUAAAUAGGCCUCAUCCUAAGGUCCAAUUCCAUAACUGGCCCGGAACACUCCUACUCAAAAAGUCCAAUAAGGGCCCAAUCCAAAUUGGCCCAAAGAUGGCCCAAAUUUGAAGCCUAAUUUGGAAUAUCCCAACAGAAGGCGUAUGUUGGGCGUAUCCCGAAGGUACGCAGGGUGUACGCGAGCCUUGCAUUGACUAGAAAUGGGGGCGUUUACUUAGUAUGCAGUGCAUACUCCCCUUUACGUUGGGCGUACCCUCACAGAGUUCGAAACUAUUAUAAGUGCUUAAUGGCUUAACCACUUAAGCCUAAAUUCUAAAUCCAUCAACCAAAUGUAUCUCAGAACCAUAAAUUCUGAAACUUUAAGACUUUGGACAUCCAAUAAGUCCUUAAUACAUGGCCCUAAUCCACUAAGACCUCCUAUAAACAACAUGAAGCCAAACUAGCCAAAGGGACCUCAUUUUUAUAACUUAGACCCUCUCCUAGGGUCUAAAAGGAAAGCUUAAAAUGUCCAAAACAAAUUAUGCAUAAUAGUGGGACUUUUGAGACAAAAGAAUGGCAAUAAGCUACCAAUAAUAGAUCUAAGAGAAAUAAACACUAAGGUAGCAACUUUUUACCUCCUAGAGCUUCCAAAACAGAUGAUAAAUCAAGAUCUAUAAGCUAGCUUUCCUUCCUUGACUCCUUGAUGCACUUCCUUCUCCUUUAACUACACAAGCAAAAAAUUUAGGCUCCAAAACUCUUACUUAUGGACUAGCAUUUGCUAAGAAUGGCUCAAAGGCUAAGAGGCUGAAAGAGUGAAGCAAAAUGAUCCAUAAUGAUGCUUAAAUACCCUCCAAACUCUAAAAUUAGUCUUUCUCCUGGACAUUAGUAUGCCCAGCGUACUAGGGCACACCAUAGUACGCUUAGCGUACUCACAUGUACGUCCAAUGUGUAACACCCACAUAUUCAGGCUAGUCAAUUUAGAGACAAUAAGCGUCAAAAAUGACAUUUUGAUAGAAGAUUAUUUAGAAUAAACAAUCUUAACUGAGUUAUAGUAUAUGUCACAAGGGUUCCGUACAUAUAAAGAACACUGAAAUCUGAGUUAUAACGAAGAAGUUAUGACCUAUCGAAGUUUUGCGACAAAACCAACACGACACCGGGAAUCAUAAAAAGUAAGUUUAUGAUAAAGUACUUUUAUCCUUAGUGAUCUAAAAUAAAGUUAUAGAGUACGUCUCCACCUAUGCAUGGAUAUAAAGACCAUCAAAAACAGAAUUCGUAUGCAAAAGUUAUGAGCUUCUGAAGAUGUAGCUGUUUGAGAGCAUGACACGUGGUAGAAACCGUAAUCUGUAAGGGCUCACGACGAGAGCAUGUUUUAUCACGGUGUGAGGAGUCAAACAAACACUUUUCAAUCCUAGAAUGCAUAUGAAAAGUCUACAGAGUGAAAAGUUUAGGGCUCACGAUGUGAGAAGUCAAACAGACACUAAUCGAGGCUAGAAAACACCUGGGAAGGCUACGAGAUGACUCAUGGAAGCUCACGACGUGAGCAUGUGUGGCUCACGACAUGAGAGAGAAAAAAUCAGCCUAUAAAUAGAUAUCAAGGCUCAUUCAUUCAUUACACCUUCUACUUUCAUUCUGUCUCGUUUUCUGAAGGCCGUUUCAAUUCUUGAGCCCGACGAUCACGAACCGCUGAACGUUUGUAGUUAGAUUCAAUCAAAUCGUUCUACUAAAGUGAAUGCAUAGUUACUUUCAUCAUACAUAUAGAUAUGAAGUAUUUAAUAUAAAUUGCAUGUAAUGUGUUCAUAUUAUCUGUGUUGUUGAUAUCUAUGCUGGAUGAACAAUUUUAUACAUGCUUUAAAUGAUUUAAGCUGUAUAUGUAUUUUAUAUCUACAAAUAUGUUGUGUAAAAAUUGGGUAGAUGAAUUAGAUGAUGUGUGAUGAAAUAAGAAUUAAUGAGAGGUCUCGAUGUUUAAGGUGAUUUAGUCAUCUAGCAGAGUACAGACAUGGGGUAACCUGUAGGUGUUUUUGAACUAAGUGUUCACUAGGUGUUCAUUAGGUAUUUUUGAACUAAGUGUUCACUAGGUGUUUUUGAACUAUGUGUUCAUCAAAUGUACUAUAAAUAUCCUGGAAGCUAUGCCUAAAGGAUAAUAUUGACAACUGUGCCUAAUAGAGAAUGUCAUAAUCCUGGCAGUUGCGCCUAAUAGAGAAUGUUGUAAUCCUGGCAGUUGUGCCUAAUAGAUAACAUUGGCAGUUGUGCCAUAGGCAACGAUGGACUUCUUGCCUAUUCAUUAGGAGAAUCCUUAGGAAUGAAAAAGUGAAUGAUAAACGAUUCUUAGGGAAGGUGCUUCAGAAAUAAAGAAGAUAACGGGGAUGGGUAAUUGGGUUAAAAUUUUUGUGAUGAAACAUAAUAACUUUAUUAUUGUGGGUUGAAAAUCCUAUGUACUCACCAGAUUUCCCAACCUGACCCACUAAGUUUAUUUGUAUCACAUGUAUCGAUACGAAGCUACUUUACACUGAGAGAUUAAAGGAGAUGUAGAUCACUAGUGUAAAUAAAUGUAAGGUCAGUUUAUUCUUAUGUUUCAAUAUUGAAGACGACAUCCCAAAGUUUUAAUAUGAACAGAAUACAUUUCUUCGGAAAUGAUUUGAUAAUAUAUUUAUCAUGUUUUCCUGGGAACAACUUCUGCAAUAUACUUCUUUAAAAAUAUACUAUGAUUUUCAAAUAAAGCAUAAACAAAUCGGUCUUCUGGGCCCAUGAAAUUGUGAACGUCACAGUUGGUAUCAUAGCAUUAGUUUAAGCGAACUAGGAACAUUAAGAAAUUUCUAGACCUAAACUUAGAAUGCUAAGUGAUGAUUGUGAGUUGAGCAUGUCUAUUAUAUUUUAAGUAAUACACCUGAAUUGACACAAGUACUAGCUUACUCUAGGAUUAGAUGCCUAAAUUGCUUUUAUGUGCUAAAUGAUUUAUGUUAUAGCCUUAUCUGCUUUAUGAUGCUAUUAUUGAUCGGAUCCAUGGUCUAUUGCUAGAUCUAAAAAAUUUAUGUGUUCAUAUUUCUAAACGUUUAAUUACGAUAUUAGAACGGGCAUGUAAAUUUUUGGAGUAAUAAGGAGAUUUAUACGUCUGAUUCCCCUAUCUAAAUUUUCGUCACUGCACACCGAAUGUCUGAUUUGGUGUAUAGAUCGACAUAGUGAGAACAUGAAGCAGAAACAUUAAUGGAAAUGCUAAUCAGCGACAUGUUAUUCAGUGUGCAUAGAAGCUGCAACUACACUUGAACCAAUCACAUUGCCAGGAGUCCUAUUCAUGAUUCGUGCAAUGAUGGUCGAACAAAGGGAUGAAAUGAGGAAAAUAUUGCAAAAAAAUAGGGAUAAACCUACUAUACCUAUUGAAAAGCCUGAUCUAAAUGAAGGUUAAUCAAAAGAAGGAAUCUAUAGUAGAGUUGUUGGCCAAGGAGAACCACCAGUGGUUAUAAGAGAUAACCAAGAAGAAGGGAUUGAAAGAUAGGGAUGCAAGUACAAAGACUUCACGACUUGCAAACUAUCAAAAUUUAUUGGUAGAGAAGACCCAAUUGGAGUUAUAAAUUGGAUCUCGGAAAUGGUUGGCUUUCAUAACAUGUGGAUGCAAAGUCAAGCUAAAAACCACAUAUACAGUGCGUCAGGUCAAGGGUGGCGUUGUUCGCUAGUAGAACACUCUGGGGAAGACCAUAAGCCCCAAUGAUCCAAUGCAACUGACUUGGGAAGAGUUCUUGGUGCAAUUCAAACAAAAGUUCUGCUCGGUCCAAAAUCUGCUAGAUCUAGAGAACCAAUUCUAGACGUUAAAGAAGGGCAUCAUGUCCUUUGAUGAAUACAGCAAUGCCUUCACAGACAAGAUGGAGUUUGCUUUGCGCAUUGUCCCAGAAGAGUUGAAGAAAAUUGAUAGGUUUGCAAAGGGACUACCAUGGGAGUACACUGUGAUAGUACGCCAGACACCUAACCUUGAGGCAACCAUCCGGGUUGCUAAGUCUGUCAAAGAAAUGGUCAUGGGAAGAGCUGUAACAACCCGUUAUUUUUCUAUCUUGUAAAAGUCAACACAACUCCAAUAUAUCAAAUUAAAGUCAAAAAUAUUGAUUUGUUAUUUUAAUAAAAUUAAAUUAAUGUUUUUGAUACAUAUAAACACUUAGUAAAGGUGUUAUAGAAAUAAGGAGUUGAAAUCCAAGGAAAACCGAGGAUUCUCGCAUGACCGAAAACUCUCGGAUUCCCUUAACACUUCGGACCGAAAAUGGUUUCCAACUGGAAACCUUCGCAUGGACUGCAAACCCAUCUCGGACCUAAAACCAUGCGAAGCCGACAUAGUGCUCACAGCCAAAAACCUCGCAUGUCUUAUCCCUUUAGACAGCCUCGCGACCUUAUCCCUUCUUACUGAAAACAAAACUUCUCGAGUAGAGUUCCCAACUGAGAACCUCCUUUCCUUGGUUUGUGUUCUCGGCCGAAAACCCAAAUUAUAUAUAUAUAUAUANNNNNNNNNNNNNNNNNNNNNNNNNNNNNNNNNNNNNNNNNNNNNNNNNNNNNNNNNNNNNNNNNNNNNNNNNNNNNNNNNNNNUACAUCCUUAACUGAAAACACUCACAAAUCCUCUCAAGAACACUCCAACCAAAAACACUUCUUUUCAUCCAAGACCAUCAAACCGAGAACCUUGUUUUCUCACAUAUAUCAUACGAAAAUUCACCAUUUCUCCUUAGGAUCUUGCUGAUUUCACCUAGUGUUCUUCAUCCUUUCGAGAUAUCAUCAUCCAAAAUCUUAAACUCCAACCGAUAACACUCACAUCUUCUUGGUUUUACCAAGAACACCAAGAACACCACUUGAAUUAUCAAGUGGCCGAAAACUCCAAACAACCCCGAGAAUUACUUCUAACACUCCUUGUGUAAGUCUUUUUACAAUAAUUAUGUGUUGUUUAACACUUUAAACUUCAUUAGGUUAUCUAAUUUAUAUUUAAUAUAAUGUUAAUAUAUAUUAGGAUUCAGUUUUUAUCACGAGUUCAAACCCGAAUAUCAACACAAUCAGUCGAGAACUUACACAAAAGAUGAGUUCAUACACCUACUUUUUCAUGAUUUUUAACUGUUUUAAGGGGGGGGGGGGGGGGGAGUGGGANNNNNNNNNNNNNNNNNNNNNNNNNNNNNNNNNNNNNNNNNNNNNNNNNNNNNNNNNNNNNNNNNNNNNNNNNNNNNNNNNNNNNNNNNNNNNNNNNNNNNNNNNNNNNNNNNNNNNNNNNNNNNNNNNNNNNNNNNNNNNNNNNNNNNNNNNUUAACCUCAUUUCCUAUUCCUUGUUUGGUUGUGAGCUUGGGGUAGAAUUAUUUAUUUGAAUGUCUAUUUAAUCACAAAUAUAUAAAUAUUAUAUUUAUAUAAGUAUAAAAUGAUUUUCAAAACAUGUUAAAUAGAAACAUCAUUUUUAUUAAAACUGUUUUAGUACCAUAUGAAAAUAAAUUGUGGAUUUAAAGGAACAACAACAUUAUAGAUUUUUACAAAAUUUGACAAAAGUUUUCAUUACAAUGAAACACAAACAUAUAAACUCUAAUAGAUAGAGUUUAUGAAACUUACUCAUUUCUUUCAAGCUUCAGAUUACAAAAUGGAAAUCAAACAUAUAAACUAUAAUGGGUAUAUGCAUUACUUUACAUAUUCAGAGUACAUUACAGUGUGUUCAUUACAAAGUAACUUUUCAUUACAUACUUACAGUGUGUUCAUUACAAACUAACUUUUCAUUAUUAUACAUAUAAUCAUCAAUAUAGCGUUUGUAUAGAUCUAUACGGGACUGACAAUCCCGCACCAAAGCUGGUUGCAACAGCUAGGCCGACAGAUCUAUGGUGACAAAUGUCAUAACUAUUGCGAUGCCUGAGGAACGUCGUGUUCAGGUCAUCUUAGGUCAUCAAUCAUGGUUAUAAUAACUCACAAUUUGGUAUUGAACAAAAUGAUUAGUGCAUGAAUAAGUAAACAGCUUCACAUAGUUUUAUUUAAUAAUAAAACUAUAAGACAAUAUUUUACAAGUACGGGUUAUACUAGACAAUUACAAACACAUGAGUUGCAUACUAGUACAAGAACAUAGUACUAUUUCAGUACAGAGAAAACAUACUUUUCAUGGUUUUAUGUGAACUAAACUACAUUUUAUUACUUCAGAGUAUAGUAACGUAACACAUUUUGCUUACAAUAUACUACGAUAGAAAAUAUAGGAUUUUCUGGGAUAAACAUGUUUACAUUAUCAAGGAACAAGAAAACAGAUUUCAGUUACAAACAUACUUAUGAACUCACCAAUUUUUGAGAAGACGGAGAUCUAUAGACUCAGGUACAUCCACGGAUUUUUGAGAAUUGGUAGACAGGUACAUCCACGGAUUUUAGUGCGUUUUAACUUGUACCUUUUAGUGUCAAUAUACAAUGUUUUGAACACGGAUGUAAAACUUAUAACUUUGUUAAUACAAUGGUUGGAGUACUUUGAUUACUAUUAUGCAUUGUUGUGAUACUGUAUAUAACGUCCUCUGCCCUCGAACGUUUCCUCCGUUCCGGUUUGGGGGUGUGACAGAUUAGUAUCAGAGCAUUGUUUGUAGUGAACUAAGUAUAUCAGACCAUAAAAGAUAUACAACUAUAAAUACAAUGGGGCCGAAGUGCUCUGACAAAAAGUGUACUUUUAAAAUCUAAGUAUUUGAUAAGAAGUAUACUAACAUCCGUACAUACAAUAAACACUGUCACAAGAAGAACUAUACAAAAGUAUUUAGAUGUUGGACACUAUAGUUAAACCUGGACAAUUGUGUUAUCAUAUCUGGGAUAAACAUAGCCUACUCAACUAUAUUUAUUUGAGAUACGACCGACAUGUGUUUGGGAGUGAUAUUGGUGUUGCAACAAGUCUAAAACUUACCAAACCUAUGUACCAGAAGAGCUCUAGAAUCAAACAUAAAGUUAAAAUACUAUAGGCGUAUUUUAUGACACUAUAACGUAGAAACAUCAAGAUACGAGAUGAUCAUUGUUUCUAGCAACAAACAUGUGAAAAAAAAGAAUCAUUACUGGUAAAUCUAUAAUUACUAAGCGUAUACACAAGAGUUAUACAUAAUUAUGUUUUAAAGACUUAGAAUCUGUGAUGAUGAAUUUAUAAAAACUUCUUGAUCGAUUAGAUCUUAUAACAUGUAAAUCAAGAAAGCACAAACAGUAAGACAAAACACAAGAAUGAAUCUGAAUGUGUCGAAUGAUUCAAUUAACUCAAGCCUCAGCAGAGCUCGAUGAAGAACUUCCGCUAUAGAGGAUAUUAGGGUUACAAAAGAUAAGAACUGUGAACGCUAUCAAAAUCUCUAUCAAAUCUUACGUUCAAGGAUGCAUGCAAGCAUCUAUAAAUAUUAAACCCUACAAAAUAACUCACGGAUGGACAGGCCGAUACCGGAGAUUAAUUGGACUAAGAACCGAGCCCAAGAAGCAAUACUAACUGGACGUAACAAUCUCCCCCUUUACGUCAAUUGGACCGAGACUAUCACUUCUUCUUGCUGGGUCCAGCUGCAGGAAACUUCUUAGUGGUAUCAAACAGACGAGGGAUAAGAGUGAGGAUUGUCUGUCUGAAGCGAAUGUACCUUUGGAUCAUGUCAUCGAAGUACUUCUUUUCAUCUGCCAAAUUCUGCUUGCAACGAUGAAAGAUUCCUAAAACAUGUUCCAGGCAUGCGGUGGUGUAGAGAUGUUUGUCUGCCAAAUCGAACAGACAUUUUUGGCCUUCGUUUCUGGUAAACAUGACAGAAUUGCGUUUCGGGUGAAUCUUCCCCAUCUGCAUCAUGUUUAGGUCAUUGGAAGAGCCAACAGGUGGGAUAGUGGGCUUUUUCUUGAAGACACUAGCGAUCUCCUGAUCCAUCUUGGAAACUUCCAUUAUAUAGCAUACAAGCAUCCUCUUGAAGUGAUCAAUGAUCGGACCAUAUUCUGUUUCAUUUGUGAGGAGGAUGUUGUGCAAAAUUAUCCAAUCAUGUGGAUUCAAAUUGGGAAGAUCAGCUAGCGAUAUGGCAUGUUCGGUCUUAGCAGAACCCCUCAGCACCUUGAACCGAACGUUCUUGAAGUUCCCUUCUCAAAACGGCUUGAGGACCCGAACGUUGAUUAUCUUCUGAGCGCUCCAAGUUUGAUACUGUGGUUGAGCAGCCUUCAGGUAGAAUUCGACGGGAUCCCUAUCAACCUUUGGAUGAGGAUGAGGGAUAUCAGGAACGUUAUCAAAGGCAUGGAAGACGAAGGCCUUUCGGGUCAGCGGCCUAUCAAACUGUGAAUCGACAGAACUGAUGCGAUCCAGUGAAAUCACCGGUUCAAGCCAUAGAAUGCUGGGAGUUUCAAUCGCUUCUUUCAGCAGCUUCUCAAGAGUCCACGGAGGAAAAAGGGUUUUCCUGCUCUCAAGAAGGUCAUGAGCCUCUUUCAUUUUUCUUUCAUGUUCCUCAGCCUCUCUAGCAACGCGAGCGCUCAUAUCAGCAUCCUUGUCUCGACCUUGCUUCUUUAAGAGAUCUACAAUCAUCUCUUUAUCGUCAUCGCUCUCUUCAACAAUUUUAUUCCCCUUGUCUUUGACACCCAAACCUAAGGCUUGGCCUGUUGAAAGAGGUUUCGUUGUUUUUGUUGCUGUAGAAGUGGGAGGCGGUUGAGAUACAUCCUCUCCCCCUUGUUUCGGAAUGGACACGAAAUCAAGGAGCCCUUCAAUUUUGCUCAGGAGAGAAAAGGCAGGAGCAAGCUUUUCGGCGAGAUCACGCAUGACUGAGUAAUUCAGUAUUGGAUCAUGUGCUUCAAGGAUGUUGGAAAGAGCGACGUGGACAUCCAAAACACAUGAAGACACAAUCUCUCGUUUAGAUCGAAGAGAUUCAAUCUCCUUUUGAGAAUUGGAGAGUUGAAGAUUAUUGACCUUGAGAGUAGUGGUCGUUCGAGCGAGAGCGUCCAUGAGGGAGUUCUCGGCAGCUAGAUCUUCUUGUAGCUUAGUGAGGCGCUCCUCAAUAGUCGCCUUAAACGCUGAGUUGUCAUCAGUGAGAGUUUGACGAAGAGUGGCGAAGGACUGCAGUUCUGAGGCAACUGAGGUAGCCGGCUUGUUGACAAUAGGGUCAAGCUUCGUUUUAUUGGCAUCGGCAGUUUCCUAGACUACAAAAGAGAAGAAGCAUCAGCAAAUAGUUUUUCGACUUUUUCGGUCGCAGCAGCAUAGGCCUUUGUGGAAACGUCAAUGGCGGCAGUGGCUGAGCUAAUGGAGGCUUCAUGAGCUUUAGAGAAAGCAUCAACAAUCUUCUGAAUAGCAGCCUCAGAGAUGGUAGACUGUGAUGAAGAAGAGGAGGAAGAAAUGAGCGAAUCAAUCUUCUCGUGAAGCUCCUUGAGAUGCUUCUUGAUGACAGGAGUAUCAUCGUCAUCGUCACUUUGCACCUGAUACGGACUGUAAUAGACCGAAUCAAAUGUCAUGUCCUCCCCACCAAGAAAAGGUUCUUCAUUGUCUGCGGAGUGAGUAGGAGAUGAGGGUCGAAGGGAUGGUGGAGGCUCGGUUGUGGAAGUAGGUUAGGGUUUUGAUGUAUGUUCGGUUGUGGGAGUGGGUUCGGGUGCUUUAGUAGGAGCUCCCGUAUCAGAUACGUUGGUUCUUACUUCAGCGGUUGUUGUGGUAGCUUCAGUGAAAAUGGGAGGGGGUACUGGNGGUAGGUGGUUUUGAGUGGUGGAGGUUAUGGGGGAAUGGAAAUAGAAAUGGUGAUUGGUGGAGAACAGACAGGUGUACUGGAAACAUGUACCUCUGAGGUAGGCGAUCGUGGAGGAGUGUUACCACGGGGGGAAUCUUCGGAGUCUGAAUUUUCUUCCUCAGAUUCGCUUGAGGAGGAAGCAAGUAUCAGCUUUCGCCUAGGUUGGGUUUUCCUCUUCUCUAGUGGAGGAGAUUGAGCUACCUUGGUAGGUUUACGUUUCUUCAGAGAAGGGCCUUUCGCUCCCUUGCCAACCUGCUUGUCUUUUCCCUUUUCAUUUUUCUUUCCCUUUGGAGCGCACCUAUCAGCAUCAUGGAUCGACUUAAUCAUAUCAGGAGUGAGCUCUCUAGGACCAGAGCGAUGAAACUCCUUAUAGGUUCUGAUGAUGCGGCUGUCGCUAGGAACGUCUCCAAACAUCGACUCAGGGAUGGAGCCAAUGAACUGAAAUUUAGAUGCAUCGGAGACAAUUAUCUUCGUAGUAUGGAAAGUACCUAUCGAAGAGAGUGGAGAAUCAGCAACAAUGGGGACAUGAUACUUGUCCAUCACCUAUUUUGUGAUCAGAGUCCAGAAGCGAGCGUAGGAGAUCUCGGAAUGGCGAGAUGUAGAGGCAAGACUCUGAAUCAGCUGCUGCCAUAAAACCGACCCAUAGUCCAGGUUGAUUCCGUUGUAUACCCCCAUAAAGAAUCGUGAUGAAUAGACGACUCGCUCCGUCUGAACCGGCACUGCGUUCUGAUAACCCCUUGAAUAACACUGUAAAUAACCCGUUCCAUUGAGGAGGCAAGCACGAUUUCUUGAACUUAGUCACCGUCGUCAGAACCUCAGUGUAUCCCAUGUUAUAGAACAUGGAAAAAAAGUGACCCACUGGAAUGGAUUCAGGGUUAACCCUAGAUGAAUUGGGUGUAGACCCUAAAAGCGAGCAUAAUCGCUGCAUGGAGAUGGAUGCCUUGUAAUCAAGAAUGUCGAAGAAAAUUUUAUCGACAGACUUAUCAUAAUGAGCUGUGGCGAAGAUUUGCGAUAAACACUCCAUUGGAACAGCUUCAACUUUAGUGAGAGCGGGAGCAAGCGGCGAAUAUUUGAGGCAUUCGAUGAUCGGGAACAUGAAGGCAUCAUAAACGUGUGGAGUAAGAUCGAUGAUCAGACUCGGUUGAGGACAAAUCGGCAGAAUGUGGGAAGUGGCAUGAACAGAAGAUGAAUCCGCCAUUGAAGUGAAGAAGUUGGGAGAGAUGAUGAACAGUAGAAUAAUCAAAGCUUUUCUUGCUCUCUGAAUUUUGGGUGCAGUAAAGAGGUAAAUAAUGGUCGAAGUUACCUUUUAUACUGUGACGAUAGGAGAGAGAAGAAUCUGUUCCCAAAUCUUCGAGGGAAAUACGAAGGGUUUUCGUAGGUGAUUGAUGCGUGACAGUUGUUAGCCCCGAUGAAUACGCAGGAGAAAGAAGAACUGUCCUGAUUCACACGCCUUCCCAUCAGGCGCCGUUUUAAAAAAAAAUGGUUCCACUUCGCAUGCUUGUCCUUCAAGCGUCGUUUGAAAAUCAAAGCGAUUGGACUCCCGGCUGAGUCAGCAUCUUAUCCCUUUAGAGGGAACGUCAUCUUAAAGCAAAAUGACCACGUGUAACAAUGUGAGCCACAACUCUUUCAAAAAAAAUUCCUUGUAAGUAAUGAAACCAGAAUUAUGGAAAAUCAAAAAGAUUUUCGUGCUUAGUGUGUAAAAGAAAAAGAAAUAAAGCAACACAUAUGUGGGAAAUUGUGAUGUCAAUAAAGACACGAAACAAUGGAUCCCGGGCACGAAUCGCUUCCUUCAAAGUCAAGAGAGACCUUAAAGUGUUUGUUUGGUUUCCCGUUGAAUAACAAUCAGACACUUAUUGAUAAGUGUUGAAAGGCUUCUUUUAAUCAGGCUAAUUUGGGUGGCUUUCGCUUCAGUUCAGAAUUCCGGAUCUUGACAUAAGACAGAAAUCUACCGAAGUACUUGUGAUACCAAUGUAGUCUGUUGAACAAGUAGGUUUGAAAAGGAUUUAAGUAGCAUCGUGAAAAUAUUUGUAGGUGAAAUCUCAAAGAAAAAAAAUUAAAACUGGAUUCCAUGGGAAGAAAUGUUAUAGGAUUUAACAAUUUCAUAGGAAGCACACAAAGACAAAAUUCAGAGAUUUCAAGGUACAGUCUUAAGGCUGAAUUCGUCAAUUCUUUAGUGAAAGCUAGAUCAAAGUUAAUUGUUCACCAUCAAUGCAUAGAAGGUAGUGAAUUUUGGGUUUCACUUAGCACGUAGUGGCACGAAGCUAAGAUCAUGAACACAGGAAUUGUGUAACCAUAAACCUUAGUGGUAAUUUCUGAGAGUCUCAAGGGUUACGUGUAGGAGAUCGAAAUAUGAUGGAGAAAAAUAAUUGAGAUGGUGUAAAGAAACCAAAGUACCUCUGCUAUUUAAAGAAGGACCAAGCAGAAAACUCUUAUCUCAUGUGAGAAGAAAGUAAGGUAGCUCAUGAUUAGAAUAAAUAUAAAAGCCUGAUUGGGAAGACAAGGUUUGUAUAUACCAAGUCAGUAAGGCUGUGAUUCAGAAUCAGGUGAGACUUUGGACACAUACUUUUAGGGACACUUAACUAAUAAAAGAAUUUCCCACAGAUAUCCACACAGAAAAAAAUAUUAACUAACACAAAUAAUAAUAAAAAAAUGUUUUUGGAGUUUUUGAUUUAAAGAAAGAAAAGAAGAAAAAAAUGAGACAAAAAAAAAAUUUGGAACCGAACUCGAGCGUUCGGUCUAUUUCGGUUGCAAAAAAAAUUGAAAUUGAAAAAGAAAAGAACUUUGAAACUAAGAGUGAUGAAAUAGAGAAAAGAAUACAAAAGAUUUACAACCAAAGAAACUACCUUUGAGUGAUAAGCGAAGAUCAGAGAAUAGGACCGAACCCGAGCGUUCGGUUUAUUUCGGCACACACGUGAACCGAACCCGAACGUUCGGUUCAUUUCGCUUCCAAUUUUUAGUUUUGAGAAGUAGUUUUUGGUACUGACUCCGAUUCCAUCAUUCCUAGCCCUUGUAGAAUUUUAUUGAAACUCGGUUCAGGAAGAGCUUUGAUGAAGAUAUCGGCCAGUUGAUCAGUGGUGCGAACAAAGUGAAUUUUGAGGUUUCCAUCUUCCACAUGAUCCUUAACAAAGUGAUACCUCGGUGCUAUAUGCUUUGUCUUGGAGUGUUGCACUGGAUUAUGACAGAUCCUAAUUGCACUUUCUGAAUCGCAAUAUAGUGGGAUCUUUUUCAUAUUGAGUCCAUAAUCAUGGAGCUGGCUUUGGAUCCAAAUCAAUUGAGAUGUACAGGAGGCAGCUGCAGUGUACUCUGCUUCGGCUAUAGACAGAGAAACACAUGUCUGUUUCAUUGAUUGCCAGCUAACCAACUUCCCAUCCAGGAAUUGGCAGCCUCCUGUGGCGCUUUUCCUGUCUAAACCACAUCCUCGAAGGUCUGCAUCUGAGUAGGCUUGAACAAAGAAAACUGAGUUUGAUGGAUACCAUAGACCGAGGGAGGUGGUUCGUUUCAGAUACCGGAGUAUGUUUUUCACUGCAAGCAUAUGUGGUUCACGAGGAUUCGCCUGAAACCUAGCACAAUAACACACAGAAAACAUUAUAUCAGGCCUGCUAGCAGUGAGGUACAUUAAGAAACCAAUCAUCUGGCGGUAUAACGUAAUAUCGACUGCCAAUUUUUCCAAGGAUGGUGUGAGCUUGGUGCCGAACGCCAUUGGAACUUUGACCCUUGAGUCUCCUAUCAUGCCGAAUUUAGCAAAAAGAGUCUUGGUGUAUGCUUCCUGGUUGAUAAAGAUGCCUUCGGGUCCCUGUCUAAUAUUUAAACCAAGGAAAAAGUUAAUCGGACCCAUUGAGCUCAUUUCAAAUUUAGUCUCCAUCAGCUUUCUGAAUUCAGCUGUUAAGCUAGGAUUCGUUGAGCCAAAGAUGAUAUCAUCGACNGACGUAGAUUUGAACUAUCAUAAGGUGGUUACCUUCCUUCUUAUGAAAGAAGGUUGGGUCAACCGAACCUUGUUUGAAUUUUGACAUCUUUAAUAACUUAGUUAGCGUUUCAUACCAUGCCCUAGGUGCGUGUUUCAGACCGUAAAACGCUUUGUCCAGAAUAUAGCAGUGAUUUGGGUACUUUUCAUUCACAAAACCAGGAGGUUGCUCCACGUAAACCGUUUCUUCAAGUUCUCCAUUCAGAAAGGCACAUUUUACGUCCAUUUGGUAGACCUCGAAGUUCUUGUGUGCAGCAUAGGCCAGAAAUAUUCGAACAGAUUCCAGCCUUGCUACCGGAGCAAAAGUUUCUUCGUAAUCAAUUCCUUCUUCCUGGCAGUAUCCUUUCACCACGAGACGAGCUUUAUUUUGAAUUACAUUACCGUCCUUGUCCAUUUUGUUUCUAAAUACCCAUUUGAGACCAACGACUGAGGUAUCUUUAGGAGUUGGAAUAAGGCGCCAUACCUUGUUUCUUUCAAACUCAUUGAGUUCAUCUUGCAUGGCUUGUACCCAAUCGGAAUGAUCAAGAGCUGUGUUAACUGUCUUUGGCUCAACUUUGGAUACGAAAGAAUUAUACAUGCAGAACUCUACUUUGGAGAAUAGAGAUGAUUGCUUUGCCUUCAGUUGGGAACGGGUCAGGACCUUUUCAGAGACAUUACCCACUAUCUGUGAUACAGGAUGAUCUCUGGUCCAUAUAAUAAGAGGAGGAUAAUUUGGAUCAUAAGAUGGAUCCAAUUCGGCGUUGACCAUUUCUUCCAUUUCAGAUUGACUAUCGUCAUCGUAAAACAUGUCAAAAUUCUCCCCCUCGACUGAUGAAUCUCUUUGGUAUUACGGGUCAGGACCUUUUCAGAGACAUUACCCACUAUCUGUGAUACAGGAUGAUCUCUGGUCCAUAUAAUAAGAGGAGGAUAAUUUGGAUCAUAAGAUGGAUCCAAUUCGGCGUUGACCAUUUCUUCCAUUUCAGAUUGACUAUCGUCAUCGUAAAACAUGUCAAAAUUCUCCCCCUCGACUGAUGAAUCUCUUUGGUAUUCAGGUUGGUUCAUACCUUCGGGUGCAACAGAACUCUCAGGUGUGGCUGGACUCUCUAGUGCUACAGGACUUUCGGGUGUAGCAGACCUUUCAGGUGCUACAGGACUUUCAGGUGUAGCAGGGCUUUCGGGUGUAGCAGGGCUUUCGGGUGCUACAGGACUUUCGGGUGUAGCAGGGCUUUCGGGUGUAGCAGGGCUUUCGGGUGCUAUAGGACUUUCGGGUGUAGCAGGAAUAGAAUUCUCCCCCUGAAAGUGUAAGUUCGGUUGAUUUGAAGAAAAUAGAUUCUCCCCCUCAACUGAAGUACCUUGUUGAGGAGGUUCGUUUGGAACUUGUUCUCCUUCACCCAAUUGUUUGGCUGCAUCUUCGACGAUUUGCUUCAGAUGAUUGACUUUGUUGUCUGUUGCCUUGGCUUUUGAGAGAGUAGCUUUCUCAGGUUCAUCGAAUAAGUCCACAAACUGAUCGAACAAAUUAGCAAUCGUGACCGUGACUUGACCUGUUUGAGAGAAAAUCUAUCCAAUUGUUUCUUCAGUAGCCUUUAGCUUCUUGACGUAGUUAUCAUCGAAAGUUACAUAAUAUGUUUCUUCAAUCUUCCUAGAACGCUUAUUUAAGACCCGGUAUGCUUUUGAAGUAAGAGAAUAUCCCAGAAAAAUUCCUUCAUCAGCUUUAACGUCAAACUUGUUACGAUGUUCUUUGGAGUUGAAGAUGAAACAUCGUGAGCCGAACACAUGGAAGAAUUUUACGUUCGGCUUCCUGUUAUUGAUGAUCUCAUAAGGUGUAAGAGAGAAACGUUUGUUGAGAUAAGACCUGUUCUGCGUAAAACAUGCUGCAGCAAUAGCAUCAGCCCAGAAAUAUAAGCGAAGAGAAGCGAAACUUAGCAUAGUUCGGGCCGCCUCACACAAGGAUCGGUUUCGCCUUUUGAAAAUUCCGUUCCGUUGAGGCGUGUAGGGGGCUGAGAAGUUGUGAGUGGUUCCUUUUUCUGUCAAAAAGUCUUCAAAUUCUUUGUUCUUGAACUCCAGUCCAUUGUCGCUCCUAAUGUUGCGAACGACUUUUCUCAGUUGCACUUCAGCCUGCUUGAUAAACAUCUUUAGCUUAGGAGUAGCCUCAGAUUUGUGCUUCAGAAAGAACACCCAUGUAAAACGUGAGAAAUCAUCAACAAUAACAAGAAUAUACUUGCUACCACCAAUGCUUUCGAUUGAUGAUGGACCAUACAAGUCGAUGUGAAGCAACUAAAGUGGUUCAACAACUUUUGUGUUUAUAAUAGAUGGGUGACUUUGAUGACUUUGUUUACCUAUUUCACAUGCAACGCACAAGUGUUCUCGAUAAAACUUGAGCAAGGGAAGACCUCGAACAUGACCUCCGGUGACAAGCUUGUUUAUGUCUUUGAUGUUGAGAUGUGAGAGCCUUCGGUGCCACAACUAGCUUUCGUCAGAAUGAGCUUUGGACAAAAGACAUAUAGCUGGAUUUCCUUUGAUUGGUUUGAGAUUGAGAGGAAACAUUUCGCCUUUUCGGUCUGAUUUGAGAAUGACCUUGUUGGAUUUCUUCUCUAUAAUCUCUGAACCUUCGUCGUCGAAUGAAACCUUGAGACCGGUACCGCCCACUAGUUGAGAUGNGAUUAUGCUGCAACCCUUCAACGUACGCCACCUUUCUUAUUGUGAAGUCUCUAUUGGUUAUCAUCCCAUAACCCUUUAUCGUUCCAUAAGAGUUGUUACCGAACUUGACAUUCCCACCAUUUUGAAGAGAUCGAAACUCCCUUAGCUCUUCCUUCCUUCCUGUCAUGUGACGUGAGCAGCCACUGUUAAUGUACCAUUCUUCGUCGAACUGCUCGUCACUUAUAACCUGCAAAAAUUAAGCAGAUUUAGGAACCCAAAGUUUCUUGGGUCCACGUGAGCUUUUCACAGGAACAGGAAUAGUAAGAGAAACAUCAACAAGAUUGUUCAUUUUAUUAAUGUUGUUUCAUCUUUUCUUUUAAUAGUAAACACUUUGAUUUUGUUAGGGUUAGCUACAAUCGUUUUGGUUUCAGAUUCUGGUGUUCGGGCAUUAUUCUACUUUCGGUCUUCCUGGACUGAGGAAAUCUUUGAUUUUCCUUUCAGGUUCGUUGAUGAUUUUGAAUUUUGUGCAGGAACAGAAUUGGGUUUAGAAGAGAAUUGAGAAGAAUUAGAAAAAGAGAACUUAGAAUGGGAAUUUCUUCUGACUUGAGGUUCGAAAUGACCCUUUUGUUUAUGGUCAUUUGAGGGACCGAACCUGGACCUUCGGUAGCUGCUCAAUGAUGAGUUGAAGUUGGAUUUUUGGUUGUUGUUGGUUGGUGGUCUGAAACUUGAUCUUUUAUUAUAAAAUCUUGAAGGACUAAAACUAGGUCUUUGCUUGUUAUUACUUGGCGGACUGAAACUCGCUUUUCGGUUGCUGUUGCUUUCGGGACCGAGCCUAUCCUUUCGGUUCUGUGCUUCAUGUGGCCCAAAAGUCUUUUUCUCUAACUUAGAAUCUUUAUCAUGGUAAGAGUAAUGAACAUUUUGAGAGCGCCAAAACUGUUUUCGCUCUGAGAGAUUCUUUUUGUAUCUCAGGUUUCUCUGCUGCUGUUGAUUUUUCACCUGUUUCGGUUGUCUAUGGAUAUUAGCCUUUUGUUUUAGCUUCUUGACAGCCAGUUCACUCUUCAUAGAUGAGGUUUCUCUUGUGGAGGUGACUUCUUCUACAGGNGGUAUUUCUUGUGCCACUUGUACUUGGCACGUCAAAAUUGUCAGGCGUAUUUAGCGGCUCUGGUACAUAUCUUCCUUUGGUUUUCUAGGACGUUCGUUCUGAUAGACCAAAUGUUUCGUCUGCAUUAUCUAUAGGGGCUGACCAGAAAAACUCAUCACAGCCAUCUGCGUUAUCUUCGUUCACUAUGGCAGUGAGUUCGGCUGUUUGAUGUUCGGUUACUCCUGUGACUUUAUAUACCUGAUUUGGAGUAGUUCUAACCUUCUGAAACACAAGAGCUUUUUCUUUAAGGGUCGGGGACUUAUUUUUGGACAAACGAGAAAAUUCCACAGAAUUUUUAGAAAUUAGAUUUUUGUGAUUUCGGGUUCUCUCUUGACAAACUUAGAACAGUCAACUUCAACCUCUACAGAAAUUUCACUCAUAUCAUCGUCCUUAUUAAGUUCAGAUGCGUUUUCAACAUCAAUUUUAUUUUCUGAACUUAAAUUGGCACUCAAUGAGUCGAAUUUUUGUAUGGUUUCGGUCCUUAGUUUCAGCUUAUCGUUUUCAUCCAAAAGAUUUUUAAGCAUGUCCUUAUGGUCUUUGGACUUUAUAAAAGAUUCUAUUUNUUUUGUCCAGACCCUACAUAUAAGUAGGAUUCACAUCAUCAGAAGAUACAACACUUUCACAGUUGUAUGCUUCAACAUCGAUGUCAUCCUCAAGGAAGGGUAAAAUCAUGCGAUGUAUCUUCGGCCCUAUUUCUUAAUUCAGAUGUAGUUGAGUAAUGUUAGCAUAAAGUCUUUUAGCAAUCAAACAAAAAACAUUCCUUUGUUUUAACAGUUUCAAAUUGUCUCUUUGCAAAUAAAUGUUUUCAUUCUCAGACUUAAUCAGCUCCAACUCCUUCUGCUCAAUCCACAUCCUUUGCUCCUCACUCUUGGAUGACACCCUGCUUAUUUGGUCAGUUAGGUUAGAAUUUGUGACCCGUGUUUGAGUUAAACAACUAUCCAGAUUUGAGAUUCUUGAAUUUAAGUUAUUUAGAUCCUUUUCAUAUGUUUUCUGUGGAAUUUUGAACGAAAUAAAAAGAGAUUGUACCUUCUUGAUCAGUUCAUCAAGUUCACUGAUCUGCACACUGAGAGGUUUUGUUGUGAAGCAUAAGUCCUCUCGCUCCUUGGCGUCUUCGUUUCCAUCAUCAGUAUUAUAUCCCCUCAUGUGAGAUACGUCAGUCACCAUCAGACACUUUCCACUGCUUUCACCACCUCUUGCGACAUAAGCCUUUCCGUGAGAAGGCUUUCUCACCUCAUCAUCUUCUGAGUCGGUCGACCAAACCUGUACGCCACCGAACUCAUCAUCCUCUGCCGAACCCUGUACAAUAAGAGCAUUCAUAGAAGGAUUAGUAGCAGCUUUCUUCCUUUUAAUCUCUUCUAGCUUUUUCAUCAGGAUUGCCUCUUCAUCUUUCUCCUCAUCUUUCUCUGUCAUUUUCUUCAAAACACAAUCUUUGGCGUAAUGAUUCUUUCCUCCACAGUAAUAACAGCUGACACCAGAAUCCGCUUCAACCUUCACCUCUUUCUUUGGUUCUUCAGUCUUCGGCUCCUCCCUUACUUUUUCAGAACUGUAGCUUCCCUGCCAAUUUCGGUUCUUAUUGGUAGGAAACUUCUUCUUGAUGAACCUUUUAGGAUUGGACACCAUCAUAGCAUAAUCUUCUGAAGUUAGAUCGUAGUCCUCCAGGUUCAGAUCUUCGUCUUCUACUGCAUUCUUACUUUUAGACAGGAGGGCCAAGGACCCCAAGUUUGAGACCACACUCUUCUCUUGCAUCACUAUCUUUUCUUGGGAUUUCAGAAUUCCCACCAGUUUCGCCAGCGAAUAUGAUUUGAACUGUUCAUGAGUUUUAACUGUAGACACAACAGCUCUUCAUUCGGAUCUUAAGCCAUUCAAAAAGGUAACCUUCUGUUCAAUAAGCUUCCUUUCGAUAUCAUGUUUGAUCAUCUUGCUGAGAAGAUGAUUGAAGCGAUCAAACGUCUGAGUAACGGACUCAUCGGAAUUUUUCUUGAACUCUCCAAACUCAGACAAAAGCAAGGUCUGAAUAGAGUGCUCCAAAUCUUCAUCUGUGGAAUAUAACUCUUGCAGCCGAUCCCAGAUUUCUUUAGCAGUACUGCAGGAACUCACCAACCUAAACGUGUCAGAUUGAAGAGCAAAUCGAAUCAGUCUCAAUGCUUUGAUGUUGCACUGAAACAUCUCCUUUUCGUCCUGAGCGACAUCUUUCACAUCCUUUAACAGAUCGUUAUACUCCUUCUGAGUUUUAAUAAUUCAGGAUGUUCCUGAAUGAGCAAAUGGUCCAGACACAAUGGCUUCCCAUAUUAGAUACCCAUUAUCUUCAGAUCCGAUGACGUAGUCUUCGAAAUGAUGCGCCCAAACCUCGUAAUCUUGAGUGUAAAGAAUUGGAAUCUUUGUUGUAGAUCCAAUACUGUUUCAGAUGUUGAUAGGAUUAGAUUAAGAAUCAUCCAUGCUUGAUCAUUUAACCUGUUGCAAGAUCAGACUUGUAAUAUGUAAUAUUAGGGCAAAACGAAUAAAUUAUGAGAUACGUCAAUUAUGGAGUGACGGCUCACUAAAUAUCAGUUAAUGCGGAAUAAACCCUAAUCACUUCUUUCACAGAAGAGAUGUGUAUGAAUUACACAGCCUCCUGCUCUGAUACCAAUUGAUGAAUUUAUAAAAACUUCUUGAUCGAUUAGAUCUUAUAACAGGUAAAUCAAGAAAGCAAAAACAGUAAGACAAAACACAAGAAUAAAUCUAAAUGUGUCGAAUGAUUAAAUUAACUCAAUCCUUAGUAGAGCUCGAUGAAGAACUUCCGUUGUAGAGGAUAUUAGGGUUACAAAAGAUAUGAACUGUGAACGCUAUCAAAAUCUCUAUCAAAUCUUACGUUCAAGGAUGCAUGCAAGCAUCUAUAAAUAUUAAACCCUACAAAAUAACUCACGGACAGACAGGCCCAUACCGGAGAUUAAUUGGACUAAGAACCGAGCCCAAGACGCAAUACUAACUGGACCUAACAUGUGAUUUAGCUUUAUUUCCCGUUCCUUUUUUGGUUGUGGACUUAGAGUAGGAUCACUUAUUCGAAGGUUUAUUUAGUCUUGGUUAUGUAUGAUUCGUAUACACUAAGUGAUUAUAGAAAGACUGAGUAUGGAUUACAUUAUACAUAUUCAUUUGAAGAGAUAUCACCAAUACCAUUGCGAUUGUUUACUUAUAUUAGUAAACUCCUAUUGUAGAUUGUAGAAUACUAUGAAAGUCAGGAUAUAAUGCGUUUAGAACUAAUAUAUAUUUGUUCAAUAUUACAUGACCAUAAUUGCUAUAGAGAACUUAUCAUCAUUUUUCUCUUCAAUUAUUUUAGACAAAGAUUCCUCCAAGAAAGUCUAACAGAAAGAACAACAAUCCACCAUAUCCACCACCACCACCUCCACAAUAUGAUGCUGCUGUCUUCCAAGCAGUAGUAAUUGCCGCCGUAACUGGUACCAUGAUGCAAAUUAACGCUAGUGGUACUAGUGGAGCUGGCAGCAGUGCUCAUAAUUCCAAUCAUGGUGAAAGUAUUGGACACCCUCGAGAGUGUUCGUCUAAAGACUUUACAAAUGCAAAACCCAAAACUUUUGAUGGCAUUGGAGGUGUCCUUACUCUGACACGUUGGUUCGAGAAAACAGAAUCAGUGUUUGAAAUUUGUGCUUGCCCUGAGGCAAGCAAAGUAAAGUUUGCAGCAUGCACCUUCAUAGACAAAGCCCUUUCCUAGUGGAACGGCUAUGUCAAAUCGUUAUCUCUUCCGGUCACCAAUGCUAUGGGCUGGGAUGAUUUUGAAAAUUCUAAUGCUUGCAGAAUAUUGUCCAAGAUGUGAAAUUCAAAAGUUAGAGCAGUAACUCUGGGGUCUGACGAUGAAAGACUCCAAUAUUGUUGCAUAUACUUCCAGGUUCAGUAAUCGGGCUAUUUUGUCUACAUGGAUGGUUCCCACUGAGAACAAGUAAGUAGAGAGAUAUAUCUGGGGACUCUCUCCUCAAAUACAAGGGAAUGUAAUAGCUGGAAACCCACUCACUUUUGACAGUGCCAAGUGUUUAUAGCACACACACUAGUAGACCAUGGAGUUCGUCAGGCUUGAUAGUACCCAUACCGAAGCAACCCAAGGAAGGGGGCAACAAAAAGAAGUAGUGGAAUAAGCGAAAGGGACAGUCAUCUCAAGAGCCCUCGAAAAAGCAACAAACAGUGGCAGCACACGUUGCUAUUGUUCCUGCUGCUAUUCCAAACCCUGUUCCUACCACUGUUUCUGCUACUCCAGUAACCCCAAGUCGACAUGCUGGAACUUUGCCAUAGUACAAUAAGUGAAAUUUCCAUCAUACAGGAGCUUGUAGAGAAAUACACUGCAAGAAUUGUAACAGAAAGGGGCACACUACGCGUUUCUAUAAAGCACCAGCAUAACCCAUUUCUCAAGUCCCUGCCACGGGAGCAUGUCAAACUUGCUAUGAAUUUGCGGAAGUAGGAAUUUUCAAGAGAAACUGUCCUAAGACAAAGAACGCUAGUGGUACAGGAAGAGUUUUGGCGAUUGGCUAUGAAGAAGUAGUAGCGGAUCCUAAUGUGGUGACUGCUAUGUUUCUUCUCAAUAAUUCUUACGUAUGCAUUCUUUUCGAUACCGAUGUAGAGAAAAGUUUCAUAAUCCAUAAAUUUAAACAUCUGCUAAAACCAAACCCCAAAUCAAUAAAAGAUACAUUCACCGUUGAGAUGGCCAACGAAAAAAUUGAGAGCACCUAUGACAUAUACAUAGCAUGCACUUUUACUCUAAAUAACCAUUCAUUCCAAAUUGACCUUAUGCCGGUCUCAAUUAAAAGUUUUGACAUCAUAAUUGGCAUGGAUUGGUUAAGUCUCCAUCGUGCUAAUAUCCUAUGUUAUGAAAAAUCCAUCCCUCUUAAUGUGCUAAGUAAAAAAUUUCUCGUUAUCUAUGGCUAUAAAUCCGGUGCAAAUCUUCAAAUCAUUUCUUGCGUCAAGGCCAGAAGUAUCUUUGCAAAGAUUAUUGUGUCUUCUUAGCUCAUGUUGUUGAUAAGACACAAGAAGUGAAAAGUGUCAAGGAUAUCCUUGAAGUCUGUGAUUUCUCUGAUGUAUUCCCUGAGGAUAUCUCAGGAGUUCCUCCUAACGUCAAGUCGAAUUCUGAAUGGACUUGAUUCCCAGAGCUACACCUGUAGUUAAAUCCUUGUAUCGUCUUGCACCUUCAGAAAUGCAGGAACUAUCCAGCCAGUUGAAGGAACUUCGCAUGUGUAUAGACUACCGACAAUUAAACAAACUUACCAAUAAGAAUUGAUACCCUUUACCACGGAUAGAUGACCUCUUCGAUCAACUUCAAGGAGCUAGUUUAUUCCCUAAGAUUAACCUGAGAUCAGGAUACCAUCAACUACGAGUCUAGGAGACAGACAUUCCAAAGACUACUUUCAGAACUCGCUACGGUCACUACAAAUUCUUAGUGACACUUGAUGGUCAAACGAAUGCGCCCGUAGUAUUCAUGGACCUGAUGGAUCGAGUGUGUUGACAUUACUUAGACAAGUUCGUCAUAGUUUUCAUUGACGAUAUACUAGUCUAUUACAGAAGUAAGGAAGAACACAACCAACACUUGCGACAAGUCUUAGAAACCUUAAGGGCAGAGAUAUUAUACGUGAAGUUCUCAAAAUGUGAAUUCUAGGUUCGAAAGAUGGAGUUCCUAGGUCAUGUAGUCAGCAAGGAAGGGAUAUAUGUUAAUCCCUCCAAGAUCAAAGUUAUGGAAAAUUGGGCGACCCCAUGAACCCCAACAAAAACUCGUCAGUUUUUAGGUCUGGCUGGCUAUUAUAGGAGAUUUAUUCAAAACUUUUCAAAGAUCGUGAAGCCACUUACCACCUUGACCCAAAAUGGUGUGAGAUUCAAAUGGGAUGAAAAACAAGAAGCUGCUUUCCAGAAACUAAAGCAAGCCCUUAGCAGUGCACCGAUCUUAUCCCUCCCAGAAGGGACGGAAGAUUUUGUAGUUUACUGUGAUGCGUCCAAGCAAGGCCUAGGUUGUAUUCUUAUGCAACAAGGAAAUGUUAUAUCCUAUGCCUCGAGACACCUUAAGAACCACAAAGUCAAUUAUACCACACACGACCUCAAACUGGGAGCAGUGGUUUUUGCUCUAAAAAUUUGGAGGCAUUACAUGUAUGGUACAAAAUGCACAGUCUCUACUAAUCAUAAAAGCGUUCAGUAUAUCUUUGAUUAGAAAGAACUUAACAUGAGACAAGGAAGAUGAGUAGAGCUACUCAAUGAUUACGAAUGUGACAUUCGUUAUCACCCUGGCAUGGCUAAUGUGGUAGCAGAUGCCCUUAGUUAGAAGGAGUACUCGGGACACCGAGUAAAGUCUCUGACCAUGACUAUCCAUUCCCACCUAGCCACACAGAUCAAGGAGGCUCAAUUGGAAGCCUUGAAACCUGAGAACAUGACGGGUGAAGCCUAAAGGGGAAUGAAAAAGAACUUGGAAAUCAAGGGUGACGGAGUUUGUUAUUUCAUGAAUCGAAUCUAGACACCAAAUUUUGGUGGCUACAAAGAUGUUGUCAUGUACGAAUCUCAUAAAAAUCGAUACUCCGUUCACCUGGGUUUAGACAAGAUGUAUCUGGACCUAAAUAAACUCUAUUGGUGGUCAAACAUAAAAGCAGAGAUAGCUACUUUUGUGGGCAAGUGUCUAACUUGCACCAAAGUCAAAUUAGAAUAUAAAAAGCCCUUAGGUUUACCUCAACAACCAGAAAAACUUGAGUGGAAAUGAGAGCGGAUUACAACGGAUUUCAUAACCAAGUUACCCAGGACAACGGGUGGCCAUGACACCAUGAGGGUUAUUAUUGAUAGAUUAACCAUAUCCGUACACUUCCUGCCAAUAAAAAACUGAUAAAAUGGAGAAGUUGACAAGUACGUACAUGAAAGAGAUUGUAUGAUUACAUGGUGUGCCAAUAUCUAUUAUCUUUGACCGAUAUAGUAGAUUUACCUCGUGGUUUUCGCAAUCAUUGCAAAAGUCCUUGGGAGCCAAUCUUGACAUGAGUACAACGUACCAUCCUCAGACUGAUGGGUAAAGCGAGAGAAUAAUUCAAAAGAUGGAAGACAUGUUAAGGGCUUGUUUGAUAGAUUUUGGUAAAGCUUGGGAUACCUAUUUACCACUUGUUGAAUUCUCCUACAACAACAGCUAUCACACUAGCAUCAAAGUUACACCCUUUGAAGCUCUCUAUGGUCGUAAGUGUAGAUCCCUUCUAUGCUGGACUGAAGUGGGAGAUACGUAACUAGACAAGAACCAAGUACUUGAUAGUACUCUAACCGGUCCCAAGAUCAAUCGUGAAACCACAAAAAAGAUUUUCCGAAUCCAGGAACGAUUAAAAGAUUCUCAAGAUGGAAAGAAGAGUUAUAUGAAUAAACGAUGAAAACCCAUGGAAUUAUAGGUUAGUGACCACGUUCUGUUAAAGGUCUCACCCUGGAAAGGAACGAUACAUAUCAAUAAACGUGGCAAACUAAAUCCAAGGUACAUCGUAUCAUUCGAGAUCCUUGCUAGAAUUGGUCUGGUUGCUUACAAACUUAAUCUACCGCAUGAACUCAGUAACAUUCUUCUGAUUUUUCAUGUCUAUAAUCUCAACAAGUGUUUGUCCGAUGAAACUCUUGUUAUCCCACUCGAUGAAAUUAAGAUAAACGAGAGUGUCAACUUUGUGGAAGAACCAGUAGAAAUCCAAGAUAGGGGGUAAAGAGAACUAAACAAAGCCGUAUCCCGAUAGUGAAGGUUCGCUGGAAUGCAAAACGAGGAUCUGAAUUCACUUGGGAACGGGAGGAUCAAAUGAAACAGAAGUAUCCACAUCUCUUUCCCUAGUCUUAGUGUAACUCUAUAGUCUUAAUUUUGGUAUGAAAUUCCCUUUAAUGGGGGGAUAAUGUAACAACCCAUUAUUUUUCUAUCUUCUAAAAGUCAACAAAAGUCAAAUAUAUCAAAUUAAAGUCAAAAUUAUUGAUUUUUUAAUUUAAUAAAAUUAAAUUAAUGUUUUUGAUACAUAUAAACACUUAGUAAAAGUCUUGUAGAAUAAAGGAGUUGAAAUCCAAGGAAAACCGAGGAUUCUUGUAUGAUAGAAAACCCUCGGAUUCCCUUAACACUUCGGACCGAAAAUGGUUUCCAACCGGAAACCUUCGCAUGGACCGCAAACCCAUCUCGGACGGAAAACCAUGCAAAACGGACAUAGUGUUCACGGCCAAAGACCUCGCAGGUCUUAUCACUUCUGAAUGCCUUGCAGCCUUAUCCAUUCUAACCAAAAACGAAGCUUGUUGAGUAGAGUUCCCAACCGAGAACCUCCUUUCUUCGGUUUGUGUUCUCGGCCGAAAACCCACAUUAUAUAUAUAUAUNNNNNNNNNNNNNNNNNNNNNNNNNNNNNNNNNNNNNNNNNNNNNNNNNNNNNNNNNNNNNNNNNNNNNNNNNNNNNNNNNNNNNNNNNNNNNNNNNNNNNNNNNNNNNNNNNNNNNNNNNNNNNNNNNNCGAAAAUCUAUCUCAUUCUUAUAUCUUUGACCUAAAACACUCACUAACCUCUCAAGAACACUCCAGCCGAACAUACUUCUUGUAAUCCAAGAUCAUCAAACCGAGAACCUUGUUUUCUCCCAUAUAUCAUAAGAAAAUUCACCAUUUCUCCUUAGGAUCUUGCUAAUUUCACUUAGUGUUCUUCAUCCUUUCGAGAAAUCAUCAUUCAACAUCUUAAACUCCAACCGAAAACACUCACAUAUUCUUGGUUUUACUAAGAACACCAAGAGAAACUACUUGAAUCAUGAAGUGGACGAAAACUAAAGGCUGGCCGAAAACUCCAAAUAGCCCCGAGAAUUACUUUUGUCACUCCUUUUGUAUGUCAUUUUACAAUAAUUAAGUGUUGUUUAACACUUUAAACUUCAUUAGACUAUCUAAUUUAUAUUUAAUAUAAUGUUAAUAUAAAUUAGGAUUCAGUUUUCUCACGAGUUGUAACCCGAAAAUCUACACAAUCAAUCGAGAACUCACACAAAAGGUGAGUUCAUACCCCUACAUUUUCUUGAUUUUUAACUGUUNAGAUGUAAAAUAUGUAAUUUAACCCCAUUUCAUGUUUCUUGUUUGGUUGUGGGCUUGGGGUAGAAUUAUUUAAUUGAAUGUCUAUUUAAUAAAAUUAUAUUUAUAUAAGUAUAAAAUGAUUUUCAAAGCUUGUUAAACAGAAACUUCAUUUUUACAAUCUAUUUUAGUACCAUAUGAAAAUAAACAGUGGAUUUCAAGGUACAAUAGUAUUACAGAUUUUUACAAAAUUUGACCAAUGUUCUCAUUACAAUGAAACACAAACAUAUAAACUAUAAUAUGUAUAGUAUAUGAAACUUACUCAUUUCAUUCAAUAUUCAUAUUACAAAACGGAAAUCAAACAUAUAAACUUUAAUGUAUAUGCAUUAAUUUACAUAUUCAGAGUAUAUUACAUUGCGUUCAUUACAAAGUAACUUUUCAUUAUAUACUUACAAUGUGUUCAUUACAAAGUAACUUUUCAUUAUUCUAUGCGUAAUCAUCAAUAUAGCAUUUAUGAGACACUCUUGAAGUCCUUUUCUAAGUACGAACCAAGUCCUGAAAUUAUAACCAGAGUCUCCUGGAGGGAGAGAGUCAGAUUUGUGUAUAGAUCUAUACGGGACUGACAAUCCCACACCGGAGCUGCUUGCAACAGCUAGGCCGGAAGGUCUGUGGUGACAAAUGUAACAACUAUUGCGAUGCCUGGAGAACGUCGUGUUCAGGUCAUCUUAGGUCAUCAAGCAAGGUUAUAAUAACUCACAAUUUGGUAUUGAACAAAAUGAUUAGUGCAUGAAUAAGUAAACAACUUCACGUAGUUUUAUUUAAUAAUAAAACUAUAAUACAAUAUUUUACAAGUACGGGUUAUACUAGACAAUUACAAACACAUGAGUUUCAUACUAGUACAAGAACAUAAUACUAUUUCAUGGUUUUAUGUGAACUAAACUACAUUUUACUACUUCAGAGUACAGUAACAUUCACACGUUUUGCUUACAAUAUACUAUGAUAGAAAAUAUAUGAUUUUCUGGGAUAAACAUGUUUACAUUAUCAAGGAACAAGAAAACAUAUUUCAGUUACGAACAUACUUAUGAACUCACCAACUUAAUUGUUAACACCUUUUCAAAACUACUUGUAUUCUUAGGGAAUUGGUAAAUAGGUACAUCCACAUAUUUUUGAGAAGACGGAGCUCUAUAGACUCAUGUGUUUUAACUUGUACUUUUUGGUGUCAAUAUAUAAUGUUUUGAACACAGAUGUAAAACUUAUAACUUUGUUAACAAUGGUUGUAGUACUUUGAUUACUAUUAUGCAUUGUUGUGAUACUGUAUAUGACGUCCUCCUCCCCCGAACAUUUACGUCGUUCCGGUUUCAGCGUGUGAAAAGAACCGCCAACAAGGUUGAAGUUGGUGAUAUGAGGAAUUUUGAAAGAUAUUCGAGGUCCAAUGAGGAGGAAAUUCUAGAAGUCUGGUUCGAAGAGGUUCAAAGGAGGAGGAGGUGAAGGAAGAUGGUGCGAUAAGUGCAAGAAGAAACACUUUGGAAAAUGUGGCUAGGAGGUGACAUGUUUCUAGUGUGGAAAAUUUGGACACUAUGCCAAUGAGUGUACAUACAAUAAAAGGGUGCCUUAUGAAUGUAAUGAAGAAGGUCACUUCAAGCAAGACUGCCUAAAGUGGGAAGGAGCUAUAAAACCAAACUCACCACCAAAGCCAAAGGUAAGAGCAUUCAAGAUGAUCCUCAAUGAAGCUAGUGACAAUGCAAGAGAUUGGGAGUGAGGAUCUAUAUGUCCUAAGGUCAAGAUAAGAAGUAGUCAUAUAAAUAUAAUCAUGUGGUGUAGCCAAUAAUAAGAGGCCUAGUGUAUGGUGAACUUGAAUAUCCAUGUAAUUGUUUCAAGAAAUAAUAUAAACCUUAGUUAUGUUAUCUGAUUUGUUAAAUGACUAUGUGAAACUCUUGUAUGGUGGCUUGGAAAAAUACAAGACAAUACUUGGGAUGAGUUUGAGUAGGUGUGAAUGGUCGUAGAGGCCUAUACUACUAGAAGCCCAAGACUCACACUUGGAUAAAGGAAAGUCAUAAGGUUACUGUUAGAAUAAAUCAAGAGUUGAUCGAUAUAUUUAAGAACAAGAAUAAGUAUCAAACACAAAGAAUGAAGAUCAAAGUAGUUUUGAAUGAUUAUAAUAUUUGCCUUAGAAGACCACGAUUAAGAAUUUCUACUGUAAAGGAACUAUAGGGUUAAAUAAAGAUCGACUCUAAAUAUGGUUCAUGCAUGCACUAUAAAUAGCCUUACCCUAGCACAUUGAAGACUGGGUGGACAGGCCCAACCCGUUACAAAAAGUCUAUAACAAUACAAUACAAAAUUGAAACCACACAAUAUAACCCUAACAAUCUCCCCCUUUGUGUCAAUAAGGAAGGUAGAUUGUUCAAUGUUGUUGGCGUUUCCAAACUGUAAACAAUUUCAGCAUUAUGCUCAGCAUAGUCUUGCGAACCAUGAUGUACCAAUUAAUCAUGCCUUAGAAAUAUUUCUUGACUCUGGCAUUCUUCGCUUUGUUAUAAUUCGUAAACUCUAAAAUAUAUUCAAGACAAAGAGUGGAGGAUAAAUGCUUGUCAAGCAACAAGAAAUAAACUCUAUGAAAGUUGGAAUUAGCCCUUUCACGAAUUUGAAAUGUUAUGCUCCAAUCAUCAUUUUGUAUUCUUCCUAGCUUCAUCUGAUCUAGAUCUUUCAGAGCUUCCUCGGGCAAUACAGUCGGUUUCUUCCUCAGAACAGUUGUAAUCUCUACAUCCAUCCUAUCAACCUCCUAGAUGUACGAGACCAACAAUUUUUUGAUGUGAGCAAUGACUAGUUCAAAAUUUUGUUCCUCCUUUAGCAAUAGAUGUAAUAGAGAAAACCAAUCAUUAGGGUUCAAGCAUGUCAAAUCUGCGAGAGCGAAUUCGUGUGCUGAACUCACAAAUCCACACGCUACCUUGAACUCACAACUCCACACGCUACCUUGAAACGAGCUUUCAAGAAGCUUUUAGUUUCUAUAGGGCCAAACACCUUCACUAUAGUUAUCUUCUUAGAGCUCCAAGUUUCGUAUUGUGGUUUCAUAUGCAUUAGGUAGAAAGAAAAAAGCAUCUGAUCAGGACCAUUGUCAAAUGGAGAAGCAUUCACAACUUUGUCAAAGCUAUGAAAUUGGAAUGCCCUCGGAUUUAUUGGCAUAUCAAGCUGCAAAUCAGUAGUGUUCUCCAAUUCGAAUUAGGUCACAAGCUCUAGCCAAUAAAAGUUUGGAUUAUCAAUGGCUUCAUUCAAGAUUCAUUCUGUUGACCAGAGAGGAAAAAUAGUUUUCUGAGCUUUUAAACUCUCCUCAGCUUUACGAGUUGCCUUCUCUCGUUCCUCAGCCUCCCUAGAAACUCGUAGAUUUUCAUCAAGUUUAGCAUCACGAGAUUUACGCUUUAGCUUCACAUUCUCAUCCUCUUCCUCAUUGUCAUCAUCUAUAACUUUUUCUUUUCCUAUUGAACUCAAAGCUACAUUAUCAUUCGGUUGAUUGGACUUGGGCUUUUCUUUAUGUUCAUCACCACCACUGGUUUGUUUACCCGCACCAGAAGUUCUCGCAUGUUAUUCCCCUUGUUUUGGAAUAGAAGAUUCUGAAACACCUUCAAUUAUGUCGAGCAUGGAUAAGAUCAACUUUAAUUUUUCUGCAAGAUGCUGAAGAACAGAGAUGGUGAGGAGAGAAUCACGCGUCUAGAUUAGACUGUGCAAAUUAGUGUUCACAUCAGCAAGAUAACAUCAGAUUACAGCCUGUUCAGAUUUCAGUUCGUCAAUCUACUGAUUAACAUAAGUAAGCUUCACAGACAUAACAUUUAACUUCUCUAUUUUUAAUGGAAGCUCAUCCAUUAUCUUGUUCUCCAUUGCCAAAUCUUCUUGUAGUUUCUCGAUCUUUGAGGAGAUGGACGUUUGAAACUCUGUAUUAUCAGUUUGAAGGUCAGUACGAAUCAUAUCUAGAGCUACUUUAUCAGUGUGAAGGGUAGAUCCAAGACUGGUAAUCACUUGGUUUUCUUUGGUAGUGUUAGUCUCAAAAGAAGUACGAAAGUUGCCCAUGAUGGUUUCAACAUUUGAAACUAAUUUAUCAACUUUUUCGGUCGUUUCCUUGCAGAUGGUCGAUGAAUCUUCAACUGCUUUAUAUUAUUUUUUCAAGGUUUGCAGCAUGCUCCUUCGUCGUUGUCUCGAGUAGAGCCUUGUAAGCUGCAACAGAGUAAUCUGAGUUGGAAGUGGAUGUGGAUGACUCAAUCAAGGUAUCCAACUUUUGUUGAAGAACCUUGAACUGCCUAUUGGUAAUGGGAGCUUCAUCCUCACAAUUACUGUUGGACGUUGAAAGGAUUGUAAUGAAAGUCUUCAAAGUCAUCUGGAUCAUCACUAACAUAGUAUCCGGAUCAUCAGCUCGUAGCGGUAAAAUAGGCGUGAAACCAAUAACAAAUGCGAAAUCAGAAGCCGCUGCCCCCGUAUCAGAUAUGUUGACAUUGACCGGUGGUAUACUUGUGGUUGUUGUUGGUGUAGCCGUUGAAUCAGUAAAGAAAGGAGUCGAUUGUGCAACCGACACUUGGGGUUGCGAAACACCCAUUGAAACAUUCAGACAUGGUGUGAUGAAGAUGGGAGUAGUUGUAGCAGUGGGAAAAGGAGGAAUGAAAUCAUAUAAAAUUCAUCUGUAAUUGGAACAGAAGUAGGCAUUUUGAAGGUUACCUCAUGAUUCGUGGUGAUUCGCUUCGAAACCAAUGGGUGCGAGGUCGUAGCAGUGUCUUUAUGUUCGUGUUGGACUUAUUCAGGACUGCGAACAUCAGAGAUGUUGUUAGACUGUGAAUUCUCCGCAUCACUUGGAGUUGGUGUUCUUUGCUAGAGAGCGGCUUGCUUGACUUUCUUCUUCUUUGGAGUUUGAGCAGGUUCGGCAUGGUCCUGCCUUCGCUUUUCAUUUGCAUCCAUUCUUUGGCUUGUCUACCUCCUCUAAAACUGUUCUCACUAUAUCGGUCAAUGGUCGAGGACCUGAAGCCGGUUGUCUGCGAUAGGCUUCGAUUACUUCAUUGUCAGUCGGUACAUUACGAAGCAUCAUCUCUGGAUUAGAUCUGAUAAAGGUAAACCGCAAACUAUCAGACAGAAUCACAUUUGAUGUAACGACCAAAAAUUUCAACCAGUUUAAAAUUUUCGAAAACAACUCGAUUCCAUUAGAGUUAUUACAAAAAGGUUUUCAGUACAAUUUAUUUUAAGUAUUCCCAGAAUCUCAUCAUGACAUAAACACGAGGAGCGGUACGAUCACGCCUUCGCCUUGCCACGGUCUCCUGAAGAACCUGAAAAACAUAAAACCACAAUUGUAAGCCCGAAAGCUUAGUGAGAUAUCCCCAAAAUACCAACCACAUAUACCAUACACGCAUAACAUGCCAUAACAUAUCCGAUCACAGAACAGCCAUGCACUUCGGGUCUACUGUGGGACUGGUCCGCCGCACCGGCCAACAGUCCACCUGGUCCACCCUCCGAGUCUAGCCAUAUACCUCGAGUCUACAGUGUGAUUGGUCCGCCCGCACCGGGCCUUCAAUCCACCUGGUCCACUCUCCGAAUCUAACCACAUACAUCGAGUCUGCAGUGUGAUUGGUCCGCCCGCACCGGGCCUUCAAUCCACCUGGUCCACUCUCUGAGUCUACAGUAUGACUGGUCCGCCCGCACCGGGCCUUCAGUCGGCCUGGUCCACUCUCCGAGCCUCGGCACGUCUGGUCCGCCCUCUUGGGGCCUACAACCUAUUCGGACCGCUCGCUGGGCCUUCGGGACAACCGGUCCGCCCUGGGUAUCUUGGCCUACAGCACAAAGCAGGACCCGCCUCAACCCAACUCCAGUCCAAACAACCAUGUGCACAUAAACAUACAAACAUAUAACAAUUCACAGUCAACAAGCCGAUCAAACAGAUCACAUAACAUAUCAUCAUCCUAACCAGGAUACCGACCUAACCGGUCACUAGCAUAGCAUCACCCUACAUCUCAGGAUACCGAUCUCAACCAAGUCACUAACAUAUACCAUCCUAGCUACCAGGAUGCAACAUAUCAAAGCAACAACAUACACCAAAUACCCGGAUCUCAAUCUGAUAAAGGGCCGGCCUUGGUGCCUUAGACCCUGUUGAUAUAGUCAGGAUAACUCACCUCGAAACUGUCGGCUGAAAGGAUAAGAUCCCGCUGCUCCACACUCCGACACGAACUCCUCCACUGAACAACACCAAAGCACUGAAAUCAAUAAAUACCCAUAAUUACCAAAAUACCCCAGGAAGACAACUGGUCAACCCUUGGACAAAGUCAAAGUCAACCCCUUACAGACUCUACUCGCCGAGUCCCCAAGCUCAGAACUUCCCUCAAUCCGCGACCUAACUCGCCGAGUCACCCCGAGACUCGCCGAGUCCAACAAUUCUAAGUCCACUCGCAUACAACUCAUCGAGUCAUCCCUUGACUUACCGAUUCUCGACUCAACCAGAAAUUAUUGGGACUCUUCGACAAGACUCGCCGAGUCGAAGAACAGACUCGCCGAGUUUAAGACUAUCUUCAACCUACUCGCCGAGUUGUUCUUACAACUCGCCGAGUUCCAGGCCAUCUUCAUCCAACUCGCCGAGUUGUUCUUCCAACUCGUCGAGUUCCAGCUCAUCUUCAAGCAACUCGCCGUGUCUACCCAUGUGACUCGCCGAAUACCACCGGUCUGAAUCCAUGCAGAAGCAUUCCAGGCCAUGCAAUUGAUCCAAAACAUAGAUCUAGCCUCCUACCACCCAUCCAUCACGUAAAGUGGCAAACUUUAUGUGAAUCCAAAGAGAUCUAGGCCUGUUACACUUUAGGCUAGGGUUUGGGACAUGAUGGCUUUACUAAACACUCAAACACAAGGACUUUAAGGCACUCUAGACCUUCUCCAUUCCAGAUCUGAGGUAGCAACCUCAGAUCUAACCUCCAAACUCCAAAACAUACCAAGAUGAGUUCCCAUGAACCCCAAAAUGAUGAAUCUAUAUGAUUAACAGCCCAAGAACGAGAUAAUACCUCAAAAGAACGCCCCAACAGCAAUGAAACUCGAAUCCAAGCAAAGCCCCUUGCUCCAAGCCUCCUACCCUUCAAGAUUUCCUCAACAAUUGCUUCUCCAAGCUUCCAAAUGCAACUUGAUCCACUCACACACGAAGGUUAGGGUUUCUAGACUUAAGGAUGAGUAAGGAGGCUGGGGGAAUCGAUGUUAUGUUCUUUAUAUAGGGAUUAACCCCGAGAAUUAGGGUUUUCUCCACUCAGCGCCUACUCGUCGUGUCCAAUCCACUGACUCGCCGAGUCGGCCACUUGACACACGACCAAGUCGCGACUCUACUCGCUGAGUCCACCCAUGGACUCGCCGAGUCGCUCUUUCCCAUAUUACUCUUUUAGCCCUUCAACUUUACUCUUGCUAUUCCAGGAUGUUACAAUUCUCCCCCACUUACAUUAGGCUUCGUCCUUGAAGCCUGCAACAACUCAACUCUUAGAAAUACUCCUGCCAUGCACCACCUGGCAUUAACCCAACCAGGUUCCUCAAAAUACAACCAUAGAACCAGAAACUCAUUUUCUCCUUCCUUACGGUGUCCUGACCACCGUCUCGAGCCGGCCACCGGCUUUACCCUCUGAUAACUCCACUUAACAACUGAGUACUACUCAUGAUGCAUCACUGCUCCAAUUCACAACCAUCACUCGACCCAUAUGAGCUAGAAAAUAACUAUGCACCACCGAAUUCCCGAUCCGAGUCUAACUCUAAUCAUUCUGCUGACAGAAAGACACAUUCUUCAGAGCACCCCCCAUGAGUUCUCCUUUUGCAAUCACAUACAUAUGGUUAACUAGCUCUAGCACCCUCAGGUUGGGAAAACUCGAUACACUGAUGACAUUUCUAAACAUCCCCUAGGAUGAACCACUACUACAUACACAAUUCCCUUAUCAGAAUCUCACUGAGAGCCCAAGACUCCCUCCCUGCAUCCCUUCCGAGCCUCUUGGCUCUACACCCGCAUAAUUCCUUCCGCGACCUUAGCAGACAUCUCAAACCGGAUGUGCUUCCAUUCCACUGCCGCAAACACGCUGCUCAAUAACCAUACUCAUAUCACUCUAAUCAUAACACUGCUCUGCCUUUCACUCCCGUGAGUUCGCACUCCCUCUCGGAGUUACACUCCUCUCUCUUUCCUUUACCAAGGAAAUCCACUUGGCCGCCUUGUCACUCCGACAAGUGCCACGGCGCUCGCCCAAUGCUACACCACUCCUUCAUAGUGUAUCCGCUAUCCACCCAACACACAUGCUCUGACUCUGCUCUCAAGGACUCUCGAUUCCAUGCACCAUCUCCACCCAUCAAGAUCAAUACCCGAGGCCAGACCUUCUAAUGCUAUCACACUGCAACAUACACAAUCCCUCUCCUCGAACCACUCUAUCAAUACCUUCAGAGUCUUCAGUAUGACUGGACCGCCUUCACAGGCCUUCAGCCAAUCUGGACCACUCUCAGAACCUUCAACCAAUCUGGACCGCCCUCCAUUGCCUUCAGUCUGACUGGACCGUUCUCCAAGCCUUUGGCCUGACUGGUAUGCCUACCGGCCUUCAGUCUAUCCAGACCACUCAACUAACAUCCAUCAUUCCGAGCUAUCACUCUGGGAAAUCCUCCCAUGCAUACUGGUCUAGCCCUCUAGGGGUUCCGAACUCUAACUCCAUCAUACAUACUCGAUCCCGGCCCGAUCUCAGGCCUUCCACAAUCAGAUGCCCUAGGUCUGUAUUCCGCCCCGCACCCCCGACACAUACACAUACCAACCUACACUCUGGGCUGACAGAACACUGCUGAAUCCCAAACAGCUAAGCAACCUCACAUGCUCGUCUAUCUUCUGGAGAAUUUUCCAAUUCUCCCCCACUUAGGAUGCUGACUAUCAACCACCGGUCGCCAUCACCGACCUCCCAGAACAACUCUGCACAAAACCAACACUUACAUGCGGAUUGAUUCCCACUAGCACUAGCAACCUUCACAAAAACACAUUUCCACACUGAUCAUCCCGCUCGAAAGAAACUCAAUCUGCAGCUAACCAUUCUCAGAAAGCAGAUGCUACCCGGCCUUCAAACCAAUGCCAGGUUUCCACUAAUAACCCUCAUGAAUGAUAACCAACGAAAUUCCCAAUACAACAACCCAUAACCAAACCACAACCCUCAAAAACGACGAAUACCGCAUCGAAAACCACACAAAGAUACCAGCAGAUAAACAAUACUCCACAAUAAACACAAGAUAACAAGACAUUAAGAAAGAAACAUACCCACAGCUGCAUCUGGCACUGCUCUGACAUCUUCUGCCGCAAGCUGAUAAGCACGACCCUGAGCCCUUGGGGGCUCCGCUCCAUCCUGACCUCCACCUGUGAUCCUCAAAGUGGCCGGUGCUGGAGCCUGCACCGGUCCUGCAGCAAGCUGUGGACAGUUGACCCUCAAAUGUCCAACCUGAUGACAAUGAUAACAAAUCCUCAAAUCCCGAACCGGCGCUGACUGCCGACAAUCCCUCGCAUAGUGCCCCUCCUUUCCGCACUUGCGGCAUGCACCACCGGACCUACAAACUCCGGUGUGACCCCUCCCACACUUCCCACAAGUGUGGCUGCUCAGAUCNNNNNNNNNNNNNNNNNNNNNNNNNNNNNNNNNNNNNNNNNNNNNNNNNNNNNNNNNNNNNNNNNNNNNNNNNNNNNNNUUGGACCGUUUCGGCGCCGGCUGCGACUGCACCAGAGCCUGCCUCAGCUCACGCAACUGCAACUCAAUCUCUAACUCACGCCGCCUGGCGGCCUCCUACAACUCCAAAAAGGUCUCGCACCUCUGCGCAGACACAAACUGUUUGAUGUCCCUCUUGAGCAUGUUCAGAUAUCGAGACAUCUGAGCCUGCUCCGAAGCGAACUCUGGGCAAAACAUCGCCCUCUCAGUGAACAUCCUGGUGAUCUCAGUCACUGACUCCGAAUCCUGCUUCAGCUCAAGGAACUCCUGAGCCAACCUCUCCCUCUCAACUUGCAGAACAUAGCGAGUGUUGAACAUCUCUCUAAACUGAUCCCAUGAAACCGCAGCCCUCUGCGCAUCCGAAAAUGACCCCGUGGUCAAUCUCCACCAAUCCUUCGCCCCGAGCCUUAACAGGUUCAGAGCACACCUCACCCUCUGAUCAGCAGGGCAUGAACACGUGAAGAAACACCCCUCCACGUCCAAUAACCACCUCAUAGCAACAAUCGGGUCCUGAACUCCAUCGAAUGUGGGAGGCUUCGUAAUUUCGAAGUCCCGAUACUGAAAGCCCCGACCAGCUCCUCCCCCUGUCGCUGCUACAGCUGCUGUAUCCGUCUCUAUGAGAGCUGCAUAGCGGUCAUCAAAAUACUCAACCAUGGCGGUCUUGAUCGACCCGAACAGUUCCGAAAACUCAGCCCGGAACAAUGCAGCAAUCUCAUUACGCAGGAUCUCACGAAUCCUCGUAUCCAACUCGCACAUGCUCAUCUGACCAAUAACCUCGGGCGGCACAGACCCGCCCGGAACUCCCUCUCCUGCCCCCGAUCCUGACCCGGAUCCAUUCCCAGCAUGCCUCGGAAUCUCCAUACUGAAAAACACCACAAAAUCUCAGACACCUCCCACUAUCCGGGAUCCAACUCCCUCAACCCAACCCUAGAGGACAUGGUUUCCAUGAUAUGCGUAUGAGUCCUAUGCAUUCAGUAGUACGGGCCCAUACUACCUUCCACACCUACCCAUAUUUGUAUGAAGUACUACCACAACACCCUAGGGAAAACAUGCAUAAGAACUCUCAACCCUCACCACAAGAGGAACACUAAAGAUCCCUAGCCUAACACUAGCAUGCUGUUCUAUCAAAGCUCAAAAACAAAUAUCAUGUAUGGAAUUUUGGGUUUACUUACUGGCUCCGGCUGAUCGUACCUCCGCGUCCUCCCUUACUCAUUUUGAAAACCAUUUUAAAUUCUCUUUUGACAACUCUCCUCGAUUUGAGACUGGAGUCACACGAGUGUUCCUCCAAUUCACUCAAACCAAGGCUCUGAUACCAACUUGUAAUGACCAAAAAUUUCAACCAAUUUAAAAUUUUCGAAAACAACUUGAUUCCAUUAGAGUUAUUACAAAAAGGUUUUCAGUACAAUUUAUUUUAAGUAUUCCCAGAAUCUCAUCAUGACAUAAACAUGAGGAGCGGUACGAUCACGCCUUCGCCUUGCCACGGUCUCCUCAAGAACCUGAAAUACAUAAAACCACAAUUGUAAGCCCGAAAGCUUAGUGAGAUAUCCCCAAAAUACCAACCACAUAUACCAAACACGCAUAACAUGCCAUAACAUAUCCGAUCACAGAACAGCCAUGCACUUCGGGUCUACUGUGUGACUGGUCCGCCGCACCGGCCAACAGUCCACCUGGUCCACCCUCCGAGUCUAGCCACAUACAUCGAGUCUGCAGUGUGAUUGGUCCACCCGCACCGGGCCUUCAAUCCACCUGGUCCACUCUCUAAGUCUAUAAUAUGGGAUAACGUGAUGAUUUGAAAUUAUACUUUAUAAUGUUAUUGGGAUAACGUGAUGAUUGUAAUUUCUGUUUAAAAAUGAAAAAAGUUAUCAUGGUUUUUGUGUUGUUACAAGUUGGUAUCAGAGCCUUGGUUUGAAGGAUUUGGGCACACUCUCGGGUGUGUCAGAACUCAAAUUGAGGAAUUUAUAAUCUUUUCAAAGAAAAAGAAAUUGGAUUAUGAAAAAUUUCUUUUUAAGUAACAAGGGGAGUGCAAUGCGUGCAAUCAGCCUAGCUCAAGUAAGUGUUUCCCCAGUUACUCAUUCUCCUGUAUUGUGAUUAGUACGCUUGAUAUAUGAACUGCAGCCUAGAUUAGAUCUAGGGGUAUCUUCAAGAAUCAUAUGAUAGGAUUUCUUGAUUUGUAUCAUGCCUUAUAGCUUAAUAGAACUUGAUGCCAUGUAUUAUUUGGUAUUGAUAUCGGCUCAGUUAUUUGCUAUGUGUAUGUUUUCAAAGUUGUAUAUGAUUCGGAUUGUAUAGCCCUAGAAUGAUCGAUUUGGCCUCAUUUCCUAUUCCUUGUUUGGUUGUGGACUUAGGGUAGAACCUUCAUUCGACAAUCGUUGUGAUCCUAUUUUGUGUACAACUUGCAAGCAUAAGGAAGCUAACAGGGUUGGUUGAGGUUCUUGCUACUGCAAGUGGUGAGGGUUGAGAGUUCUUAGUAGAGUCUAGGAUAUGUAUGUCACUUAGGAUGAGAUUUGGUGCCUGGUAGUAGUAUGGUAACUCAGAGGAAUUAGGAGUGACCUUGAGGAGGCUACAGGUAGGUGUGGAAGGUAGUAUUGGGCACGUACUAUUUGAAGCAUAGGACUUGUACCUAAGACAAGAGCACACCUGGAGACUCCAAGAGUACAUGUGUGUUAUAAGUUUCCCUCGAGUGUUUGCUGAUUGAUUAUAUCUUUGUGUUUCAUUUUGAGGAUGGUGGUCGCUCGUUUGGGAGGUUCUAGGUCUGGCUCUGGCUUAGAACCGAUUGAUGAGAUGCUGCGUGAGCUUAUUGUAGACGAGGUUACUCACAACAUACUCGACGCUACCCCUAUGAUUUUUGGUACCAUCAAGAAGGGAAUUUUAGAGAUCCUAGAGGAGCGACUCAGGACUUCUCAAGCCCAGAUUGCUGCAGGGCAGACUGGGGCAUGAACUUCCUAAUUUGGGGAGUUCAAGGCAUACGGAGUGCAUGAGUUCUUUUGUGUUUAGGACGCCAUCUCUAGCAAUCACUGGAUCGCUAACAUGGAUAAUUCUCAACGGACGAGCUUUUGCUCUGAGGGGGCAAAUAUGGGAUUUACGUCCUGCCUACUAAAGGAUAGAGCAUGGGACUGGUGGGAGGAGGUUAACCGAGUUGUGGGGACGGACAGAGUGAUAGUGAUGGCAUGGGAUGACUUUGUUCAAAGGUUUCAAAGGGAGUUUGCACCAGCUAUCGAGGUGCAGCAGACAGAGAGGGAGUUCCAGGACCUUCGUCUGACUACAGAGACUAUGGCGGAUAUUACCGCCAAAUUUAGGGAGAGAACAUUGUUAAUUCCGUAGUAGGGUGUAGAUGAGGAGAUGUGGAAGACAAGAUAUCAUGAUAUGCUGAUAGAUGAUAUCAGGGGGUUCGUGAGCUUUUAGGGUGCAAGACCUUGACUGACAUGAUCGAGAAGACCCGCAAGCGGGAGAUUGAGUUGGUGAUUCGGACGAAGUGAAAGCCGGAGCAGGCUAAGACAGCUAUGGGUCGGGCUAAGAGACCCAAUACCUUUGAUACCCACACCAGAGGCCAGUAGAGACCUAGCCUUUACACCAAGUAUGACAAGCUGCACAGUGGAGCCUGACGGUCAAUAGGUUUAGGAUGUUUUAGCUGUGGCCAGUCGGUCCAUGUUGGCAGUGUUUACCCCAAGAGGGCUAUGAUUUGCUUCCAUUGCAAUCAGAUUGGACAUAAAAAGGCUAAUUACCUGGGAUAGUUUGGGGGAGCAGUAGUGGCACCUGCACCAACCACCUUGAGGAUUACUGAUGGCCACUAGGUCAAGUCGGAGGCUCUUGUGGUGAAGAGCAUGGAUUUUUAGCUGACUACUGAUGAGGCCCGUGCAGCGCCGGAUGUGGUUAUUGGUACGUAUUUUAAACUUAUCUUUUAUUGUUUUCUUGUUUAUGCUUAUGUUUAUUAUGAUCUUGUAUAUGGACCUUUUUGGUCAAUGGUUUGAUCGCUCAUCUUCUGUUCGAUUCGAGGGCUACUCGAUCCUUUAAAUCUCUUGCACUCAAAAGAAGUUUCAAGACACUCUGGGGACUUUGGACUCCCCUCUAGAGGUGGAGAUUUUGGAUGACCAUAGCGUGAGUGUUGCAAUGGUUUUUCGUAUGUAUGUCCUAAAUAUGUUUAGUGAGAGGUUCCCUAUUGGUUUGCUGAUGUUUCUCUUGAUAGGAUCGGAGGUUAUAAUCGGGAUGGAUUGGUUAGGUCCCAAUAGGGCCGUGAUUCAUUACGAGCAGAAGUUUGUUCAGCUGUGAGGGCUAGGAGAUAUCUGUUGUAGGGUUGCUCUGGGUUCUUAGCUUAUGUUUUUCACACGCGAGUUGAGGGAACGAUGGAGUUGAGUAAGGUACCCAUUGUAUGGGAUUUCCUUGAUUUUUUUUCCUAAGGAUUUUCCUGGAGUGUCUCUCGAGAGGCAGGUUGAGUUUUUGAUUGAUUUGGUACUUGGUGCAGCUCCGAUAGCAAAGGCACCAUAUCACCUGGAACCACCUGAGAUGUAGGAGUUAUCUAUGCAAUUGUAGGAGCUGCUAGAUAAGGGUUUUAUUCAUCCAAGCAGCUCUACGUGGGGAUCAUCGAUCGUAUUUCUGAAGAAGAAAGAUAGGUCGCAUAGAAUGUGCAUUGGCUAUCGGGAGUUAAAUAAGCUAAUGGUAAAGAAUCGUUACCCACUUCCUCGUAUUGAUGAUUUGUUUGACCAGCUUCAGGGUGCAUAUUGGUUCUCCAAGAUUGAUUUACAGUCCAGGUACCACUAGAUGAGGGUUAGGGAUGAGGUUGUGAAGAAGACAUCCUUCAGGACUCAUUAUGGUCAUUACGAGUUUGUGGUGAUACCUUUCGGGCUCACCAAUGCACCGGGAAUGUUCAUGGACCUCAUGAAUUGGGUAUGCAGGCCGAUGCUGGAUCAGUCUGUGAUUGUAUUUAUUGAUGACAUUUUAGUCUACUCCAAGACCAUGGAGCAGCACGAGCAACAUUUGCAUGAGGUGUUGGAGGCCCCGAGGAGAGAGGUUUUAUGCCAAAUUCUCUAAAUGCUAGUUCUGGUUGUGUGAGAUGCAGUUUCUGGGGCAGAUUGUCAACCAGAAAGGAAUGUAGGUUGAUCCGACCAAGAUUGAGGCGAUGAUGUGUUGGGAGAUUUUGAGGACCGCAUAUGAGAUUCUAAGUUUCUUACGUCUCGCAGGGGUAUUAUUGGAGAUUUAUCUAGGAUUUCUCCAAGAUUGUUGUGUCGUUGACCUGUUUGACGAAGAAGUGUGUGACCUUUCAUUGGGGGCUUGAUCAGCAGUUGGCUGUUGAGACUCUAAGGUGGAGAUUGUGUGAGGCCCCGAUUCUUGCACUUUCUGAGGUUUUGGAUGAAUUUGUUGUUUACUGUGAUGCCUUUAUUACGGGUUUAGGAGUUGUUGUUAUGAAGAUGGGUCAGUGAUUGCAUACGCUUCGAGGAAGCGGAAGCAUCAUGAGGCGAAUUAUCCGACACAUGAUUUAGAGUUGGGGGCGGUCAUUUUUUCCCUCAAUAUUUGGCAACAUUAGCUCUAUGGGGUCCGUUGUACUAUUUUCACGGAUCACAAGAGCCUGAGGUAUCUGAUCGAUCAGCCAAUUCUGAAUAUGAGGCGGCAUCGUGUAGGGUUAUGAUUGUGAGAUCAUUUACCAUCCUAGGAAGGCCAAUGUGGUGGCUGAUGCUCUUAGUUGCAAGGAGGUCGCAACUUCGAUCAUGCAUAUUUGUUUGAGGAUGAACAUGAUUACUCCACUUUUGGAGCGGAUUCGUGAGGCAUAGAUCAAGGCUAUGAAGGAAGAGCACCAGAAGAGCGAGCACGUAGUGGGUUAGGUGGAUUCAAUUGAUUAUGAUAGUCGCUGGUCAUUGACUCUUCAUCAGAGGGUAUGGGUUCCAUACUAGGGUUGUAUGCAUCAGGUUCAGAUGGAGGAGGUGCACAAAUCGAGAUUCUCUAUUCAUCAUGGGUUCCAUACUCUUCGUCCUGAUUAUUGGUGGCCCUGCAAGAAGUAGGAUAUAGCUUGGUACGUAGAGAGGUGCUUGACUUACAUGAAAGUCAAUGCUGAACAUCAACGACCUCACGGCAAGAUGCAACUAUUAGAUAUUCCCGUUUGGAAUUGGGAGGAGAUUACUAUGGAUUUCAAUAUGAAGUUUCCUCAGACUGCGUGGAGUGGAUUUGAUUUGGGUCAUCAUGGAUUGAUUAACCAAGAGCAUACAUUUCAUUCCGAUUCAGGAGAGUAUCUCUACGGAGAAGUUGACUGAGGUAUACAUCAGGGAGGUCAUGGCACGACAUGAGGUGCCAUUUUCAUUGGUUUCAGACAGGGACGUCUGGUUUACUUCCAAAUUCUGGAAAAGGUUCCACGAAGAGUUGGGCACUCAUCUGCAUUUCAGUACGACAUUCCAUCUGCAGAACAAUAGCCAGAGCGAGCGGAAUAUUCAUACAUUGGAGGAUUUGAUUUGGGUGUGUGUUUUGGAUUUCAGUGGGAGUUGGGAUACGUAUCUUCGUUUAAUGGAAUUUUCGCAUAACAACAACUAUCACGCCAAUAUUGAUCGACCUCCUUUUAGAUGCUUUAUGGGAGGAAAUACAGGAUCCCAAUUUGUUGGGGUAAGGUCGGUCAAUGAGUUAUGGGCAGUACCGAGGUGGUACAUAAGACUACUCAGUUGAUACAGAAGGUUCGAAGUAGACUCCAGACAACUUAGAGUCGGCAAAGGAGCUAUACCGACAAGCGCCGAUCGGAUAUUGAGUUCCUGGUUGGCGAGAUGGUUCUUCUAAGGGUGUCACCUUGGAAAGGUGUCAUCCGAUUCAGGAAGAGGCACAAAUUGAUCCCCAGUUAUAUUGGGCGUUUUAGGGUUAUAGCUCUGGUGGGAAGGGUUGCGUAUCAUUUAGAGCUUUUGGAGGAGCUCGGUUAGAUUCAUAGCACAUUCCAUCUCUUUUAGCUAUGGAAAUGUUUGGUCGAAGAUUCAAUAGUGGUCCCAUUAGAGGAUAUUCAUGUGGAUGAUCGCCUGAAUUAAGUUGAGGAACAAGGUGGCUGAGUUAGUAAAGGUUUAUUGGCAACACCAGAAGGGCUUGGAAUGGACAUGGGAGCCGGAGGAUGAGAUGAGGUAGCACUACCCGGAGUUAUUUGGGGUAGCAGACUUUGAGGAUGAAGUCUGAUUUAAGUGGGGGAGAAUUCUAUCAUCUGGAACCCUAAGGUACUAAAGUCAUUUGUUUUUUGGCAUUAUGGGGGUCCUCACGACGUGAGAUCUUGGGGAUCCCGACGUGAGGGGCCAUUGACCGGUUGACCCUUGUCUUGGAGUCUCACGACGUGAGACAUAAGUUCUCACGACAUGAGCAUGGCUUAAUAACCCCAAACCCCAAUUUUCGGGUAUUUAAAGGAAUAAGAUGCUAGGGUUACCCAUCCUCAUCCUCUCUCACCCUCUAAGCCUCUGAAAACCCUCAUCAAUCGAACCUCUUGAAGUCCUUAGGCGUUUUUAAGACCUUUGAUGCAUUCCUUGGUGGUUUUGAUUCUUUAAACUGGAAGAAGACCGUGGUUGAGCAACCUCUUGGUGUUUUGGUUUCUACCUUGCAAUCUCUUGGAGCUUUUGGACCAUUGUAAGUCUUAAAGCUUGGUCUUUUCAACGUUUUUCAUAUUAGAUCUAAGUUCUAAGCUCCUUUUUGCAUGAUUGUGUGGGUUUGCAUGCAUGAGAUGCAUGAAGUUGCUAACUUUAUGGAUAAUUGAGUCAUUCCCAACUUUUGGGUUAGUAAGAGUUUAAGUCAUGCAUUGGACAUGAAUUAGUGAAAAGCUAUAAUUUUUAUCACCCUUUGGGUAAGGAAAGACCCUCUGGAAUGUCCCAAGUUAUGGAUGUAAGGAUUAAGAGCUUAAUGCUCAAAGCUGCUCAGUACAAAUCUCACGACGUGAGGAUUAAGCCUUUCACGUCGUGAGGAUACUAGCCACCCCACCUAUUUUGUCCGGAUUAGAUCAUGAUGUGGCUCAGGGUGAGGUCACGAUAGGACCAGGAUUAGAAUCAUCUGGAUGAGUUGAGUUGACCCACUGAGUCCGGACUGGGUUGAGUUGGUGCUCACGACAUGACCAUGAGCUAGUAACGACGUAAAGACUUGCUAUUGGAGUUUGGACCAUUGAGUUUGUACUAUUGACUUUGGACCAUAGCUAGGAUUUUGGUCUUUGGGCUGUUGAGCAUUAGUGGCCCUUAGAAUUUUGUUAGUGGACCCUAUGUUGCAUGAGUUGGGCCUUAUUGGGCCUUGGGGGUCAUUAUUUUGAUAUUGGGUCAAGUUUGGGUAGGCCCAUUAAUGGAAGGAUAAAACCGACUUUUAUCCUUUGACAUAGGGUUGGGUUUAGAUCCAUGGCUAUGGUUUAUAACCAAAUUUUGAUUAGGGUUCUUUGUUGUGUUAGUUAGGGAUCCUCUAAUUCUACAUUCGAGCACCUAGUUAAUUAUCAGUUGACUGAGGUGAGUAUUCUCACUGUAUCAAUGGGUCAAAGUCACCACAGUCGGCUCGUUACUUGUGAUAUAGGAUGCUAGCUAUGCAUGUAAUAUGUGUAUGAAAGACCAGGAUGUGGCCCCUGGAAAUUGUAUGAAAGGCUAGGAUAUGGCCCCUGGUAGUCUGUAUAAAAUACCACGAUCUGGUCCCUAACACUUGUUUGGAAGACCGGGAUUUCGCCCCCUACAAGAAAAUACUUGUAAUAUUAUGAUUUGGUCCAUAUCACUAACUUAUUUAUGAUUGGUAUGUGAUACCUGGGGGAAAAUCACUAAGCUUUUUCUUGCAGUUUGUAUUUAUGGUUUUAGGUACAUCCAAUACUAAGGGAAAGGGCCCGACCUAAUGGCACAACAUUCUCCCCUAACUAUUUUAUUGAUAUUGUCACUCUCAUGAUUUGACAUUGUAAUUUGUAAUGUUUUUGGGACAUUGUGAUGAUUGUAACUUCUAUUUAAAAAUUAAAAAUUUUAUCAUGGUUUUUGGGCUGUUACAAAACAUCGAUCCCUAUUUCAUAUAUUGUUAUCUGGAAUCGCAACAUACACGUCACGUAUAUGGCUUAUACUUUUCACGUCCAUCAUUACACAUAUACAUGACACAUUUCACUCAUUACUAACUAGGCAUCACAUAAGCAUAGUACAUUACUGUUGGGCAAUAUUAUGUUGUGUCAAAUUUUUAUUAUAUUAUUAUAGUACAUUAGUAACGGGUUGGGUAUGUCCAUCCAGUUUCUUUAUUGUGCUAGGGUUAGUUAUUUAUAGUGCAUGCAUGCACCAUGAUUAGUAUCGAUUCUCUUGUAACCCUACCGUGCUUUUACAGUAGCAGUUCUUAAUUGAGCUCUUCUAAAGCACUGAUUAAAAUCAUUCAACAUAACUUUGAUCUUCAUUCUUUGUUUUUUAUUCUUAUUCAUGUUCUUGAAUCUAUCGAUUAACUCUUGAUUGAUUCUAACAAAUGGUAUUAGAGGAGGGGACUGUGUAAACUAUACGCAUAUCUUCUGUUAAAGAGUUAUUAGGGUUUUCGCUUUUAUUGGAUCUAUUCUCUAUCACCUUCUCAUUUUUGACGACUGGUGAUGUUGGAUCUGGAUCUUGAUUCUACCCUAAACUCGAUUUCAGUUUUACACAUAUAGUUCAUUACAGGUUUUCAGUGAAUCGACAUCAUGCAUUUAGAAGAUUCUCACGCUCUUUCAUGCAACCUAUCCAGUAGUAUUGGUUCCACAAAAAGGAUCCCAAUACUCUUUCUGCAUGAGUAUGAAGUGUGGGUAAUGCAUUAUGAGGAUUAUGUUCUAGGUCUCGAAGAUCAUGGUUCUUACAUAUGGGAAGCCAUGACUAUUCAUACAUUUACUCAUAAUGAUACAAGAAGAGUUAUUAAAACUCAAGUCGACUACAACAAGCUUCUUCUCGAUGUUAAAGACAUUCCACGGGAUGAGAAAGACAAGUUAAUCAGCAAUGUCAAGGCUAUGAGGAUUAUCAGGUACGCUUUGCCACCAGACAUGUUUUGUCCGGUCAGUGCCUAUGACACAACGAAAGAGAUGUGGGAAAGGUUGAAAGAGUUAUAUUCUAACAAUGAAGAUCUUAAACUCCAUUCAAACUUUUCCUCUUUCUGAGUUUGGGGAUUUUGCUCAGAAGCCUGAGGAGAAACUUGAUCAAACAUUCAACCGGUACAAUCAUCUUUUAAGCAGGACGGUGAAAAACAUGAUCGGACGUGAACAAAUAGAACCGAAGGUCACGUUCAUGAAUGGACUAAGGUCAGAGUUGAAACCUGUGGUGUCAAUAGUUAAGGCAUAUGAGCAGUUUAAAAUCUAGUCCGUGGUGAAGCUUGUGGGGAUUCUCAGAACUCAUGAGGACGAAGUAACAAAAGAAUCCAAGAUUGUUUUUGAGAUGGGAUCUUUGGCCCUUGUUGUGAAGGGAAAACAUGUUGAAGAAGAAGAAAGUUCAGGGCUUGAUCUCUCCGACUGUGAACUCUCAAAGGAGGAAUAUGCACUCAUGGUCUCAAAUCCUAGGAAGUUCUACAAAAAGAAUUUUGGACGCAACUAAAACAGAAACUGGGAAGGAAGUUAUAGCUCUGAGAAGACGAAGGGUGAGAGUGUCAACAACAUUCAAAAGGAAGAAGUGAAGAAAGAUAGCAAGUUGGUAGGAGAUUCUGGAUAUGACUGUAAUUACUAUCAUGGAAAGAAUCAUUUGGUGAAAAAAUGCAUGUUGAAAAGGCAAUAUGACAAACAGGAUGAAGGAGAAGAAAAAGAUGAAGCUUACUAUCUUUGAAAUAUAUAAGAGCUCAAGAAAAAGAAGAAUGUUGAUAACGCUAAACCUUCUUUGAUUUUGCAGGAGAAUGACGACGAGUUUGGAAGAGUUAAAGUUUGGUCAACUGACUCGGAGGAUGACGAGGUUCGCAGACCUACACAUGGAGGAUGCUUUGUAGAGAAGGAUCAGGUCCCUGUGUACCAAGGAAGGUGUUUGACGGUGAACAACAAUGUUUCGGAGCAAAAGGGAUGUGCUUCGAAUAACUUCUUCGCAGCAAAGCCUGUCACAGAACAAAUCAGCGUGUGUGAAGAUAUGAUCAGCAAGGUACAUUCCAUUCUCGAAUCUUUAAAUAUUCAUGUCUCUCGGUGUGAAAGUGAACUAGAAGAUUUAAAAUAUACAGUCACUAGUUUAUCUGAUAGUUAAAAAGAACCCGUUUAAGUAAUACUAACUUAACCGAUCAACUUGGCAUGGUAACAUCAAAGAGUGAAGAGAGGCGCAUGUAGAUUGAGAAGUAAGAGUCUGAUUUAUCUAAGCCCAGGGAUGAGAUGAUUUAUUUGCAAAGAAAAAAUAUAGGGAUUUUAAAACAAUGGAACAUUUUUUGUUUAAUUGCUAAUCGUCUUUACUUUAAUAUCACUCAGCUGCAUAUUGACUGUGAAAUAGGAAAGAAAAUUUAUAAAAUGAUUUUGCCCUUUCUCGAAAUGAAAGUUGCAAAAUCGAUGCAGAUUGCUUCAAAUGAAAAUCCAUAAUUUGAUCUGAAGAUAUCUCUGAUCCUUAGAAAGUUUGACUGGACAAAAUCGAAACUUACAUAUAGUCCAAAGAACACAAAGAAAUGUUGAAACAAAUCUAGAGCGAAAAAGAUAAAGAGCAAAUUAAAUUUGAUAUUGUACACAAAUUUAAAUUAUUAAGUACUAAGUUGACUUCAGAAAAUACAAUUAAUGUUGAAUUAUUUCUGAAUUUGUUGAUGAAAGCGACAAGAGUGAGAUUUCAAUAGAGGAUGAGAUUGAUUGUUCAGAAUUUAUCAAAAAUGAAUCUGAAUCUAAGAUAAAUAUGAUUUGUAAAAAUUAUGUUGUGUAUGUUCGCAUUUCUGAAAACAAAACUUCAAAGAUUUUAAAAGAAAAAGCAACAGCUUUUCCCAAGGUCUAAAUUGUUCCGAACCUAGUGUUCGCAACUUCCAAACUGAACAAAAAUCAGACCAUAGAAUUAACGUCCCUUGUAGAAGAUGAAAAUGCUGAUGGAUGUGACGAAAUCUUUUAGUCCGCUCAACUUGAGAAUGCUGAUGAAACCAAAGGUCUUUUGAAGUUGACCUCUUGGAAAGCAAAAGGAAAAUAUGUGGCUGAACCACUGAACAAGGUCAAUUCCACCGACGAGAAAUGAAGUCCGAGUGGAACCAAAGUCGUUCUAGCUGAUACAUCAUCCAAACAAACUGAAACCCCUAUUAGAAAAAUGAAACCUAGGGCUAGUGUUCAUAAGUCUAUUAGAUUAGAUGUCUAAGUCCAUAACUAUAAUUGGUAUGUACUUGACCCGAUAGUAGCAUGGUUCUUUUGGGUUGCCUUCACCAUAGCCAUUUGAUAGGAUGAUUUAUAGAGAAUAAUGUUGGUAAAUGAUUUAUUAUAGAUUAUAAGAAUAAUAUAUUAAUUGAGAAAUCAUAUUAUUUAUUUGGUAUUGAUCAGAAAUUAAUUUGGAAUUAAUUUAGUGAUCAAAAGAGACUGAUUAAAAGAAUGGGGACUGAUUAUGUAAAUCAGUAAUAGUUGUAGUUUGGGCUAAUGGAUCCUACUGGUAUAGGAUGGACUGAAAUCUAUAGGGAUCCCAUAUAGUUUUCGUCCAAGGCUUACCAUAUGGGAGUCCAUGUGUUGCUUAGGGCCUAAGCAAGGGAAAUUAGGGUUUCCAAGUUGAAAACCCUAGUAAGCCUCAACUAUAAAAAGAACCCCAAGGCUCCUAAAAUUGGCCACUUGACUCCUUAGAAGAAACCCUGGCCGAUUUUUGUAGCCUCCAGCUCUCUCUUUUUGAUCCAUUGCUAGUUGGUGUUUGUAACACCAUUAGAGGUGCAACAGUUGGGGCACUAAGCUCUUGAAGGUCAAGAUCAACAUUCAACAAAGAAAAAUGUAUUCUUCUAACUAUGUUUACUUAUCAAAUUCGAAAAGUGUAUGCUAGAUUAGGGUUUUGCUUUGGAAAAUUAUUAUGCAUGUAUAACUUGAGAAAAACCUAGAUCCAAAGCAAUUAGGAUUGCAUGUGCACCAAAGGAAUGUUGUUAUGCUUAAACCCCAUCAGUGGUAUCAAAGCUUAGGGUGUUUUUAUAUUAUAUGAUGCAAUUGUAAUGUUUUCAAAGCUGAAAAAAUUUCGAUUUUUGGUUUCUGCAUGAUGAACACGACGUGUUCAUAGUUGAACAUGAUGUGUUGGACUACACGACGCAGCAUGGCCUCUCACGACGUGGUAUCGGAUUUGUUGGCAGAUUUUUCGGAUUUUGACCAUAAAUUAGAUAAGGAUCAUUACCUUAAAUAUUUUUAACUGUUAAAAAUCGAAAUUUAUGAUAUGGUAAUGAAUAUCCUCAUCUAAUUACAAGAUAAUGGUCAAAUUUUAAGAUAAUAUUUUAAAUUAUAUAGUUAGUUUAGUUAUUUAAAAAUUGAUCUAGAAGUUUUGAAAAGUUUCAAAACUUGCCCUCAAGUUUUGGAAUUUAAAAUUUUAAUUACAAGUUAAUUUUGAAAUAUUAAAUUCUAAAACCCUAGUAUUUUAAAAGCUUAAAAUACAACCCUUAUACUAUUAUAAUAUUAAAAGAGUAAUAUGUAUAUAUACGUAAAAGAUAAGUCAGUCUUACCAUUCGUAGACCUCAUUCACGAAGCCGAUCUAUAAGGGGGUAUAACGAAACUGCCUAUAAAAUGGUGGUUGAAUGGGUGUCCACUCUCACCCACCGCUUCCUUGAUUGGUGAAGGUUCGUUAGCCGAACCGGGUAGGAUAGGACAUUAAAUCCUCAUUAAUAAAUAUAAUGAAAAUUAUAAAGUAAAUAAAUGUUUUUAUAAAUUCCCAAUCUUAUUUACUUUAGGAAAAUGUGAAAAUGAUGUUAUUCCAUGAAAUUGCACUUUGCACCUUACCAAUUUGUUAGUGGAGAGUGUGUGGUUAACUGACACACUAAUUUAGACUAACAAGGGGGAAAAGGGUAGCUCGAGAAUUAUCAUAGAUCAAUGGAGUGUGUAUGCUUAACUGGCACAUUGAUUAGGUGGUAAAUGACUCGAGAGUGCCAAGCUAAUUUGCAUGGUUAUUCACACCUUGUUUGUGAUCCACGGUAUCCCAGUCACAAAAUUAAAGGGCAUAAUAGAGAUUAAACAUGUCAUUGAAAAGUUCAAUGAAUCUCAAAAGACUCUAGGAAUUUCAUUUCAUUUAAAACCGAAUUUUUCAUUUCAUUUUCCGUGGUGGAAUUGUUAAAUCGUCAUUUACCUACCUUCAAAUAUUUUGCAAUUGGAUUACGGCAUCCCUCUUCCGAAUUGUGAAAUAUUGUAUUGGGUACUUGCCUUAAUAUUUCAUUUGGGUGUUAUAUUAAGGAUUCUUUAUCUAAUCAAAACUUUUUCCUUUUUUUGUUUUAGAUUCCUAGUUCAAACAACGCUUCUAGCUUAAACAACAACUCCUCAAGCUCAUUUUCUCGCUUAAACAUUUGUUCUACGGUCAACUUCGAUGGAUCCAAUUCCAAUGAUUGGAUUCACAACAUCCGAAUGGCCCUGCGAUACGAAGAAAAUGAAUAUGUUCUCAACAAGCAACUCAACGAGAUCGAUGAAACCAAAUCUACUCCCGAGCAAAUAGUCGAGUACAAGGCUCAUGAAAAGGACACAACAAAAGUGUCGUGUAUCAUGGUAGCCACUAUGACUCUUGAGCUAUAGCGGUUUUACGAGGACCAUUGGCCCUAUGAGAUGUGAUAAGAAUUGAUGGAAAAGUACCAACAAAGUGCGCGUCAAGAAAGGUACGAGAUAGCUACCUAGUUGAUAAUGACCAAGAUGAAGGAUGGAGAGUCCUUCACGAGCCACUUGCAAAGAUUGCAAAUAUAUGUGAAUCAAUUGCUCAAGUUGAAUGUCAACUUUGACGAAGAUUUAGCGAUUGAUAUAAUCCUACACUCUUUACCUCCUUGCUAUAACCAGUUCAAGAUGACUUAUCAUAUGAACAAGAAGUAAGUCACGUUGAGCAAACUUCAAGGUCUGUUAAGAACUACUGAAAGUGAACUAAAAGAAAAAGGUGUCGAGUCCACUCCUGUUGCUGUUGCUGCCCUAGUCCUAGCAAUUUGACAUUGGAAGGGGACGAAGAGGCAAGUUCCCUUUAAGAGCCACAAGGGAAAGUCUCAUGAUGGAUCUUCUUCAAUGAGUACCAAAGAUAAAGUUGGCUCUGCUCCUCCUGCAUCUGAUCCCAAAGAAGCAAUGUGCUUCUAUUGUCACAAAAAGGGGCAAUGAAAACGAAGUUGCCUGAAAUACUUGCAGGACAUCAAGGAUGGGACGAUAAAGCCAACCUUCGCAUGUAUUUAUACUAUUCAAUCUAAUAACUCAUCAUAUGCUAAUUCUUAGGUCCUUUAUACAGGAUUUGGUUUUCACAUUUGUUCUGAUUUGCAGGGGCUAAAAAGAAGUAGGGAUGUGGAGCAUGGGAAGAUGAACCAGAUAAUGCGGAAUAGAAAACCAUCGCCUGUCACCAAGAUCGAGAUUUAUUCCUUAUUUCUUAGUAGUGGGUUAGGAUUAGAAUUAAAUGAUUGUUUCUACUCAUCAGAGAUGAUGAGGAAUAUUAUUUCCUUCCAUGGUUUGUACAGACAAGGUUUAGAUUUUCAUUUAAUAAUGAAGUUGGUUCUAUUAAUGCUUUCUAUAAUGGUACUUUUUAUUUUAAGUAUUGCCUUGUAAUGGUGCAUAUGAAACUAUGAUGGUUGUAGACAACUUAGGAAAUAAUGUGUUGCAUUUCGAUUCGUCUAAUGGUUUAGACAAGGCGUGCUUGUGGCAUUGUCAUCUUGGACAUGUCAACAAGAAGCGCAUAGCCCAGCUUCAAAACGAAGGAGUCUUGGAGUCAUUUGACCUAAAGUCUGAUGACAUGUGUGAAUCUUGUUUACUUGGAAAGAUAACUAAAUCACCUUUCAAGGGUACUUAUGAAAGAGGUGAGGGAUUGUUGGAUCUCAUACACACAGAUAUGUGUGGGGCAUUCAGAUCCACAACAAGGGAUGCUAACCGCUUCUAUGUAACCUUUACCGAUUAUUAUAGUAGAUAUGGAUAUAUGUACUUAAUCAAGCACAAGUAUCAAACCUUAGAAAAGUUCAAAGAGUUUAAGCAAGAAGUGGAGAAUCAAUUGGGCAUGAAGAUAAAGAUGCUCAAAUCCGAUAGGGGUGGUGAGUAUCUUAAUAUCGAGUUCCAGGACUAUCUUAAGGAAUGUGGAAUUGUUUCAUAAUUGAAGCCACCCAGAACACCACAGCUCAAUGGUGUGUCUAAAAGGCGCAAUCAAACCUUGUUGGACAUGGUUUGUUCUAUGAUGAGUCGAGCUUCGGUGCCUUAGAGACUACCACCCACAUCCUUAAUCUAGUCCCAACUAAGAAGGAUGCCAAAACACCACACGAGAUGUGGACAGGAAGGUUCAAUCUUUGACACAUAUCAAGGUUUGGGGUUGUGAGGCUUUCGUAAGACGAGAGACUCACAACAACCUUGAACCUUGUAGUGAGCAAUUUAUUUUCAUUGGCUACCCACAUAUAUCUUUUGGAUAUCUUUUCUACAAACUGAGUGAAAAUGUUGUCUCCUUAGUGAGGAGAUGGGUUUUCCGGGAGAUAGAACUCAUAUGCUAAGAUGACAUGGUAGGCUAAUUGAUCUUGAAGAGCUUCAAGAAUCAAGCGAUAAAGGAACCUCUAACACUAGAGCUCAACCUGGGGAAGAGAUUCAUGUUGAACCAGUUGACGAGUCCUUACCUAUAAGACGUUCUAGUAGAGUUAGUGUUCCACCUAUGUUGUAUGGUUUCCAUAUAAUAGCUGAAGGUGAUACGUUUAUCAGUGAUAGUACACUGAUGAAUUUGGAUGAACCUAUAAGCUACAAGGAAGCCAUGGCAGACCUAGAUUCUGCGUAAUGGAAAGAAGCAAUGGACAACGAGAUUCAGUCCAUGUAUGACAAUCAAGUUUGGAACUUGGUUGACAAUGUACCGAGUCGUAAGACGGUCGGGUGCAAAUGGAUCUUCAAUAAGAAUACCAUCAUGAAUUGGAAUGUGCAUACAUUCAAGGCAUGGUUGGUUGCGAAGGGAUUUACUCAAUCCCUGAGGGUUGACUAUGAUGAGACCUUCUAACUAGUGGCCUAGAUCAAGUCUAUUAGGUUCAUGUUGGAUAUUACUGCAUUUCAUGAUUAUGAAAUUUUGCAGAUGGAUGUCAAAACUGCCUUCCUUAUUUAGAAGCUAGCUGAAGAUGUUUACAUAUGUCAGCCAUAUGGUUUUGUAGUUGCUAAGUACCCCAAUAGAGUAUGCAAGCUUGAGAAAUCCAUUUAUGGAUUGAAGGAAGCAUCUCAUAGAUGGAAUCUAUGUUUCGUUGAGAAAGUCAAAGAGUUUGGAUUUUUUAGAAGAGAGGAUGAGUCCUAUGUGUAUGUCAAAGUUGGUGGUAGUAUAGUUAGCUUUCUAGUUUUAUAUGUGGAUAACAUACUGCUAAUAGGAAAUGACAUCCCGACCUCGCAGGAGGUUAAGUCCUGGCUUGGGAAGUGUUUCACUAUAAAGGAUCUAGGGGAAGCUGCUUAUAUUUUUAGAAUAAGGAUUUUGAGAAAUAGGGGUAAAAGACUGAUAGGACUCUGUCAGGGUACUUACUUGGACAAGGUGUUGAAAGUUUUUAGCAUGGAGAAUUCCAUGAAAGGAGAGUUGCCUAUUCAAAUCAAUACCAAGAUGAGUAAGAUUCAGAUGCCGAGAUAGUGGAAUGAGUCGAGUACCAUAUGCUUCCGCCGUUAACUCGAUCAUGUACACUAUGACAUGUACUCUCCUUGAUGUGGAUUUUGCGUUGAGUAUGGCGAUCCGAUAUCAAGGGAACCCAGGUAGAGCUCACGGGAUAGCAGUGAAGAACCUUAUCAAGUACCUUCGAAGGACUAAGGACUGGGUCCUUACACUUUGUGGGAGUGAUGACUUGAGAGUGAUAGGGUAUAGUGACACCAGUUUUCAAACCGAAAAAGAUAACUUCCGCUCUCAUUCGGGCUGGGUAUUAACCCUAAAUGGAGGAGCAGUCACUUGGAAAACUUCCAAGUAGGAGACCGUGGGUGAUUCUACGUGCGAAUCAGAGUACAUAGCUACAAGCGAAGCGUCGAAGGAGGCAAUAUGGUUGAAGAACUUCAUUAGAGACCUUGGAGUUAUACCGACCAUAAAGGAGCCUAUGGAGAUUUUCUACGAUAACGAAGGAGUGGUUGCCUUAACCAAGGAACCGAGGGAUCAUGGCAGAUCCAGACAGAUCGACAAAAAAUACCACAUCAUCAGACAUUGGGUAGAAGAAGGACUCGUCAUAGUCAAGAGGGUAUCAUUAGAGGAGAACCCAAUAGAUCCCCUCAAAAAGGGUCUCAGCAGGGUUAAGCAUUUGCUGCAUGAUAGGAGCAUUGGUUUGAAGGACGAUAUUAGUUUUGGUGAUUAGAUAGAUAUUUAGAAACUUGUAAUAGAUAAAAUGUAAUUGACAUUUGAUGAUUAAGUAAUGGAGAUUUAUUUAUGAGUAAAGUUUACUAUCUUGUGUCAAUUGUUUGCUAUUGUUUCACUUUAGCAUGUUUUACUUCCUGAAUAAUAGGAUUGUUCAAAUUAUCCACAGUCGAUCAUACUUUAGGAGUAAGUAAUGAGGCAAGACUUUCAUGAAUCGGUUUUAAGAUUGUCUAAGUGUUUAGACAUAGUAAAGGUUUGCUGCAACAUUCCUGAGUACUUCUGAAAUAAGAUUUGAGUAUUGGAUUUAACCCAUGCUCAUAUGAAUCACUUCAUGGAAUUCAUCACGAGUGAUUGUGAGACGAUAAUAUCAUAUAAUCUUUAAACCAAGAUAUAUGACUUGUAGUUUAGAAGUUGGUUGUGUGUUGAUAAUGUGUAAAUGUAUCAGUAACUUGAUGUUAUAUAACGUAUUGAUGUGUACGAUUUUAUAAGUAAAUAGUACAAGCAUAUAAGUCAAAGUUUAUAUGUUCCUUUUAUCCUAAGAGGGUAAAUGCGAUAUAUUCGGUCCCUCGAUGAUUUUGUGUUGACUUAUGUGUCGGACCCGGUCAGGACUGAAUUGAUGUGUUCAUUCAAGUUCUUUUUCAAACAAAUCAAAAAUCGGGAAAAAAACUAUUGGACAUUAAGAAUGAUUAUAUGAUCCUUUAUCUAAAGGACGCAUCAUUCACUAAGUCGGAGUUCGACAGUGGCUUUUAAGAGCUACGGUUGCUAAUCGGAUCUUGAAGUUAAAUUGGCGGUUAAAGUUAUUAGACUUAUUCAAGUGGGAGACUGCUGGAUUAGAUGUCUAAGCCCAUAACUAUAAUUUGUAUGUACUUGACCAGAUAGUAGCAUGGUCCAUUUGGGUUGCCUUCACCAUAAUAAUUUGAUAGGAUGAUUUAUAGAGAAAGAGGUUGAUAAAUGAUUUAUUAAUAUACUACAAGAAUAAUAUAUUAAUUGAGAAGUCAUAUUAUUUAAUUGUAUUGAUCAUAAAUUGAUUUGGAAUUAAUUUAGUGAUCAAAAGAGAUGGAUUAAAAGAAUGGGGACUGAUUAUGUAAAUAAGUAAUAAUUAUAGUUUAGGCUAAUGGAUCCUAUCGGUAUAGGAUGGAGAAAAUCUCUGGGGUGCCCAGAGAGUUUUCAUCCAAGGCUUACCAUAUCGGAGUCCAUGUGUUUCUUAGGGCCUAAGCAAGGGAAUUAGGGUUUCCAAGUUGCAAACCCUAGUAAGCUUCAACUAUAAAAGGAACCCCAAGGCUCCUAAAACCGACCACUUAACUCCAUAGAAGAAACUCUGACUGAUUUGUGUAGCCUCUACCUCUCUUUUAUUCAUCCAUUUCUCGUUGGUAUUGGUGACUCCAUUAGAGGUGGUACAAUUGAGGCAUUAACCUCUUGAAGGUCAAGAUCAAUAUUCAACAAAGAAAACGAUAUUCUUCUAACUAUGUUUACUUAUCAAAUUCGAAAAUUGUAUGCUAGAUUAGGGUUUUGCUUUGGAAAAUUAUUAUGCAUGUAUCACUUGAGAAAAAACCUAGAUCCAAAGAAAUUAGGGUUGUAUGUGCACCAUAGGAAUGUUGUUAUGCUCAAAACCCAUCAAAGUCAGCUAAUAAAUUUGUUGAUCAAAAACGUCAACGAAAUGCUAGAUACCGUAAAAAUCUAAAUGAAAGAAAGCAUUUAUGGAGAUCUAAAAACUCCAACUUUGGUAAUCAAGAAAAAUCUGCCAAACCAACUAUGAAUGUCUCCUCAAACACGAACUCUAAAAGUUUUUCAAAAACUCAGCCUUUGAACCCACAGGUUUCAAAAACAAAAGUUUUUCAAAACUCGUAUUUUCAAAUCAAGAGAAACCUUUGGAGAACACAAAACCCAGUUUUGCUUCAAAAUCUAAAAUUCAAAAACCUACCAACACAUCGAAAGAUGUCAAGGGCAAAGCAAUGGUUUUUUCGUAGUCUAAACCUAUUUUAUAGAAGUCCGAAACACAUUUGAAAAAGGAGCAAAGAAGGUCAAGAAAGUAGCUAUCAAACAACAAAUCAAAGCAAAACAAAGAAUAACUUCAAUUAAAUGUGAUCCUUAAGAUAAAAGGAUUAUUGUUUUUAAAAUAACAAAAUGAGAUAGUUCAACCUUGGUUAAAAGAUAUUACUUGGUUGAUGAAGCAAUUACAUUUCCUGUAUCUGCGAAAGUCUCACAUGGACCCAACAACAACUUUGGGUUCUUAAAUCUCUCUGAUUUUGUAGGUAAUUCAUGACGAGAAUUUUGACUCUGAAUGGUAAAUUGAUAGUGGAUGCCCUCAUCACAUGACAGGAAGAAAUGAAGAGCUAAGGGAAUAUAGUGCUUUCAAAGAUGGAGGAAGCAUCAAGUAUGGGAAUAAUUCUCUCAGAAGAAUCAAGGGAUGGAAUGAUAAUGAACGGGGAAUUCUUCAUUCCUAUGGUUGCAUAUGUGGAAGGCCUGCAACACAACUUAAUUAGUGUUUGAAAAUCAGUUGUAGGGACUGGCUUGAAAGUAUCAUUCGAUGAUGAGGGAUCUGACAUCAUCGGGAAGAAAUCCAAAACAGUGCUGCUGAAGUCCAAGCGAAAAGGCGAGAUGUAUCCACUUAAUCUAAAUCCCAUUAAAGGAAAGACAACCAUUUGCCUUCUUACAAAAGCAUCUUCGGAUUAUAGUUGGCUUUGGCACUGAAGGCUCUCACAUGUCAAUUUCAAAGACUUCAACAAACUCGUACUUGAUGAUCAUGUGCGAGGGAUCCCAUUAUUGAAGUUUAAGAAGGAUCAUCUUUGUGCCGCCUAUGAACUAGGAAAGCAGAGCAGGAAAAGUCAUUCACAAUCAUAAAUACCGAAGUGAUCGAGCCACUUGAGCUUUUACACAUAGAUCUAUGUGGUACAUCGGCUAUCGAGAGCAUCGGUGGUAACAAGUUUAUCUUUGUUAUUGUUGAUGAUUUUUCCAGAUUUACGUGGGUUUAUUUUCUUACGCAGAAAUUUGAAGCCACUUCCAAACUUAAGGACUUUAUCAAGAUGAUUGAGCUUCAACUGCGAAAGCUUGUCUUGAAUGUUCACUAUGAAACAGGUUUGGAGUUUAAAAACCAAGCGUUUAAAGAAUUCUUGACUGAUAAGGGAGUUGCUCAUAACUUCUCGGCUCCUUACACUCCUUAGUAGAACAAAGUUGUUCAAAGGCGAAACCGUUCUCUAUGUGAAGCUGCGAGGACCAUGCUAUCGUUUGCGAACCCUUCUUAAUAAGCAAUUGGAACAACCUGUUAUACUCAAAAUCGAUCCCUUCUUAAUAAACAAUUCUCCAUUACCCCUUAUGAAAUUCUGAAUAAAAGAAAACCUAAUUUUAAGUUCUUUCAUGUUUUCAGUUCCAGGUGCUUCCUCUUCAAUUCAAAAGAGUAAAGGAAAAAAUUUGAUGUGAAAGUAGAUGAAGGAAUUUUCUUGGGGUACUCUCUGACUUCGAAGCUAUAAAGGGUUCUCAACAAAAAUUCAAGAAAAUAGAAGAGAACUAUUAUGUCACUUUUGAUGACAAUUAUUUUAAGAAGUUUCGUACAAUGGAUCGUCAAUCAGAGGAGAUUUUUCCAACAAAGAAUCCCAUGACCAUUCCUCUUUCUGAUCUGUAUAAGAAUUUUUGAAUUUAUUUGAUGAGCCAGAGAAAGAAAUCUCUUUAGAAUCCAAGGCAACAGAUAAUAAGGAGGACGAAUUGAAAAAGAUCAUUGAUGAUGCUGCGAAGGAUCUUGAAAGCGAGGCACCAAUUCUGAAAGCCUCUGACAUUUCGUCUCAACCACAAGCUGCGAGUGUUGCAUCUCAGUUAGAGGGUUUCACAUCCACCUCUUCACCCAACACACCUAUUUAAGGGGAGAAUGAAGUCCCUGAAGUCAGCUUGUAACCUCCAUUCCAGGUGGAGAACGUGAAUUCAAACCUAAACAAAGAAUUAAAUCCAUCAAUCGAGGGGGAGGAUGCAAACACAAAUGAUGAUUCGAACGUUCAAUCAGAGUUUGAAGAAGUGAAUGCCGAAUUAGAUCCAUCCCAUGAUCCAAACUACCUCCACUGAUAAAAUGGACCAGAGAUCAUCCUAAAACACAAGUAAUCAGAAAAGCCUCUACUAGAGCUCUUAAGACAGCUCAACAAAAAGCAAAAUUGACUUCAUUAUACUUUAAAGUGGAAUUUUGCAUGUUUAAUUCGUUUAUCUCCAAGAUUGAACCCAAAAAUGUAAAGAGUGCCCUUAAUCAUUCUGAUUGGGUGCAAUCAAUGAAGGAGGAGCGUAAUGAUUUCGAAUGAAAUAAGGUUUAGAGGCUUAUUUCAACUCUGAAGGAUGCAUCUGUCGUUGGCUUAAAGUGGGUGUUUCGUAAUAAGAUUGACAAAAAAGGGAAUGUGAUACAGAACAAGGCCUGGCUAAUAGUAAAAGGGUAUUACCAAGAAGAAGGGAUUGACUAUGAGGAAACUUCUGCACCGGUAGCAAGGCUGGAGUCAGUUUGCAUUUUUUUUUGGCAUAUGCAGCACACAAUAACUUUAAAGUCUAUCAAAUGGACGUCAAGUGUGCCUUUCUAAACAUGGAAUUAGAAGAAACAAUGUAUGUAGAACAACCACAUGGGUUUGUAAACGAAAAAUAUAUGAACCACUAUUACAUUCUGUACAAAGCAGUCUAUGGUCAAAAGCAAGCUCCACGAGCAUGGUAUGAAACUCUUAUUAGAUUCCUAAAACAAGCUAAAUUUAAACAAGGCUCAGUCGGCCCAACCUUCUUUCACAAGAAUGAUGGUGACUAUCUAAUGAUCGUCCAAAUCUAUGUUAAAGCUAUCAUCUUCGGAUCAACUAAUCCAAGAUUACCUGCAGUGUUUCGAAAGUUGAUGGAGACAAUAUUUUAGAAGAGCUCAAUGGGUCCGAUUAACUUUUUUCUUUGUUUGAAUAUUAGACAGAAUCAGGAUGGAAUCUUUAUCAACCAUGAGGCUUAUAAGAAGACCUUCCUUCGAAGUUUGGAAUGGUGGGCAACUCAAGGGUGAAGGUGCCAACGACAUUCGGAACAAAACUAACUCCAUCUCUGGACAAACCAGCAACUGAUAUGACUCUCUAUCAUCAAAUGAUAGGUUCAUUGAUGUAUCUAACUACUAGUUUUCCAUACAUUUUGUUUUAUGUUUGCUAUUGUGCCAGGUUUCAAGUGAAUCCUCAUGAACCCCACAUGACCGCUAUUAAGAACAUGUUCAGAUAUUUAAAAGGAACAACCUCGCUCGAAAUUGGUACCAAUCUAUUUCGGGGUUCUUUGUGCAAGCAUUAUCAGAUGUUGAUCUCGGAGGUUGUGUUCUUGAUCGAAAAAGUACAACUAGAUGAUGUGAAUUCCUUGAUGGAAAACUCGAUAGUUGGCAAUCAAAGAAGCAGACAUGCGUCUCCCUGUCGACCACUGAAGCUGAAUAUAUAGCCACUGACUCCUAUACUUCGCAGGUGAUAUCGAUUAAAAGUCAGUUAAGGGAUUAUGGCAUUAAUAUGAAAAGAAUUCCCUUAUAUUGUGAUUCCGAAAGUGCCAUUCCCAUUUGUCAAAACCCAGUGCAACAUUCAAAGACCAAACACAUCGCACUAAGGUAUCACUUCAUCAAGGAUCAUGUGAAAGAUGGAAAUACCUAGAUUCACUUUGUUAGAUCCACUGAUCAACUUUCUGAUAUCUUCACGAAAGCCUUGCUAGAACAAACCUUUAAUAGAAUACCUCAAGGUUUAGGGAUGAAUGAAGUAGAAUCAGUUCCGAAUUAACCUUCACGCCUGUAAUUUACUGGAUGAAUAGUGAAAUGGUCCGAACGCUCAGAGCGAUUCACAAUCUACUGCUCAUUAGUUGGUUUGAAGCUUGUUGUAUCCUUUGUGUAUUUCAUUUUUCUUAAAUUUAUGUAAACCUAAUGUUUUCAUUUUCUGUUUUUAUUUCUUUUUUUAGAAAAAUCAAAAAUCCAAAAAUAUUUGUGUUUUUAUUUCUUUUUCAGAAAAAUUCAAAUAUUACAAAAAUAUGUUCUUUAUUCUCAGAUUUUUUUUUCUUUCUAUGAAAAAUAUCAAAAAUACCAAAAAUAAUAAACAAUUUAGCAGGAUUGAAGGAACAUAUCAUAAUUCUCUCAAUUGUGAAUGAUGGGGAAGGUAUUUAACUCUAAAUCUUUACACUAGUUAACUGUCUCUAGAAGCAUGUUGCUGCAUGUUGUCCGAAGCCUCUGAGACUUUAUGCUUGAAGCCUUAAUGAAUCGAUAAUACCAAUCGUUUCUUCCCAGUCAGGCUAAUAUUCACAUAAGUCAUUGAGCUACCUUACUCUUCUCAUAUUUAGUUAAGAGUUGACUGCUUGGACAUUCUUUCAUAUAGCAGAGGUACAUUUAUGUACGGAACCACCACCUAAAAUUCUCCAUCACCUUCGCAUUCACACUUUUAGCCCCUGAGACUCUCAGAAAUUACCACUGAGGUUUAUGGUUACAUAAAUUCUAUGUUAAUGAUCUUAAAUUCAUUAUCACCAUGAAUUGAGUGAAACCCAAAAUCUAACAUAUAUCUACGAAUUAAAGGUGAACAAUUUAUCUGUUCUAGAUUAAUCACCAUGGAAUUGAUGAACUCCACUUAUGUGGUUUGUACCAUGAAAUCUCUUUUUAUUUUUGCAAGAUCUUAAUGAAAUGUUCUUGUCCUAAGACAUUUCUUCCAAAAAGAUCCAGUUUUUAUUUUUCUUGAGAUUUCUGUUACUUAUCCAACCACUCAAAAUAAUGCCAAAGCAUACUUAUUCUUAUGGCUACAUUAGUCAAACAAGUACUUCAUCCAAACGUUCGGACUUAUGUCAAGUUUUAGAGUUUACUUGAAGAUGAAGUCACCCUUAAGCCUUAUUGAAAAGAUGCCUUUCAUUGUUUCUCAUCAAACACAUGAUCGUAAUUCAAUAGGACACCACACAGACACUUCCGAGUCUCUCUUGACUUCGAAGGAAGAGAUCGUUGCCCGGGAUCCAACUGCUUCAUGUAAUUUUUAGCAUCACUAGAAUCCUUUAGAAAAUUUUCUUUAUUUCUUUAUCUUUGGCAUACUCUUGCACAAAAAAUCUUUGUGAUUUUCAAAAAGUCUGUUUCGCAGUUCUAUUGGUUACUUUCAUAUUCGGAGAAUACGAAAUAACACUCAGAUAUAAAUGAGCAGAUUAGAAAAGGAGAUAUUUAAGGAAUACAAUACGGCGACUCUUCAGGCAUAAGAUUGCGAUAAUGGCGCGUGCAAAAUUCAAAUUUUUCUGACAUCACGCUUUCUCAGUUACGCCGCCUGACAUCACUCCUGUCACGCGCGCUUUUUAGGCGCUUUUUCAAGGAAAAUGAACAGUCUCCAGCUGUAUUUCUCUCUCCUAGACUGACGUAUAAAAGGCCUUUGACAGUUCAUUCUCACAUUACCGUUUUCACAGAAUUCCUUACAAGCGGAAGAAAUCCCUUUCUCCAACACCGUUCAUCUAAUUCUUCGACGAUUUCAAUGGCCACAUCAUCUGAGACUCCCUCUGGCGCUGAUCAAACUGCGACAUCCGGUCUCCUAGGCAUCAAGGCCAAUCAAAUUCUUAUUUUGGACCUCGAUCCAUCAAAAUAUGAUGCAUUUCCCCAACCUCUCAUAAAAUGUAUGAAAUACUCUCUACUGCUUAUUUCCUUAUCGAAGACAGAGAACGUUCUAUUGGCUUUUCUCUCCAAAGCUUACUGCUAUAUAUGUUAUGAGGAGAAUGGACCGAUCAUUAUUUUUGAGGUUGAUUCGUCAAGACCACCAUCACCAAGACACGUUUCAGCCGACUCCUAGGGCUUCCUGAGGCUAGAGAUUUGGUCGAUCCUUACUCCAUCCCUUCUUCUUCAAUUUUGGAGAUGUUCUACCACAUGGUCUAUAAAGAUCAUCUUAUUGCUCUAUCAAAGUUUAAGAAGCCCAAUAUUCCUCCAUUGUGGAAUGGGUUUUUACUCUUAUUUUCAAGAGUUUUUUAGAGAGGACCACGGGUUCAGACAGUGCAAGUAAGCUUUUCCUAAUGAUUCUUUAUGGUCUUUACUCUGGAUUCAACUUGGACUAUGGUUCCAUUCUUUGGACUAAACUGGUUCAGAGCACUUUAACUGUAACAAGGCACAGAGAUCUCUUUUACUUGUUUUUGGUCUUUUAUCGUUCAGAGAGCUAUUAAUCGCCAUCAUGUUCUAGUAAAGGAGAGUUCGGCAAUUGCAGCAAUUCCGAUGUUCAAUAAUUCUAAUGUUAUCGUCUCCGAUAGUUCACGGUUCACAUUUAUUGGAUCUAUUCCAUAGGUGAUGCUUUGUAAUGUUCCACCCAGCAAGUGAAAUUACUGUCGCAUAUCGUAGACUACUAGCAUCAGGUCCUCUUCCUUUAACACCUGAAAUGCAUAAAGUUUUGGAAGAGGCAGACAAGCCCAAAAAGGGAGGCAAACAAAAACCAAAGGUUGGACCUUCCAAACCAGCUCAAACUCCAAAAAAGAAGAAAGUUAAGAGAGCUGUUCGCAGACCACGGACUCCUACUUUGAGUGAUGUGGAGGAUUCGCAAUCCAAUACUAUCUCUGGUAUUCGCAUUCCAGAGCAAGUUCAGCAAGAACAUGACGACACGGCUGUGACUUCACAUUUGAUGGUCUUGGAGCCAAUCACUACAAAUCCUGAGGUAACAUUUUCAAUGCCAACCUCAGUUCCAAUUACAGAUGAUUUGUUUCAAGACUUCACUCCACCAUCACCAACUGCUACAACCACUCCUAUCACUAUUGCUCCCUAUUCGAAUGUCUCGGUGGGAGUUUCACAACCACAAAUAUCCAUGGCUUAGUUUUCCCCAAUUUUCACUGAUUCAACUGCAGCCACUACAACAACAACAAUGCUACCAGUCAAUGUCAAUGUAUCUAAUAUAGGGGCAGGGGCUUCUGGUUUCACAUCUGGUGCUAUUUUCACUCCUGUUUAUCUGCAUCGUCAAGAUGAUCCUGAUACUGUGUUCGAAGAUGAUUAGGAUGACCUUGAGGACUUUCAUUACAGUCCUUUGAAUGUUCAAUAGUUCAGUGAUGACGAUGCUCUUGUGACAUCCUGACAGUUCAAGGUUCUUCAAGAGAAGUUGGACAAAUUGCUUGAAUCAUCCAAAUCCACUUCCAACUCAGAUUACUCCAUCGCACCUCGCAUGGCUCUAUUUGAGAAAACAAUGAAGGAGCAUGUUGCGAACAUGGAAAAAGAUAACAAAGUUGUUUCUGAAUCUUCGACCGUUUUUAAAGACACGACCGAGAAGGUCGAAAAACUAAUCUCUGGUGCUCAAAGCUUUAUGGGUACUUUUCAGAUAUCCUUCGAAGAAAAAACUGCCAAAGCAAAUCAAGUGAUUUCCAGCCUUGGAACUACCCUUCAUACUGAGAAGGACGCUCUUGAGAAGGUUUUCACAUGUAUUCAAUCUAAUAAUACAGAGUUUCACACCUCCAUCUCUUCCAAAAUAGACAAGCUUCAUGAUGAUUUGGCACUGAGAACAAAAUGAUGGAUGAGCUUGCUGUCAAAAUUGAGAAGGUCAAACUUCUGUCCUUAAAAUUAGCACAUGCGAACUCUCAAAUCGUUGAGUUGAAAUCUAAAAAAGACGUUAUUAAAAGUAGUGUGGCUGAUGUGAAUGCUGAUCUGCACAAUAGAAUUGACACUCGUGAUUCUCUUCUCACCAUUUCAGUUCGUCAGCAUUUGGCAGAGAAAGUGAAGCCUAUCUUCUCUAUGCUCGACAGAAUUAAAAGUGUUUCGGAAUCUUAUCUUCUAAAACAAGGGGGAGAACCUGCGAAGACUCUUGGUGCUGGCAACACAACUAAGGGAGGUAAUGAAGAACAUGAGCAGAAACCCAAGUCGAACGAACCGAAGGGUAAUGUAUCUUCGAGUUUAAGAGGAAAAGAAAAGGUGAUUGAUGAUGACGAUGAGUAAGAGGAUGUUGAUGUGAAGCUUAAGUGUAAAUCUUGUGAUGAUGAGCUUGACAAAAAUCUACGAGUAGCUAAAGAAGCUAAGGAAAAAGAGAACGCAACUCGUGACGUAGAGGAAACCUUGAAAGCUUAGAAAACUAUCUUUUCUCUGUAGACACUAGAGCGUAUUUUGAAUGAGGCCAUCGACUAUCUAAACACUUCUUGGCUAGAUCCUGUUGGCUUAUUCGUAUCUUCAUGGAUUAUACCAAAAAUCUUUCUUUCUGCUAAUCGAACAUGUACUUCUCCCAUACUAGACGUAUUAUUUAUUAGACGCAUUCUAGAGGCAUGAUAUAACUCUUAUGAUAUCUUCCGAUAGGUAUCAUUCACUUUCGUAAGUCAUCUCAUUUCCUGUAUUUUCUCAGUCUAUCAUGGUUCACAUCACUUCCUGAACUUCUGCCAUUGUGAUAGGUUCGGGUGCAAGCGCAAUGACCGAUGCAUGACCCAUCACAUACUUAGGCUCAGGUUGUCAUCUUCCUCGGACAUUUCCUAUUCUGUCUUCACCAUGACGUUUUGUACACCCAAGCAGACGUUCGGUGUACUGAGGCAAGAAUUUUAAGAUAGGAAAUAUUUUAUUUAUGAUAGACGUAUAGAUUUCCUUGUCACACCGAAAAAGUUAUAUGCCAGUUCUACUACCGUAAUCAAACGUUUAGAAAUCUACACACAUAAAAUUUCCAGAUCCGGUCGGCAAUAGACCAUAGAUCCGAACAAAUAAUAGCAUAUAAGGUAUUUUUAUAGCUAUAACAUAAAACAUUUAGCACAUAAAACAUUUUAGGCAUCAUUCCUAAAAUAAACUAGUGGUUGUGUCUAAAAUAUAGCAGACACUCAUAUCACAAUCAUCGCUUAGCAUUCUAAGUUUACGUCUAGAAAUUUUCUACAAAUUCCUAGUUCUCUUAAACUAAUGCUCUGAUACCAACUGUGACAUCCCCAUUUUGAAGGCCAGAAAAGACCAAUUUUGUUUAUGCUUUAUAAAAAUCAGAGUACCUGUUUCAAUAAAAAUGUUGCGAAAUUUGUUCCCAGAAAAACAUGAUAAAUACGUUAUCAAAGCAUUUUCGAAGAAAUGUAUUUUUAUUCAUUUAAAACAUUUGGGAUGUGAUCGUCAAUACAGAAACAUAAGCAUAAACAGAACUUACAUUCAUUUACACUAGUGAUCUACAUCUCUUUUAAAUCUCUCAGUGCAAUGUGACUUCAUAUCAACACAUGUGAUUUAAAUAAACUGAGUGGGUCAGGUUGGGAAACCUGGUGAGUACAUAGGGUUUUCAACCCACAUUAAUAUAAUUAUUAUAUUUAAUCAUCAAACAAUCAAUCAACCCAAUUACCCAUCCCCAUUAUCUUAUUUACUCUUAAGGAUCUAAACUAAGAAUCAGUUAUUCCUCGUUCAUUCAUUCCUAAGGAUCAUCCUAAGGAAUCGACACGAAGUCCAUCGUUUCCACGGUUUACACGACGGGCACUAAGUCUGCAUAGUCGCCAGGGUUUAGGCAUCAAGUCUGCUUGACCACCAAGGUUUAGGCAUCAAGUCUGCGUGAUCACGAAGGUUUAGGCAUCAAGUCUGCAUGAUCACCAAGGUUUAGAGUACACCGAAUGAACACAUCGUUCACAACACUUAUAAGUUGCGAACCUGCUAGUGUUCCACUGGACUGUCUAGAACAGUCCGUGAUUAUCAUCCAUACUCUGCUGAAUGAUGGGGCCAUCGUUUGGGAAAAGGCUUCUCACAUCGUCCACCUGUCACCCUCACCUCGUGGUCUAUAACACCUCUCAACUCAUUAUCCAACUCAUAUUCCAUCUAUUACAUCUACCUAUGUUUUACCCCAACAUUAUCGUAGAUAUAAAAUACAUAUACAAUGUAAAUCAUUUAAAACAUGUAUAAAAUCGUUCAUCCAGCAUAGACAGCAAGUAUUCAGAUAAUAUGCACACAUAGCACGUAAUUUAUAUAAAAUACUUCAUAUCUAUGUAUAAGAUGAAAGUAACUAUGCACUCACAACACGUACUUUAUAUUAAAUACUUCAUAUCUAUGUGUAAGAUGAAAGGGACUAUGCACUAACUUGAAAAGGUGUUGAUUUCGAACUCAAACAGCGCUUCGCUUCUUAAAAAAAAAUUCCUUCGACGAAACCUAGUAUUAUUACCACUAGAGUUUAGUCUAUUAUUCGCCGAGACUAAUUAAUAGUCUAGCUAUUAUUACUAUUAUAUAAGCAUUAAACAAUACUUAUAUAACCCAUAAUAAUAGCCCAAGUACUUAUUAUAAGUUCCUAGUAACAUUAUUAUAAUUAAAUAAAAGCUAUAUUAAAAAUAGCAUAGACGAAGCUCACUUACAACGGGUUUUAUAGAAAACCGGGCUUUGUUUGGAGCAGCGUUCCCAAGCCGAAAAGCUCUUCUUCUAGGAUCCGCCGAGCACUUCGGGGCUUCCACCUCAUGCUAGGGAAGUUCCCUAGGCUUUUCGGGGGUUUCGGGUCUAGAGAGAGGUUUUAGAGAGAGAGUAAAGAGAAGAAAGAAUGGGAAAGAUGUGAAUAAAAUGAGGGUGGGAGAGGUUCUAUUUAUAGGGUGAAAAAUGGUUGAACUUGGUGCCACAUGUCACAAUCUAGUGGCAAGACUUGGGGAGAAAGCAAUGGCCAAGAUUGUGCCACAUCACCCAUUUUCGCACAACACACUUCCGACUUCUAAAAUCCGUAAAUUUCACAUACGACCUCCAUUUUUGAUGUUAUUUAUAUCCAUGCGUAGAUAAAAAUAUGAUCUACAACUUUCAUUUUGACUCCGUUGGCUAAUUCUUGACCGAUCAUAAAUUUAACAGUACGAGGAGAUUAUAUUGUUAAAUGUCCGCGUAAAAUUCAUAACUUCUACAUAUGGAUUCUGUUUUCAUCUGUCUUUUUACCGUUGAGUUCCUAUUAAUGAGAUCUUCAAUUCUUAUUUAGGUCGCAUAGGCCAAAAACCGCUCGAUUUAAAAUUCGAGUUUCAAGCAGUGCACUGCUAAGCCAAUUUUUUGAAAAUUCAUAACUUCCUCAUACGAAGUCAGAUUUGGGCGUUCUUUUUAUGGACGCUCUCAGGUUAACAUAUACUACGACUUUUGUUUAGAUCACUAAGGCCAAAAAUUCUUCUAUCAUAAAUUCACUAUUUACUUCGCGUCGUGUCAUGUCGGUUUUGCCGUAAAACUUCGGCAAGCCAUAACUUCUUCGUUAUUACUCGGAUUUCGGCACUCUUUAUAUGUACAGAACCCUUUUAAUAUAUUCUAAAAGUUGGUUAAGUUUACUCCUUCUAAAUAAACUUCCAUCAAAAACUCAUUUUUGAUGCUCUUUGUCUCUAAAUUGACUAGCUCGGAUCUACAUGCAUUACAGAAAUGAAGAGUCAUGUCACAUUAGAGUUUACAUGGUGUAAACCUAGAUGUGACACACUAUAUAAAGGACAUCAUACUCACCAAAAUCGGCUACACACUAAGAACUAGAGAGGGCAAGCCGAUUUAUAUAAGUGUUAUACAUACUCUAAAGUUAUUCCAAAGCAUUUGGUGUUGUGUGAAGCAUUUGAGGCACCACACUUGGGGUGCUAGGCUCUCAUGGUUUUCAAGGAAUCAAAUCAACUACAAGGUAUGUAAUUCUAGCCAUAUUUUAGAUUAAAAGUUCCCCAUGUAUGAUAGAUAGGAUUAUGAACCUUGGAAAUCAUAUUUUGCAUGUAUUUUAGACAAACAUAGAUCCAAGGUUUUCUAGAGUUCCAUGUACACUUAGGAGUGUUAGAAUGCUCAUAACCCACCAGUGGUAUCAGAGUCUAGGCUUGUUUGUUAAAUACUUGAUGCAAAAUAAGGAAAAAAUCAAUUUUUGAGCUGUCUGCACAGGGGACUCGACAAGUCCAUGGGGGGACUCGACCAAUCCAAGUGAAAAUGCAUCCAACUCAGCGAGUCAGUUCGUGCACUCGAUGAGUUUGGCAGGCAGGGUGCAGAAUUUAGAUUUUUGCUACUGGAAAUGGACUAGAAACAUUACCCUACACAGUUUUUGUGUUGUAAAACUUGUUUUAGAUGGUGUAAUGGUUGUUCUAAUCCAUUUACAAUGGCUCAUAUCAAUUUUUCAUGAUGUUGUGUGUUCAUAUGUUCUUGAAACUUUGAUAUGAAUAUUCAUCCUCUUACGAGUUUUUGAUAGAUCAUAGGAAUUACUUGUUUAAAUGUUUAAUUCAUUAUCUUUAUGUGUUUUAAUGGAGUCAAUAACUUGUCCUCAAGUUAUGGAUAACGAAAACUAUGUUUGUGUUAAAAACCAUUAAAAGAACACAUAAGUUACAAAAAUGAAGAGUCUUCAUUUUAAUAACUCAUAAGUCAUCAAUUUGAAAGAUUUUGUAAAGUUACAAAACAUGCCCUCAAGUUUUGGAACAUGUAAAGUCACUUAAUAAACUUUAGUUCCAAUCCCUAGAUUUUUAAAAGUUAAAAAUCAACCCUUAUACUUUAUAAUAUUAUAAGUUAAUAAUAUAUAUAUAUAUAUAUAUAUAUAUAUAUAUAUGUAUAAGAGCAAGUCGUCUUAUCAUUAGUAGGCCUCAUUCACGAAGUCGGUCUAUAAGAGGGGUAUAAGGUUGCUGCCUAUAAAAUGGCAGCUUAAUGGGUGUCCACUCUCAUCCACCGCUUCCUUGAUCGGUGGAGGGUUGUUAGCCGAACGGGUAAGACAAGGACUUAUAGAUUCUCAUUAAAAGUAUGAUGAAUAUUAUAAAGUAACUAAAUGUUUUAUUAAAUUCCCAAUCUUAGUUACUUUAGGAAAAUGUGAAUAAGGUGCUAAUCCAUGAAAUUACACUUUACACUUUGAUUAAGUCGUUAGUGGAGCGUGUGUGAUUAAGCGACACACUAACCUGGACUUAACAAGGUAGGUAAAGGGUGAAUUAAUGUUUAAUAUAGGUCGUUGGAGCGCGUGUGGUUAACCGGCACAUCGAUUGAGUGAUAAACUUUAUGGGUACCAAGUGAUUUGCAUGGUUACUUCACACCUCGUUUUGUGAUCCUCGGUAUCCCAGACACAAAACUUGGAGGGAACACUCGAGACUGAAACAUGUCUUUGAAAAGUUCAUUGAAUCUCAAAAGAAUCUAGGAAUUUCUAAGAACCAAUUAAAACCUAAUAAUUUAUAUUUCGUUUUUUGGUGGAAAUUGUUGAAUCGUUAUUCACCUACCUUUCAAAUAUAUUGUAGCUUAGAUUACAACAUAUCUCUUCUAAGUUAUGAUAUAUUGUGAUUGGAUCAUAGCCUUAAUAUUACAUUUGGGUGUUUUAUUAAGGACUACCUUUAUAUCUAAACUAAACUUGUUCUCUUCUUUUUCAGAUGUCUUCCAACAACACUGCUUCUGGCUCAAACCCCACUAGCUACUUCUCCCUCAUGAACCAAUGUGGGAGGGUCAUCUUCGAUGGUUCCAACUUUAUAAAUUGGAUCCGGAACAUCAGGAUGGUGACUCGCUACGAGGACAAGGAAUAUGUCCUUGAUAAGAAGCUAAAGGAGAUCGAUGAGUCCACUGCUACUCCCCAGGAGAUCGCUGACUUCCAGACUCAUGAAAGAGAUGACACCAAAGUGGAAUGCAUCUUGAUGGCCACCAUGACAGGUGAACUCUAGAAGUCCUAUGAGGACUACUACCAUUUUGAGAUGCACCAAGAUAUGAUGUAAAGAUACCAUCAGAGUGCUCGUCAAGAGCGGUAUGAAAUAAUCUCCUCCAUGAUAGCAACCAGGAUGAAGGACGGAGAAUCCGUCACAAGCCACAUGUAGAAAAUGGAAAGGUAUGUGGAUCGUUUGCUGAAGCUUAAUAUGAACUUCCCUGGGGAGCUUGUAAUAGAUAUCACUUUGCACUCCUUACCCUCAUGUUAUGAUCAAUUCCGCAUGACAUACCACAUGAAUAAGGAAGAAGUCACACUCAGCAAACUUUAGGGACUCCUAAAGACCGCAGAAAAAGGUCUUAAAGGUAAGUAAGUUGUUAACACUCCUACUCCUACUCCAAACUCUGCCCCUGUCUUGGCAAUCGGAAAAGGUAGAGGGAAGAAGAGGAAGAGCUCUUCGAAGGAUACCAAGGCUAGGACCCUUGAUGGCUCUUCUUCAAGUGGAACCAAUAAAGGUUUCAUCACUCCUUCUGACCCAAAAGAGGCCGAAUGCUUCUAUUGCCAUGAGAAGUCUCAUUGGAAGCGGAACUGCCCAAAGUACAAGCAAGAUGUGAAGGAUGGGAAAGUCAAACCCAACCAUGCAGGUAUUUACACUAUUCUAUAUAAUAACUCACCCUAUUCUAACUCUUGUGUCCUUGAUACCGGUUGUGGUAUUCAUAUCUGUUCUGAUUUCCAGGGACUAACAAGAAGCGAGAAUGUGGAGCAUGGAAACAUAAACUUGAUCAUGGGGAAUAGGAAAGCUUCACCUGUCACCAAGAUUGGAGUUUAGUCUUUGUUGCUAAGUAGUGGGUUUACUUUAGAUUUGAAUAAAUGUUGUUAUUCACCAGAAAUGGAAAGAAAUAUUAUUUCCUUUCAUGCUUUGUACAAACAAGGGUUUACCUUUUCUUUUGAUAAUGAAAAUGGUGGAAUAAAUGCUUUCUUUAAUAAUGUUCUUUAUUUUAAAGCAUUACCCUAUGAUGGUGUUUAUGAAGCUGUAUUUGUUGUAGAUAAUCUAGGAAAUAAUGUGUUGUGUAUUGAUUAUUUGAGUAAUAAUAACUUGGAUAAAGCAUCAUUAUGGCAUUGUCGCCUCUAACAUGUGAGUAAGAAAUGUACAAGCCAACUCCAAAAGGAUGGAUUCUUAGAGUCAUUUGACCUAAAGUCAGAUGAUAGUUGUGAAUCAUGAUUACUUGGAAAAAUGACAAACUCACCCUUCACUGGUUCUUGUGCUAGGGGUGAAGGUUUGUUGGAUUUGCUACACACGGAUGUGUGUGGAUCCUUCAAAUCUGCCACCAGGGAUGCUAAUCAUUAUUAUCUAACUUUUACUGAUGAUUAUAGUAGAUAUGGAUAUGUCUAUUUAAUCAAGCAUAAGUCAAAGACUUUGAAAGAUUUAAAGAGUUUAAAAGGGAAGUCGAGAAUCAAUUGGGCAGGAACAUUAAGAUGGUUCGAUCCGAUCGUGGUGGUGAGUAUCUUAGUACAAAGUUCCUCGACUAUCUUAAGGAAUGUGGGAUUAUCUCACAAUUGACACCUCCCAGGACACCACAGUUGAAUGGUGUUGCUGAGAGGCGCAAUUGAACCUUGUUGGAUAUGGUUCAUUCCAUGAUUAGUCGAGCUUCGCUACCAAUCUCAUUUUAGGGGUAUGCCUUAGAGACUGCCGCCCAUAUCCUUAAUCUGGUCCAUACAAAGAAAGUUGCCAAAACUCCUCAUGAGAUGUGGACUGGUAAAGUUCCUAAACUAGACCUCAUCAAGAUUUGGGGUUGCGAGGUUUUUGUGAGAUGCGAGACUCAUGAUAAGCUCGAACCUCGAAGUGAGAGGUGAAUUUUCAUCGGCUACCCAAAUAAAUCCUUUGGUUACCUCUUCUAUAGACCUAGUGACAAUGUGGUCUUUGUAGCAAGGAUGGGUGUCUUUCGAGAAAGAGAGUUCAUAAGCCAAGGAAACAGUGGGAGGCAAAUUGACCUUGAAGAAAUUCAAGAGUCAAGUGGUGAAAGAACUUCAACCCUAGCACUCAACCUGAGGAGGAAACUCCUGUUGAUCCAAUUGACAAGUCUGAACCUCUGAGGUGUUUCACAAGGAUUAGGAAUGCAUCUGAGCAUUAUUAUGGUUUCCAUAUUACUACGAAAGGUGAGACACUUAUCUUUGAUGAGACAUUGGUAAGUCUAGAUGAACCUAACAGCUACGCGGAAGCCAUGGUAGGCCCCGAGUCUGCCAAAUGGAAAGAGGCAAUGGACAACGAGAUACAGUCCAUGUAUGAUAAUCACGUUUGGAACUUGGUUGACAACAGUUGGGUGUAAAUGGAUCUUCAAGAAGAAGACCGACAUGUAUGGUAAUGUACACACAUGUAAGGCGCGAAUGGUUGCAAAGGGCUUUUCACAAACUCCAGGAGUUGAUUAUGGUGAGACCUUUUCGCCAGUUGCAUAUAUUUUGUCCAUUAGGGUUCUGUUAGCCAUCGCUGCAUUUCAUGAUUAUGAAAUAUGGCAGAUGGAUGUCAAAACCGCCUUCCUUAAUGGAAGUUUGGCUGAAGAUGUUUACAUGAGUCAGCCAGAGGGUUUCGUCAGUAUAGAAUACCCUAAUAGAGUGUGUAAGCUUGAUAAAUCCAUUUAUGGAUUGAAACAGGCACCUUGUAGAUGGAAUCUUUGCUUUGAUGAGAAAGUCAAAAAAAAAUUGGCUUUUUGAGGAGUGAAGAUGAAUCUUAUGUCUAUGUCAAGGCUAGUGGGAGUAUAGUAAGCUUUUUGGUACUGUAUGUGGAUGACAUACUACUCAUAGGAAAUGACCUCCCAACCCUGCAGGAAGUAAAGUCCUGGCCUGGGAAGUGUUUCUCUAUGAAAGAACUAGGAGAAGCUGCCUAUAUUCUGGUGAUAAGGAUACUGAGAGACUGGAGUAAAAUACUAAUUGGACUUAGUCAGAGUACUUACUUGGCUAAGGUGCUGAAGAGUUUCAGUAUGCAGGACUCCUAGAAAGGAGAGUUACCCAUCCAGAGUAACGACAAACUGAGUAAGACUCAGAGCCCGAGUACUGAGGCUGAGAUAGUAGAAAUGAGUCGAGUACCUUAUGCUUCGGCAGUAGGAUCGAUCAUGUAUGUUGUGACCUGCACUCGACCUGAUGUAGCCUUUGCUUUGAGCAUGGUUAGCAGAUAUCAAGGGAACCCUGGCAAGGCUCACUGGACUGCGGUAAAGAAUAUCCUCAAGUACAUGCGGAGGACUAAGGACUGGGUCCUUACGCUCGGUGGGAGUGAUGCCUUGAGAGUUGUAGGGUAUAGUGAUGCUAGCUUUCAGACUGAUAAGGAUAAUUUCCGCUCUCAGUCAGGCUGGGUCUUUACCUUAAACGGAGGAGCAAUUAGUUGGAAGAGUUCCAAGCAAGAGACAGUGGUUGAUUCAACUUGCGAAUUAGAUUAUAUAGCAGCAAGCGAGGUAGCAAAGGAGGCGAUAAGUCUAAAGAACUUCAUUGGAUACCUUGGAGUUGUACCAGCUAUAAAGAAGCCAAUGGAAAUUUUUUGUGAUAGUGAAAGUGUAGUUGCCUUAGCCAAGGAACCAAGGGAUCCUUGGAGACCCAGACACAUCGACAGAAAAUACCAUUUCAUCAGACAUCGAAUAGAAGGACUCCUCGUGGCGAAGAGGGUAUCAUCGGAUGAGAACCUAGCAGAUCCCCUCACGAAGGGACUGAGUCGGGCUAAGCAUCUCCAACAUGCUCGGAGCAUAGGGCUGAAGAAUGAUAUUAGUUUUAGUAGUUAGAUAAUUUUGAAAUUUGUAAAGUGUAAUUGACAUUUGAUGAUGAAUAAAAGUUGUGUUUAUUUAUGAAUAAAUUGUUGCUAUCUCUUGUCAAUCGUUUACUAUAUUUCUUUUACAUGUUUUGACUUCUAGAAUAAUUAUGUUUGGUAUAUCAUAUUAUUCGAAUCUCCAAAUUCGGUCAUAUGUUGGAAGUACGUAUGAAUCAAGACUGUCAUGAGAUGGUUGCAGAGGUCUAAGCUAUUGGACAUGGCUACAACACUCAUGAAUGCUCAUAAGUUCUAAGCAUUAGACACAACCCACGCUCACUGGUAUCACUUCAUGGAAUUGAUCUCGAGUGAUCGUGAGAUAGUAAUAUCAUAUAAGUCUUCAAAACUAGAGAUAUGACUUGUUGCCUAUGAGUUGGUUAUGCAUUGAUCGUACGAAACCGCAUUGGUAACUCGAUGUUAUAAAACGUACUUUUGUGUGUGAUUCAACAAUUAGUAGGACAAGUAUAUGAGUCGAAGUUUAUCUGUUCCUUCUUGGAUUAGAAGUGAUAUCUGGGCCCCUCGAUGAUUUUGUUUUGACCUAUGUACCGGGCCCGGUCAGAAACGAAUUGAUGUGUUCAAUUUAGUUCUAUGUCAAACAAAUCGGAAAUUGGGAAACAAACUGCCAGACAAUAAGUAAGAAAUUGUUCCAUUUAUUUGUCCCGUUGAUAUCUAGAACAGAGGAUUAUAUGAUUACUUAUCUUAAAUGGCGCAUCAUCAUCUUUUCGGUUCCGAGAGACCUUGAAAGAGCUACGGUUGCUAAUCGAUUCCUGAAGUCAUACUUACAUAUAUAGUUAUUAGACUUAUCCAAUUAGGAGACUGCUGGAUAAGGUGUCUAAGUCCAUAACUAUAUUUGGUAUGUACUUGAACCGACCCGGCAUGGUCCAUUUGGGUUGCAUGGAAUCAUGCAUUUGGAUAGACUUAAUGAGAGAAAUAACACUUGUGGUUUGUUAAUAUAUUAUAAGUUCUAAUAUACUAAUAGUAUUAUUUAAUUAGUAUUGAUCAAGAAUUAUUUGGAAUUAAUUAAGUGAUCAAAAGAUAACUAAUUAAAUAUAUGGGUUGAUUAUGUAAAUUAUCCAUAACUGGUAUAGUGGGCUAAAGGCUCCAUGGAUUAUCAAUAUGGGUUAAACCCAUAGGAUGCUCCAUGGAUGCUCCAUGGGAGUUACAAACCCAUGGGUCAUGGAAAUGAAGAGUCAUGUCUCAUUAGGGUUUACAUGGUGUAACCCUAGAUGUGACACACUAUAUAAAGGACAUCAUACUCACCAAAAUUGGCUACACACUAAGAACUAGAGAGGGAAAGCUGAUUUAUACAAGUGUUAUACAUACUCUAAAGUUAUUCCAAAGCAUUUAGUGUUGUGUGAAGCAUUUGAGGCACCACACUUGGGGUGCUAGGCUCUCAUGGUUUUCAAGGAAUCAAAUCAACUACAAGGUAUGCAAUUCUAGCCAUCUUUUAGAUUAAAUGUUCCCCAUGUAUGCUAGAUAGGAUUAUGAACCUUGGAAAUCAUAUUUUGCAUGUAUUUUAGACAAACAUAGAUCCAAGGUUUUCUAGAGUUGCAUGUACACUUAGGAGUGUUAGAACGCCCAUAACCCAUUAGUAUAGCCAUGGACUUUUCGAUCAAGAAUUGGGCCCAUUAUGGAUAGGGUAAAGUGGCAAUUUAACUUAGGUUUGGCUUAUUAUUCAGGAAUGCUAAUCCAAUUAUUAAUUGGAUGUUUAUUUGUUGUGAUAGUUUGGGAUUUUAGUGGGCCAACAGUCGAAGGUUUUAUGUGCGAUUCAUCAGUGUAAGGUGAGUUGUCCUCACUAUACUCUUGGGUCGAAGGUACCAAGACCGUCCCUUUGGACUGUUAUCCUGGUUAUUAUAUGCUUGUUAUGCUAUAGUAAUCUGUUAGAUUCAUAUCCUGGUAGAUAAGAUAUGUUAUGCUAUAGUGAUCUAUUAGACUUGUAUGAAUGUCUGUAUAUACUAGUUAUGUUUGGUUAUAUUAUAUGUAGAUAUGUGGUGAAAGGUUGGGUUGAGGUGGUCCUGUUGUGUGCAGAAGUCCAAGAGACCAAGGCGGCCCGGAUAUAGUGAACGCCUGUAAGGUGGACCAAUCAGGCCAAAGGACCGGAGAACGGUCCAAACAGGCUGAAGGCCCGGUGCAGCGGUCCAGACAUGCUGAAGGUUCUGUAUGCAUGCUGAUGCUAUUGAUAUGUGUGAUUAUGUGUUGUGGUGGUAAUUUGGGAGAAACCCAUUAAGCGUUGGGCUUACAGUUUUGGGUUAUGUUUCAAGUAACUCGGAUGAUCGUGGGAAGGUAAAGGCUUGAUGGUGCACCUCCUCAUGUUAUGUUUUUUGUAAUUUUGGGAAUAACUUUGAUGAUGAACAUGUUUUGAAAAUCACAAUGUAAAUAAUUAUGAUUUUGGUGGGUUUGGAAAAGUUUAAAUUUUCAUAAAAUUUUAUUAAUGUCACAAGUUGGUAUUAGAGCCUUGGCUUGAAUGAAUUAAAGGAACACUCGUGUGAUUCCUGUCUCAAACUGAGGAAAAAUAUUUUUAAAAUAAUUUUUAAAAUGGUUUAGAAAAUGAUAGAGGAGGAUGCAAAGUGUAUGAUUUGUCGAAGCCAGUAAGUGACCCCAAAUUACUACAAAUGUUAUUUGAGAUUAUGUUAUGUUAUGAUUAGAACGGCAUGCUAGUGUCAGGAUAUGGAUCCUCAGGAAUCGUAUGAUAAAUUGCUUGAUAUUUGAUGCCUUAUCUUCUAUAGAGUACCCUAUUGAUUGUGUAUGACUCUUUCAUGUGUGAAAUAGCUAUUGAAUGAAUACACUAAGUCGCAUAGUGCAUGGGUUAAAUGGCCUUCGGGUAAGGGAUUGGUCCUGCUGUGCAACUCUUGUUUUAGUCCAACCGUUAUGGGAUUGAAUCCUUUAUCCUAAGAUUUUUUAAGUCAGGUAGUAUUUGAUAGUAUUCAAGCAUUGGUUUUCUGGCACCAAUGGAGGGUUGUGUGGCAGUUAGUGGUAGGAUAAGUUAUGUGGGAUCAGCCGACCAGUCGAUAUGCUUAGCCUUCCUCUAUGAAGUGAUGGUAAAGUGUAUAAGUAUGUUAGAGGGAAGUUUACAGUUAGGGUGUUGUGGUGAUCCUCUCAGAAAACUAUGGGUAGGUGUAGAAGGUAAUAUGGGCCCGUACUACUGAAAGUACAAGACCUGUACGCAUAACAAGGAUGUCACAGCCCCUAGAGUUUUUUUGGGAGUUGGUUCCCCGUUUUGGUUAUAUGUGUUAUCUGAUAUCUCCCUGGUGUAUUUCAGUAUGGUGACUACAAGGCGAUUUAAGACCGGAUCUGGAUCGGGAUCAGGAGUUGGCAGACAUAUUGGAUCUGAUGAGUUGGAUGCCAAGAUUAGGGAGAUUCUUCAUGGGGAGGUUGUGGCCAUAUUCCAGGGUCAGAUACUGGAGUUAUUUGGGUCUAUUAAGACCAAGAUAAUGGAGUUCUUCGAUGACAGAUAUGCAGCCAUUGCUGAGACUUCUGCUGCUGUAGCCUCCGCAGCCGUGGCGGCUACAUGUGUUGGAUCGGGUUGGGUUUUUCAGUAUCUGGACUUCGAUAAUACGAAGUCCCUAACUUUUAAUGGAGUUUAGGACCCGGUCGUAGCCAUGAGGUGGCUAUCUGAUGUUGAGGGAUGAUUUUCACCUGCUCUUACUCGGCUAACCAGAAGGUCAGGUGCACUCUGAACCUUUUGAGGUCUGGAUCGAAGGAUUGGUGGAGACUUGUUAUGGGAUAAUAUUCUACUAAGCAGAGGGAUGAGAUAUCUUUGGAUCAGUUCAUGGAGAUGUUUCUUACUUGUUAUGUGCCGCGGGUUGAGCGUGAGGGGUUGACCCAAGAGUUUUUGGAUCUGAGGCAAGGAUCGGAGUCGGUGAUGAAGAUCACCCGGAUGUUUACUGAAAGUGCCAUGUUUUUCCCUAAGUAUGCUGCAGAGCAUGCUCAUAUGACCCAUUACUUGAUAAUGCUAAAGAUACAUAUCAGGCAGUGUUUCCACCCAGGGAUGUGAUUCUUUGUUGGAGUUGCAGGAGGCCGCCAGAUUGCAUGAGCUUAAGAUAGAACUUUAGUUGAGGGAGCAGAGACCAGCCCUAGUACAGUCACAGCCAGCAUCGAAGCAGGUCAAGACUGAUGAGUCAAGUUCUAGGGUUCAGCAAGGUCGUACUUGUGGGAAGUACGGUAGGGCUCAUGACGGAGUGUGCUGAUCUGGUAGUUUGUGCCACAAGUGUGGCAAGGAGGGGCACUAUGCGAGGGAUUGCUGCUAGUUAGCCCCAAUUCAGAGUAUGAGGAUUUGCUAUCAUUGUGAUUAGGUUGGCCAUGUGAAGGUCAAAUUUCCAUUUCUCGUCGCCAAGUCGGCGCAGGCCCCGAUGCCAGCCACGUUGACGAUCACUGAUAAACAUCAGGGGAGGACAGAGCGCCCGAGGGCUCGAGCCCGUGUUUUUCAGCUCACCGCUGAGGAGGCCACAUCAGCACCAGAUGUGGUGACUCGUAUGUUUCUAUCCUUUAUCUUGAUAAUUAUGUUUUAUGUUAUGCUUAUUUGUGUACCUUUGUUAGGUACGUUCCUAGUGAACACUUUGCCUGCUCUGGUGUUGUUUGACUCGGGUGCGAGUUUCUAUCGCCAACGAACAUAAGGUUUCUACCUCUUCGGUGUAUCAGGGGUGUCUUCUAGAGAUAUUCAGGGUAUAUGUUCUACUUGAUUUGAUCCCUAUCCCCAUGGAGGGGUGUCUGCGUUAUUGUAGGUAUGGACUGGCUGAGCUAUUUUGAUGUGAUGAUUGAUUGUGAGGGGCAGCACGUGGUAGAUCGAACCCCAAGUGGAGGACAACUUGUCAUCAAUGGAAAGGGCACCAGGAUCGGUUCAUGGUUUUGUUCUGCGGCCAGGGCUCGACAUUAUAUUAAGCAUGGGUAUGCGGGUUAUUUGCCUUAUGUGGUGGAUACGCGAGUUGGGGAUCUAGUUUCAGUUUCAGAGGUCCUAGUGGUCAGGGAGUUUGCCAAUGUAUUUCCAGAGGAUUUUCCCGGUGUGUCUCCGGAGAGGCAGGUUGAGUUCAGGAUUGACCUCUUGCAGGGUGCCCCCGAUUGCCAAGGCGCCAUACCGUAUGGCACUGCCUGAGAUUCAGGAGUUGUCAUCUCAGUUGCAGGAACUGCUAGGCAAGUAGUUCAUCAGACCGAGUAGUUCCCCGUGGGGAGCACCAAUCUUAUUCGUCAAGAAAAGGGAUGGUUUACACUGGAUGUGUAUCGAUUACCAGGAGUUUAACAAGUUAACAAUGAAGAACCGUUAUCCCCUUCUGCGGAUUGAUGACCUCUUUGAUCAGUUGCAACGUGAAUCUUGGUUUUCCAAGAUAGAUUUGAGGUUUGGGUAUCAUCAGGUCAGGGAGAGAGAGGGUGACAUGGAGAAGACCACAUUCCAGACUCGUUAUGGGUACUAUGAGUUCGUGAUGAUACCAUUCAGGCUCAAUAAUGCACCUACGGUAUCUAUGGAUUUGAUGAAUUAGGUAUGCAAGCUGAUGCUCGAUUGUUCAGUUAUCGUGCUUAUUGAUGAUAUAUCAGUAUAUUCCAAGACCAGAGAGCAGCUUGAGGAGCAUUUUCUGGGGUUUUGAGGCGAGAGGGGCUUUAUGCUAAUUUAUCAAAGUGUGAGUUUUGGUUACAAGAGGUUCAGUUCCUUGGACACCUCGUUAACCAGGACAAGAUAUUGGUCGAUCUAGCCAAGAUCGAAGCGCUGAUACAGUGGGAGGUUUCAAAUUUCCCUUGGAUAUCAGGAGCUUCUUGGGAUUGGAAGGGUACUAUCAGAGAUUUAUUUAGUAUUUCUCUAAGAUUGUGGUGCCCCUCACUCGUCUUACGGGGUACGAGUGGAUUUCCGGUGGCGCACUGAGCAGCCGUCAGCAUUCGAGACCUUUCGAUAGAGAUUAUGUGAGGCCUUGGUAUUGACCCUUCCCGAGGGAUUUGAGGAUUUCGUGGUUUUUUGUGAUGUUUCCAUCACUAGUUUGGGGGUGGUCCUCAUGUAGAGAGGACAAGUGAUAGCAUAUGCUUCGCGACAGCUGAAGCCGCAUGAGACAAGAUAUCCCACGCAUGAUCUUGAGUUGGGGGAUGUGGUUUUUGCCCUCAAGAUUUGGAGGCAUUAUCUUUAUGGGGUCCGUUGUACUAUCUACAUGGAUCAGAAGAGCUUGAGACACAUUAUGGAUCAGCCGAACCUGAACAUGAGGCAACACAGGUGGCUGGACGUAGUCAAGCAUUAUGACUACGAGAUCCUUGAUCAUCUGGGUAAAGCGAAUGUGGUGGCGAAUGCCUUGAGCCACAAGUCGACUGAGCCUUCUGAUGGGGUGUCACGUAUAAGGAUAUUUGUGGAUUCUCCGCUUGUGGGAUUGAUUUGGGAGGCUCAGGCUGAGGGUUUUCGGGAAGAGAGUUGGAAGAUUGAGAGGAUUAGGGGCGAGAUCACUAGAUUUGUUCUAGAUACUCGUGGUUUGUUGACUCAUUGUGGUCGGGUAUGGGUUUCUAUGUCUUGUGGGGUCAGAUAGAUUGUAUUGGAGGAGGCUCAUAAGUCUCGUUAUUCUACCCAUCCGGGCGCCACCAAGAUGUAUCGGGAUCUGAGAUUGAGUUGUUGGUGGCUGCACAUGAAGAGGGAGAUAGCCUGGUAUGUUGAGAGGUGCUUGACUUGCAGGAUGGUUAAGGCUGAGCAAUAGAGGCCGUAUGGCAAGCUGCAGCCUGUGGAGGUUCCCAUGUGGAAAUGGGAGCAUAUUUCGAUGGACUUUAUCACCAAGUUGUCAAAGACAAAAAAGGGUUUUGAUGCUAUUUAGGUCAUCAUGGAUCAAAUGACCAAGAGUGCCCAUUUCCUACCGAUUCGAGAGUGUUCCUCAGCCGAGAAGUUGGCUGAUGUGUAUGUUCGUGAGAUUGUUGCUUACUAUGGGGUUCUGAUCUCCAUUGUUUCAGACCGUGAUGUUCGAUUCACCUCCCGUUUUUGGCAGAAGUUCCAUGAGGAACUAGGCACGACGUUGCACUUCAGCACAACUUAUCAUGAACAUAAUGAUGGCCAGAGUGAGCGAAUGAUACAGAAUCUUUAGGAUAUGUUACCAGCCUGUGUCAUUGAUUUUGGUGGGAGCUGGGACUCCUACCUACCUCUUGUGGAUUUCCCCUACAAUAGUAGUUUUCACUCCAGCAUUGGCGCUCCACCUUUUGAGCUUGUGUAUGGGCGAAGGUCUCAUACCCCAUUAUGUUGGGGUGAGGUUGGUCACAGGGUUAUGGGGUGGAUCGAGGUGCUCCUUCAUACUAUGGAGAUGAUUCAACAUAUUAGGAAGAGAUUGCAGACUGAUCAGAGUCGGCAGAAGAGCUAUACCGAUCGGCGCCAAUCUAAGCUGGAGUUUCAGGUCGAUGACAUGGUGUUACUGAAGGUCUCACCAUGGAAAAGGGUGAUUCGCUUCAGUAAGAGGGGGAGAUUGGUUCCUCGAUAUAUUGGGCCAUUCCAGGUUAUUUCCAGGUUUGGCAAGGUCGCCUACAUAAUCGAUCUUCCUGAGGAGCUCAGUCAGAUCCAUAACACUUUCUAUGUUUCACAACUGCGAAAGUGCAUAUUGGAUCAGGAUGUAGUUGUGUCAUUGGACGACGUUCAGGUUGAUGAGGCCUAAACUAUUUUGAGAGGCCCGUACCUACUCUGGAAAGAAAGGUGAACGUUUUGCACAGCAAGGAAGUACCUUUGGUAAAGGUAUGAUGACAUCAUCAAAUGGGCUCCGAGUUGACCUAGGAGUCGGAGGCUGAGUUGCGGGAGCAUUACCCUGAUUGUUUUUGCUGCAUCAGACUUCCAGGACGAAGUCUAGUUCAAGUGGGGGAGAGUUGUAACAUCCCAGAUUUCAGGUAUUUUCAAAUCCUUUCCUUGGUUUUUAAUUUUGUCGUUUUGAUCCUUGGAUUUGGUUGGAAUUUGCUAAGUGUACGCUAAGUUACAGGAGCAUUACCCUGUUGUUUUGUCCUUUGGGACAGGAGGUGUACGAUGAGUGUAUAUGUGAGUAUGCUAAGUGUACUAGGCUACGCCCUAGUACGCUGGACAUAUAAAUAUCUACGUUAGGCAUACUAGCGUCCGAGUGAAACCCUAAAUUUUAGGGUUUGAGGAGUAUUUAAACAUCUUUAUAGACCAUUCACCCUUAUCCUUUCAGCCUCCAAUUCCUUAUGUUGUUCUUGUAAAACCCCAUCCCCCUUGUGUGAGUGUGAGAGCCCUAAGGUGUAUUCUUGGUGAUUUAUAGGCAAAGGAAGUGCACCAAGAACUUAGAAGUCUAAAGCAAGGGUUAGAUCUGAGAGUUUGGCUUCCUUCUACAUUAUCUAAAGGUAUAAAGUUCAUACCUUUAUCGUUUAUUUGAUAGAUCUCUUGUUGGGUUCUUUUUAUGCUCCUUUCUAGUCCCAAAUACUCCAUCUUGAGCAUGGCAUGUUCUGGAUGUUUUGAGUCGUCCUUUCAGACCCUUCGAGGGGUCCUUAAUCAUAAAAUGAGGUCCCAAUAGCUAGAAGUGUCCCAUGCAUUUGGUAGAAAGGUCUUAAUGGAUUAAGACCUUGUAUUAAGAACUUUUGGACAUGUAAAGUCAUAAAGUUGGAGAAUUUACGACUCUAGGGCGCAUUUAGACCAUGUAUCUAAAGUUUGGGCUUAAGUUCUUAAGCCAUUUAGAACAAAAUAGGACUUUUGGAUCUGCGAGAGUAUGCCCUGUGUAAGGAGGAGUAUGCCCGCAUACUCGGUCAGCCACCCCGAUGUAGGUCAAUACGAGGUUCAGAGUACACCCUGCGUAUCGAAGGAGUACGCGAGCCAUUCGAUUUCAGACUUUAGGUUUCGAUUUUUGGACCAUCUUUUGGGCUUGAAUGCUUGGGUCCUUAUUGGUCUAUCUGAGUAUGAGUGUUUUGGGCCAAGUGGGGAGUUAGACUUAAAGAUAAGGCCCAAUAAGGAUUUGGGGCCCAGUUUAGAAAAUUGGGCCAAUGAUGGGCCUUGUAUAGCCUUGGACUUUUUGGAUCAAGAAUUAGGUUUGGGUCUUGGACCAAUUAUGGAUAGGGUAAAGUGGCAAUUUAGCUUAGGUUUGGGUUAUUAGUUAGGAAUGGUAAUCCAAUUAUUAAUUGGAUAUUUAUUUGUUAUGAUAGUUCAAGAUUUUAUUGGACCAGUAGUCGAAGGUUUUAUGUGUGGUUCAUCAGUGUAAUGUGAGUUGUGAUCACUGUACUCUCUGGUCGAAGGCACCAAGGUCAACCCUUUGGAUUGUUAUCCUAGUUAUUGUAUGCUUGUUAUGCUGUCGUAAUAUGUCAGAUUGGUAUCCUGGUAGAUAGUAUGUGUUAUGCUAUAUUGAUCUGUUAGACUUGUAUGACUAUUUGUAUAUGAUAGCUAUGUUUUGUUAUAUUAUAUGUGGAUAUGUGGUGAAUAGUUGGGUUGAGGCGGCCAUACUGUGUGCAGAAGGCCAAUUGACCUAUACGGACUAGUCAGGCCGAAGCUCCGGAGAACGGUCCAGACAGGCCGAAGGCCCGAUACGACGGUCUAGACAUGUUGAAGGUUUUGUAUGCAUGCUGAUGUUGUUGAAAUGUGUGAUUAUGUGUUGUGGUGGUAAUUUGGGGGAAACCCACUGAGCGUUAGGCUUACAGUUUUGGGUUAUGUUUCAGGUACCUCAGAUGCUCGUGGAAAGGCAAAUGUUUGAUCGUGCACCUCCUUAUGUUAUAUUUUUUGUGAUUUUGGGAAUAACUCUGAUGACGAACAUGUUUUGAAAACCACAAUGUAAACAAUUAUGAUUUUGGUGGGUUUGGAAAAGUUUAAAUUUUCUUGAAAUUUUAUGAAGUUAUAUAUAUAUAUAUAUANNNNNNNNNNNNNNNNNNNNNNNNNNNNNNNNNNNNNNNNNNNNNNNNNNNNNNNNNNNNNNNNNNNNNNNNNNNNNNNNNNNNNNNNNNNNNNNNNNNNNNNNNNNNNNNNNNNNNNNNNNNNAAAAAAUAAAAAAUGAAUAUUUGAUUUUAUUUAUCAUUAAUCUCUUGUGAGAUGAUAUGACAUUUUUGUAAUCCUUAAUUAUAUUUUAUAUGAUUUAAAAUAUAUAAUGAUCCACUAUUUUUUUUAACAAAAUCAUUAUUUAACUGAAUAUAUUAUUAAUCCAAAAUUAUAUUAUUUAAAAAUUAUUUGAUUCAAAAUACUAUGACUCAAAAUAAUUUGAUUUAAAAUUUUAUGAUUCAAAAAUAAUUAGAUUCAAAAAAAUAUGAACAGAAAAAUAUUAUAAGCAUUAAUAUCUUUUUAUUUAAAAUUUUAUAAUUAUUAAACAUUAAAAAACUCAAACCGAUCACUACAAAAAUAACCAUCAAUAGCAGCGACGCCUUUAGCGGUGACGGAGACUUUUAGCGGUGACAAAAAAGAAAUGCGUUUUUUGUCUCUGCUAGAAAUAUAUGUCGCCGCUAAAGGCUUUUGUUGACGAUCCCCGUCAUUUCAAUCCAUCGGUCGAUUUAAGAGAUAGACCUACGACUACGAUUAUAUAAGAAAUCCCAUGUUGUUUUUCCUCUGGUGUAUCGCUGCUAAAGAGUGUGUGUCGCUGCUAAAGGCGUCGCCGCUAAAAGUUUAUUUUGGCGAUCCACAUCAUUUAAAAAACAUCCAUCGAUUUAGGCGAUGAUCCAACGACAUAGAAAACUCCGCGUUGUUUUCCCUCCCAUGUAUCACCGCCAAUGAGUACGCGUCGCCGCUAAAGUACGUUGACAAUAAAACCCUCUUCGUUCUCACUUUCUUUCCCGAUCUUCUGUGUUUUCUCUCUCUCUCUCUCUCUCUCUCUCUCACCAUCAUCGACCUCAUCGGAAUUUUACAAAAAACUUUGCAAUUUCACCUCUCUCCACUCCAUUUUUCUCUUUUUCUUUUCAUUUUAUCUUCUCCCUACUAAAUUUCUAGAAUUUGAGAUGGUUGACGGAAUGUUGAGAUCCCUCACCCUUCUCGCCGGAAUAUACUGUCACCAUCACUGUUCUCGCCGAAAUAUCGAUUUUGUAGAUGUGUAUUUGUAUGUGUAUAUUGUGUUUGUAGAUAUGGAUGUCUAUUUGUAUGUAUGUGUAUUUUGAAUGUACUUUAUGUAUGUAUAUGUGUUUUCGUAUGUGCAAUUAUAUGUAUAUAUGUAUUUUUAUGUAUAUGUAUGUGUAUAUAUUUUUGUAUGUAUAUGUGCAUUUUGUAUGUGUAUUAUGUAUGUGUAUAUGUAUUUGUAUGAAUAGAAAUACAUAUAAAUAACGGUGGCACCUUUAGUGGCGACAGAGAGCAUUAGCAGCGACGAAAAAACAAUAGCGACGACCAAUAGAGCAUUGGCGACGCCCGUUGCCACUAAAGAUCAAAAUUCUUGUAGUGGAUAUUUAUUUUUAAAAAUCAAAAAGCUAAAAUAUCCAAAAAUACAAAAAAAAAAAAAAGAAAAAAAAAAAAACAGACAAAAACAUAAAACAUAAAACAAAAAAAACAAUAGUAUUUUCAAAUAUAUUGUAAAGAUAUUAAAAAAAUAAUAAGAAAAAAUAAGAAAUAUAUAAAAAAAAAAGUAAAAAACAAAAGAAAAUGUGAAAACCAAGUAUAUGGAUUUUUAGUUUUGUUUUUGAAUUAAAAAAAAAGUUAAAAAUAUAAAAAAACAAACAGACAAAAACAUAAAACAUAAAACAAAAAAAACAAUAGUAUUUUCAAAUAUAUUGUAAAGAUAUUAAAAAAAUAAUAAGAAAAAAUAAGAAAUAUAUAAAAAAAAAAGUAAAAAACAAAAGAAAAUGUGAAAACCAAGUAUAUGGAUUUUUAGUUUUGUUUUUGAAUUAAAAAAAAAGUUAAAAAUAUAAAAAAAAACAAAAUUAAAUAAUAAAACUCACUUAAUGAUGUUCCAUGGAUGUUCUUCGCACAUGAUUAAGUCUUCGAGUCGGUAUUAAUUACCAUGGACGUGGGUCGCAUUUGAAAACANNNNNNNNNNNNNNNNNNNNNNNNNNNNNNNNNNNNNNNNNNNNNNNNNNNNNNNNNNNNNNNNNNNNNNNNNNNNNNNNNNNNNNNNNNNNNNNNNNNNNNNNNNNNNNNNNNNNNNNNNNNNNNNNNNNNNNNNNNNNNNNNNNNNNNNNNNNNNNNNNNNNNNNNNNNNNNNNNNNUAUAUAUAUAUAUAUCAUCCAAAUAGGUUUUUUAUAAUAUAUGUUUUGAUAAAGUAAUAUUUUACCCUAUUUUACAUAUUACCAUAUAUAUGGUGUCUAUAAGGGUGAAAGUUGAAACAAUUCCAAAGCAUCCACAUCAAAAACAAACUUAAUUUUCUUCUACAUAUUUUACAUAUCAUGCAUUUUCAAUAUUUUCAACAUUGUUACAUCUAAAUAUAAUAUAAAUCCAUUAAACAAUCGAUUUUGUGGUGCCAAGCGAUUAGUAUAUAUUCGUAUGCAUUAAAAAACAAAAUAUCAACUUUGUUGUGCUAAGCAAUAUAAUUAAUAUCAGUUUACAAAUAUAUAGUUAGUCAAUAUUUAUACACUACAUGGAGACGGUGACCUCUCAUCACUUUUUUUACUUUAAAAUGAGGUGGAUUUGCUGUCAUCUUAGGCUCCGUUAUAAAUGGAGGUGCACAGCUUCCAUAAAUUGGCAAACAAACACCACAAAGAACAAAAAACCCAUUUUUAUGAUGGAUAUCUUCACUUUCUGCCCUUCAUCGCUUCUUUCAACGGUAUCAAUUCUCUUAUUUUCUUCGAUCUUCAUAUAUGCUCUACGAUGGAAGAAAACAUCCAAAACUACCCCUAAUCUUCCCCCCAGCCCUCCUAGGCUUCCGAUAAUAGGAAACUUGCAUCAAGUGAUAGGUAAAAACUUCCAUCAAAUCUUAUGGAAAGUCUCCCGAAAAUACGGCCCUAUUAUGACCGUCCAUUUAGGUUCCACACCAUACGUCAUCAUCUCCUCCAGUGAAUUUGCAAACCAGGCCUUAAAAACCCACGAUCAGAUACUUUGUAAUCGUCCACGUUCCAAGGGUUUCAAACGGCUAACUUUCGACUAUAUGGACGUUGCUUUCUCCCCUCAUGCUGAUCAAUGGAAGGAGAUGCGAAAGGUUCUGGUAACCGAGUUCUUAGGUUCUAAGAGGAGUAGAUUGUUCAAAAAAGUGGUAGACACCGAGGUCAAGGGCAUGCUUGAUUCCUUUUCAUCACUGAAUACUACCAUUGACCUAGACGAGAGGCUCUUUCAUCUUGUAACCGACAUUGUUAGCAAGGUUGCAGUGGGUAAGAGCUAUAGAGAGGAGACGUUUAGGGGUAAAAAAUUAAAAGACAUGCUUGAUGAUCUGGUAAUCUCUCUUUGUGGUUCUGUUUCCGAUAUUUAUCCAGGUAGAUUAGGGUUGAUAUUAGACGAACUACUUGGGUUUAAUCGGAGGCUAGAAAAGACUUUCAGUAAUUUUGAUGCCUUCCUUCAAAUGGUUCUUGAUGAGCAUAUUGAUCAUAGUGGAACAACUGACUAUGAAAAAGAUAUGGUUGAUGCAUGCAGAUCUCAGUUGACUAC